AAGAUCCAACACCUCUAAGUUUGGGACCUUUGUGAAGUCUGGUGUCUUAAUCAGAUUCUCCGAAUGGCUGAGUUUCAUGACUCUCAACAUGUUUAAAGGCUGUUGAAAAUAAAAAGGAGCUAAAAUGAUAUUUCUUAAUUCAUGUACUACUAUAAUAAUAAAAUUGUUAUCAACAAUUAUUCACUGAAAAAUAUAAAUUAGUGACCAAAAAAAAAAAAAUUGAUCUUACUUUGAUUCCCUUCCAUAAUUCUUCAAUGCGGCUGUAGCACAUUUUAAAUUCAACAGUUUUAUCCAAUUGCAAAUUUGAUGGCAAAGAUUUCAAAGGAUACCGAUGCCAAUCAAGUAAUCGCAACCUGUUCGAGAGGUAUUCUAGGCCUUCAGGAAGUUGCACAUUACUGAUUUUGAGCAAUCUUAGGUUGGUCAUCAGUGAAAAUGCUUUAGCACUUAAAUGCACAUCAUUUCCACGAAGGAAAUAAUCAUCAACCAUUAUUCCUUCAACUACUUCACUUCCCUGAAAAUUAUAAACAAAUUUGUUCGUUAGAGAUUUAACUAGCUAAAAGAAGUGAGCUGAGCUGGAAAAUAAAUACUUUUAGAUCCCCUUUAUUAUCACUUACUGUAUUUUGUGACAACACAUGGUGUACAUCUGCUUCCUUCCACAAUCUACUGCGUUUUCCAGGCUCGUCGGGGGAUUGUCUCCUAACAAUUUGGUGACCCAUUUCUUGUAUCAAAUCAUGCAUCCACAAUCUGUUAUUCUCAUGUACUGUUAAUAAAGAUUUUUCUAUGAGAACUUCUAUUCCAAUGACUGGGGAAAAACCACAUCCUUCUAGAAUUUUCGAUACAUAAUCUCUAGUCUUCCAUUUAAAGAAACAUGCAAUAUCGAGAAAUAUUUUCUUCUCUAAUUCUUGUAGUCCGUCAAAACUUAUUUGAAGUAUACUCAUAAUCUUAUUGGGAGGCUCUAUUUGUAGCCUUUCCAAGGUGCUUUUCCAUUGAUCCACGGAUCUACCAUUCAAAAAGGAACCCAAAACUUCGAGAGCUAACGGAAGACCACCGGCAUACCGUAGAACACGUUCAGACAGCUGCACACAUUCUUCAAGAGGCUUUUGGAUUUUAAAAGCUUUCAUGUUGAAAAGUUGAAGAGCAUCAUGGUAAUUUAGUUCAUUAGGCUUAUAUACUUCAUCCAUUCCAUGUGUCCUUAAUAGAUGUUCAUCUCGCGAUGUUACGAUGAUCCUACUGCCUGAACCAAACCACUCACGCUUUCCAGCUAAAUACUCUAAUUGCUUUAUGUCAACCACAUCAUCGAUAACAAGAAGAACCUUUUUGUUUUGCAGCCUGCUUCCUAAAAUGUUGAUGCCAUCACCGACAUUCCAUAUGCUAUCUUUUUCAAGCUUCAAUAUUUCGUAAAGGAGUUGCCUUUGAAAAGAGAUUACACUGCCUUCGUUUUCAAAUUUUUCUCUAACAUCGGCAAGAAAACUACUCCCUUCAAAUUCAUGAGAGAUCAAGUCAUAAACAACUCUUGCAAGAGUCGUCUUACCUAAACCUCCCAUACCACAAAUGCCUAUCAUACGAACAUCAUCAUUAGGCCCUUCAUCCAUAAGAGACCUCAAUUCUUCCAAGCGUGAAUCUAUUCCCACUAGCUUCUUAAGAGUCUCUGAUUUUACAGGAAUUUUACUUGAUAUCGCCUUGACAAUAUCCCAAAUAAAUUCUGACUCAUUCCUACAGUUAAAGAACAAAGAAAGAUCAGUAUGGUUAAAUUACAGUGAGUUUGAAUGCGGUAUUAAAUAAAUUUAGUAAUAGAAAAAGCCCAAAAUAUGCAAUAUUCGUUGGACAAAAUUGAAGUAAUGUAAGAUGUUGUUACAUAUGGCUAAUCUUUAGGUGCGUUCGUGUAAAUAUCUGCAUCCAUUGGUACCACUUUUGUUCGUAAAUAUUCUUAUAUGGAGCUAUUAUUCAAUUAGUACACAUCAUAUCAUGCACAUAUUGAAUAAAAGUUGUUUAAUUGACAACAGUAUGCUGAUUAAAGCUAUUUAAAAUGAUAUACAAAAUAAUAAGAAUGGCUACCUGUACUCUUUCAAUUCCCAGCCAGAAAUAUUAGCCACCUCUUUCAAAGCGUCUCUCCAAUUUUUCACCUUUUCUAGAUUCUCCCUAAAAGCUUCUUCAUGUUUCGAAAAAGCUUCUCGAAAACUUCCGGUUUGUUUCCUUACCACAGUGGGUUCAACAUCAUAGAAAAUUGGAAAAACCAUUUGUUGAUGAUCGUUUUUGUUCUUGCAUUGAACAAUCUUAACAAGUUCAUCCAAGCACCAAGUGGAGGAAGCAUAGUUUUGGGAGAAAACAAUAAUUGAAAUUCUAGAAUCUUCAAUUGCAUUAAGAAGUCCAGGUGAAAUGGAUGUUCCUCUCUCGAGUUCUUUGUCAUCCUUGAAUACAUAAAUUCCUUUUCCAUUCAAAGCAGCAUAGAGAUGACUUAUGAAGCUUUUACGGGUGUCUGCUCCUCUAAAGCUUAAAAAGGCAUCAUAUGGCCAAUGAGGCAUAUUUUGUAUGCUCGAGGAAGCCAUUACAAUAUUAAUUUGUUCUGAAAAUUUUUUUUUAAAAAAGAAAUGAUUGCCUAGGAACAAUACUAUGUAAACAACAACAUUUAUCUAGAGUUAUGGAUUAUCUCAAAGUGUCAAAGUCGUAUCCACUAGCUUAGGGAGUGUUUGGUGCACUACAUUAUGUCGCAGUACUAUGUUUUAGUGUAGUAUGUACAAUAGUGUUUAUUUAAAUAUUUUAUACUAAUAUUAUUAUCAAAUUUUAUUAUUUGACUAAUAAAAUUUAAAAAUUUAUUAAUAAAUAAUACUUAAUUAUAUUGCUUGAGCCUUAUUGCGUAGCAAUAUUACAUUAACCUUUAAAACAGUGCCAUAUUUAUUGCGGUAUAUGCAUGAUCUUGUUUAUCUAAAUUUUUUUAUAAUAUUAUUUUAUUAAAUUUAUUGGUUAAAUUCAUUAUUAAAAUAAACACUUCAUUAAUGAAGUACUUCUAUUUCUAUUUAAGUAAAUUAUAAAUCUCUCUAAAAAAAGUAAAUUAUAAAUGUGUUAAGUAAUAAAAUAAUUGAUUAAAAUUAUUUUUACAUAAUAAAAGUAAAAUAAUAAAAAUGAUUUUAUAAAAUAAAAGUAAAAAAAAGUGUGUAAUUAUUUAUAUUAAAUUCAUAUUAUUUGGAUUUAUUUAUAUUUAAUUAUAUUAUUUGAUUUAAAUAUCUUAUUUAAAUUUAGGUAAAAUGACACUUACACCCCAAGAUUUGGGAAAAAAUGGUUCUGUAGACACCAUAUUUUCAAUAAGAAACACUAAAAUCCUCUUUUAACUAUGAUACCAUUUAGCUCUAAUAACUCAAAAAAAUUAAUUUCAAUGUUUUAUAAUUAAUAUAAAUAUGAUAUUAAAUAAAUGGAACAAUAUCUAUUAAAAAAUAUUUGUAAUAAAUAGAAUUAUAAUAUUAAGAUAAAUAUAUAAAAAUAAUUUUAAUAUUAUUAAUACAUGAAAUCAUUUUUUUUAAUUGUAAAAUCUAUUUAACCUAAUGAUGUAUUUAAAUUUUUAAUAAUAAAUACAAAUAUAUUAGUAAAAUAUAAUAAUUUACAUUUUUUAAAAUUAUUUUAUUUUUAAAAUAUUCUAAUAUUAUUGGUCUAUUAGAAAAAUUAAAAUAUUAAAUUAUAUAUGUAUUUAUUAAAAAUUGUUAAAGUCAAUGUUUUUAGUUACUAUCUACAAAAGUAGUAUAGCUGAAAAAAGAUUUUGGCGUCCUUUAUUAAAAAUUUGAGACUUUACAUAACUAUUUCCUUAAAUUUCUAACUAGAUUAUAACUUAUUAUUUUAAUAAAUAGUUAAAUGCUAAAAUACAAUUUUUGAAGUAAUUUUUAAAUAAUAAUAUUCAAUGUCAGAUUGAAUUAAAAUUCUCUUAUGAUUUAAUAUGUGAUUGGUGGUUAAUAUAUAAUGAAAAUAAAGAAGUUCAAUAGGUACCUCUUUGUAUGUUGUUUUAUAAAAGAUUUAUCUACAAUAACUUAAAAGAAAUCAGAGUUACAUAUUUAUCACCAAAAAAAUAAAAACAAAAAUAUUAAGGCAAUAACUAAUCAUCGAAACUAUAUAUAAGCAAAGAGAUUUUGAGAGAGAAACUGAAACUUUUUCAUUUCCUUUCAACAACCCGAUAAAAAUGGACAAAUAUAUAAUAAUUGUAUUCUUUUUUUCAGACCUCGACGGGGAGGGUGAAUUUGAUUAAAAAUAAUUGACAAUAAAUUGGCCCAAAUAUUUUUAAAGUAAAAAUUUAUUGAAAUAAAAAGUUAUUAAACUUGACAAUGGUUCUGAAUUCAAAUUAAUGAUCUUAUUCUCAAACAAACUAAACAGAUAAUCCAUCAGCUUCUCAAUUACUCUCUUUACCAAAAAGAAAAUUAAAAUUAUACAUAAUAAAUCCCAAAAUGUAAAGUAUUUGUUUUUCAAGUGCCGAUUUGAGAGUGUGUACACCGAUCUCUACUUGAGCAAAUCUUGAUUAAAGCCUCUUAGAGGAGUUUGUACAAAAUUAACAUUAAAGAAUUUCUUUCAAUUUUAUCAUUAUUUAUUUGUUUUUAAACAUUAAGAUAUACAAAUUAAUUCUGAAAAUAAAAGAGAGAGAGAUGUAUAAGAUCGAACUUACGGCUUUUGAGUGUAUUGUAGGACGCUAGUUAAAUGAACUCCGAUGCAGUAUUUGAUUCAAAGAAUUUAAUCAUGCAAAUAUAUUCUUUUGGCGAAAAAUAAAGCAAUCAGCAAAUAUGUAUGUAUUUCCAAAAGCAAGUCUUCGUCAAAAAGUGACUUUCUUAAUAAUUAAUAGACAUUUGUCACUGUUUACUCACAUGAUGGAGUUACCAUCAAACUUGCUGGAAGCUUCAAGGAAUCUAAGCGAAGAUUAUCUGGCUUUUCAAUUGAUGAUGCAUCCACGCCACUCUGCCCAUUACCCAUGUUGAAACCAUUGGAUUCCAUUAAAAUGGAAUGGAAUCCAACGGUUGAUAUUAAUAAUUAAUUAAAAAUAGUUAAAACUACUGGCAACCCAUAGGAAUGGUAAAUCUUUAUUAGUUAAAUUUCAGUUGGAUCCCUAAAAGAUGUUGGAUUCUUUUGGUAACAUUGUAGUUUUUUUAAACUAAUUAUUGUUAAUUGAAUUAUAGAAAUAAUCAACUAUAAAGAUAAUCAAUCAAACAUUCGAUAUGAAUUUCAAAAAUUUUAUAAGUUUUAAAAACAGUCGUAUGUACUUGAUAAAUCUUAUUAUUAAACUAUCAUAAGAUUGUAAAUGACAAGAAUGUAAAUGAUUAAGCUAGACAUAAUUUUGAAUAAAAUUUAUUUACAUAUUUAUAAAUAUGUAUAUAAAAUAAUUUUUCGUGUGUAUAUAUAAUAUUUGAUGACUAAAGUAAAUAUUUUAUAUUAUCAAUUUUAUUUUUUAUUUUGUUAUCUCAAUAUAAUUGAUGAUAAUAAUAGUAAUCUCUUUAAAAUUAAUGAUUUUAUUUCCUAAUUAAUAAAGAUAAUUCAAUAUAAACACUAUCAAUAAAUUUAAAAAAUCAAUUUAUGGUAAUGAAAAUAAAUAUGCAAAAUAAUGAACAUCCACAACACGAAGAUUUUUUUACGAGGGAACCUUUGAUCCUCACGAUUUAAGACAAAAAUCUUGAUAUAUUAUUAUGUCCACUUGUAGACAAAACAAUUUACUAUGAAAAUAAUGUGAGUUUACAAUGGAUCAAGAACACAUACAAAGCUUCGCAAUCCUAAACAUCUCAAGUCUAAAUCCUAUUGUGCCAACCCUCACAGACUAAAACACAUUAUCUAAAAUACGUUUGAACAUUUUCCAAGUGGAUUUAGGUGGAUAGCCUUACCAAGACUUAGGUCUUGGGUUUGAGUCUCAUGUAGUAUAGUCUUAUAGACUUUAAUUCGGUGCUCUAAGGAAUCUCCUAUUGUUCCUAUCUAAGUUUCUUUGCCGUAUUCACCAGUGCAUUUUAUUCAUUGCAAAGAUGCCUUAUUUUCUAUUGCUAAUGCUAUUGGUAAGCCUCUGUGAGUAGACCAUGCUACUAUUGCUGUUAAUCGACCCUCGGUCGCUAGAGUUCUAAUUGAGUUGGAUGUUUCGUGGCCGUUGUUGCCCAAACUUUGGAUUGAAGGUGAUGGCGGUUUCUAGUAGAAUGUCAUUUUUAAGCAUGUUCCUUUAUAUUGUGCCUCGUGUAAACAUCUUGGGCACUCUACUAAUACUUGUUUUGUUGCCAAUCCUGGGCUCUGGGAACCUUGGCAGCCUAUUAGUCAGGUGCAGGAUACUGUUGUUCAUGAUAAAAGCAAGAUGUUGAUGUCUGAUGCUGCUGUGCAUCCAAAGGGGAUGGCGAAGAGGUUCAGCCAUUGGGGCCUAAUGGUAGUGAGGGUGCUCCUCUAGAUGCUCAAUUACUUAUUUAUUAGGAUACUGCAGAAGAUGGGUUUGAUCUGAUUUCUAUGAAAAGAAUUCAAACUGAUGAUGGUUUGAAGGAUCCUACUACUUUAGGAGAUGCUGUUGGAUGCACUGAGGUCUCUAACCCUCCUUUUUUAGAUGAUCCGAGUGUUCAGAGGGCUUCCACUGAUGCUACUUUUUUUUGAGUUGCUGAAGAGGAUAUUCGCUCCAUGAUCGUGGGCUUCAAACCCCAUUCUACAGACAUCCUUUUUCAGUUUGAUGAGAAUUUUAGCUUUGAUGGGAAUCCUGUGACUAAUGAAUAUUUUGCAUAUGAGCCUGAGGGUACUAGAGGGCAUGAUCUUGAUGACUUUCGUGUUGCCGGGCCACAUGCCUCUGUUCUAAGAAAGGUUUCACAUUAGUUACUAGCCGCAAGAAUUGGAAGCGAUUCUCUAGGCGGUUGCAUUAAUUAGUCCUAUCUUCCAUUGCUUUUGUUAUUUUUCCUGUUAUUGGAUGUAUUUGUUCCCAUACUUCGAGGUUUUGGCAUAUGUCUCUCUCCAUAUGAAUUUUAUUUUAUUUUAUUAAUUUACUAGUGAAGGGUCCCGCCUAACCCCACACCCCACCUUAAGGUGGUUUUUAAUUUUUAAAAAAAUCCUUAUAGUUCUCACAAUUUUUUUUCUAUGUGAAUCAAGCAUCAAAAUCUGCUCACAAGAAUAAUCUAAGAGUAAAUUGAUAUUGGAUGUGAGAGAAUCCGUCUUGGAUUUAACACCUUCAAUCUCAAAGACCUUGCAUCAACAAACUUGAUGAAGCUAAAGACAAGAGAAUAAAAUAAAUGCUAAUUUAAUUCCUGAUGUCUGACAAUAACAUAGUUUGCACUCAUUAAAAUUCCAAUUUAAAACAUUUGCUUCUAACCCUUAAGAAAAGUAUUUCUCCAAAAUCUAGGGUUUAAAAAUAAAUUUUAAGGACAUAAAAAUAAGAAGUCACUAAAUUCUUCUCCAAGAUAAAAUUUUUUGGCCUCAGCACUUGUACGCUCGCUCGAAAUCGACGGCCGGUGGAGCUUAAAAUGAUGCUUUUACAUUUCAAAGAGAUGAGGGAAUUGCUAUUGGAUCCACCAAAUUGGAUUAAAUCAAUGGGUUGAAGUAGUGGAGUACGUGGCAGCUUCAGAACCCUUGGACGGCGUUCCAUGAUCAAAUGAUGGUCCGGAUACAAAGUCAGCCACCCAGUAACCUAACACACGCGGAUCAGCGGCCAACAGGACACGUCACAUACAUCCUGCGGUCCAACCAAACGCGGGUUGAUAUCGGGUCAAACACGUAUUCAGCGGACGGACCUACGUGAGGUCGCAUUCAGAAUCAGAGGUCAAUCAAGUUGAGUCAACAGAAAAGUCGAUAAAGAUGCAUCAUAACUCCGUACAGCAAAAGUACACAAGAUUCCAAUCUCCCUCAAAAUCUGUCGGGGGACUCCAAAUGGAUAAAAUAAUAAUUUUUCUCCUAAUGAUUUUUAGCAUAAAGUUUUCACAAAUUUUAAUACAUUGGACAUUUUAAUUUUAUUUGAAAUGAAAUGCUAUCAGUAAAUGGCUCUUAAAUAAUCAUAAUCAGCACACAACCAGCAAAUUGAAGGAGCAGAAAACCAAGAGAACAAACUUUCCUCUUAAAAUUCAUUCAAUUGAAUUUUAUAUGUGAAAAAAAAAUAAUACAUAAAUAUGUAAGACAAAUAUUCUUGCAAAGCAAACGCUGAGAUAUGAGUAAAAUUAAAAAUGUAAGAAAAUUAACUGGCAUUUUUGAGCUUAUUGGAAGCAAUAAAGAUCGUAAAUUUUUACUUGAACUUCUAAUUAAGGUUUUAUUUAAAAUUGAGGUUGGGAAGCUGUAAUUUUUAAACUACAACACUAAAGUGUUUAAUAAAUAUUAAUUAUUAUAUCCUGAAAAUUAAGUUGUAUGAUGAAAAAUUUAUUAUAUUUUUAUUAAUUUUGUAAAAAUUAUUAUUUAAAAGUUAUAUUCAUUAUAUAUUAUUAAUUUUUAUCUUAUAAUUACAAAUUUUUUAAUAAUUUAAAACUAAAAAAUUACAGUAUCUCGAUAUGAAAGAAGACUUAACUUUCUUUCAAAGAAAUCAAUGAAAGGAAUGUUUUGUGUUCUAAUUAAUUUCUCAAAAACAAAAAGUGUAAUCAAAAGUGUAUGCCGAAAGCAAUUACGAAGAAUGAUCAUGAUCUUCUUUAGUGGUGCAUGAAAUCAACAAUAUGGUGGACAUGAUGUUGAGGAAAGCAAUGAUUUCGUUUAGUAUUUUAUCAAGGGCGGCUUCAAUGUAAUUGUAUUUUAUAAGCCAUACCAAUGCAUAAUUUUUAGGCAUAAUUUUAGCAACAGGUGAGAGACAGUGUAAGAAACUAACAUGAGGCCAUUUACUACAGUACUUGUCCGACAGUGACAUAUUCUGCAACCCCACGGAAAAAAAAAGUGAGUAAAUAAACAAAAUAAAAAGACAUAACAUCUAUUGCAUAAGUUUUAGGCAUAAUGUUAGCACAGGUGAGAGUGAGAGACUGACCUCAGAAUUUUUAAUGUUGCCAAAUCAUAGUUGCCAGUCAAUUUCAAGCAAUCCACACACUCAAGGCUUAACAAUGGGAGUCGAUGCUCGUUUAAUUUUAAUACAUCUGAUAAUGUCUCCAACGACACACAACCAUCUAACAAAAUCCAUUGUAUACUGGCUGGAAGUCGAGGAAGAGUUUGAAGCAUUUUGCAUUCCUCUAAUUCAAUCUCCUGAAGAUUAGAAAGACGGUAGAUGCUUGCCGGUAGCGAAACAAAACUGUUUCUACUCAAACAUAACUUUUCUAAUGAGCAUAAGUCGCCAAUACUACUUGGGAUUGCUCCUUCCCCUAGGUCACAGUCACUGAUAUCCAAUUUCGUUAAACUACACAAACCUGACAGAGAAGACGGCAAACUCAAAGCCACCGGAUCUGAACUCCAUUGCAUCAAAUUGAUAGGAGAGCGCAGAAACCAUGAUGCAGAUGAUGGUGAUCCUUUGCACCCACGACAAGAUAGUUCUUUAAGAUUCUUCAUAAGAAAAAUCGACGAUAGAGGUUGCCUUAUAGCUGUACCACUUAUAUCAAGUUCUUCCAGACUUUCUACUUGCCCAAGCGUCUCAGGCACAUUUUCAAGUUUGAAGCAGCCUGAGAGAUUCAAAGUUUUGAGGGAUUUCAAACCAUUUAUACUGCUAGGAAGUCUCACGAGACUUCUACAAUCAUUCAAAUUCAACCAUUGAAGUUUGGUCAAAAGCUCUAUAGAUGAUGGCACUUCUGUGAUAGAAGUUCCAUCUAAAAAGAGCUCUGACAGAUCUACCACACUUAUCACAGUCUCUAGAAAUUUCACUAUUUUCGAGCAACUAGAUAGCACGAGCGUUUGUAGACAUUCUAAACUGCCUAUUGUAAUUGGAAGACUCGCGAGAUUUCUCCAAUCUUUCAAAUUCAAUGAAACAAGGCCAGACAUAAGUUCAAUUGACACUGGCAGUUCUUUGUGUUGGGGAAAAAUUAGAUUUUUAAAUUUUUAUAAAACCUUUUGAAGAUCGCUCUCAUAUAAUAUAUAAGAAUUUGUAUUCUAGAAAUCGUACCUUGAAAAUUCGAGUUGGCUUUUUCCGCUGAAGUGAUUUAGGCUCCCAGAUCACGAUCCGCCAUCACCACUCCUGUUAGAUCACGAUCCGUCACCACCACGCUUGUUAGAUCACGAACUGUCACCAAUGAUCUUCCAGGUUAUGACUCAGGUUCGAUUUGCACUUGACGUGUGGGCGCCUUUAUCACUACCAAAGCAACUAGCACGAGAAAAUUUUUCUCUCAACAAUAGAGAGAAAAAUCUUAUUCUCUGAUCUGUAUAAAGUGGCUGCUCCUUUUUCUUUAGAGAAAAUAAGCCUUUUAUAUCACCCUUUAGUGAAAACCCUAGGCUCCAAAUAAUCAAAAAAUAAAACCCACGUUAUUUUCUUUUUCAAUAGGGGACCCACCUUGUAAAAUAACAUAAGGCCCCUUACACAAAAGCUAAUUAAAUGGAGCCUCCCACUAAAUGAUAUAUUUAGGCUUUUGACCCAAAUAGCUAGUUAUCUUACUUAUUAGUCCAGUAGUGGUGCAGUCAAUUAAAUGAGCUAAUCCGGGGAUCAUUUGGGAACAUACAAUACUGGCUACAAUAAUUAGGCCUGUAAUUAAACUAGCCCAAUUAUUUAAUUCCAAAUCUACUCCACUAAAAGAUUGGAACUGACUUCCAUAAUUGUAUACUCAAAUAAUAAUUCGUCCCAAGCCACAUUGAUUUCUUUACUGCACAAUCCUUUGUACCACAUCGUUAAUUAAAUUGAUAUCUCAACUGUCCAAUCAAUUUAAUAACAUCUUAUUCCUUGAUCAUUACUGGUUUUCUCUAAUGAUCAUUUUCAACAUACUAAAUAGUUGACACACUCUGGCUAGAGAAUUCUAUGAUCAAGUACCGAAAACCUAUCAAGAGAUGUGUUGUACAAAUUCUAUAUUGUUAAUCCAUAACUCCAAUACUCAUAAUUGCUCCCACCAAUAUACCGGGUAAUCUUGACCACAAGGAUGUGUCGUGCCCAUUGGUAACUCAAAUGAAAUAACAAUUACAAUCAUGAAAUCAUAAUUAACUCAAGAUUAAGAUUACAGUAAAAUCAACGCCUAUGAGAUUUAGUAAGUCUGACAGUUAUUACAAAGUUAAUUAAAUCUCAUAUGUGAUCUUGUUCAAUGUAGUCGUACUACAUCAAUAAAUUCAUACAUGAUUAAGACUAAUCAUUCAAUGAAUUUAUUACAGUCUAUACCUAAAUAAAGUGCCUAACUUUAUUUAUCAACUGCGAACUAAAUUUAUUUAAUCAUAAGAUAACUUGUAUUUAUGUCUUCUGUGAAUCCACAUGGUGAUCACAUAAAUACAUAUAAUAUGAUUAAAUGGACUUUAAUACAAAUAUUAAUGCAAUUAAGAUAUUUGAAUAAAAUACCUCAUUAAUUUUAGUAAUAAAAAAAAUAUUUAUUACAAUUAAAUAAACACAUAUGCUUUUAAAGAGCAUAUUUUCUCAACAAUCUCCCACUAGCUCUCAAAGCAUAUCUAGCAUAUUGCUCAUGCUCUAGGGCUCUAAGUGCAGGUUAUAAAGGUUUCCCACUAAUGGCCAUUGUAAUAAGAUCUGUCAUUUAGCAUCUAAUGCCAUUUGGGGUACUGUCAUAUAACCUUUCUACACUAUUCCCUUAUAAGAUGAUACUUCUUGUCAAUAUGUUUUGUUUCUUGUAGUUCCUUGGUUCCUUAGAUUGAGCUACCGCACCACCAUUAUCACAAAAUAGUUUAAGGGGUGCAGUUACAACAGGUACCACCUCAAGAUUACGUAGGAACUUACGGAGCCAUAUAACUUCUUUUGCAGCUUCAGAUGUAGCCACAUAUUCAGCUUUAGUUAUUAAGUCUGUGAUACAAGAUUGUUUCACACUCAUCCAACUAAUAGCUCCACUUCCUAAUAUAAACACAUAGUCGGAAGUUGAUUUUCUGGAAUCCUUAUCUAACAUAAAGUCAGAAUCAGUAUAACCCACUGGAAUGAGUUCAUCACCGGAAUACCCAAGCAUGUAAUUUUUAGUUCUUUUCAGAUACUUCAUUAUAUGCUUGACUGCAGUCCAGUAUUGAGGUCCAGGAUUAAAUUGAUAUCUGCUAACCAUCCCUACCACAAAACAGAUGUCUGGCAGUGCAAAGCAUGGCAUACAUGAGACUUCCCACAACUUCUGCACAGGGAACUCGUCUCAUUCUCUCUAUCUCUUCAGAUGUUUUAGGUGAUUGAUCCUUAGAGAAUGUAAUUCCAUGUCUGAAUGGUAAUAAACCAGUCUUGGAAUUUUCCAUGCUAAAUCUAGCCAAUAUCUUAUCGAUAUAGACCGCUUGAGACAAGGCUGAAGUUUUAUUCUUCCGGUCUCGUAGUAACUUGAUACCAAGAACAUAACUUAUCUCUCCCAGGUCUUUCAUAUUAAAUUGUUUUGCUAACCAAAUCUUUAUUGUAGUCAAUACUUUUAUAUCAUUUCCAAUCAGAAGAAUAUUGUCUACACAAAGAACUAGGAAGGCUACAAAAUUUCCCUGAAUUUUCUUGUACACACAUGGUUCAUCAAUGUUCUGAAUGAAUCCAAGCGAUUUAAUUGCUUGAUCAAAUCUGAUGUUCCAUGACCGGGAUGCUUGCUUCAAUCCAUAAAUGGAUCUCUACAACUUACAUACCAUGUGUUCUUGGCCUUUUUUGUAUAAAUCUAUCUGGUUGCUGCAUGUAGAUGUUUUCUUCAAGAUGCCUGUUAAGAAAGGCAGUCUUGACAUCCAUUUGCCAAAUUUCAUAAUCUAGCACUGCAGCAAUGGAGAGCAGAAUCCUGAUGGAUUUAAGCAUAGCAACCGGAGAAAAUGUUUCCUCAUAAUUGAUUCCUUCUUUCUGAGUAAACCCUUCGGCUACUAAUCUUGCUUUAAAUGUUUCCAACCUUUUGUCUACUCCUUUUUUUCUCUUAUAGAUCCACUUGCACCCUAUAGGUUUUACCCCAUUUGAUGCCUCUACAAGUUCCCAGACUUUAUUGGAAUACAUAGAUUCCAUUUUUUUAUUCAUGGCCUUUUUCAAAAAAUUCAACAUCUCUAUCUAUUAGAGCUUCGUUGUAACUAGUGGGAUCUUGUACAUGUUCAUCUGAGAUAGCUGUAUAGGUUUCUCCCAAAAGCAUGUAUCUCGCAGGUAACCUAGUUACCCUCCCACUACGACGAGGUUCUAAAAGUGAUGGUUGUUCAAGGAUAAUCCUGUGCUGAUCAGCUGGUUGUUGCUGUUCUUCCUGUUCUAUAACAGGUGUUGAAAGCUUAGCAUCAACCUGAUCUCUUUUAUUUCUCUAGUUUUACCUUAUUCUUAGGUUAUAAGUAAUUAUAUAGUCUUCCUCAAAGAAAGUAAAGAAUAUUUCUAUAAAUACAUUCCUAUCUUGAGGACUAUAAUUCAGACUUUUCCUUAUUCCUUUAAGAUACCUAAAACACGCAAGCUUCUGAACACGAAUCCAUCUUCUCUAUCUCUGGUUCUAGUAGAAAUACUAGUAAACUCCAAAUACGAAUGUGUCUCAAACCAUGUUUGUGACUUUUUCAUAAUUUCUUGGAGUAGUAGACACCAAGAUAGAUGAAACUAAGUUCAACAAAACUUUGUAGUUUCAAAUACUAGUAUCUGGAAUAAAAAAGGUAAAUGAUAAACCACUUAGUAUAUAUGUUGUCUUAUCCAAAAGAAUCUUGUUUCUCCAUUUAAUUAUACUAUUGUAUCAUAGUGUUCAUUGACAACCAAAUAGUGCUUGAAUUCUCCAUAGAGAUAUUCUUUGUUUCGAUCAUAUCGAAGUUCUUUUAUGUUCCUGUCUAAUUGCUUCUGUCUUAUCCACGUACUCUUUUGAAUUUCAAAAGCAAUGGAAUGAUGACGCAUUUAGACAAACAUAAAUAAAAUGAAUAUUCAUCAACAAGAUUGAUAGAAUACUCAUAACCUCUUAUAACAUGUAAACUGAUUAGUCCGUAUACAUUUGUAUGCGCUAAAUCAUCAAAUACAAUGUUAUGCUUUUAGCUCAAAAAGAGCAUCCUUGUCAUAUUACUUUUCUAAAUAAGAUUUAUAGAGUUACAAUGAUCAAUCUUAAUAGGCCAACAAGUCUAUCAUUAAUCAUUUUCUUAAAAUCUUAUUAUAGUUUAUAUGACUUAAGCAUAAAUAUCAGAGGUAAUUUUGGUUUGAAGAAACAUUUCUUUUCUUAGAUAAAUGCAUAUACUCUUUAUCAUUAUAUCUUACUUUGAAUAGAUCAAUGGACUUAUAUGAUAUAAAUUGUCUUUAUAAAUAAUCAAAAUAAAUAAUAAACAGAGGAUAAAAAAAUAACAGUGUACUCCUGUUUAUUAAAACAAGUCACCGAAAUUAAUAUUCCUCUAAUAAUUGAAAAAAUAAAGACAAAUAUCAAAACUUUAAGUCUUGUAAAAUUGAUCUAGCCUUUCAAUUGAUAUAAACUAGCAUGUCCUCAACUGCUAUUUGAAGCUUUAUUCACUUAAUCUCUUGGUUUCCUGAAAACCAAAUAAAUGAAUUACAAAUAAGAUUAGUUAUCUCAGAAUUCAUUAUUGUAUGAAUCAAUAGAAAUCUGAACUAAUUAGGAAGCUUAAAGAUUUCCUAUACUUGAUUUUAACAAUCUUAGGACAAUCUUUCUUCCAAUGACCCUUCUGUCCACAUUUGUAACACUUGCCUUUUGGCUUGCCACUUCUUUUAGUGGACAGUUUGCCGAUCCUAACUCUUGCUUGCUCAUUCUUGUCUUUCGACUUAAGCCUUGAAGAGAAUCAUUUUUCAGGAAGUUUUUUGCUAUGAUAAAAUUCUUCUAUAGCAUGUAGUUCGUGCAUUAAUUCAAUUAAGGUCAUAUCUUUAUUGUUUAAGAUAUAGCUGACCUUAAACUCUUUGAAUGUAUCAGGUAAAGAUUCAAUCACCAUGUUAAUCUUUGAUUUAUCAUUGAUUUGAACACCAUGAAUCUCUACCUCAUUCAAAUAGUCCAUCAUUUUGAGGACAUGAUCACAAACUUUUGUGCCCUCUUCCAUCUUAGUAUCCGUAAUACGUUUUAAUGUUGCUUCUCUGGCAAAAUGGGUAUUUUGCCCAAACAUCUGAUGAAGACUAGCCAUUAUUUCAGUGGCUGUUUCCAUGCUCUGAUGUUUCUUAUGCAGUUCCACAGAAAUCGAAGCCAAUAUAUAGCGCUUAGCCAUUUUGUUAGCUUCGCACCAUUUCUUAUAAGGCUCCCUCUGAUUUCUAUAAUCGUAUAACGAUGGUUCAGGAGGGCAAGGCUGGGUCAACACAUAUUUGCUUCCUUUAGCAGUGAGAAUAUUAAAUAGAUUGCGUUUCCAAUCUAAAUAAUUUUCGCCAGUGAGUUCAUUUUUAACAAGGAUAAUUAAUAAUGGGUUGAUGGAAGACAUUUUUUGAAAAAAAUAAAAUAAACAUGCAUAAAUACUUUGAAACAAUAUUCACAAUAAAUGACAAAAAUGCAAAAAACCAUAAAUGCAUUUUAAUUUAUUGUAACGAUAAUCUAGUACCGCUUUGACAAGCUAUCCGUUGGGGAAGUCAUGUCUACACUUACUAGACCCAAUUAUCCAUUAGAUUAUUUACUUUCAUGUAGAGACAUGAUAAAUAAUUAUCGUUAUCCCUCUGGGCCUAAAUUUGUUAACAGACAUUCGUUGGGAAGGUUAAUAACAAACUUUAGUUGAGUGUAUAACCAUUGUUUCAAUCUACGUAUUUUUCAUAUCAAUAGUCACCGUUGGGGUGAACAAUCGAUUGAAAAAUAUUUUGAUUUUAUCUUUGAAGAAGUUCAUCAAAUAAAAUAUCUAAUAUAUAUACCCUCCGAAGGGAGCAUCACCGUAUCAUGAAGUCGAGGUAUAUAUAUAAUUUUAUUAUUGAACUAACAAUGGAGCCCGUGGGAAAAUUAUCUUGAAUUUUCCCUCUCCCACUCAAUAUUUUAAAAUUGGUUUUUCCUUUUAAAACAUACAUAUUGUUAAUUGCAUGCUUCCUAUAAUAUUAUCUAGAUGAUAUCCAAUAUUAUUAAGCAUAGGCAAAUUUCAAACAAUAUAAUGAAAUUCAUAAUUAAUGAAUGACAUGUAUCAUUAUGCAUAGAGUGGCACUAUCUAUCCUAUAUGACAUGUUAUCAUGGCAUGUUAUCAUCCAAAACAUAACAUAUAGAAAAAACAAUUAAAUAAUCUUAAUUCAUGGCUUUCCUAAUAAUGAAAAAAUACAUUAACCCUAAGCCUAAUCUUCAUUGGGCUUCUUGUAAAUGUCCAUCUUCCAUAAUCUUGUUUUUGUUAAUGGACUAGGAGAAAUUAGGCUUUUAAAUUUAUAAUUGGUCCAAUUUUAAUUUGGAAAGAAAAUAAAUAAAUAAUUAAAAUAAAAAUUUAUUAAAAUAAAACUUUUAGACCAAAAAUAAAUUUAAUGUAUUCAAUUUUAUCUAUGCAUUUUAAUCCAUUAAACCCAAUUGAAAUUGGGCCUAAAACUAGGAUUCAUUAAGCCCAAAACUAUGUUUGAACUUAAAUGCAAAAAAUUAAAAUUUUUCUGCCAAAAUGAAAACUUAUGGAACCAUAGGGACCUCCAUAAUAAAAACCAUGAAACCCUAAAUCCAUAUUUUUCUUUCUUCUUUCCCCAACCGCCAUCUCCAAAAACCUCCAGCCACUGUUCACUAUUGCCACCGAUCUCCGACGCCGACGCCAAACCAACCGCUGCCGCCUGGCCGGAAAACGUGCCAAAACAUAUUGAAUGCAGAGUGGUUGUUGAUUCAAGUCUGGUUCAGCUAACUCUCUAAGAGUUCUUUCUACAGGUGCAGGUCUGUCCAUCACUUGUUUUUCUGAAUCGCUAGAUGAUUCAACUAAAUCAGGCAUUGUAUCUGUUUCAGAAAGCAAAGGCGACGAGGAUCGUUGCUUAGCUCGCUUCGUCUGCUGUCUCAGCUAGCGAGCUGUCUUCUCAAUUUCAGGAUCAAACGAAAGUGUACCUGUACGAGAAGAACGAACCAUACACCAAGUAAAACGUAAAAAGGAUUAAAUAAAUGACACCAAUCCCCGGCAACGGCGCCAAAAUUUGAUGGUUGCUGAAGCUAACAAAAAUAAAUUCCUACUCUAAAUAAAUUGUGUAUAGUGAUUGAGUAGGGUAGUGUCCACAGUGAUUGGUAAUUAUUUAAAUCCUUUUGAAACGUAAAACGUAAAAUGGGGGAAUUGUUGACAAUAAUAAAAAUCAAAUUAAAAUAACAAGAAUGCAAAUUAAAGUUGUAAUUCAAAUUAGAGAAAGCUCUGGUUGAAGGAAUUAACUCAGCUUGAUUCGACUACUGAUCAUUGAUUCAAAUAUAGAUUAUUAUUACUUAUGAAUAGACCGGUUAUAGCUACUGAGACCCUCUAAUAGCCAAUCUCUCCUUAACUAGUCGAUAACCAAGGUACAACCAUUGGUUAUUUCCCUAAUCAAUCGACAACCCUAGAUACGAUCAUAAGAUUUAAUCAAUUGACAGCCUGAAAAACCAGAGAGACCCAAAUCCUAAUCAACACAUAUGAUGAUUCAUUUAAAUUAGAUUGUUUAUUCUCACAACACAACUCACUGAUAUGUUAUUUGUCACAAACAUUAAAUUCUUCAUACGAUGAAUUCUUUAAUUGACAAUAGAUUAAGUUGAUAAUUAAAUAGUGGCCAAUUACCUAAUUAACAAACAUAAUCAUGAAAAUAAUUCAGAGAAUAAACAAAUACCCAAAAAGUAAUAAAACAAUCAAAGCACAAGAAAGAUCUCACAGUAGUGAUGAAUCAAAGCUGCAUUAACCUUCAACCAGAAAAAUAGGUUUAGUUCUUCAUAGAGAGAAGAGAAAAGUUUAGAUGUAGGGUUUCUUUUUCCUCUUCCAAAAGUCCCCCUUUUUCAUAAUAGAUUCCUCUCUUAAAUACUCUCUCUCUCUUCUCCUCUAGAAUUCUAUUUAAAAUAAAAUACUAAUAUCUGAAAUAUUAAAUUCGUAAUUACAAAAAUAACCAAAAAUACAAAACACGUUAAACUAAAAACUGUAGGUCCAUAGUUGACAGCACGCGCCCACGCCUUAUCAACAAAGUUCUUCUGACGCUCAUAAUUUCUCCAAGAGAACAAUCAUCUUUAAAUAUCAUCUUAUAGCUCAAUUUUAUCACAAAUCAAUAAAAUUGCACCUACAAAAGUAAAACACAAGUAAAUCAUCAUUAUUAAGUGCAAAACAUCGAUAUUAAGGGAAGUAAACAAUGCAAAACUAGUGCAUAAAUUGCACUCUAACAACUGGUCACAUUAGAAAGGCUUUAUCACUGACAUUGUUGCUAAAGCAAUCAAAUAUGAUGCUUCGACUACAUCAGUUUCCUAAACAUUAUAACAAAAAAUAAGUGGGGAAAAAAAUUAAAGAAAGAAAUUAUUGAUAAAACUAUGCAAAGAGUUAACUAGUUAAAUUAGUGAUCAUGAUCCCAAAAUUGCAAGUUUUCAACAUAACUGAACAUUUACUUGUGUUUUGUAAUAAUACAUGGCAUACAUCUGCUUCCUCCCACAAUCUAAUGCAGCUUCCAGGCUCCUGAGGGAAUUGCCUCAUAACAAUUUGUCUACCCCAUUUCUUGUAACUACUCACGCAUCCACAGUCCGCUGAAAUCAUCUACGGUUAAUAGAGGUUUUUCAAUAGGACUAACAAUUUUGAUAAUUGGGUCAAAAUCACAAUAUUUGAGAUUUUUUUUCACAUAAUCUCUUAGGGGUGUUCGCGGAUCGGAUUUUACAGAUUGGACAUCGAUCCAUAUCCGAUCCAUCAUUUUGUGGAUUAUAAUUUUUCAAUCCAAUCCAAUCCAUGGAUUGAUAAAAUUCAAUCCAAAUCCAAUCCAUAUAUCUGCAGAUCAGAUGCGGAUUUGACUCAAUUCAUAUCCAAUCCACACGUCUGCGGAUUGAAUGCAGAUUUGACUCAAUCCAUAUUCAAUCCAUCAUUUUGUACAUUAGUUUUCGAAUUAAAAAAUUUUAAUUCUCUCCAACUAAUGAAAUAAAAAAAAACUAAUAUAAAAAUAAUUUUGCUACCAAUUAAAUUUAAAAUUGAAUAAAAUUUAAAUAAAUUAAUUGUUUAAAUAAACCUAAAAUAAUACAUUUAAAAUUUCAAAAUAUAACGCAUCGAGACUAAUUAUUCAAAUAAAGCUACAACAAUACGUUCAAAGUUUCAAAAUAUAACAUACCAAGCUUAAUUGUUCAAAUAAAAUUACAAUAAUACGUUAAUAUAACACUGAAAUUAAUUAUUCAAAUAAAGCCAGAAUUAAUUGAAAUGGCGAAGUUUUGGAAACCAAACACAGUCUGAUCCUUUACCAGGGCUGUUGCUCCUGUCGAAAAGUGGUGAUUACGGAGCCGUCCAUGAUGGGAACUAGGAGAAGCCGUACAGGUGGUGAUCUUGAAGGUUGUGAUAGUGCAAUUGUUCAGCUGGAACCAGUGAAUGUGAAGUGGCUCGAUGGACUUGGGAAAGAAGAUGGCUUGCUCUUACCAGAAUCGCGCGGCUGAUGUCCUUCAAAUCUGUGUCGAGAGUGUAUCCAACCAGUAUUGAGUGUUGCUAGUGUGUGUAACAACAGGGAAGCUUAGGGUUUUUUGUUUGCAAAUUGUUGAUGAUUUGGCGUCAUGUUACUUUGUUUUUGGGUGACUUUGCAAAUUGUUAGUGACUUGGCGUCAUAUUAUUUUGUUUUUGGGUGACUUUGCAAAUUGUUGGUGACUUGGCGUUAUGUUACUUUACUUUUGCUAGUACAUGUGACUUUGUUUUUAUUUUGUUUUACAAUUUUUACAAGUUAUAUUUGUGUAUUUGAUUAUUUAAUUAUUUUUCAUUUUAUAUUAUUAUUAGGUAAUGGCUAAGAUAUGUUAUAGUGCUUAUGUAACUAUGUAAUCUCACAUUUAUAAUUUUUUAAAUUAAAUUAUAUAUAUAUAUAUAUAUUGACGGAUUCACGUAUUUUUGCGGAUUUACAGAAGUAAAUCCAUAUCCAAUCCAUCGACUGCGGAUUUUUAAAUUUUCAAUCCAUAUCCAAUCCACCAAUCCAUAGAUUGGAUUUAUACGGUUCAGAUUAAGCGGAUCAGAUUAGAUUCUGAACACCCCUCUAAUCUUUAUACUUCCCUCAUAGAAACAUGCAAUAUUGAGAAAUAUUCUUUUUUCUUUUUCUUUUGACCCAUCAAAACUUAUUUGAAGUACAUGAAGAAUCUCACUUUCAGGACCUCUUUGUAGUCAUUGUAGUGCACUUUCCUGUUCAGCUAUAGUUCUACCAAACAAAAAUGAGCCCAGAACCUUCAGAGCUAAUGGAAGACCACCAGCAUUAAGGGGAAAAAAAUAAAACUUUACAAAACUAAGUUUUUGGUUUUUAGUGAAUGAGGUUUCUCAUCUCAUCUCCACCUUAGGGGAAAAAAAAUAAAACUAAAACUAAACUAAAACUAAAAUUGAUCAAGAAUUGUAGACGCAAAUAUUUCUCAAAGACCAAAGUUUACCUGUACAAAAAUAUGAAACUUGAUAAUGGUUCUGUUUUGGAAAUAAAUGAUGUUUUUCUUCAUAUUACUUCUGAAAAUUCAAAAACAAAAAUGAAAAUAAAGAGAACUGCAUAGCAUAGGACUUACAGCUUCGAUAUGUUGCAAGCAGUAGAGGAAUUUUCUUAAUAAGAAUUCCGACCGCAAACAUUCUAAGCCCUAACAUCCAAUAUGUUUUAAAUAUCAACUACAUGUCAACGACGGGGAAUUCCAAGGAAUCUUCUAUUUAAAGAAUCAACCAUUGUCAAUUCUUAUAAACGAAGUCUUCAAAUUGACAUUGCGGCCUCUGUUGUUUAAAGGAAAAAAAAAUUCAGUAGUUGUCAAUUCCUAUCAACCAAGUCCUCCAACCAAAAUUACAUACGGGGGUGGAGAAAAGAAAAAUAAAAAUCAAAUGUUGAAUCCUCUUGAUUGUAUCAUGGAUAAAUCUGAUUUAGAUCUGAGUCCAUAUUUUAAUAGAUUCAUCGACCCAUUUUCAGACGUGCCAUGAAUUGUAAAUUAAGCCAAAUAUUCACAAAAAACAACAAAGAAACAAAAACCAGAUUCUGUGUUUAGCCGCAAAUGGGCUGUUUCACAGCCAAGCAAGAAAACAAAUGAAGAAAAUUAAUUGCUUUCCAGUGGUUCAAGAAUUAAUACCAUUAUUGAUUGCUUCGAGAGUGUGGGAUUUAUCCCACCAUUUCCGCCAAGCCCAUAGACGUUAUGUGGAUCAAAGCUCACAAUUCAGGAAAGUUUUUUUUGCCUUUAAUCUUUUAUCCUUACGCUUUAAUUUUUAUGUGAGCUUUGAUUAUCUUACAUUGGGGACAAUGUAAGUUCUUGGUGUGGGGGAGGGAUUUUUGCAUUAUUGAUGUCUGGAAGUAGUAUUUUCACUCUACUCAUCCUUAAAUGAUUUUGGAGUUAGUAUGCUUCAUAUAUUAUUAUUUUUUCUUUUCUUUUCUUUCUCACUACUCUUUUCCCAUCUAUCUCAAAUUAUUUACAUCUAUUUUUAUUUUAUCAUACUCUUUCAUCACUCACAUUUUAUCUUUCACUUUUCAUAUUAUUACAUACAUCUUUCUCACUUCUUAUCAUUUUUACCUUUCCUUUUAUAUAUCACUCAUACCUUCUUCUCAUUCUAUACCACUAUUGAUGAUUGAUUCAUUUGAAGAGUGUACAUGAUUUGAUGGCAAUUUUACCAACUUUGUGAGGAUUUAACCCUAUGAGCAACCACUUUGCUCUAAUAUUUUUGUUAUGUGAAUAUCAAUCUUAGUUUGUUUAUUCUAGAACUUGCUUUGUUAUGCAUGUUGAAGCCGCAUUACGGGAUUUUAUGCAUUAAAAUGAUAAGGGUAAACCCUUUUCCAUUUUUCUAUUCUCGCAUUUUUUUUUCUCUACCUGAAGACCUUUAUUUACUAUCUUUGUUUGAGCCUUAACCAUUACCCAUCUAAUUCUCUCCGUCUACUUAACCAUUUUUCUUCUUUUUGAGCCUCAAUUUAAGGAGAUUUUUGGACUCAUUGUGUGGAUAUAAUUUGUUGCUUUUCUACCUUGUAUUAAAGUUUCUCAAUUAGAUCAACAAGCAUUAUGCUUGAAUUAAAUUGUGCAAGGUUCGUUUCUUUUGUUUGAUUCGAAAAAAAAAUAAAAAAUAAAAAAAAAAGAAAAAAAAAAGAAAAAGAAAAAUUGAAAAAAAAGAUCAAAAAAAAUGUUUCCAUUCUUGGUGACUUGAAUAGAAAUAAGCAUUUUGAUAUCAUAAGUUCAUUCAAUGAGUUCAUUAUUCUCAUUUUGAUCUCUUUUUCUUUUGUAGACCUUUCUUUUUCAUUUAACCUAUUUAACCCCAUUACAACCUUUUUAAGACCCUUAGAUUUUUGCAUUUUAUUCAUAUUUUGUGGAUUGAGAUGUGAUAUAUGAGCAAGCUUAUGGUAAUAGCAUUCUUUGAUUUGAUUUGAGUGCAUAAAUGAUACCCUAAACACUUUGAGUGCAUGGAGUGAAGUCAUUGAGAGGGCUAUUAAAUCUUGUUGCACUUGAAUUUUGAAUGGAUCUUCUUGGUGGUUGAAUGUUCUUAUUCUAUCUUAUGAGAUUCUAUGCUUUAAAAAUCCUUGUCUCUCGAAUGUUGAUCGACUUAAUUUCUUGAGGUAUGCUUGCUUAAAAUUGUUUUUGGAUGAGUUGAGAUGAGAAUUGAGUGGAGAUUUGGGAUUAAUCUUGAGUUAUAUGCUUGAGGACAAGCAUCAUCUUGGUGUGGGGGAAUUUGUUAGAGUGCAAUUUAUGCACUAGUUUUCAUUAUUCACUUCUCUUAAUAUCGAUGUUUUGCACUUAAUAAUAGUUAUUUACUUGUGUUUUACUUUUAUAGGUGCAAUUUUAUUGAUUGGUAAUAAAAUUGAGCUAUAAGAUGAUGUUUAAGGAUGAUUGUUCUCUUGGAGAAAUUAUGAGUGUCAAAAGAACUUUGUUGAUAAGGCGUGGGCGCGUGCUGUCAACUGCGGACCUGCAGUUUUUAGUUUAACGUGUUUUAUAUUUUUGGUUAUUUUUGUAAUUACGAAUUUAAUAUUUCAGAUAUUAGUAUUUUAUUUUAAAUAGAAAUCUAAAAGAGAAGAGAGAGAGAGUAUUUAAGGGAGGAAUCUAUUGUGAAAAAAGGGGAGAUUGGAGAAAAAGAAAGAAACCCUAGAUCUAAACCUUUCUCUUCUCUCUAUGAAGAACUAAACCUAUUUUUCUGGUUGAAAGAUAAUGAAGCUUUGAUUCAUCACUAUUGUGAUGACUUUCUUAUGCUUUAAUUGUUUUAUUGCUUUUUGGGUAUUUGUUUAUUGUCUGAAUUAUUUUCAUGAUUAUGUUUGUUAAUUAGGUAAUUGGCCACUAUUUAAUUAUCAACUUAAUCUAUUGUCAAUUAAAGGAUUCAUCGUAUGAAGAUUUUAAUGUUUGUGACAAAUAACAUAGCAGUGAGUUGUGUUAUGAGAAUAAACAAUCUAAUUUAAAUGAAUCAUCGCAUGUGUUGAUUAGGAUUUGGGUCUCUCUGGUCUUUCAGGCUGUCAAUUGAUUAAAUCCUAUGAUCAUAUCUAGGGUUGUCUAUUGAUUAGGGAAAUAACUAACGGUCGUACCUUGGUUAUCGACUAGUUCAGGAGAGAUUGGCUAUUAGAGGGUCUUAGUAGCUAUAAUCGGUCUAUUCAUAAGUAAUAAUAAUCUAUAUUUGAAUUAAUGAUCAGUAGUCGAAUCAAGCUGAGUUAAUUCCUUCAACCAGAGCUUUCUCUAAUUUGAAUUACAACUUUAAUUUACAUUCUUGUUAUUUUAAUUUGAUUUUUAUUAUUGUCAACAAUUCCCCCAUUUUACGUUUUACGUUUCAAAAGGAUUUAAAUAAUUACCGAUCUCUGUGGACACGACCCUGCUCAAUCACUAUACACAAUUUAUUUAGAGUAAGUAUUUAUUUUUGUUGGCUUCGACAACCAUCAAAUUUUGGCGCCGUUGCCAGGGAUUGGUGUCAUUUAUUUAAUCCUUUUUACGUUUUCUUGGUGUAUGGUUCGUUCUUCUCAUACAGGUACACUUUCGUUUGAUCCUGAAAUUGAGAAGACAGCUCACCAGCUGAGACAGCAGACGAAGCGAGCUAAGCAACGAUCCUCGUCACCUUUGCUUUCUGAAAUAGAUACGGUGCCUGAUUUGGUUUAAUCAUCUAGCGAUUCAGAAGAACAAGUGAUGGAUAGAGCUGCACCUGUAGAAAAAACUCUUAGAGAGUUAGCUGAACUAGACUUGAAUCAGCAACCACUCUACAUUCAAUAUGUAGAUUUGGAGGUAAAUUUUGAAUUAAAGUCUGGUCUUAUUCAUUUAUUACCCAAGUUUCAUGGUUUUGCAGGUGAAGAUCCUCAUAAACAUCUCGAGGAGUUUCAUGUUGUAUGUUCAAGUAUGAGACCACAAGGCGUGACUGAAGAGCAGAUUAAGCUGCGUGCUUUUCCUUUCUCUUUAGAUGGACUAGCUAAAGACUGGUUGUACUACUUGCCUCCUGGAUCAAUUACAACAUGGAAUGGUUUGAAGAAGCAGUUUCUCGAGAAGUACUUUCCUGCUUCAAGAGCUGCCAACAUCAGAAAAGAUAUUUGUGGGAUCAGACAACUUCCUGGGGAAACUUUGUAUGAGUAUUGAGAGCGAUUCAAACAAUUGUGUGCCAGCUGUCCUCAGCAUCAGAUUUCUGAUCAACUUCUUAUUCAAUAUUUUUACGAAGGACUGUCAUUAAUGGAUAGGAGUAUGAUAGAUGCUGCUAGUGGAGGUGUGUUCGUGAACAAGACUCCAACUCAAGUAAGGGAGUUGAUCUCAAAUAUGGCUGCCAAUGCACAACAAUUUGGCAGCAGGCAAGAUGCCACUUCAAGAAUGGUGAAUGAGGUAAAUAUUUCUUCUGUUGAACAACGUUUAGAUAAACUUACUUCUCUUGUGGAAAAGUUUGUUUUAGGUAAUGUGCAACAGAUAAAGACUUGUGGCAUUUGUUCCAAUAUGGGUCAUUCAACUGAUAUGUGUCCUACACCUCAAGAAGAACCCGUUGAACAAGCCAAUGCAAUUGGAGGAUUUCCAGGCAUGCCUCAGAGGAGGUAUGAUCCUCAUGCACAAACAUACAAUCCGGGAUGGAAGGAUCACCCCAACUUCAGCUAUGGAGUUAGGCCGUAAGGAUUCCCACAACAGUAUCCACCAAGACAACCAGCACCUCCACAGUCAAACUCCAAGUUAGGUAUAUCUCUUAAAGAAAUUGUUAAAUCACUUGCGACUAACGCUCAACAAUUUUAGCAGCCAACCACAACAAGCAUUCAGAAUUUGGAGAGCAAAGUGAGUCAAUUGGCAACUACGAUGAGCCGUCUAGAGUCUCAAGUAUCAGGGAGAUUGCCUUUACAAUCUGAGGUGAAUCCAAAGCAAAACGCUAGUGCCAUCAUCCUUAGAAGUGGGAAGGAGUUGCAAGAGCCUAGUAAGAAAGUGACAAAGCAUGUAGAAGAUGAGCUUGAGAAGAAUGAAUUGAUGCCUAAAUCCAAAGAUGCACAACCCACCAGAGCGAAACCCCUACCUAUUGUGAUACCUCCUCCUUUUCCAAAUCAGUUUGCAAAAUCCAAGAAGGAGGAACAAGGGAAAGACAUCCUUGAGACAUUUCGCAAGGUUGAGGUAAACAUUCCCUUAUUAGAUGCUAUAAAACAAAUACCUCGAUAUGCUAAAUUCCUUAAGGAACUAUGCACCUCCAAGAGAAAAUUAAGAGGAGAUGAAAGAGUUCACAUGGGAGAGAAUGUUUCCGCAGUUCUCCAAAAGAAACUACCUCCUAAGUGCAAGGAUCUAGGUAUGUUUACUAUCUCUUGCAAAAUUGGUAGUGUUAGAGUUGAAAAGGCUAUGUUAGAUCUAAGAGCUUCAAUUAAUGUCAUGCCUCGUUCUAUUUAUUCAUCUUUGAAUGUUGGGGCAUUAAAAGAAACUGGCGUGAUAAUUCAACUAGCUGAUAGGUCUAAUACAUAUCGUGAUGGGGUAUUAGAGGAUAUCUUAGUACAAGUUAAUGAGUUGGUUUUUCCUGCUGAUUUUUAUGUACUUGAUAUGGAAGAGGAUAACUCCUCUAAUUCUAUCCCAAUUUUGCUAGGAAGACCUUUUCUUAACACUGCUAGAACUAAAAUGGAUGUACAUAAAGGGACUCUUACUAUGGAGUUUAAUGGAGAGGUUAUAGAGUUCAAUAUGUAUGAUGCUAUGAAAUAUCUCAGUGAGGAACAUUCGGUAUUUUCUAUGGAUGUUAUUAACCCUAUAGUGCAGGAAGUUUUUUAUUUGGAUGUUGAAGAUUCAUUGGUAGCUGCUUUAAAUAACAGUUUGGGCCUCGAAAGAUUGCAAAAGGAUGAAAAUGAGUUUGUUUUAAAUUCUGUAUUGCAAGAGACAAUUUAUGAAUUAAAUUCUUUGAGAACUUUAACUCAUCAUAUGUCUAAUAUUGAAUUACCUUCAUCUCAUGCAAAACUUCUUCCAUCUAAUUUGUAGGCACCGAAAAUAGAGCUUAAACCAUUGCCGAGUUAUCUAAAGUACAUGUUUCUAGGAGAGGAUGAGACACUUCCGGUGAUCAUCUCUUCAAAGCUUAGUACUUUAGAGGAAGAGAAACUUAUUAGAGUGCUGAAGGAUUACAAAAAGGCUAUUAGGUGGACAAUUACAGAUAUUAAAAGGAUAAGUCCGUCUAUGUGCAUGCAUAGAAUACUACUGGAGGAAGAUGCCAAACCUUUAAUUCAAGCUCAACGCCGUUUGAAUCCACUCAUAAUGGAAGUAGUGAAGAAAGAAAUUCUAAAACUUCUUGAUGCAGGUAUAAUCUAUCCAAUUUCGGAUAGCAAAUGGGUAAGUCCGGUACAAGUAGUACCAAAGAAAACUGGGAUAACAAUUAUUGAGAAUUCUUAUGGUGAGUUAGUACCUACCCGAGUUUAGAAUGGGUGGAAGGUUUGUAUUGAUUUUAGAAAGCUUGAUUCACUCACUAGGAAGGAUCAUUUUCCUAUUCCUUUUAUUGAUCAGAUGCUUGAAAGGUUAGCAGAAAAAUCUCACUUUUGUUGUCUUGAUGGCUAUUCAGGUUUUCAUCAGAUACCAGUUGCGCCCGAGGAUCAGGAGAGGACUGCCUUCACAUGUCCUUUUGGAACCUUUGCGUACCGACGUAUGCCAUUUGGUCUUUGUAACGCUCCCGCCACUUUUCAGAGGUGCAUGGUCAGUAUUUUUUCAGACUAUGUAGAAAACACUAUAGAGGUAUUUAUGGACGAUUUUAUGGUCUAUGCUGAUUCUUUCGAUGAUUGUCUCUGUAAUCUGAAGAAAGUGCUUGAAAGAUGCAUUGAAACAAACCUUGUCUUGAAUUAUGAAAAAUGUCAUUUUAUGGUAAAUUAAGGCAUUAUUUUGGGUCAUGUAGUCUAUGUUAGAGGAAUUGAGGUAAAUAAAGCUAAAAUAGAUGUUAUUAAAUCUUUACCUUAUCCCACAUGUGUGCGGGAAGUUCGUUCUUUCCUUGGUCAUGCAGGUUUCUAUAGACAAUUUAUCAAGGAUUUUUCGAAGAUAGCUCAGCCUUUAUGCAAGCUUCUUCAGAAAGAUGUGACGUUUGAUUUUAAUGAAGCAUGCAAGGUAGCAUUUGAUAAACUUAAGGAGUUAUUGACUUCAGCUCCAAUUAUACAGCCACCAGACUGGAGCCUCCCUUUUGAGAUAAUGUGCGACGCCAGUAAUUAUAUUAUUGGUGCUGUUCUCGAACAAAGGGUUGGAAGAGCUGCUCAUGUGAUAUAUUACGCAUCGAGAACACUUGAUAGUGCUCAAUGCAAUUACUCAACAAUGGAAAAAGAACUUUUAGCUAUUGUUUUUGCUUUAGAAAAAUUCCGUUCAUAUUUAUUGGGUACUAAAGUGAUUGUUUUUUCUGACCAUGUAGCUUUCAGAUAUUUGCUCACCAAGAAGGAAGCGAAACCGAGACUUAUUCGCUGGAUCCUACUGCUUCAAGAAUUCAACUUGGAGAUCCGUGACAAGAAAGGAACAGAAAACUUAGUUGCAGACCACCUUAGUAGAUUGAUCACGAGUGAAGAAGCAGCACCUUUGAAGGAUGAUUUUCCAGAUGAGCAUCUCUUUGUAACUCAAGGUAUGGUUCCUUGGUACGCUAACAUUGUCAAUUACUUAGUUACAAGAAUACUACCUAGUGAUCUGACGAGGGCUCAAAAAGAUAAAAUUAAGAGCGAUGCUAAAUACUAUGUUUGGGAUGACCCUUACUUGUGGAAACAUUACUCUGACCAAGUCAUCAGAAGGUGCGUAUCUGAGUUUGAAAUUCCUUUUAUUCUUCAGUUUUGUCACUCAUAUGCAUGUGGUGGUCAUUUUGGUCCCAAAAGGACAGCAUCCAAGGUGUUAGAAUGUGGUUUAUUUUGGCCUACUUUAUUUCGUGAUUCAUACAUGUUUUGUAAGUCGUGUGAGAAUUGUCAAAAGACUGGUAAUUUAAGUCAUAGAAAUCAAAUGCCACUUACCCCUAUUCUUGUAUGUGAAAUAUUUGAUAUGUGGGGCAUUGAUUUUAUGGGACAUUUUCCCUCAUCUUUUGGCAAUGCUUACAUUCUUUUAGCAGUGGAUUACGUUUCUAAGGGGGUAGAGGCUAAGGCCACCUGGACUGACAAUGCUAAAGUUGUUGUAGAUUUUGUCAAGUUUAAUAUUUUUGCCAGGUUUGGUGUACCGAGAGCGAUGAUAAGUGAUAGAGGCACUCAUUUCUGUAAUCGAGUGGUGGAAGCUUUGUUCAAAAGAUAUCAUGUUACCCACCGAGUGUCUACCGCCUAUCAUCCGCAGUCAAGUGAACAAGCUGAGAUAUCAAACAGAGAAAUCAAGUCUAUUCUUGAAAAGAUAGUUAGUCCAAAUCGAAAGGAUUGGAGUUUGCGAUUAGAUGAUGCAUUAUGGGCGUAUUGCAUGGCUUACAAAACUCCCAUAGGUAUGUCUCCUUAUCGUUUAGUAUUUGGUAAGCCUUGUCAUUUACCUGUAGAACUUGAGCACAGAGCAUACUGGGCAGUUAAGCAAUGCAAUAUGCGGAUGGAUGAAGCGGGAAAGCAAAGGAAGUUGCAGCUGCAAGAGUUGGAGGAGAUUAGAAAUGAAUCCUACGAGAGUUCGCGAUUUUACAAGAAAAAGACGAAGACAUUUCAUGACAGAAUAAUUUUGAGAAAGGAGUUCUCUGUUGGUCAAAAAGUUCUUCUUUUUCAUUUUAAACUUAAACUUUUUCCUAGUAAAUUACGUUCUCAUUGGGUAGGACCUUUUAUUGUUACUAAUGUUAUUCCUCAUGGUGCAGUUGAGAUUCGGACUCCAACCUCUGAUAAAGUCUUUAAGGUUAAUGGUCAUCGUUUAAAACCUUUUUAUGAAGGUUUUUCGGUGAAUAUUGUGGAGGAAAUGGCUCUCGAGAGUCCUAUUUAUGGAGAUUGAUGCAUAAAUGUGUCUAGCCAAAGACAUAAAACAAAGGCGCUUUUUGGGAGGCAACCCAAGUGAUUUGUUUAUUUUGGUUUUUGUUUUAUCUUCUUUUAGUUUUGAUUCAAAUAAAAAAAAAUUAAAUAAUGUGUUUGCUUAUUUUGGUCAGAAGAAAAUUUUUGAUAAGGCGUGCCCACGUGCUUAUUAGAAAAGUACUUUUGAAAUUUUUAGUGUCUCAAAGUGAUUCAUCACUAAAAAAAAAAAUAUUUUUUUUCCUUCUUUUCUUUCUUUUAUAUAUAUAUAUAUAUUUAUUUAUUUAUUUAAAAAAAUGAAAAAAAAAACAAAAAUCACAAAUCACAAAUCAUUGUUCACAAAUCCAUAAGUCAAAAAAAAAAAUUCAUUGUUGAUUAUCGUUUUCACCAGCAGCAGCCGCAUCAGUCCCACCUGCAACCACUAGCCCGCGCGCAGCAAGCCCCAGCCAUCACCAUCGCGCAGUGCAUCAGUCCCGCGUGCGCAACGCAGCCGAGCAGCAGCAGACGAGCACACCCCGCAACGCAGAUCCUCAGCUCCAGCCCCCGCGCGCAGUUCAAAUCAAUCCAGUCGUCACCAUCACGCAGCAGCACAGCCGCGGGCAACGCAAUGCAACCAGCAGCCCACGUGCGCCGCACAAUCAGUCCCACGCGCAACACAAGCCCCAGCAAAGCAACUAGCAUCACGCAACCCCCGCAACGCAGCACGAACCAACCAACUCCUAAGUGAUCUUUCUUUCCUAAAAAAUUAUAUGCUAAGAAUCGAUGCACACAUUUCAAAACAGGAUCACGUAAGAAAGAACUCUUUGAUUUACUCGGGUCAUAGGCAUUGUGAUCAACAGAUAAAUUACACCAAAGACCAUAAGGCUCAAAAUUUUCGCUAAAGUCACAAGUUGUUCCUAAAUAUGCAUCACUAGAAGAAUAAUAAUCAUCAAUGAAUCCUAAAGCUAGGUUAAAAUUCGUGAUAGAGUGUGAAAAAUUUCGUUCCAUUAACCUAAACUUUAUAACAUUCGGGAUAUGCAAAGUAAAAUCAUUCGGUAUAUUAAAUUGAAAAGUAGCAUAGAACUCCCUAAUCAACUCAACAUAACCCAAACAAUCAACAUCAACAAACUUACGCAAACCAAUCUUAUCUAUCAAAGAAUCAAAAUUAUCCUUAACAUUCAAUUUUUCAAGAGUCGGGUAAUGAAUAUACUUAGCUGGAAGUAUUUUUCGCUUGGAAAUAUCUUUAUACCUUUCUUUCUCUUGUUGAGUCGUGAAUGUGAGGCACCCUCCGAGAUUGGAUUCCGCAAGUGGCAAAACACUCAUGUCUUUUCCAUAUUUCGAUCUUUGUCUCACGGCUUGGCGUGAAUUUGAAACUGUAUUCCAUGGAACCGUAGUGGGAGUGGCAAUCUUGGAUUUCUUUGCGACGGGUGUCUUUUUAGAUGACUUGGAAGUUGAUGCUUUCCUCUUCGGCAUUGUUACAAUAAUUUCACUCACGGAUUUCGAUUCACCCGGUUGGAAUACAGGGCGUAGGCUGGUUGCGGACGAUUGUUGCUCGGUUGGAGCUUGGCGCGAUGGUGGAUUGCUGGUUGUGCGCUGGUGAUACUGGUUGAGUGCGGGAUGCUACGCGUUGGGGCUGAUUCUGAUGCGCGCUGCAGGGGCUGGUUCUGCUGCGGUAGUGACGCUGGUUGUGUUGCGUGCGCGGGCUGGAGCUGAUUCUGCUGCGCGCACGGGCUGCUGGAUUUGUGCGCUAGGGUUGAUUGCACGUGAGAGCUGGGCUGAUGCUGGUUCUGCGCGCUGCUAAGCAAAGGCUGGAUCUGCGCGCGCGGGUUGCUGCGUGGCUGCUCGGUGAAGGUUGGAGAAGAAAACCAAUUCUGUGAAUUAGGGAUUUUGUGAACAGUAAUUUUUUUUGUUUUUUUUUCAAAUAAUAUAUAUAUAUAUAUAUAAAAGAAAGAAAAGAAAGGAAAAAAACCUUUUUUUUCAUUUUUUUAAUUUUCAAAUAAAUAAAUAAUUUUUUUUUUUUAAUGAUGAAUCACUUUGAGACACAAAAAAAAUUUCAGAAGUACUUUUCUAAUAAGCAUGUGGGCACGCCUUAAAACCAUUUUACUUUAAAAAUCACAGAAGUACUUAUUAGUUAAGACGUGGGCACGCCUUAUCAAAAAUUUUCUUCUAGCCAAAAUAAGCAAACACAUUAUUUUUAAAAAAAAAUCUGAAUCAAAAUUAAAAGAAGAUAUAACAAAAACCAAAAUAAAUAAAUCAUUUAGGUUGCCUCCCAAAAAGCGCCUCUAUUUUAUGUUUUUGGCUAGACACAUUUAUGCAUCAAUCUCCAUAAUUAGGACUCUCGAGAGCCACAUCCUCCACAAUAUUCAUCGAAAAACCUUCAUAAAAAGGUUUUAAGCGAUGAUCAUUAACCUUAAAAACUUUGUCAGAGGUCGGACUCCGAAUCUCAACUGCACCAUGAGGAAAAAUAUUAGUAACAAUAAAAGGUCCAACCCAGGAAGAACGUAAUUUACCCAGAAAAAGUUUAAGCUUAGAAUGAAAAAGAAGAACUUUUUGACCAACAGAGAACUCCUUUCUCAAAAUCAUUCUAUCAUGAAAUGUCUUCGUUUUUUUCCUUGUAAAAAACUUCCUGCACUAUAGGGUUAAUAACAUCCACAAAAAAUACCGAAUGUUCCUCACUAGGAUAUUUCAUGGCAUCAUUCAUAUUGAAUUCUAUAACCUCUCCAUCAAACUCCAUAAUGAGAGUCCCUUUAUGUACAUCCAUUUUAGUCCUGCCAGUCUUAAGAAAUGGUCUUCCUAGCAAAAUUGGGACAGAAUUAGAGGAGUUAUCCUCUUCCAUAUCAAGUACAUAAAAAUCGGCAGGAAAAACCAACUCAAUAACUUGUACUAAGACAUCUUCUAAUACUCCAUCAGGAUAUGCAUUAGACCUAUCAGCUAGUUGAAUUAUCACGCCAGUUUCUUUUAAUGGACCAACAUUCAAAGAUGAAUAAAUGGAAUGAGGCAUGACAUUAAUAGAAGCUCUUAGAUCUAACAUAGCCUUUUCAACUCUAACACUACCAAUUUUACAAGGGAUAGUAAACAUACCUGGAUCCUUACACUUAGGAGGUAGUUUCUUUUGGAGAACUGCUGAAACAUUCUCCCCCAUGUGAACUUUUUCAUCUCCUCUUAAUUUUCUCUUGGAGGUGCACAGUUCCUUAAGGACUUUAGUAUAUCGAGGUAUUUGUUUUAUAGCAUCUAAUAAAGGAAUGUUUACCUCAACCUUGCGAAAUGUCUCAAGGAUGUCUUUCUCUUGUUCCUCCUUCUUGGAUUUUGCAAACCGGCUUGGAAAAGGAGGAGGUAUCACAAUAGGUAGGGGUUUUGCUCUGGUGGGUUGCGCAUCUUGAGAUUUAGGCAUCAAUUCAUUCUUUUCAAGCUCAUCUUCUACAUGCUUUGUCACUUUCUUACUAGGCUCUUGCAACUCUUUCGCACUUCUAAGGAUGACAACACUAACGUUUUGCUUUGGAUUCACCUCAGAUUGUGAAGGAAACCUCCCUAAUACUUGAGACUCCAGACGACUCACUGUAGUCGCCAAUUGACUCAUUUGGUUCUCUAAAUUCUGAAGGCUUGUUGUAGUUGCCUGCUGAAAUUGUUGAGUGUUAGUCGCAAGUGAUUUAACAAUUUCUUUAAGACAUAUACCUGACUUGGAGUUUGACUGUGGAGGUGCUGGUUGUCUUGGUGGAUACUGUUGUGGGAAUCCUAAUGGCCUAACUCCAUAGCUGAAGUUGGGGUGAUCCUUCCAUCCCGGAUUGUAUGUUUGUGCAUGAGGAUCAUACCUCCUCUGAGGCAUGCCUGGAAAUCCUCCAACUGCAUUGCUUGUUCAACGGGUUCUUCUUGAAGUGUAGGACACAUAUCAGUUGAAUGACCCAUAUUGUAACAAAUGCCACAAGUCUUCACUUGUUGCACAUUACCUACAACAAACUUUUCCACAAGAAAAGUAAGUUUAUCUAAACGUUGUUCAACAGAAGAAAUAUUUACCUCAUUCACCAUUUUUGAAGUGGAAUCUUGCCUGCUGCCAAAUUGUUGUGCAUUGGCAGCCAUAUUUGAGAUAAACUCCCUUGCUUGAGUAGGGGUCUUGUUCACCAACACGCCUCCACUAACAGCAUCUAUCAUACUCUUAUCCAUUAAUGAUAGUCCUUCAUAAAAUAUUGAAUAAGAAGUUGAUCAGAAAUCUGAUGCUGAGGACAGCUGGCACACAAUUGUUUGAAUCGCUCCCAAUACUCAUAUAAAGUCUCCCCAGGAAGUUGUCUGAUCCCACAAAUGUCUUUUCUGAUGUUGGCAGCUCUUAAAGCAGGAAAGUAUUUCUUAAGGAACUGCUUCUUCAAACCAUUCCAUGUUGUAAUCGAUCCAGGAGGCAAGUAGUACAACCAGUCUUUAGCUAGUCCAUCUAAAGAGAAAGGAAAAGCACGCAGCUUAAUCUGCUCUUCAGUCACGCCUUGUGGCCUCAUACUUGAACACACAACAUGAAACUCCUUGAGAUGUUUAUGAGGAUCUUCACCUACAAAACCAUGAAACUUGGGUAAUAAAUGAAUAAGACAGACUUUAAUUCAAAAUUUACCUCCAAGUCUACAUGUUGAAUGCAGAGUGGUUGCUGAUUCAAGUCUGGUUCAGCUAACUCUCUAAGAGUUCUUUCUACGUGUGCAGCUCUAUCCAUCACUUGUUCUUUUGAAUCGCUAGAUGAUUCAACUAAAUCAGACACCGUAUUUGUUUCAGAAAGCAAAGGCAACGAGGAUCGUUGCUUAGCUCGCUUCGUCUGUUGUCUCAGCUGGCGAGCUGUCUUCUCAAUUUCAGGAUCAAACGAAAGUGUACCUGUACAAGAAGAACGAACCAUACACCAAGUAAAACGUAAAAAGGAUUAAAUAAACGACACCAAUCCCCGGCAACGGCGCCAAACUUUGAUGGUUGUCGAAGUCAGCAAAAAUAAAUACCUACUCUAAAUAAAUUAUGUAUAGUGAUUGAGCAGGGUCGUGUCCAUAGAGAUCGGUAAUUAUUUAAAUCCUUUUAAAAUGUGAAACGUAAAAUGGGGGAAUUGUUGACAAUAAUAAAAAUCAAAUUAAAAUAACAAGAAUGCAAAUUAAAGUUGUAAUUCAAAUUGGAGAAAGCUCUGGUUGAAGGAAUUAACUCAGCUUGAUUCGACUACUAAUCAUUGAUUCAAAUAUAAAUUAUUACUACUUAUGAAUAGACCGAUUAUAGCUACUGAGACCCUCUAAUAGCCAAUCUCUCCUUAACUAGUCGAUAACCAAGGUACGACCAUUGGUUAUUUCCCUAAUCAAUAGACAACCAUAGAUACGAUCAUAGGAUUUAAUUAAUUGACAACCUCAAAAACCAAAGAGACCCAAAUCCUAAUCAACAAACACAUACGAUGGUUCAUUUAAAUUAGAUUGUUUAUUCUCACAACACAACUCUCUGCUAUGUUAUUUGUCACAAACAUUAAAAUCUUCAUACGAUGAAUCCUUUAAUUGACAAUAGAUUAAGUUGAUAAUUAAAUAGUGGCCAAUUAUCUAAUUAACAAACAUAAUCAUGAUAAUAAUUCAGAGAAUAAACAAAUACCCAAAAAGUAAUAAAACAGUUAAAGCAUAAGAAAGAUCUCAUAGUAGUGAUGAAUCAAAGCUUCAUUAACCUUCAACCAGAAUAAUAGGUUUAGUUCUUCAUAGAGAGAAGAGAAAAAUUUAGAUCUAGGGUUUCUCCCUUUUCUCCCCAAAAGUCCCUCUUUUUCACAAUAGAUUCCUCCCUUAAAUACUCUCUCUCUCUUCUCCUCUAGAAUUCUAUUUAAAAUAAAAUACUAAUAUCUGAAAUAUUAAAUUUGUAAUUACAAAAAUAACCAAAAAUAGAAAACACAUUAAACUAAAAACUGCAGGUCCGUAGUUGACAGCACGCACUCACGCCUUAUCAACAAAGUUCUUCUGACGCUCAUAAUUUCUCCAAGAGAACAAUCAUCCUUAAACAUCAUCUUGUAGCUCAAUUUUAUCACCAAUCAAUAAAAUUGUACCUACAAAAGUAAAACACAAGUAAAUCACUAUUAUUAAGUGCAAAACAUCGAUAUUAAGGGAAGUAAACAAUGCAAAACUAGUGCAUAAAUUGCACUCUAACACCUCUUGAUUGUAUCAUGGAUAAAUCUGAUUUAGAUCUGAGUCCAUAUUUUAACAGAUUCAUCAACCCAUUUUCAGACAUGCCAUGAAUUGUAAAUUAAGCCAAAUAUUCACAAAAAACAACAAAGAAACAAAAAACAGAUUCUGUGUUCAGCCGCAAAUGGGCUGUUUCACAGCCAAGCAAGAAAACAAAUGAAGAAAAUUAAUUGCUUUCCACUGGUUCAAGAAUUAAUACCAUUAUUGAUUGCUUCUCUAUUGGAAGAAAUAAUUUUGAAUAAAGCACAGCAUCAUUACUAUAAAUGUGAUGAUAAUUUUCAAUCAUCGGAAGAUGAUAAUUUCUUCAUACAUGCGUUCUAUGGCCUGACUCUGUUUUAUGUCUAAAACUCAAGAAAUUCGACAAUUCCUUUGUUCUACCACAUCGUUCAUUCAACAAUAAAUAAUCAGAUUCUGUCACGUAUAUUUUUAUUUAGAAAAUUGCAAAAAAGUUAGUCGCUAGAAAAACUAAUUGUAAUUGAUUAAAUAAACACUGGGCUUGUGCUCGCUAUAUUGAAUCAAAACAAUACAUAUUUAGUGAAGGAAUCUCAAAAUGUGCUCACUAGCUAUGACUCGUGUAGGACAAACAUUCACAAACUGACCUUGUUGAUUGAUUGCUUUUGCUUGGCAAAUCAUAGAGUUGAUGCAACACAUCAGGUGGGAUGCACGUUCCUUCGUGGGCAUAUUAUCCAACACGUCCUAGGCAUGAGAAUAAUACCAUAAUUCCUCAACAACUCCCCUCUUCAUCUGAUCAUAUUCAUAUAGAUAUUUGUCUUUCUUCCUAAAAUCCUCAAUCCAAGCUUGCCAAUUCAUUUAAUAAUAUAUUUAUAUUGAUUUUUAAAAUAUAAUACCAAAUUUGGGGUUACUAUGGUCAAGAAUAUAAUUUGGAGGGGGGGGGUGGGGAGCGCAAAAUGAAACACUUAAAGUCAAUUAUUAUGUGAUCACUUACAGUUGAUUAUUGAGGGAUUACAAACACUUAAUCCAUCCCAUCAACAACCAAAAAAAAAAAAAAAAAGAAAGAAAGAAAGAAAAGACUCAAGAGUAUUUGCAAAAGAUAAUUAUAAAGAGUGACUAUGGUCAACGGUGGAGAAUGGAAUCAAAGACAUUAUCAAAGGUAACAAAAGCUUCGAUCAUCUAAACACAGAGACUUUUCUUCAAGUAUAGUUAAAUAAUAAUUUAUAUUACUUAAUGAAACAAUAAGUAUUUAUGACAAAUAAGAUACAUGGAAUAAACCAACCUCUCCGCUUAUCAUUUUCUCUAUUGUGUUUUUUUUUUCCUCUGUCUCUCCUUCUUGUUGUUUAGUAGAUGACACAACAUUUCAUUUUGUUUAUUCAAUUUGCUGUUGGAGCAUCUUCCAGGAAAGUACAGAAAUGUAAAUAUACAGGUAAUAUUAUAUUUAUGAAUUAUUUAUAUGUACAGUACAUACUAAGUAACUAAAAUAAGACAAAUGAAAUAAUAAAAAUAUAAAUAUAAAUGAGAUAAGAUCAAAUAUAUGAUAUGAUGAUACUAAGUAAACAAUAUUGUUUAUGGUAGGCUAGUCAUUUGACCAGAUGAGAAAACCAUCUAAAACAUUAUUGCUGUAAUGUUAUACAUUAUGUACGAAACAGGAAUGUAAGCACAGUAGUAAUAUAAUGUUAUACAUAUCAAAAUUAUGUCUACAAAUAAAAAAUAAAUCGCUAGUCGGCGUCUCUGGUUCUGACGCAAUCAAUUUCAAUUUAAGCAUACCUCUGUUGACAACCUGAGUAUGCUUCAUGACAUUCGAACCAGAGCAGAGAAAAUCAACUGCAUAAAUAAUACAGGCCUAGUCACGACAUCGGGAGAGUAAACAAAUGGACUGCAUGGAGAUGCCCCAACUUGGCCAUGAUGCAAGUUGAACACUGACGGAGCUUGUAAGCGAACAGGAGCACCAAGUGCUGGAGUAAUUCGUGAUCACAAAGGGGCUUGGAUCUUUGGCUUCGGAAUGAAUACAGGGCAUUGCUCUGUUACGGUGGCUGAGUUAUGGGGUUUAUAUCAUGGUCUAAAACUGGCAUGGGAGCAUGGGAUAAAGUGGCUGGUGGUGGAAAUUGAUAGCCUAUGUGUCACUGAACUGGUUAGGAAGCCUGUGGAUACUGACAAUGAGUACACUUCCCUUCUUCAGCCUAUCGAGGAGGUUAUGCAGCGUAAUUGGAACAACAUUAUCAUUAACGAUGUCUACCGUGAGGCAGAUUUCACAGCAGACUAUCUCGCUAAUUAUGCUCUAUCUCUUCCUCUAGGUGUUCAUCAUCCUGCUAAUCCCCCACCUGGUGUGACUCCUCUUUUGUACCAUGACUUGUAUGGGGUGGCUUACCCGCGUUCUGUUUUAUUCUAGCUCUUUUUAGAGCCUCAUCAUAUCAAAAAAAUAAAUAAGUAAAAUUAUGAUAAAGAUAUGCGCGUAUGAGAUUAUUUUAGAGACUUUCGGGGUGUCAAAAACUUGACUCUUCUUGAUUAUGGAUUACAAGCUGUUCCGAACUUAGAAUCAAUAAAUUGAAUAGCUGUCGAGCACACUUGUAGAAAGAGUGACCCUAUGAGCACCCCUUUGUCAUUCUUAAAAAAACCCAACUUCAAAUACAACUAUAUAUAAGGAUAAAUAACAAUUAGUCAACCAAUUAGAUCUUUUUUCCUGCAAAUUAACUGUAUUCAUUAACGUCCCUUUUUUUUUUUUUUUAAUUUGUCAUGACUUCCUGCGUAUUGAAAUUAAAUUUUCUUAAAUUUAAAAUAUUCUAUUAUUCUUUUUGUAGUUCUUAUUGAUUGAAUAAUUUUUUUUAAUUACAGAUUACGUACAAUUAUAUUAUAAUUUAAAAUAUGUGUAAUUUAAUUCAAUAAAUUAUAAUUUAAAGUAUUUUAAAUUUAAGUCAAUGAUUAACAUUAAAAAAUUCAUCACCGAUAAAAUUUUUUAAUUCGUAUGUAGGAUUGAUUUGAAAUUAACAACACUGCUAAAAAAAGAAAGAAAGAAAGAAAUUAGAAGAGUGUAUAAAAAAAGGACAUUUUUUAAAUUAAAAGUAAGAAUAACCUUUUUUUUUUAAAAAAAAAAAGAGGUCUUACAAGGAUAUAAGAGGGGUGUCAAUAAUGCGACUCCGUGAAAAGAAUUAACAAGAAAAUAAUAAAAAAUAUUUUUACAAUUAACUCACACAUCUAUUGAAACAAGAACCUAAAACUUAAAGUCUUAGAAAAGCUUCGCGGUGAAGCUAGACCUCAACUUUGAUAAGAAAAUAAUAUUAAAAAUUAGAUGAGUGAUUAAAAAAGGGAUAUUUUGGGAGUUACCAAUAAGAAUAACUAGAAAAAAAAAGUAAUAAAAAAAGGUUUUAUGAAAAGAUCGGGGGGUCAAUAAUCCAGCGUAAAAAGAACAAAAGUAAAAAAAACUCAAAUUAAAUAAGCACAGCUAAAUUCAACGAACUCAUGAAGGCCCAAAAAAGUUCCAACAUCAAAAUAAAAGGGAUAAGAAUCACAAAUGUUCACAAUGAAGACAACCAUGAAUAUAUUUUUUUUUGGGUCAAAAAUCUUUUUGGUCAAAUAUGUGAUAUGAUCCUUGUACAGAAAAAUAUGUGAUAUGAUCUUCAUACAUAAAUGAUAAUUUUACUUCAUCAAAGUUCAUUUGUCAUUCAAUUUCAUUUUUCUCUAUAAAUUGUUAUAAUUUGUACAGUUUCUUUAAUUCGCAGCUUUUUGUGAGACUUAAAAUUGCUUUAAUUUGAAAUGUCAAAUCAGAAGGUGCUAGUGUUAUUCUAGGGUAAAAUCUAUGCAAAUUCAAUAAGAAUCUCAACAAGCGAAAAUCCAUAUCAGCUUCAUGUGCUGUAUAAUUUAGAAUAAGCUUAGUUGGCCUACUCAAAUAGAAAGAACAGUAGAAGCUGUACGCCAAAAGAGUGAAAAUAAUAAUAAUAAUAAUAAAAGAAUAUAUUUAACCAGAUUGCAAUGAGAUACUUAUUUUAUUGUUCACUCAUAGCAAUUUGUAUGCAAUUCAUCAAUUAUGACCCCAGUCCUCAGCCCUUUCAAGUGUACCCAAAAACUCGGACGUUUAAUAAUGGAUACAAAAUGACAGAAUGCUGCAAUGAAACGGAGAAACAAGUAAGAAUGCAAGACAGAGGACUAACUUUCCUUCUUUUUUUAAUUUUCAACUCGUGAGAAAUCCCAAAAUACAAAGCUUCAAUUUGGUCGAGCAACACAUUCUGAUUCUGACCAACUUCUGAAUCCAAGUAGAGCAUUUCUAGUAAUUUAACGUGAAAAUAAAUUGCAAGAUUAGAAUAAAUAAAAACUAAAUGAAAUACCAUGUGCAAAUUUAAAGAGCAUAAAUUGAAAUUGGGAUGUGUACUUACACUGUUACACUAGGCUUUGCCCUUCAUUUGAAUUGUCUAAAUCUUUUAGGUGGUGGUUCCUCAUCUUCAUCGCAGCAGCCACUGCCACUGGCUUCAGCUGUCCCAGCACUUUCUGCAAGGCCUCGCUUUGAUGUUGUGGCUACUUCCAUAUUAGAUCCAACAAAAUCGUGAGGGGAUUCAUACAGAUUAUAAGAAGUAAAAUGAGUCCACUGCUUUGUUGCUUGGUCCAACUCCUCAACUUCGUGCAUAUAAACUGGAUGGAAGCCACACCUCUUCACGUUCAAAUCAGUACCUCGCCGAUAUAGACCUUCUUCAAUAAAUGACAACUUAAAAUGAUUAGAUUCAAAAUUCCACUUAUCAUUGUAGCAUUCUUGUCGAGACAAAUAGAAUAGCCAAAGAUGGUCUGACCCAGCAUGACCGAAGUUCCCUCUAGAACGAAUAAAAUGACUGACAUUAGAACCAUCCAUGGAGCAGUGUAACUCAACUUGGGAAUACGAACGCCAUAAAUAGGUACCAGUUGAAUGCUUAGGGACAUGAAAAACACAGCAAAUAGCAUAUCCCACAACCUUAUUCAUAUUAUACAAAUAUGAAGGCCUUGUGACUGUUAUUGAAGAACCCUCAUUCUGAUACAUGAACCACUCUGGAAUUUCACUUCCUGGAACAACAAUGCUAAAUUUAUGGCUUGGAUCUGACACUGCCUGCAACAGAAAAACAAAAAAUGAACAGGUCCAUACCAUUGCUUAAUUGUCAGGCAUAAUCUUGGCAUAGCUGGAAGAAACGGAGUGAGAGACUGACCUCAAGGUACUCUCGUAGCAUCGAAAUUGCAAAACUGUUGUUCCCUGGCAAUUUCAAGCUAUCUAUACAAUUAAUCAUUGUGUGGUCGGACUUACCUAGUUUUAAAGCACCAGAUAAUGUCACCAAUGAAGAACAACCAUUCACUGUAACUACGUUUAUGCUAGAUGGAAGUUGUGGCAGAGAUUGAAGCCUUUUACAAUCUUCCAACUCUAGGUUUUUAAGAUUUAAAAGACCGUUAAUACUUGCUGGCAGCGUAACAAAUUUGUUUUUACUCAGAUACAACUCGUUUAAUGAGUGUAAGUUGCCAAUAUCACUCGGGAUUGCUCCUUCCCCUAGGCCACAGUCACUGAGAUCUAAUUUUGUUAAAGAGCACAAACCUGACAGAGAAGGCAACAUUAAAUCCACAGGACAUGAACUCUUUCCCAUCAAAUUGAAGGGAAGGAACAAAUGCCAUGAUGCAGCUGAUGGUGGCCCAUUGCACCCUAAAAAAGAGAGUGUUCUAAGAUUGUCCAUAAGAAAAAUGGAGGAUGGAGGUCGUCUUAUAGCUGUUCCGCUUAUAUCAAGUUCUUCCAAACUUUCUACUUGCCCAAGCGUCUCUGGCACAUUUUCAAGUUUGGAGCAGCCAGAGAGAUUCAAAGUUUUUAGUGAUUUCAAACCGUUUAUAUUGCUGGGAAGUCUCACGAGACUUUUGCAGUCAUUCAAAGUCAACUGAACAAGUCCAGAUAGAAGUUCAAUUGAUAGUGGCAGUUCUUUGAUAUCAGUUCCAUCCAAAAGAAGCUCCCGCAGACACUCCAUACUUCCCGCAACGUGUGGAAAUUUCCUCAAUUUCAAGCAACCAGAAAGAACAAGUGUUUUAAGCGAUUUCAUAAAAAUCUUUCCCGGAAGAGUUGUAAGACUUGUACAACCUUUCAAGUUCAACAAAAUCAGCUUAUUGUGAAGCAGUAAAGAUGGGUGAAUCUCACGUAACCUUGUACAUCCUUCAACAUCCAACUCCUCCAAAUUUGGGACCUCUGUGAAGUCUGGAGUCUUAAUCAGAUUCUCUGAAUGGCUGAGUUCCAUGACUUUCAACAUGUUUAAAGGCUGUUGAAAACAAAAAGGAGCUGAAAUGAUAUUUCUUAAUUUAUAUACAGCUAUAAUAAUAAAAUUGUCAUCAACAAUUAUUCACUAAAAAAAUAAAUUAGUGACAAAACAUUGAUCUUACUUUGAUUCCUUUCCAUAAUUCUUCAAUGCAGCUGUAACACAUUUUAAACUCCACAGUUUUAUCCAAUUGCAAAUUUGAUGGCAAAGAUUUCCAAGGAUAUCCAUGCCAAUCAAGUAACCGCAACUUGUUAGAGAGGUGUUCAAGGCCUUGAGGAAGUUGCAGACCACAGAUUUUGAGCAAUCGUAGGUUGGUCAUCUUUGAAAAUGCUUUCGGACUAGCACUUAAAUAAACCUUAUCUUGGAGAAAGUAAUAAUCAUCAAGUAUUAUUCCUUCAACUACUUCAGUUCCCUAAAUAUUAUCAACAAAAUAGUUCAUUAGAGAUUUUACUGGGUAAAAGAAAAAAAAUUUUCCGAUCCCCUUUAUUAGUCACUUACUGUGUUUUGUGACAAUACAUGGCAUAGGUCUGCUUCCUCCCACAAUCUGCUGCGUUUUCCAGGCUCCCGUGGGGACUGCCUCCUAACAAUUUGUCGACCCAUUUCUAGUAACAAAUCAUGCAUCCAUAGUCUGUCGCUCUCACAUAUUGUUAAUAGAGAUUUUUCAAUAAGAACACCAAUGCCAAUUACCGGUUCAAAACCACAGCUAUCGAGAAUUUUUGACACGUAAUCUCUCUUCUCCCCUUUAAAGAAACACGCAACAUCGAGAAAUAUUUCCUUCUCUGCUUCCUUCAAGCCAUCAAAACUUAUCUGGAGUAUAUCUAGAAUCUCAUUUUCAGGUUCUCUUUUUAGUCUUUCCAAGGUACUUGUCCACUCGUCCACAGGUCUACCAAACAAAAAAGAACCCAAAACCUUGAGAGCUAAUGGAAGACCACCAGCAUAAUUUACAACAAGUUGAGAUAGAUGAACAUAUUCUUCCCUGGGCUUCUGUGUUUCAAAGGCUUUCAAACAAAAGAGUUGGAGUGCCUCAUCAUAAGUUAGUGCCUCAAGCUUAAAAACUUCCUCGACUCGAUGCAACUUCAACAAAUGUUCAUCCCUCGUUGUUAUUAUGAUUCUGCUGCCCGGGCCAAACCAAUCGCGCUUUCCAGCUAAUCUUCGUAGUUGCUCAACAUGAGCGACAUCAUCGAUCACGAGAAGGACCUUUUUUUGUCGCAACCUACGUCCUAUCAUGUUAAUACCGUCAUAGACAUUUCGUAUGUUAUUAUCCGCAAGCUUCAGUAAAUCAGAAAUGAGCUGCUUUUGCAAAGAGAUUACACUGCCUUCUUUAUCAUAUUUUUCUUUAACAUCAGCAAGAAAACUACUACCAUCAAACUCGUGGGAGAUCAAGUCAUAAACAACUCUUGCAAGAGUUGUCUUUCCUAGACCUCCCAUACCCCAUAUCCCUAUCAUACGAACAUCAUUGCACCCUGCACCCAUAAGAAACUUCAGUUUCUCCAAGCGUGAUUCUAUUCCUACUAGCUCCUUAAGAAUCUCUGACUCUGUACGAAUUUUACUUGAUAUCACAUUGACAAUUUCCUCAAUAAAUUCUGACUCAUUGCUGCAAAUUGAAAACAACAAGAGAAGAUUACUGUUGUUAAAUUAAAGUUUGGGUAAACAUAGUAACAAAUCAAUUCCAUAUUAUGUAUACAAUCCAAACUAUAUAAUAUUCACUUCAUCAAAUUGAAGUCGUAUAAGCAAGUAACAUAUAUUAUCGCGUGGGUCAGAAACAACAAGAAUGAGAAAAUUCAAUUUCUUUUGCUGUUUUCUUCUCAUGUACAUAUUAUUUCUUUCUGUAGGAGGAUAAAUUAGAUUAAAAGAGAAUUUAUAUCAAUUUUUUAUAAGAACAAUUAUUGCUCACAUGAAAUCAAUUAGAUGAUGAUGAUAAAUGUCCCAAAUGAUGUGUCAUUUAAUAAGUGGUUGAUAAUUCUUUAGAAGAUUCGAGUGAGUUAAUUAUAUUAUUUCAAGAACUAAUUGAUGGACGUCACAUCAUUUUGGGAUGGUUUUUUGAAAUAAAAAAUUUGAGAUGUGUAGCACUACAAUUAGCUAAAUAUGUAAUGAUAUUGAUGGUAGCAUUGGGCUUGCGAUUAUUGUCAUUGUUAUUAUUAACAGUUACUAAAGAGUCAAUCUAAGAGUAAUGUUUUAUUUUUAUUUUUUAGAUGUGAUUAAUAGAGCACAAAGCAACACAAGAUACAUAUGUAUAGUCUUCAAUAGUUCAGAACACAAUAAUUUAUAGUAUCAACAUCCAUAUCUAUUCAUUUGCAAAUAUUAAUUCAUUUAUAGCACUACUACUUUAAUAACGACACAUCAUAUGAUAUAUAUACAUAUUAAACAGAAGCUGUUAAAUUGAAAACAAUGUUGAAUCAUGAAUACUAAUCAUGCAGAACAAAAUAAUAAUAAUAAUAAUAAUAAUAUUUGAGAAUAAGAAUGAUUACCUGUCCUUCAAUUCCCAACCUGAUAUAUUGGCCACCACUUUUAAAGCGUGUCUCCACUUUUGUACUUUUUCUAUAUUAUCCCUGAAAAAUUCUUCGUGUUUGGUAAAAGCUUCUCCAAAACUUGUUGUCUGUUUCCUUACAACAGUUGGUUCCACAUCAUAGAAAAUUGGAAAAAUCUGAUCCUCUCUAUUUUUGUAUUCAACAAUCUUGACAAGUUCAUCCAAGCACCAAGUGGAAGAAGCAUAGUUUCUUGAGAGAACAAUAAUUGAAAUUCUUGAUUCUUCAAUUGCUUUAAGGAGAUUUGGUGCAAUGGAUCCUCCUUUCUCAAGUUGUUUGUCAUCCCUGAAUACAUAAAUUCCUUUAUCGUUCAAAGCAGUAUAGAGAUGACUUAUGAACGUUUGACGGGUGUCUUCUCCUCUAAAGCUUAAGAAGGCAUCGUAUUUCCUAUGAGAGACAUCUUGGCAGCUCGUGGAAGCCAUUAUAUUAAUUUGUUCCUGAAAAUUUAGAAUAAAUCAAGUGAAAUCCAGUGAACGCACAAUACCAUGCAAACAAUAAGAUUCAUUCAAAAUUAUGGGCAUCACAAAAAUGAAAAUUUUAUAAAUUAUAUAUAAAUUCUACUUUUUUUGACAACCUACACAGUAACUCGUAUGAAUAGUGACUCUAAAUAGUAUUGCAUGAACAAUAUUGUAUAAACAGUAAUCCGUGAACAGUAAUUUCAGGAUUAAUUAAUUAGAAAAAUUAAUAUAUCUACCGUUUUAAUUUGUUUAUGCUGAUUAAAAUAGAUCUAAAUUCUUUACACAUGAUAAACCCCAAAAUGUAAUAUAAAUUUUUUCUAGAUGCUAAUCGGGGAGUGUGCACACCAAUCUCUGCUUAAGCAAAUCUUGAUUAUAGCCUCUAAAAGAAAGCAGAGUGUUUGUACGAAAUUAACAUUCAAAGAUUUCUUUCAAUUUUUACAUUUUUUUCUUUUACAUCAAGAUGUGCAAAAUUAAUUCUGAAAAUAAAAGAGAGAGAUUUAUGAGAUAGAACUUACAGCUUUUGAGUGUAUUGCAGGAAGCCCUUAAAUGAAUUCCAAUGCAGUAUUAUUAUUAUUAUUACCACAACUCCGAUGCAGUGUUUGAUUCAAAGAAUUUAUUCAUGUAAAUAUCCUUUGGGAAAAAAUAAAUUAAGCAAUAGGAGUUGUGUUGUUGUCAAAAAGUGGCCUCUUUAAUAAUCAAUAAAUGUUGUCACUGCUUACUCAGACGAUGAACUUAGCAUCGAACUUCCUGGAAGCUUCAAGGAAUCUAAACGAAAAUUAUCAGGCUUUUCAAUUGUAUACGCAUCUUUGCCAUUCUGCCCAUUAGCCGUGUUGAAACCAUUGGAUUCCAUAUUUCCAUUAAAAUGGAGUGGAAUCCAACGGUUGAUAUUAAUAACUAAUUAAAAAUAUUAAAAUUAUCAGCAAUCUAUAGGAAUUAAUGGUAAACAUAAUGAUCUUUAUUACUGAAACUUUAAUGGAGUCCAGCCAGGUGGGAAUCAAUAUGCUUUUUACUGUUUGAAUUUGAUUUUAAGUAGCAAAUAGCUUCUUUUUUUUCAACUUUUAUGUUUGAACUUGUUUCAUUUUUAGUUUUAAUCAAUUCGAUUGACCCAGCACAAUGAUUUAAGGAUAAGAUUGGGUUGGGUUGAACAUAUUUAUUUGAUUGGUUGGUUUGAUUUUUUUUAAACUAAUCAAUAGUGGGUGGGUUGGAUGACCACCCUUACAGAAAGAAAAAUUAAAGUUCUUUAUCAUAGAAAUAUGCAAAAUCCAUACACUUAAAAAAAAUUAUGCUAAACUGUAAUUACUGUUUAAAAGCUUCCAGUGAAAAUUGAUUUAACUUAUAAAAUCUGCGUUGUGUAUAACACAGCCUGAUCAACAAAUAUUGUCAAAUGUUAUUUAUCGAGAUCCAAAGAAAAAAUUUACAAACCUGAAGAUUCAUCGAGACUUACGAAAUUCAAGGAGAUAAAAAUUAUUAAUUAUUAGUGUUAAAAAAGAGAAAAUAGAGAGAAAGAGAAAAAUAAUGUAACAUAAUUACUUUAAUAAUUUCUUUUAACAUAAAAUUAUUGAACAACAAAUUAAUGAUCUUCUUCUUAACUAAACAAACUAAUUGACAGCCUCUCAUUUACUUCCAAAAUACAAUAAAAAAGUUUUUCAGAUGAUGAUUGGAGAGCGUGUUUGCCGACUUUUACUUAAGCAAAUCUUAAUUAGAGCCUCAAAAUGAAGCAAAUCAAGGAGUUGAUACAUAACAAAUUAAAUUACCAUUCAAAGCUUUCUUCCAAUUUUAUUUAUUUCCUUUUUUAAACAUCCAGGAUGUGCAAAUUAAUUCUGAGGAUAAAAGAGAAAUGUAUAAAAUAAAACUUACAGCUUUGAGUGUGUUGAACGAAGCCACCUAAUUGAUCUGAUCAACUCCAAUGAAGUGUCUUGAUUCAAAGGAAAGAAGUUAAUCUCAGGCAAAUAUGUUUCUUUUGGAAACAAAAAUGCAACUUCCAGCUGCCCCAGAUUAAUUUAUAUGUAUUCCAAAAGCAAGUCUUGGUCAUCUCAGAAAGUGGGGGUGAAAAAAGCAAAAAAGCGAAAGGAAUCUAAAUUCUAAAGGUUAUACUUUUUAACUACUUCAUUACCUCAUAGGGGCGAAAAAAAGAAAAAAAUUAGAGAGGUGUGAUUAGAUUUAAACGGGGUGUAUUUUGCAUGCCGCGCUAAAAGCUUAUAGUUGAGAGAAUAAAACUCUUUUUAUGUUUUUUUAAAGUUAUUUAUAAGAUAAGGUAAUUUUGCAUCCUUCUAAACUUAUUCGGCAAUAACCCCAAAUGAUCUUUAAGUAUAAGAAGUAAAGUUUAAAACUAGAUAAAGUAUGUAUAAAACUGAAAAUUAAUUCUAAUUUUAUUCAUAUACCAUAUAUGUCUAGUAAUAUAAAAAUAACUUUUAUUUUAUUUUGGCUUGAUCUACAUUUUUAAAAAAAAUUAAUUUUUCUGUGUAGUAAACAAAUAUUAUGAUAGAAAAUGAAAAAAAUUAUAAAUUUCCAAGGAUAAAUAUAGAAUUCAUGUUUAAAUCAAUUCAAUAAAAUUUAUUCUGAUUAUUUAAAUACAGUUUUUUUUCAGUUAAUGAGUGAUUUUUUUGGCUUGAUUAGUGAUUUUUUUUGCAUAAUUAAUAAAUAAAUCAACUAUUUUCUAGUCUAGUUAACGUUUAAUGUUGUUUUAUAAGUUUUAUAUUAUUUUUACAAGUAUUUUUAAUUUUUAAUUUUAAAACAUCAAUUUACCACUUUUAUAUUGAUUUAUUUAUUUUACUUUUUAUUUACUAGCCAUAUGUAUAAAUUAUAAAAAUUGCUGACUCUAAUUUGUAUGCUUAUUGCUAGUAAUCCACCUCUGCUGUUGGCGGUAACUAGUUAGGAAUUCCAUGAACAAAUUUCACAAAAGGUUUGAACAAAUUUCACAAAUUUUCCAAAAAUGUAGAAGUCCCUCUAGUUCAUUUCCAUUCCCUCUUUUCUAUUUUAAGAAGUAUACACUACGGAUCAUUCUAAUUGCGAAUUUCGAUUCUUAAGUCCCAUGAGUAAAAGCACCAUUAAUGUAGGUCACGAGAGUAACCAGAGUGGUAAAAGGCCGGUAAAGACAACUGUUAGGAAAAGAAUUACAGCAAAUUGGCCGAAACUUAUUACUGACAACUAAUUGUAUUUGUAUACGAAACAAAGUGUUCCAUGCAAGUACGGGGUUGGAUUAGACUUACCCAAGAGUUUAAAAAAUAAUUAAUUAAGUGUUCUCACAGUAUGUAAUACUUUUCUAAAAUAGAUUUGGGUUAAAACACUGUCUUUGGUCUUAAUUUCAAUGCGGAAAAAAAUUUCACACUUUCAAAAGAAAAAAAGAAAUAAUUUGAAAGACAGUGAAGCAAUUAGCUAGUUACAAAUAUCAUAAACAUGUAAGUUGAGCAAUUAGUUUGGAUUCGCAACAAGCACUCGUCGCCUUUCUCAUGCCAAGAAUCUAUUUUGUCAGUCCCAAGUACUUCAUUGCAAACGACUUGCUAAGCUCCCUCAUCAGAUUGCCAAUCUUACUAGCAUCCUGGCCAACAAUUAACAUGUCAUCCACGUAAAGCAAAAGGAUAAUAAAACCAUUAUCACUAAACCUCUUCACAAAAACACAAUGAUCGCACGUAGUCUUGUUGAAAUCACGAUUCUCCAUGAAAGAAUCCAACUUCUUAUACAACUGUCUUGGUGCUUGUUUCAGUCAAUACAAACUUUUCUUCAACUUGCACACAAGUUCUUCUUUACCUUUGACACUGAAUCCUUCAGGUUGCUCUAUGUAUAUUUCCUCCUCCAAGUCACCGUGUAAGAAAGUUAUCUUUACAUCGAGCUGUUAAAUUUCGAAGUUCAAGCUAAUUGCUAGUCCCAGAACAACUCCGAUAGAAGACAUCUUUACCAUAGGAGAAAGUAUUUCUUCAAAAUCAAUACCUACCUUUCUUCUGACCAAAACCCUUCACAACCAAUUUAGCCUUAUAUCGCUGCUGUGAGUUGUUUUCAGUCUUCAACCUAUAAACCCACUUGUUCUUCAGUGCUCUCUUUCCCUUAGGAAGCUUCACUAAGUCAUAAGUGUGGUUCUCAUUUAAGGAUUUCAUCUCUUCUUGUAUGGUUUUAACCCACUCACUAUUAUGCUGGUGAGACAUGGCUUUUUCAAAACAUUUUGGCUCCCUUACAUCUGUAAGCAUCACAUACUUAUGUGGAGGAUAUCUAGUAGAAGGUCACCGUUCUCUAAUAGAUUUUCUCAAUUAUGGCUCAACUGGUGGUGUUGGUGGUUCUAGAGGUGCCUGGUCAACUGUUUUUGCUGGCAAACCAAGCAAAUUUAUUUGGACUUUGGGCUUUGGGGCCCCCAAAUGAGAUGAACCUAACAAGUGGAAUCCGUGCUAGCAGCUUGAGCUUCUGAUUUUCCUGCCAAAACCAAAACUCCGGACUUUAUGAAUUUGAAUCAUUCUUCGUCAAUUAAGGCUUGUAAGUUUUGCUUGAAUUUGAAGUAGUCAUGCAAAACGGAGAAACUUUGCGAAAGUGAAUGUGCAUGGAAAUGGAUCUGCGCCAAAAGUAAAGCCAAGCAUUCAAGCAUGAUAAAAUUAAGAUCAUGUUAUUAGAGAACCUACUAUCAAAACUGAACCUGUGAUCGAGCCAAAAGAAGUGGCCACAUAAGAUUUGAAUUUGCUAUUAUUUGAUUUAACUUUUUCAGUUGUUAAUUGUAGGACUGGUAAGAAUCUGAGCCUAAGUUUCCUCGACCAGUUAUGCUUUUCAUUACUUGCUAACCUUAUCAACAUUCUUGUUCCAUGAGUCUAAUAACAUUAUGUUGAACAACACCGAAAGCAAUUCACAUAGAAGUAAUUGUUGAAAAACUGAGGAUGAUUAAAUUGUUCAAAACUAAAAUUAUGUGGGCAACAGAAGAAUUUUACUAAAAUGAAGGACUUCAUUGAUAUUAUUUACCCUACCACAAUUUGAAAAUGAGGAAUGGAAGACUCAUUCUAAGGAGGAGGUAGUAGUGAGUCUCUUAUUUGCUGGAUUGAUCAUUUUACCCCUCUCCAAAAAUCAAAAUGUUCAUUUUAUCCUCAUUUAUGAUUAAUUAAUAUAUUAUUAUAAUUAAUUAUUAACAAUAAUUAUUAAUAGUACUUAUAUUUAAUUAAUAAUAAUUAUAAAAUAUUACUAUAAUUGAAGAAUUAAUAUAGUUAUUAUUAUUAAUUAAUAUAUUAAUUAUUAUUAACAAUAAUUGUUAAUAGUUAUAAUUUUUAAUAAAUAAUCACAAUAAUUAAUAUUUAUUAUUAAUUAAUAUAUUUUAUAAUUAGUAUAUAAAUAUAAUUAAAUUAUGUAUUAUUAACAAUAAUUAAUAAUAAUAAUAAUCAUCAUCAUCAUUUUUAAUAAAUAAUCGCUAUAAUUAAAAUAUAAAAUAAUAAUGAUGAGAAUAGUUCAUUAUGUACUUUAUAGUAAUAUGUUACAAUGUAACUCAUUCUAAUUCUAAUUCAAAGACAAAGUAAAUACAUUAAUGGCAAUUCAGCUCAUUCCGAUUCUAAUUCCUGCAGUUCAAGUAAAAAACGUAUUUUAAUUCCCAUUAUCCAUACUCAUUUCAGCUCAUCCCAUUCUUACUCAUUCUAAUUUCAGCCCAUUCCGAUUCCAAUUUAGUAAACGCAAUAUAAAAUGGAUUGGAAUCCAAUGGUUGAUAUUAAUAAUUAAUUAAAAGUAGUUAAAACUAUUGACAAUCUACAGGAAUGGUAACUUUUAUUCGUUAGAUUUCAGUUGGGUCCUUACAAGAUAUUGGAUCAUUUUGGUAAUAUUAUAGUUUUUAAAAUAAUUACUAUUAAUUGUAUUAUAGAAAUAAUCAACUAUAAAGAUAACCAAUUAAACGUUUGAUGCAAUUUUCAAAAGUUCUAUGAAUUUUAAAAACAAUUGUAUGCGUUUUGUAAAUCUUACUAUUAAAUUAUAAUAAUAUUAUAAAUAACAUGAAUGUAAAUGAUUGUAAGUGAACAUAAUUUUGAAUAAAAUUUAUUUACAUAUUUAUAAUAUGCAUAUAAAUUAUUUUUUAUUGUGUAUAUAUAAUAAUUGAUAUUUAAAGUAAAUAUUUUUAUUAUUAAUUUUAUUUUUUAUUUCGCUAUCUCAAUAUAAUUAGUAAUAAUAAUAAUCUCUUUAAAGUUAAUGAUUUACUUUCCUAGUUAGUAAGGAUAAUUCAAUAGAAUAAAUUUAAAAAUCAAUUUAUGGUAAUGAAAAUAAAUAUGCAAAAUAAAUGAAUAUCCGCAACACGAAGAUUUUUUUACGAGGAAACCUUUGAUCCUCACGAUUUAGGAUAAAAAUCUCAACAUGUUAUUAUGUCCACUUGUAGAUAGAACAAUUCACUAUGAAAAUAAUGUAAGUUAAAGUGGAUCAACAACACUCACAAAGCUUUGCACCUGUAAAUAUCUCAAAUCUACAUUCUAUUGUGUUAAGCCUCACAAACUGAAAUACGUUAUCUAAAAUACAUUUGAACAUUUUCCAAGUGGAUUUAGGUGGGCAGCCUUGCCAAGAUUUAGGUCUUGGGUUUGAGUCUCAUGUAGCUACGUCUCAUAGACGUUAUUUUGGUGCUAUGAGGAAUCUCCUUUUGUUCCUGUUUGGGUUUCUUUGUCGUAUUUUCUAAUGCAUUUUAAUCAUUACAAAGAUGCCUUAUUUUUUACUGCUAAUGCUAUUGGUAAGCCUCUACGGGUGGACCAUGCUACUACUAUUGUUAAUCGGCCCUUAAUCGCUCGAAUUAUGAUUGAAUAUGAUGUUUUGCGGUCGUUGUUGCCCAAACUUUGGACUGGUGAGGGUGAUGGCAGUUGCUGGCAAGAUUGUCAAUUUUUAGUGUGUUCCUUUAUAUUGUGUCUCGUGUAAGCAUCUUGGCAAGCUGCUGAUGCUUGUUUUGUUGCUAAUCCUGGGCUCUAGGAGCCCCAGCAGCCUGUUGGUCAGGUGCAGGAUGUUGUUGUUCGUGAUAAAGGCAAGGUGCCUAUAUCUGAUGCUAUUGUGCAUUUAAAGGGGGAUCGUGAAGAUGUUAAGCCAUUGAGGCCUGGUGCUGGCAAGGAUGUUUCGGUAGAUGCUUAGCCGCCUAUUUAUCAGGAUACUACAGAAGAUGGGUAUGAUCCAGUUUUUAUGAAAAGAGUUCAGACAUCUAAGGUCUCUAACCCUCCUUAUUUUUUAGAUUAUCCGGGUGUUUAAAGGGCUUCCAUUGGCGCUACUUUUUUUUUCAAGCUGUUGUAGAGGAUAUUUGCUCCAUGGUCGUGGGCUUCAAUUGCCAUUCUACGGACAUCCCUUUUCAGUCUGAUGAGGAGUUUAGCUUUGAUGAGAAUCUUGCAACUAAUGAAUAUUUUGCAUUUGGGCCUAAGGGUACUAGAGGGCGUGAUGUUGAUGACUUUAGUAUUGCCUGGUUGUAUGCCUCUGGUUCUAAGAAAGGUUUCACAUUAGUUACUGGCCCAAGAAUUGUAUGCUAUUCUGUAGCCGGUUGCGUUAAUUACUCCUAUCUUCUAAGCUUUUGUUAUUUUUCUAAUUGUUGAGUGUAUUUGUUCCCGUGCUUAGAGGUUUUGGAAUAUGUCUCCCCCUCCAUAUGAUUUUUCUUUAAUUUUAUUAAUCUAUUGGUAAGGGGGUCCUGCCUAAUCCCCACCUUAGAGUAUUUUUUAAUUAAAAAAAAAUCCGCACAAUCCUCACAAUUUUUUUUCCUACAUGAGUUAAACAUCAAAAUCUGCUGAGGAGAAAAGUUUAAGGGUAAAAUGAUAAUUGGUGUGAGAGAAUCCGUCUUAAAUUUAACACCUUUAAGCUCAAAGACCUUGUAUCAACGAACUUGGUGGAGCUAAAGACAAGAGAAGAAAAUAAAUGCUAAUUAAUUCUUGAUGUUUGAAAAAAAUCCAAUCUAAAACAUUAGCUUCUAACCCUUCAGAAAAGUAUUUCUCAAAAAUCAAGGGUUUAAAAGUAAAUUUUAAGGACAUAAAAGUAAGAAGUCACUAAUAGGAGUGUGUAGUGGGAGUGGGAGUAGGGUAUUUACUUAGACUAAAUGAAAGUAUGGAUUGUCAAUCAGAAUCCCAAUUAUUUGUUUACUUUGUCUUGGAUUGGGAGUAAAUUAUUUUAAAUUACAAUUUUAUCCUUAUGUAAAGAAUUAUAAUUUGUAAUUAAAAAAUUAAUAAAAAAAUAUAUUUGGAAAAUAAAAUAUAUAUUUUAUUAUAUUUAUAAAUUAAUAACAAUUACUAAUAUUCUUAAUAAUGUAAAUCAUACUUUGUUAUUAUUUUUAAUUUAAAUUAUGUGAAUAAAAAUUAUUANNNNNNNNNNNNNNNNNNNNNNNNNNNNNNNNNNNNNNNNNNNNNNNNNNNNNNNNNNNNNNNNNNNNNNNNNNNNNNNNNNNNNNNNNNNNNNNNNNNNAAAUGAAAUAUUAUUAUUGAUAAUAUAGUACAAAAUUAAUUUUUUUAGAAUAAAAUAUUUAUUAUUAUUAAUUAAUUAAUUAAUAUUUAUUAAAAUUAAUGUUUAAUAUUAUUAAUUUAAAUAUAAUAUUUAUUUAUUUUUAUUUUAUUAAAUUUAAUAAAAUAAAUAUGUUAUAAUUAUUAUUUUUAAUAAAUAUGAUAUUAUUUAUUUUAUUAAAUAUGAUAUUAUUUAUUUUAAUUACGAGGGUAAAAUGGAAAGAGGGGGGAGUGGAUUCCCACUCCCACCUCCCCCCAUGGGAGUGGGAAUCUCACUCCCCACUCCAAAAUUAGGUGGGACCCACAGAGUGGGAAUCCCACUCACCCUUUUUUUAAGGUAAGUAAACACUGAAAUAAGAGGAAUCCACACUCCACACUCCCACUCCAGAAAGUAAACACUGCCUAAAUUCUUCCUUGUUGGGUCUAUCUCAUUUGGGGCCCAAAAUCCAAAUAAAUUUGCUUGGUUUGUAAUUAUUACGAAGCCUUGGACUUAGAUGAAAUUCGCCAAGUAAUUUGGCUAUAAAAGCAAGCAGUAGCCCCUGGGACUCAAAAUGACUAAAAUAAUCAUUUUUCUCCUAAUGAUUUUUAGCAUAAAGUUUUGACAAAAUUUAAUAGAUUGGACAUUUUAGUUUUAUUUGAAAUGAAAUGUUAUGAAUAAAUGGCUCUUAAAUAAUCAUAAUCAGCACACAACCAGCAAAUUCAAGGAGCAGAAAACCAAGAGAACAAAAUUUCCUCUUAAAUUAAUUCAAAUUGAAUUUUAUAUAUGAAAAAAUAAGACAUAAAUAUGUAAGACAUUUAUUCUUGCAAAGCAAACGCUUAGAUACAAGUAAAAAAAAAAAAUGUAAGAAAAUUAACUUGCAUGUUUGAGCUUAUUGUAAGCAAUAAAAGAUGGUAAAUUUUUACUUGAAUUUCUAAUUAAGGCCAUGUUCAGAGUUGAAGUUGGACAGCUAUAACUUUUGAAUUACAACACCAAAGUGUUUGAUAAAUACUAACAACUGUAUCUUAAAAAUUAAGUUGUAUGCUGAAAAAUAUAUUAUAACUUUAUUAAUUUUGUGAAAAUUAUUAUUUAAAAUUAUAUUUAUUACAUACUAUUAAUUUUUAUUUUAUAAUUAUAAUUUUUUUUAAUAAUUUAAACUUAAAAAUUAUAGUAUCUCAAUAAGAAAGAGGACUUAGCUUUCUUUCAAAGAAAUCAAUGAGAGGAAUUUUUUAUUUUCUAAUUAAUUUCUCAAAAAACAAAAAGUGUGAUCAAAAGUAUAUGCCGAAAGCAAUUAUGAAGAAUGAUCAUGGUCUUUAGUGGUGUAUGGAAUCAAAGAUAUGGUUGACGUGAUGUUGAGGAAAGUAGAGAUUUCUUUUAGUAUUUUAUCAAGGGCGGCCUCAAUAUAAUUGCAUUUUAUAGCUCAAAGUGAAUAAAAUAUUCUUUUAGAAAAAUUCCACGAUAAUCAUUUUAAGAAUUUAUUCUUUUGGAAAAAUUCCACUAAAAUCUUUUAAGAAUUUAUUCUUUCGGAAGAAUUCCGUCAUAUUCUUUAUUAAUUUUUUUUUUGUUUUUUUAAGUUAUAGAAUCUUGUUAUUGAAAUAAGUAAAGGUUGAAAUAAGUAAAAUGUUGCUUCAUCAUAUAUUUUUACGAUUUUACGUGUUGCAUUACCGAACAUAUUUAACAUAAAUUGUUACCAACAACGGGAACGCAGCUUCCAAUAUCCAAACCGUCUCAUCAUCAGGACAAUUGGACGGAAUCUUCAUCACACGUGUCUCACUAUUAUUGGUUACCGUUUUGGAUCUUCUCACGUGCAUCCGACGGUCAAGAAGGCAGCAACUCUACGUUGCCAUCAAAAAAUUGUUAAGGUUAUGAAUCUAUCCGCAAGGCAGCUGUAAAUAAUUAUACAGGUUGAUGUCUCAAUUUUGGAUAAAUAUUUGUUUAAUCUAUAUAUUUUUGUUUAAGUAUCUGUUUAGUUUUUAUAUUUUAAAAAAGUGUCUCAAGAGAUCACUGCUGUUAAGUAUAUUACACUCAUACACUUGUUUUUUCUUUACUUUUAUAGGAAUACACUUGCAACAAUAUUCUUGAGGAUGUAAAUUAAUUUAUCUAUAAAGAAAGUUAAAGUAAAAAUAAAUAUAUUUUUUUUAUUUUACUUUUGGAAUUAAUUUAGUAGAUUAAUUUUUUAAAUAAUUAUUACAGAGACUAUAAUUGCAAGGGUAUUAAAUAUUGCUUUAAGUUAGCUAGUAUUAAUUUUAUUUUAAAUCAUUGGAAGAUUGCUAUAAGAGUAUGAAAAAUACCAGUUCAUUCAAACUAAUAGUUAUUGGUUAAUUGCUAAUAAAUAACUACGGUUAAAUUUGUUAAUUAACAUUUUUCAUAGAUUAAUUAAUUAAUGUCUCCAAAAUUGUUGUAAGGGCAUUAUUAUAAAACAUAAGAAAAACAAAGGGCAAUAGUACAUAUAUUCAAUAAGUAGGGUGUCUUGAGAUAUUUUUCGAAAUAUAAAAAAUAAACAUAUAUUUAACAUAAAAUAUAUGGACUAUUCGAACAUUUACUCUCACAACUUUUGAUGUGAUUAAUAAAGGAUAAGAGCAUAUUAAAAAAGUAAUUUCUACUUAAAUUUAUAAUAGUUAUGCGAAAUAGAAAAGCUUUGUUAUAGAACGAACCCGCUAUCAAACCCGAAGCUUGAUCCUAAGCUGAGGUUUGUAUUGUACAACUCCUAUCAUUGUCUAAAUCCAGAUUCUAUAAAAUCCAAACGUCGAGAAAAAGUUCUCCGAACAUCAGAAAUGCCUUGCAACAGUUGCUAGAUAGCUGGACCCGGCACCCGGCACCCGGCUAAUGGACUGUUUAACAACAUUAAAUUUUUUUAUUUUAUUUUACACUCAUUAUUCAAUCCGCCAAUCAUUGUUUUUGAUCCAUCUGUGUAAAUCACGACACAAGUAAACUUUUUACUGUACGUUUAUUAUUCAAUUCCAUUUUUCUCCAAAAAAAUUUAGUAUGCACAUUUUUUUCAAAUUUGUGGCAUGCAAGUAAAGUAGAGCUCGAAUCUAAAACUCGAGUCUUAGAAAAAAUUAUAAUUGGAGCCAGUCUAGCCUCUAAGAUAGUAUGUGCCCUUUUUCUUCAAUUUGCAGCUUUUUUGUCAGACCUAAAAUUGAUUUAAUUUGUAAUGUUACCUAACUGGUGGUGAAGAAACAGCAGCCAUUACAUCAGAAAUCGCUAGUGCAGUUCAAGUAAAUUCAUGUAAAGCAAACCCUGAGAUACAAGUAAAAUUGAAAAUGUAAGAAAAUUAACUUACAUAUCUGAGCUUAUUGGAAGAUAAAGCAAUCAAAGAUGAUAAAUUUUUACUUGAAUUUCCAAUUAAGUUUGUUUCAAAGAAAUAAAUCAGUGAGAAGAUUUUUAUCUGUUCUAAUUAAUUUCUCAAAGACAAAAAGUUUAAUCCAAAGUGUAUGCCGAAAGUAAUUAUGAAGAAUGAUUAUGGUCUUUAGUGGCGCAUGAAAUCAAAGAUAUGGUCGACAUGAUAUUGACAAAUGCAAGGAUUUCUUUAAGCAUUUUAUUUAGCGAGUCUUCAAUGUAAUUACAUUUUAUACGGCAAAGUGAAUAAAAUAUUCUUUUAAAAAAAUUUCACUUUAAUCUUUUUAGAAUUUAUUCUUGUGGAAAUAAGGGAGGAUGGGUUUGUGUUUUUUCAAUUGAGUUUGAUAUAUUGAUUUCACAAAUAUUCAUGUCUUGUUUUUUGGUUGGUGCAUACUUUAAUGACUUUGUUUUGCGGUUCUUGUGUUGUAUGUACAUAUGUGCGUCUCAUUCUGAUUCUCACAACUCACAAAUGGCAUCGUUGUUUGUUUCUGAAUCACAACUCAAUUGAUUAAAUUAUUCUUUUAGAAUAAUUUAUUCUUAUAAAUUUCACUUAAAUUUAUAGUAGUCAUGCAAAAGAGAGACUGUAAAAACAAUAAGGGACAAAUAGUAAAUAUUGAUUACACCAUAAGAAAAUUGGGAAUCUCCCAUAAAAUAAAUAUUAAGAUAUGUGCAUAUGAGAUUAUUAUAGAACGAACCUGCUAUCAAACCCGAAGCUUGAUCCUAAGCUGAGGUAUGUAUCGUAAACUUAUAAUCCUUUUUUUUUCUAAUUCGUCCGUGAAAAUUACAACAAAAGUAUUUUUUUUUUUUAUUGUACAUUCAUUAUUCAAUCGGCCAAUCGUUUUUUUUUAAUCCAUCUGUAAAUUUUUUAUUGUACAUUUAUUAUUCAAUUCCAUUUUUCUCCAAAAAAAUUCAUUUGGUAAGCACAUUUUUUCAAAUUUGUGGCAUGCACAUAAAGUAGAGCUCGAAUCUAAAACUUGAGUCGUAGAAAGGCUUCCUUUAUAAUUGGAGCUAAAUCUUGCCUCUAACAUAGUACGUGCCCUUUCUUCAAGUAAAUUCAUGUAAAGCAAACCCUGAGAUGCAAGUAAAAUUGAAAAUGUAAGAAAAUUAACUUACAUGUUUGAGCUUAUUGGAAGCAAUCAAAGAUGAUAAAUUUUUGCUUGAAUUUCCAAUUAAGUUCGUUUCAAAGAAAUCAAUCAGUGAGAGGAUUUUUAUGUGUUCUAAUUAGUUUCUCAAAGAUAAAAAGUUUAAUCAAAAGUGUAUGCCGAAAGUAAUUAUGAAGAAUGAUUCUGGUCUUUAGUGGCGCAUGUGAUCAAAGAUAUGGUCGACAUGAUGUUGACAAAAGCAUGUUAUUAAUGGCGUCUUCAAUGUAAUUGCAUUUUAUAGGGCACAAUGAAUUCCACUUUAAUCUUUUAAGAAUUUAUUCUUGUGGAAUAAUUCCAUUAAAAUAUUUUAAGAAUUUACUCUUUUAGAAAAAUUCCAUUAUAAUCUUUUAAGAAUUUUUUUAUUUAAAUUGUAGAAUUUUCUUGUAAACAGAAGUAAAGAUGGGGAAGUAAAGGUUAAAGGCUCGACAUUUUUUACUUGAAUUUCCAAUUAAGUUUGUUCAAAGAAAUCAAUGAAAGGAUUUUCAUGUGUUCUAAUUAAUUUCUCAAACAACAAUUUUAGUCUAAAGCGUGUGCCGAAAGGAAUAAUGAAGAAUGAUUUUGGUCUUUAGUGUAGAAAAGACAUGGUCUAUUGAUGUUUGACAAAGCUAGCUUCAGUAAUCUACCCAUCAAAGAAAGGAUUUCAAUGUAAUUGCUUUUUUAAGGGAAAAUGAAUAAAUAUUCUUUUGGAUNNNNNNNNNNNNNNNNNNNNNNNNNNNNNNNNNNNNNNNNNNNNNNNNNNNNNNNNNNNNNNNNNNNNNNNNNNNNNNNNNNNNNNNNNNNNNNNNNNNNNNNNNNNNNNNNNNNNNNNNNNNNNNNNNNNNNNNNNNNNNNNNNNNNNNNNNNNNNNNNNNNNNNNNNNNNNNNNNNNNNNNNNNNNNNNNNNNNNNNNNNNNNNNNNNNNNNNNNNNNNNNNNNNNNNNNNNNNNNNNNNNNNNNNNNNNNNNNNNNNNNNNNNNNNNNNNNNNNNNNNNNNNNNNNNNNNNNNNNNNNNNNNNNNNNNNNNNNNNNNNNNAAAUAAUGGUUGAAAGCUUGACAUUUUUCUUUGAAGUGGCUUAAGGCUCGGGAAGAAAGGUUUACGGCUGUCCACUUCUCUUAGAAAUAAUUGGUUUUAGGCAUCUUUUGGUUACAAGCCUCACAAGUUGUAAGUUAUUAUUCAGAUUUUUUUGAUACGAGCAGUGGUCAAUAGAGUCAACUCAGAUAAAACUUAAAUUUCCCGCCCAAACAAAAACUAACAAACAUAAAGAAUUUGAAUCAUCCUUCAAUAAUAACAUAAAUAGCAACUCCAGAGGCUAGUAAUUUGAUCAUUUCUGUAUUUGUCAAUGCAUUAUGGACUCUAAGACCAGGCUCUAAAAUCAAAUAAAUGCUACAGUUGUAUGCAAUUGAUGAAUAGAUAUCAUCAAUUCCAAAAAUUGUUGAUAAUAUUACUUAAGUAAGGUUACGAAUCCAUCCGCAAGACAGCUGUAAAUAGUCAUAUACCCUGACGUAUGAGCUUUUUAUAUGAUUAAUAAAGGAUAAGAGCAUAUUCAAAAAUCAAUUUCUACUUAAAUUGAUAGUGAAUGUGUAUAUCACUGUGCAGAAGUAAAUAAAGUAUGCAAGCAUGAUAAAACAAAGUUCAUGAUAUGUGCCUAUGAGAUUAUUAUAGAAUGAACCUGCUAUAAAAAAUGAUGCAGUGACUAAGCUGGAAGAAAAGGCCACUUAAGAUGUGAAUUUGCUGUUAUUUGAUUCAACUCUUGGCAUGGCUCUUGAGGUUUGAAUCAGCUUAUGGCAGGCAAGUGAGCAAGCUGAUAUUGCUGUUGUAGAUAGCUUGAUGCCCUUAUCAACAUUCUUCUUCCAUGAAUCUGAAUCUUUUGGUCGAAGAUAUUGAUAGCAAUGCACAUAGAAGUAAUACGGCACUGCAUGUUAUAAAGGAAAUUAUUAAUUUUGUAAAGUACCUUAGCGAUUCUGCUUUUGCUAACUUUGUUACUGUCUCCACUGCACUCUGUUCCACAUAGUCGAAAUCAUUCUGCAUUUUGACCUGAUUCUAACAAGACAAUCUAACUUCCAAGCUUUCAAAUUUCCCCAAGGUCUCUGGCACAUUUUUAAGUUUGGAGCAGCCAGAGAGAUACAAUGUUCUAAGCAAUCUCAAACCAUUUAUGGUACUUGGAAGACUCUUGAGAUUUUUACAAUCUUUCAAAUUCAACAAGACAUUGCCAGAAAGAAGUUCAAUAGAUGCUGGCAAUCCUCUUAUAGCAGUUCCUUCCAAAUGAAGCUCCAAGAGCUGAUCCCUGCUUGAAGUUUUCUCUGGGAACUCUCUGAAUUUCAAAGGGCUGGAGAGAUUCAAAGUUGAUAGAUAUUUUAGAGCACUUAUGGUCCGUGGAAGACACUCGAGAUUUUUGCAGCCAUUCAGAGUCAACUGAGCAAGUCCAAAUAGAAGUUCAAUUGAUAAUGUUAAUAUCAGUUCCAUCCGAAAGAACUUCCCACAACGUCUAGAAAUUUCUUCAAUUUCCAGCAACCAGAAAGAACAAGUGUCUUAAGAGAUUUCAUAAAGAUCUUGCCUGGAAGAGUUGAAAGACUUGUACAACCUUUCAAAUUCAACAAAAUCAGCUUCUUUGACGCAGAAAAAAUGAGUGAAUCUCCUGCAACCUUGUAAAUCUUUCAGAAAUCAUCUCCCCUAAAUUUGGUACUCUUGUGAAGUCUGAUUGGUCCUAUUAGAAAAGGCUUUAGCACUGACAUGCAUCUCUUUGUUGUUAAAGCGAUCAAAUAUGAUGCUUCAACUACAUCAGUUUCCUAAACAUUAUAACAAAAAAUAAGUGGGAACAAAAAAAAAAUGAAAGAAAGAAAAUAUUGAUAAAACUACGCAAAGGUUUCACUAGUUAAAUAAGUGAUCAUGAUCCCAAAAUUGCAAGUUUUCAACCUAACUGAACAUUUACUUGUGCUUUGUGAUAAUGCAUGGCAUAUAUCUGCUUCCUUCCACAAUCUAUUGCAGUUUCCAGGCUCCUGAGGGGAUUGCCUCCUAACAAUUUGUCUACCCCAUUUCUUGUAGCUACUCAUGCAUCCACAGUCUGCUGAAAUCAUCUACAGUUAAUAGAGAUUUUUCAAUAGGACCAACAAUUUCGAUAAUUGGGUCAAAAUCACAAUAUUUGAGAAUUUUUUUCACAUAAUCUCUAUACUUCCCUUCACAGAAACAUGCAAUAUCGAGAAAUAUUUUCUUCUCUGUUUCUUUUGACCCAUCAAAACUUAUUUGAAGAACAUCAAGAACCUCAUUUUCAGGAUCUCCCUAUAGUCAUUGUAGUAUAACUCUGAAAAUAUUUUCUUCUCAGCUUUGGAAAUUAAUGAUCUUCUUCUUCAUAUUUAUUCUGAAAAUUCAAAAACAUAAAUGAAAAUAAAGAGAACUGCAUGGCAUAAAAUUUACAACUUUGAUUAUGUUGCAACCAGCAUAGUAAUUUUCUUAAUAAGAAUUCCGACAGUUGUAGUUUUAAAUAUCAACUACAUGUCAACGAUGCAGAAUUCCAAGGCAUCUUCUAUUAAACAAAAACAAAUAAUAAGAACCAACAGUUGUCAAUUCUUAUCAACAAAGUCUUCAAAUUGACAUUGUGGUCUGUUGUUUAACGAAAAAAAGGAAAAUCAAUAGUUGUCAAUUCCUAUCAACCAAAUCCUCAGACCAAAAUUAAACAUGGGGGUGGAGAAAAGAAAAAUAAAAAUCAAAUGUUGAAUCCUCUUGAUUGUUUCAUGGAUAAAUCUGAUCUAGAUCUGAGUCCAUAUUUAACAUAUUCAUCUACCCAUUUUCAGACAUGCCAUGAAUUGUAAAUUAAGCCAAAGAUUCGCAAAAAGCAACAAAGAAACAAAAAACAGAUUCUAUGUUCAGCCACAAAUGGGGUAUUUCACAGCCAAGCACAAUGGUUAUGGAAGAUUGCUAGUAAACAAAUGAAGAAAAUUAAUUGCUUUUCACAGGUUCAAGAAUUAACACUAUUAUUGAUUGCUUCUCAAGUGGAAGAAAUAAUUUUGAAUAAAGCACAACAUCAUUCCUUCCAACAAGGGAGCGCCUAAGUUACGAUCAAUGUAUCUUACGUUUUUUCUUUUAUUCUUCUUGGUAAAUUUCAUUUGAGUCCCUUGAUGUUUCUUUAUUUUCUAUAAUUGAGGGAGUAUUUGUCUCCUUCCAUCUCUUCUACACCUAUUUUUUACCCUUUCCAGAGUUGUAUUUAUUUCUUUUAAUAACAACAAAUGAUUAUCAAACUCAUAUAGAUCUAUGAAUUCAGAAUAUAUUUCUGGUCCUAAAUUUAUUAAACCUAUUCUUUCUUGCUCUAAUAAAUCUAUUUUUUGAUUUAUUAAAUUUAUAUAUGUACUUACUAUAUUUUCCCAUCCUAAAUGCAUAUGUUCUGUACUGUUUAUUAAUUCCUGUAUUGUAUUAACUGCUUGGUUCAUAAUGUUUCAGUUUUAUACCAAUAUAUUAAAAAUUGUAUAAAUUUAUCAAUAAAUUUCAUUUUCUUUUCUAUCAAUAUUUCUCCUCCUGUGGUAUCUAUGUUUCUUUCUAUAAGUUCCUCAGUUAAUUCAAUUUCUAUAUUUCUUAUAUUAUUUUUAUCAGUUUUUAAAGCUUUUACCAAAUUCUUUAUUUCUUCUUUAUUAUAUACCUUUAAUGUAUACAAACUAUUAACUAUUGACUGUAUUGGGUCCAUAAUUUUGUUCUUAUGGCUCUGAUACCAUCUUGCACCGUGUGCCAAAAAAGUAACGAAAAGUAACGAAAAAUAGAAAAAACGAAUAAAAAUAAUAGAAUAAAGAAUUACAGAAAACUAAAAUGUAAAUAAAAAAAAUAUACAAUAAUGUUAAAAAUUUUUAUUUUAUAAGGUAUACAUAUCGUAACUUGUAUUACUAUUAUUUCUUACAUAUAAGGCAAUAACUGAUUCUCCUUCUAUUACCCUAGGUAUAUUAUUAAGAAGACUAGGAAAAUAAAAAUCAUAAUAAUUAUUAUUAGUUUCUAAAAUAUAUGCAGGAUUAUUAGUCAUAUCAUAAAAUAAUUCAAUCUGUAUAAAGUAUAUAUUAUUAUUUAUUAUACUAAAAUAGUAUCUAAUUUCCCUCUAAGUAUCUAUUUUUACAAAAUAUUCUGAUUACAGGUACGUGGCUUGUUAUCCCAAAGUGCAGAGGAUACUAACGCCCAAUAGGGAUCGUCUAUCCAAUUUACGUCAUGGGUUGCUUGCCGAUAUACCUUACAAUCAGUUUAUUUAUUUUAUUUUACUAAAUUCCUAUAUUUCAAGUUCUUCGUUAUCCGAAUUUUCUACGUAAUUUAUGUAUGAUGGUCCGAUUUCUCGAAUUUCAUGUUCCAUAUAUGCUAAAGCUAUGUCAAUUCCUUGCUCUAUUGUUAACAUAAUUAUAUUAUGUUUUAAAUUAUCUAUUUCGAUAUGGUUUAUAAUUUUUCUUUUUAUUUCUUUUGGUAAAUUAAGAGUAUAUACUGCUUGUAGAUCUUCUGUUCUAACUAGCUCUUCUUUACUUCAAAGAUAUGAACUUUGUUUAAAAGAUCCUAAGUUAAAGUCUAUUAUCAUCAUAUAGUCAUUAUAUGUAAUCCUAGUAGUAGAGUUUAUCAUAUAUUCUUUAGAAUUCCCAAGUAAAAUAUCGUUAUUCAUGUUUAAAUUAGCUCUUCCUCCAUCAAUCUCCUCAUCAUCAAUCAUCAACAAACUUCCACCAAAAGAUAAGGUUUGAGAAUUAUUACCUGAGUUGUUCUUAUUUCUUUGCCUUCCGAUCCUCUUCCAGUGACCUGCAGCCUGGUUGUCCUUAUUCCCUCAACGGCCUCCUUGCCUCAACGGGAUCAGCGGACUCGAGCGGCCUUACUGUAUGGAUUUUGAUCGUUGUGCUUGGAAACUUUGAACAAAUUUAGGUUUCUCUUUCCUUUCUUAGGUGUUUUUUUGUUUAUGAUUUCUGAUGGUUUGAUUCUGGAUUCUGAGCUGAAGAGUUGUUUAGUUAUUCAUUUUUGAGAGAGUUUUUUGGAAGAGAUUUCGUGAUUCAAGCUCUGAGAGCCUUUCUUCUUUUUUCUUCUAUUUAUCCAGAAAAAGAUUACAUUCUUGCCCUCUUAUGUUUGGGCUUUUUACAUUAUUGCCUACGUUUUAUUACAUUAUUGCCCUUCUAUCAUUGGGCUUCUUAAGUCACUGCUGACGUUACAUAUUACUUUAGCAUCUUUCUUUUUGCUGCCUGCCAUUUUCCUUAUCUUUGUCGGGCAUCUUCUUUAUGUUGUCUGCUUUAUCUUGUCGGACAUCUUCUUUAUGUUGUCUGCCACUUCCAUGAGUUGAUAAGCUUGAUCCAUAGUUUUACUGCUACUGGGGAAACGCAUAGUGCUUAUUUCAUUGAUGAAAUCUAAUAACAGGUUUGAUGGCGUAUGACUGUCUUCAGAGGUUAUGAGAAUGUAAUUCUGGAAUUUGAUGAUGGUUCUGAAAUUUCUUUUGUAUAGAUCCUUGGCUAUGCUCCAUAUGGCUUUUAUUCCUCUGGCUCUUCGUGUUCUGAUCCAAGGUUCAUUUAUGUGUGGAACAUUUGUGUAGUCUGUCCCAACUUCGACCUUGAAAUUCUUAGUGAGAUGACCUAUAGAGAUCAUAUAAAAGGCUUGAUAUUCUACGUUCUGAUAGUAUUCUGGACUUAUGGUGUAGAAUUUUAGAUAUAUGGGUCUUUUUGGGCGAACCUUGAUACUUCUUUUAUUAAUAAGUCAUCAAGGCUGGCUAUUUCCUGAAGAUUUAUAUCUGGAUAUACUAGAUCUAAAUACCCGUAUUUUGCUAUCUUUCCAACAAGGAGUGGGUCUGCUCCUUUUGUAGCAAUCAUUCUUGGAUACAUAUUUUUUCCUGGUGCUUUGAAAAUUGUAUUCUUGUGGGAACAAGUGGAGUACACCCAUGUCUGCCAUUUUCCUUAUCUUUGUUGGGCAUCUUUGUUUAUGCUGUCUGCUUUAUCUUGUCAGGCAUCUUCUUUAUGUUGUCUGCCACUUCCAUGAGUUGAUAAGCUUGAUCCAUAGUUUUACUGCUACUGGGGAAACGCAUAGUGCUUAUUUCAUUGAUGAAAUCUAAUAACAGGUUUGAUGGCGUAUGACUGUCUUCAGAGGUUAUGAGAAUGUAAUUCUGGAAUUUGAUGAUGGUUCUGAAAUUUCUUUUGUAUAGAUCCUUGGCUAUGCUCCAUAUGGCUUUUAUUCCUCUGGCUCUUCGUGUUCUGAUCCAAGGUUCAUUUAUGUGUGGAACAUUUGUGUAGUCUGUCCCAACUUCGACCUUGAAAUUCUUAGUGAGAUGACCUAUAGAGAUCAUAUAAAAGGCUUGAUAUUCUACGUUCUGAUAGUAUUCUGGACUUAUGGUGUAGAAUUUUAGAUAUAUGGGUCUUUUUGGGCGAACCUUGAUACUUCUUUUAUUAAUAAGUCAUCAAGGCUGGCUAUUUCCUGAAGAUUUAUAUCUGGAUAUACUAGAUCUAAAUACCCGUAUUUUGCUAUCUUUCCAACAAGGAGUGGGUCUGCUCCUUUUGUAGCAAUCAUUCUUGGAUACAUAUUUUUUCCUGGUGCCUUGAAAAUUGUAUUCUUAUGGGAACAAGUGGAGUAUACCCAUGUGGAGAAUUGUUUAUAUUCUUCUUCUUUUGGAUUCAGGGGUUUCUCCUCUUCUUCUGUAUAAGGGUUGUUUAUUUCUAUGAACUUUUUUGGANNNNNNNNNNNNNNNNNNNNNNNNNNNNNNNNNNNNNNNNNNNNNNNNNNNNNNNNNNNNNNNNNNNNNNNNNNNNNNNNNNNNNNNNNNNNNNNNNNNNCUUCCGAUAUUUAUUGGGUUAUGUUUAUUGGGCUCGUGUUUAUAGAGAGAGCUUUUGUUAGGUCGUCUAUGUAUGACUCUAACAAAUUUACUCCUUUUUCAUGAGCCUCAGAAGCUUCUUUUAAAUAGUUUAUUGCAUCAAUUAUGUCAGAUGCUUCUGUUUUGAGCCUUUGUACCUCAGCUUCUAUUUUCCCGAUGAUUCUAUUAACUUUGGGAUUCAUUCUCCAAAUUCUAUGUUCCUGCUUAGGAAAUCUGCAAGGAAAUUGUUAAUUCCUUUUAUAUGGACAAUUUUGAAAUUAUAAUAUGACAGAUAAACUUGCCAUCUAUGCAAUCUUCUAUACUGCGGUUCAUUUGGUAAAAUCCUAUUAAUAAGAGCGUUUACCUGAGAAUUAUCAGUUUCUACAAUAAAUUAUUUUUGGAGUAAAAAUAAUGAGAAUUUUUUAAUCCCUUUGUAUAUUUAUUUAGUUCUUUGUAGUUUAUUACCAUUCUUGCUUUUCCUCUAAUCUGUUCUGCUCUUUUCCUAACCAUAAAAACUGGACUAUUAUGCGGGCUAUUACUGCUUCUAAUAAGUUUUAAAUUUAAUAAUUCUUUUAUUUGAAUUUUAAAUUCUUCUCUAUCUUCUUCUGUAUACAUCAUAGGUUUAAGUCUUAUAAUCCUAUUUUCAAUUAAUUCUAUCUUUGCUCUAGGAUGAUCUGGUUUCCAUAAUGCUAAAGGAUUUUCUUUAUAAACUUGCUCAAGCUGUGAUUUUAUUGUUUCUAAUUGUAUAUUAUAACUUUGUCCUUUUUGUAUUAAAUAAUAUUUUUCAUAAAUAUACUUAUCACCACGCUGGGCUGGCUGAACUCUGUAGGGUUUGAAUUCGCGAGGGAUGCGGAGAAUAUGAUUACAAGGGGUUUUUAAAGUGAUCAUAUAAGGUGUUUGUUGGUAAUAUUGGAACUGUUGUAUGAAAUCAUUUCCUAAAAGGAUAUCACAAUCCAUAUUAUUGUAUUGGAAGAUUUGGUUAACACGUACUAUUUUACUUCCUAGUAAGAUUUCAAAAUUUAGAAUAGAUUGAUUUACAUGUUGUUUAUCUCCUGUAAUACCAAUAAUUUUCAAUUUUCCAUUUGAUUCCCAUUUAUUAGAUAAAAAGGAUUUCAUAAUAGUUAUUUCAUUACCAGUAUCUAUUAAAGCACAAGUAUCUAUAUAUUUUUCUGUUAUAUUUAUUUGUAUAUAUACAGACAUAGGGUACUUUAUAUAAGCUUGUUUUAACAUGUGUAACAAAUUAUUGUUUGGCCUUGGAUUAAGAAAGUUAUCUUAUUAGGUUCAAUUUUGUAAUAUUCUAAAUCAUUUAAAAAACUAUUUCCUAGUACUAUAUGUUUUUCUGGGUCUGUAGUCAUGAAUGAGUCUAUAUAAUAGGCUACUAUUAUUCUAAGUCCUUCUAUUAUUAUGGGGACUUUAACUUCUUGUUUACAAAUAUGUUUAUUCCCAUUGAAGUCAGUAUACUCAUAUGGAACUUCCUUUUCUUUUACUAAGAGUCCUUUAUUUUUUGUGUGAUUCAUAUAAUUAUGGUUUGUGCCAGUGUCUAAUAGUAUAGGUACUUUUGUUGUAUAAUCUAUUCCAUUAAAGUAUUGUCCAAGUAUUUUUACCACAUUAUUUGUUGGUACUGAUUUAAUUAUUUGCUUAUCAGUGUUUAAUCUUCUAGAAGAACUUCCUCUUAUUAAGGUUCUUCCAGCAAAGCUUAUAGGAAUAAUGGAUUUUUCAUUACUAUUAUUUAAAAAUUGUUUUUUAUCAUCGAUAUUUAAUUCAUAAUUUAUUGGGAUUUUGUAAUCUUGGAUUACUGGUUCUAUAAAUGUUGCGAUAUCUUCACAAUCUUUAUUUAUCUCGAUGUAAGGUUUAUUACCAUAUAUUUCUCCGUAAUUUGAAUUAUAGAAACUAUAUAAGGCUGAGUAAUGUAUUGUCAUUAUUCUGUUACCUUCUUUCAUUAAAUUUUUCUUUAAUAACUUAAAAUGUAAGCUUAAUGUUUCGUCUAUGUUUUUAUCUUUAAUGUGUACACAAUAUCUAGGGUGACAAGUAAAUAAUAAUUUAGUAUAACAUAAAUUUCCUUCUAUUGUUCCAAGAUGUCCUAUAUUAGGAUCUGUAAAUCUUUGAUCAUGUAAUGAAAAAACUAUUGGGUUAUCUAUUCCUUCUUUAAAAAGAGAUUUUAUUAAGAUUUGUAUCUCAGCGAGAUAUACAUAUUGAAUUUUUUCUUUAGUUGACUCAUUUUUUAUUUUUCUCAGUGCUAGUUCUAUGGAUUUUUUAUUUAUUAAACUAAAUCUAAUAUUUCCUUCAGCUUGUGUAAUUGUCACAGCAUUUUCUUGUUCAUAAUAUUCAUGUAAUAUUAUUCGUUUUCUUUUAAACAUAUCUCUAAAUCUAUGGAUUAUUCCAUAUUCUGGUUUUUCCAUAUUUAAUUUUAAAAGUUUAUUAUAUUUUUCUUUGUUAAAAGUAGCAACAAGGCUGUAUCCACUUUUGUUUUCUUCUUUUUCUAUUUCUUCUAUCUCUUCUAUGUUUUCAUUAUCUAAUAACUCUUCUUUAUUCUGAUUCAUUUUCAGAUUCUUCAGCCAUAUAAACUUCCUCUCCUAUAUAGUCAGAUAAAUUAUUUAUUUCUUCUAAGUCACUUUCUAUAUUUUCAAAAUCUUCUUUUAAGAGUUUAACUUUUUUCUUUCUUGUACAAUCUGUACUUAUAUGUCCUAUUUCUCCACAAUUCCAACAUUUACAUUUGGACUUAUCUAAUAUUUUUCUCUGGUUUUUAUAUUUUCUUUUAUAAUAUUUUCUUCCUAAUUUUUUAUAUUUUUUCUUAAAAUUAUUAUAUUUUUUAUAUCUCUUUUCUUUAUUAUAAGAUUUUCUGCGUCUUUUAUGAGGUACAUAACAUCCCCAUUGGGUAGGCAUUUCUGUCUUUUCACAACAUAUUUUUGUUAUAUUUUUACUCUUUUUUAUUAAACUUCUUUGGAUACAAAUUUCACUUAAUCUUGUAUUUAAAAAUCUGAUCCUAGAUCCUAAUGUAUCUGGGAUUCUACUAUCACUUUUAUUAGUAUGUUUUUCAUAUUCAUUUAUGAAAUAUCCAUUCCAUGGAUAAGGUAAUUUAGAAUAAUACAAAUUUUUAUAAAUGUUCUGGUCUUCAUGACUCAUGAAUUGUGUAUAAUAAUAUUUACUAAAUUCACAUGUAUAUUCUUUUACAAAACACAUAUUACAGAUUGUCAGGUUUAUUAAUUUCAUUCUAGCAUUUAAUUUAUCAUAUUUUGCUUCAUUUUCUGUAUUUUGUAACCAAUCUUCUCCUAAGAAUUCACUAGCAAUGUAUUCGAUUAUUCUUUCUAUACCUAAUCCUUUAUCUUUUCUUAAUGCUAUUUUGGUUGAGUCUUUUAUUAAUUUUUGUGUAUCGUCACUUAAUCCUUUCCACCAAUUAAAUACAUUUCCUGUAAAACUUGCUAUUAGAAUAUCUGUUAAUAUAUUUAUUUUUUCUUCUUCAGUAUCUACAUUCCAAUCAUCUUUGGAUCCAUUGAAUAUAAAAAAUAAUUUCAUUUGCAUUCCCCAUUCUACUAAAGCAUUUCGGGGGUCUAUUUUACAAUCUAAGUCUAAAAAUGUACCUGCAUUGCUUAUUGGCAUCAAAUGGUCAUUAUUAGGUUGGUAAUCUUUUUUCCAAGGGGUAUUUUUGACGGGCGGAUAGUAUUCAUAAAAAGGUCUAUUUUUCUUUUUAUUUGUUUCAUAUCUAUGGCUAGGUUCUCCAAUAUCAGGUUUUAAUUCUGGACCUCCAGCGACAUUCAUCUUUAAUUGGUAUUCUUUUUCAAAUUCUUCUAAAUUACUAAGGUUAAUAUCACUAAAUUUUUCUGUUAAUUCUUCUAAUGUAUUUUCCAUUAUUCUGUGUCACUAGGUGUGUUUUCGUUUAUCUCUAAUUUUUCUUUUCCCUUUUCUUCUCUUUUUAAUUAUGCUUUUAACUUUUCUGAUUCCUCUAAUAUUUUUGGAUACUGGGUUUUUAUAAACCAAUCAUCAUAACUUCCUGGUUGAGGUUUUGUCAUAUGUUUUUCAAUGCUUGUCUCUAUUAUUCCUGAUUUUAUUAUUUCAAGUUUCUCAACUUUUUUAUUUUUCUUUCGGCUUAUCUGAAUUGUUGAUAAUUCUAUUUUUAUCUUUCAUAUUUCUUGUUUAAUUUCUCUCAUUUCUUCUUUAAGAUUUAAAAGUAUUUCUUUUAAUUCGAUUAAUGUAGUUUCCAUAAAAUGUAGGGGUGCUAACAGAUAUUUUUACUUUUGAGUGUAUGUUACAUCCAACGUAACAUAGUGUUAGCCUUCCAACAAUUGUGAUGAUAUUUUUUUCAUUCAUUCUAUGGCCCGACUCUGUUUUAUGUCUAAAACUCAAGAAAUUCUACAAUUCCUUCGUUCUACCACAUCAUUCACCCAACAACAAAUAAUCAAAUUCUGUCAUGCAUAUUUUUAUAUAGAAAUUUGCAAAAAUGUUAGUCGAUAGAAAAAAAAAUAAUUGAUUAAAUAAACACUGGGUUUGCACUGUGUUUGUGGUAAAAUUCUGUUAAAGACACGUGUACAUAAACUACCAAGGCACUGAAGAUAUGGAAUUUGAUAGUGAAGGAAUGAAUUUCACAAGAGGAAAUGACAAGAAGGAGCGUGCUUAUUUUGUAGCUGACAAACGGACACAUUAAAGAUUGCCAAUAAAUCAUUGGUAUUCGAUCGAGUACCUGGGAUGCCCCUUUGUGCAGACCCUUCACUCUCUUCUUGGUUUUGCCUUCGAUCAUUAGAGUUCCUGGCUGACUCAUUAGUUUGGCUGGCUAUUUGUGCUGAUUAUCGAACACAUAAACAAUAUAUGUAAACAAUAUAUUGACAAUACAUAUUGAUAGUGAAGGAAUCUCAGAAUCUGCUCACUGGCCAUGACUCACGCAGGACAAACCGUCACGAAUUGACCUUGUUGAUUGAUUGCUUUUGCUUGGGAAACCAUAGAGUUGAUGCAACACAUCAGGUGGGAUGCACAUUCGUUCGUAGGCAUAUUAUCGAACACGUCCUAGGCACGAGAAUUAUACCAUAAUUCCUCAACAACUCCUCUCUUGAACCUGGCCUGCAAAUUCCAUAUAAUCAUUCCUUUGUCUAUUUAUCGUUUGUUCUGAGCCCAAAUCAAGCUGAGAUCGAUCAUAUUCAUAUAGAUAUUUGUCUUUCAAAAUGGAACACCAUGACCUUCUUUUAGCGAUAAUACCCUUUAACCUCUAUUAUCCCAAAAAAAAUCAACACUAACGUUUUAUAAUAAAUAGAGAUAUAACAUUAAAAUAAAUGUAAUAAUGUAUACAUUGUAAAAUAAUUUCAAUACUUAAAAAAUAUUUUAAUAUUUUGCAAUCUAUUAGAUAUAUUUUAGUAUAUGUAUUUAAAUUUUAUAAUAAAUAGAAUCAUAAUGUUAAAAAAAAGUGUAUUAAAAUUUAAAUUAUUUUGAAUAUUAUGUAAAAUAGUAAUAACAUUAGUAUGUGAGUUUUUUUAUUGUAAAAUAUAUUUAAUGCAAAUAUUUAUUUAAAAUAUCUAAAAUAAAUAAAAAAUAUUAUUAAAUAAAUAUAACAAUUUAUAUAUUUAAAUGUAUUAAAAUAUUAAACUAUUUUAAUAUUCUUAGUCUAUUGCGUAGAUUACAUUAUUUAUAUAAUAUUUCUAUUUAUUAAAAAUUUUAAAUUUAAUUGUUUAAAGGGUUAAUGGUCAAAAAAGGGUUUUGGUGUCUUUUUCAAAAGUUUUGGGAGUAUUGGUGAUCAUUUCCUAAAAUUUAGGGGGUGUAGUCGUCAUUUUUCCUAUUAUAAUUGAUAUAUUAGAAUGAAAGAAAUAAAAAACCAACAAGCACAAACUAGUGAUACAAAAAUCUUUAUAUUAAAUAAUUCAAAUGAAUAUAUAGUUUAUCAAGAAAUUGAAAAUCCAAGUUGGACUGCAAUUUCAAUUAGGUAAUAGCGAAACAUGAACAUAAUACUAAGCAUGAGUAUAAAAAGGCUUUGCUCUUUAUUAGAUUUCUUAAAUUCUUGUAGCAUGAGGUUCUUCAUAUCAGUAAGGCUUUGCUCAAAAAGAAAAAAAAGAAAAAAUCAAAACACAAACACAAUAUCUAGAGAUGUUUAGCUACAGUGGCCUAUGCCUUCUUUGGCAAGCUUUAUUUGUUUUCUCAGAACAACUUACAAACUUAGAGAGAAAAUUGCAAGCUACAGAAUGGACAUCAUACAAUAUACCUCAUCGGUCAUCAGCUUGUUAUGGGUUUGUAAUAAUUUCCCGCCCUUUCUAACCGAUUUAACAGCUACAUACUGAUACUAAUGCUCUUCAAUACGACAAUAUUUUCGGGUCGUUUGAUCAUUGUGUAUAAGUGAGUGCACGUGACCAACGCGUGCACUCACUUACUAAGUUUAGACGACUUGAGCCGGACGUCGUACACGAGUCCUCUAGGAGUAACCGAGAGAUCGUAUGCAAAGAAACAACAGUUCAUACUAUCAUUUAUUAUUCAGCCGACAUUGCAUCUAGUCUAGGAAUUAGAUUUUGGUUCAUUUUGAACAAUAGGCAUAUGUGGCAAAUAUCACUUGGGAUUUCUCCUCCUUCCACUGGUAGAUUACAGUCGUUGAGAUCCCAUUUUGUUAAAGAACAUAAGCCUGAUAGAGAAGGUAACAUCAAAUUAGUCAUAGGAUCUGAUCUCCUUCACAUCAUAUUGGUAGGGAAGCACAAAUCCCAUGAUGUAGAUGAUAGUGGUCCACUGCUUUAAGAUUCUUCAAGAUAGAAACAGACGUCGGAAGCUGCCUAAUUGUUGUUCCACUAUUAUCAAGCUCUUCCAAGCUAUCUACUUUCCCUAAGUUCUCUGACACAUUUUCAAGUUUGGAGCAGCCAGAGAGAUUCAGAAUUUUGAGAGAUUCAGAAUUUUAAGAGAUUUCAAACCACUGAUGGAACUUGGAAGACACUCGAGAUUUUGCCAAUCUUUAAAAUUCAACAAAACAAGGCCAGUUAGAUAUUUCAACUGACAAUGGCAAUUCUCAAAUAGCAAUUCCAUCUAAAAUGAGCAUAGUUAGAGAUUUCAUACUUCCCCAAAACUUUUCCAGCUUCGAGCAACCAGAGAGCGUUAGAGUUCUUAAACAUCUACUUAUAGUAAUUGGAAGACUCAAGAGAUAUUUACAACCUUUUAAAUUUUGCAAAAAAUGCCAGAGAGAUAUUCAAUUGACAUUGGCAAUCCUCUUAUAGCAGUUCCCAACAAUCGAAGCGCCAACAGAUGUUCCAUACGUCCCAUGAUCUCCGGAAACAAUCUGAAUUUCAAAAGGCCAAAGAAAUUCAAAGUGGAAGGAAAUUUUAGAGCACUUAUGGAAUUUGGAAGACACUCAAUAUUUUUACAACCUUUCAAAUUCAACUAAACAAUUCCAGAUAAAAGUACAAUUGAUAAUAGUAGUCCCUUAAUAUCAGUUAUGGAAUUUGGAAGACACUCAAUAUUUUUACAACCUUUCAAAUUCAACUAAACAAUUCCAGAUAAAAGUACAAUUGAUAAUAGUAGUCCCUUAAUAUCAGUUUCAUCCAAAAGAAGCUGCCACAAAAACUUCAUAUUUCCCACAAUCUCUAGAAAUUUCUUCAACUUUGAGCAACCAGAAAGUACCAAUGUUUUGGAGAUUUCAUAAAAAUUAACCUUAAGUUCUGAAAAGGAUGUGAAGAUGUCCAUAGAAUGAACAUUAAGUUAUGAAAAGUCAUAUACCAUGCAUUCGACUACUUCAGUUCCUUAAAAAUCAUAAAAGCAGAUGAUAAGUGCAAACUAGGAUGUGAAGAUGUCCAUAAAAUUAUUUAUGCAUAGAUUUAAAGCAUAGAAUGUCGAGCAAAACACAUGUUUGAUAGAAUGAGCAAUAUGCUCAAUGAAAUGCCUCUAUGAGUCAAGCAUGUCAGAUGACUCAUAAGAGUGAUUCAGCAAGAGAUGAGAAUAAUAUGGAAUAGUCAUGAAGAUAAGAUCAAAGAUUGAAUUAAGCAAAUGUGGGCAGACUUUUCUCAGGGCACAAAGUCAUUUCCUUCGGAUCAAUGUAACGAUGACCAAAAGAUCUCCUUAAAAGCCUACAUUGUGCAAUUGAUAGCUUGGGCAAAGGAAAACAUUUUGUACGUGUAUCAUUAAAAAAUGAAUAAAAUGUAGGCUGCAUUACAGAAUAUGUUUUACUUUGCAUUAUAUAAUGAUAGCAAUUUUAUACUUCAUUUCUUGACUUUUAGAAUCAUGAACUCAAAAUACAUGCAUUGCACUUUGCCACUUACCGUGUUUUUUGUCAACACAUGAUGUACAUCUGUUACGUUCCACAAUCUGCUGCUGUUGUUCAGCUAAUGUUCUUACAACAUUAGCUAAUUGGUUUACAACACUUUUCGACAGCUACGCAUAUCCUUUGCCUGGCUGAUUGGUUUUGAAGGCUUUCAUACAAAGAAGUCCAAGAGCUUUAUCAUAGUAUAGUUGCUUAAGGACCAAUAAUUCGUCCACUCUAUGUGUUGUCAACGUUGCUUAUCUUUGGAUGUUAUGAUGAUUCUGCUGCCUAAACUUUCUAGCUAACCUUUUUGUGUCGCAACCACUUCCAAUUAUGUUGAUAACAUUAUAUACAUUCCAUUUUGUUAGGAAAUCUGACCUCCUUUUUCUGAGGUUUAUCUAACGUUGGCAAGAAAACUACUUACUUCAAAUUCAUGAUAGAUCAAGUUAUAAACAACCUUUGCAAGAGUUGCCUUACCUAUACCUCCCAUAUCACAGAUCCCUAUCAUACGAACAUCAUUAGGCCUUUUAUCCAUUAGAAUCGUUAGCUUCUCCAAGUGUGAAUCCAUUCCUACUACCUUCUUAAGAGUCUCUGAUUUUAAAGGAAUUUUGCUUGAUAUCUCAUUGACAAUCUCCAUAAUAAAGUCCGAUUCAUUCCUGCGGGUUGAAUAGAACAAGAAAAGAUUUGUGUUGGUGAGCUAAAGCUAGUGUGAGCGUAACAUAGUGUCAAAAAAUUACAUAAUAUAUGUCUACAAAACGGAAGUGAUAAAGUCAUAACUUGUGUUUGAUUAAUCUCUAGGUUAUUCUUCAUGUAACUCUUCUCUAAUUUCGCCUAUAACUCUUCAUAUGUAGAUAUUCAUUGAUCAAGUUAUUAUUUCAAUUAAAUCCUAUAAUUUUAACAAAUUCUUAUACAUUUAUUCUACUGUCUCUCCCUGCUCUUAUGCCUAAAAACUUGAUAAGUUCUAGAAUCCCUCUGCUCUACCACAUCAUUCACCCAACAACAGUGUAUAAAAUCUUGUCAUGUAAAGUUUAUUGGAAAAUUGUAGGCAAGUUGGUUGUUGCUAUAACGAGAUGAAUAUGAACGCUAUUUUGGUAAAAUCUUAUUGUUGAUACAAAUAUACACAUGCACAUGCACACACUGAACAUGAAACUAGUAAAUAAAUAUACUGAAUAAAUAUUGGCAGUUUUUUAAUAGUGGAGAAAUCCAAACAUUUUCUCACUUAUUAUGAUUCAUGCAGAACAAACAAAAAUUAGUUGAUCCACAUCUUAGAAAAUUAAUCAUUGAGAAUAAGAAUGAUUACCUAUCUUUCAAUUCCUAGCCAAAGAUAUUAGCCACCUCCUGCGGAGCGCCUCUCCAUUUUUGCACCUUUUCUAUAUUCUCCUUUAAGAACUUCUUCAUGAUUAGCAAUCGCUUCUUGACAACUUCAUAUAUGUUUCCUUACCACUGUUGGUUCAACAUCAUAGAAAAUUGGAAAAACCAAUUGUUGGCGAACAUGACGUGUUCUUCCAUUCAACAAUCUUAAGAAGUACAGUUUCUUGAGAAGACAAUAACUGAAAUUCUUGAUUCUUCAAUUACUUUAGAUUGUGCUGGUGAAAUGGAUAUUCCCCUUUCACGUUCUUUUUCAUCACUGAAUACAUUAAUUCCAGUUUUAUUCAAAGUGGACUAGAGGUGAUCUGAAAAGUUCUUGCAGUGCGGGUGUCUUGUCUUCACCUCUGAAGCUCAAGCAGACAUCGUAGUUCCCGGGAUGCUCAUGAUGCAAGCAAUUGACUCCACAGCCUCUUAUUGCAAUAAGUAACUGGCUGUUAAAUAAUCGUACUUCAGCAAACGAAAAUAAAAUACCAGCAAGUAAAUUAAAACAGUGGAAAACACCCAUAGUAUACCAGUAAAGUGGCAACAGUUUUGGUUCUUGGCAACAAGAGAAAAAAACAAUUCCCAUUCAACUCUUUAAUUGAAUUUCUUAUGUGAAUAAAUUGUAGGAACAGAUGUAUCGUCUCAUUGUUCAACACAUCAGGUGGGAUGCAUUCCUUCUUGGGCAUUUUAUCGAACAUAAUUUCUCAAAAAUUCCUUCCUUGAACUUAGCUUGCAAUUCCAUUUAUGGUGAGAUCGAUCAUCUACAUAUUUGUUUUUCAUCCUUCCAAUGCUUGAAUUUCUUCGAAAAUCCCUGCGAUAUAAUUUACUUGAUCUAGGAUGUUCUAACUUUUUUUCCUUUUUUUUUUAUGAAUCCUCACCAAAGUGAGGAGGUUUUAUUAAAAUAAAAUAAAAAUAUAGCAAGAAAACCAGCCAAACUAAAAUUACAAAAGCUAGCUGAACAGAUAGCUAGGCAGCCUAAAAACAUCCUCAUGCAAAAGAGAAGCAACAUGAGGGGUGCAGAGUCCCACCAAGUAAAGGAAUCCACCAUGGCACCUAAAUUGCUCAAACAAUCAGCUACUCCAUCAGCCUCCCUGAAGACACGAGAAAAGCGCAACGUCAUGGAAUCCAUGAGAGCAAUACAAUUAUUCCAUCGAUGAAUAAGAAACCAUGGGCGGAAGCCGCUUUUUACGAAGAUAAAGCAUAGUUAAAGUAGAUUCACAUUUGAUCCACGGCAUAGUCCAACAUCCAAAAGAAGCAUGCUCAAUCGCCAAGAUAACAGCCAACAGUUCAGCAACAAAAGCCGUUUCAACAUGUAAUGGACAAGAGAAAUCCCCCAGAAAUUCUCCCUCACAGUUUCUGAACACAGCCCCACAAGUGAAAACAUGCAAAGAAUGAUACACCUCUACGCAACCAAGGAUGUAUCGGAUUAAAUUUGCACUCUUCGAGUGAGUGUUGAUUCCAAAAAUAGAAAGAUCAGAGAUGAAUAUUAAGAAUGGAAAGAGAGGUUGAGACAGAGUGAUGAAGAGUAGGAAUCCAUAUUAUACUAGGAUUAGUUUCCUUAUUAACUAAAGUUUAAGACUUUUAAAUUCCUUUCUAAUUUAGAAUUUUGUUUCCCUUUCAAUUUAGGAUUUUGUUUUACUUCAUGAAUUAGGAUAAUUACUACUACUAUAAAUAGCUCCCUCUUGUAGCCUUUGAAAGCAGAGAUUUUUGAGUUUAAUAAUAUUUCAAUUUUCAAAUCUCUUUGUGAGUAUUUGAACAGUUAAUUCUCGGUAUUCUGCGGAAUCAACGAGUCUUAAUUCCUAAAUUCGCGGUAUUCUUUUGAAUCAACGUGAAUUUAGUUGUUCUUUUGUUCCGGUAUUCUCUAAAAUCAACGGAAUAUUUUGAACAUUAAACUUCCGCUGCAUCAGUUUGGUAUCAGAGCCAAAACCUGGUAUCACCAAUCUAACUCCAUCUACCACCAAACCUUUCCUUUUUCCCUUUUUGAUUUUUUCCAUUUAGCUUAAAAAAAAAAAAAAACCCACUUUUUCAGACAAACCACCACCAUCAUCUUACCAACCCAAAAUCUUUCAGAUCCACCCACCCUUACUCGAUUUUCGACCACCAUCAUCGGCAAUCUAAAACUUUUUGCUUAAUUACAGUUUCGGCCUAAAAUUUUAUUUACUUUCAGUUUAACCCCACUACCUUUUUAAACCCGAAUUUGAAAAAAUGCCUCCAAGAAAAGCUCGUGAUGCUCAUACUACAACUUACAAUCAAGAAGAUGUUUCGAAAGAUGAAUCCCUGGCUAGUAUGACAGCCAGAAUUGAUAUGUUAGCUGAACAAAUGGCACGAAUAGCAGAGUUACUUGACGAACGCCAUCGUACUCCAGAACGUGAAGACAAAUCAAGUGUAAGCUUUGCUAACCCAUUCUCUGGGCGUCGACCUAGAACUGAGUCUACUGAUGACAGAAGAUGGGAAUCUGGGUUGAGAAUUGACAUUCCCGAAUUUCAAGGAAGUGGUCGACCUGAAGAAUUAUUAGACUGGAUUAACGCCAUUGAGGAAGUUUUCGAAUACAAAGAAGUUCCUGAAAAUAAACUAGUUUCGCUUGCUGCAACUCGAUUUCGUGGAAGAGCAGCAGCUUGGUGGCAACAAACUAAGCUCACAAGGAUUAGGCAAGGCAAAAAGAAGAUUGAUUCUUGGGAAAAGUUCAAGAAGCACUUGCGUGGAGCAUUCUUGCCUCAUAAUUACGCCAAACUGUUAUACCAACAGCUACAGAAUUUAAGGCAAGGUAAUUGAUCAGUGGAUGAUUACACUACAGAAUUUCAUUGGUUGGUGGCCCGCAAUGACUUGACAGAGACAGAAGAACAACAGGUUUCCCGCUACAUUGAAGGCCUACGAUCUCAAUUUCAAGACCAAUUAAAUUUACUUGACCCAUACUCUGUUUCAGAGGCACACCAACAAGCCUUGCAGUUGGAGAAGCAAUUUAGUCGACGUACUAAUGACUCAAGCUUUCGGGGUGCUCGAAGUGUUGUUCGUGAUAAUUCAAACCCAACUUCCCAAUUUCGUAAUUUCACUCCUCCAAAUCCUCCAAAUAAAACUAGUAAACCUAGUGAAAUCGGUCAAAGCAGCAAAACUCAAUCAUCGGGUUCGGGAUUACGCUGUUUUAAUUGCGGAGAAAAUGGGCACCGAAUGACAGAAUGUAAAAAGGGAGGAAAAUAUGGUAAAGGCUUAUUCGUAGGCACAGAGGAAAGUGAAAGUGAAGACUACCAGGAGGAAGAAACUGAAGAGUUCGCUGUAGAGCCAACUUUUGAUAGUAGUGGUAGCACUCAAUCUGUUGAAGAACAUGGUGAUAGCGGGCCAAUGUUGAUCGUGAACCGCACAUUCUUCACUCCUAAAGGUCAAGACAAAGACAAGUGGCUACGACAGAAUAUCUUUCAGACUACUUGCACAAUCGGGGGUAAAGUAUGUCGUAUGAUCAUAGACUCCGGCAGUUGCGAGAAUGUCAUUUCGGAAGAAGCCAUAACAAAGCUAAAUUUAAAGACAGAACCUCAUCAAACUCCAUACAAGCUCACAUGGCUGAAGAAGGGAAAUCAAGUGACAGUAUCGAAACGUUGCUUAGUUUCCUUAUCCAUUGGUUCAAUUUAUAAAGACAAAAUUUGGUGUGAUGUUGUGGCUAUGGAUGCUUGUCAUCUAUUACUGGGUAGACCUUGGCAAUAUGAUCGAAACGUAGUGCAUGAUGGGAAGAGAAACACCUACAGCUUUAUGUUUAACAACACCAAGAUCGUUCUCCUACCUAACAAAGAGUUUACUCUCCAGCAAGACUUGGGUAAUUAUUUGUUAGGAAAGAAGCAAUUUAUAGAUGUUGUAGCAGAGACAAAGAGAGUCUACAUUUUAUUGGGAAAAGAGAGUAACGGUGAUUCGAAGAUUCCUGAAGCUGUGACACCUAUUCUGGUGGAAUUUCAAGAUUUGUUCCCUAAUGAGCUACCACAGGGUUUACCACCUCUUCGAGAUAUACAACACCAAAUUGAUUUGGUACCAGGUUCUACAUUACCAAAUCAACCUCAUUAUCGUAUGAGUCCUACAGAACAUGAGGAAUUAAGGCGCCAAGUGGAAGAGUUACUAGAAAAGGGAUUUAUCCGUGAAAGUCUUAGUCCCUGUGCAGUCCCUGCUUUAUUGACUCCAAAAAAAGAUGGUUCUUGGAGGAUGUGCGUGGACAGUCGAGCUAUCAAUAAAAUUACAGUUCGAUAUCGUUUUCCAAUCCCUCGAUUAGACGACUUGUUAGAUCAACUCAGUGGAGCAACAAUUUUUACCAAACUUGAUUUGAAAAGUGGCUACCAUCAAAUUUGAAUACGGCCUGGAGAUGAAUGGAAAGCAGCUUUUAAAAUUCGCGAAGGGUUAUGCGAGUGGUUGGUAAUGCCGUUUGGCUUAUCUAAUGCUCCGAGUACUUUUAUGCGAGUCAUGAAUCAAGUUCUUCGCCCUUUCAUUGGAAAGUUUGUGGUUGUUUACUUCGAUGAUAUACUUAUAUAUAGCACCAGUCACGAGUUACAUCUACAACAUUUGAGAGAAGUGCUUUUAGCCUUAAGAGCAACAAGUUUAUACACAGCAGUAAACAAGUGUAUUUUCUUGACCGAGAAAGUAUUAUUUUUGGGAUAUGUGGUGUCGAAGGAUGGUAUAUCUGUUGACCAAUCAAAAGUGGAUGCUAUUCGAGAUUGGCCUCAGCCAACUACUUUAUCCGCCACCAGAAGUUUCCAUGGAUUGGCCUCUUUUUACAGGCGAUUCAUUCCUCAUUUCAGUACUAUUAUGGCACCAAUCACAAAUUGCAUGAAAGGAGGACAAUUCUCUUGGACAGAGGCAGCUACUAAGGCAUUCAAGAUUAUCAAAGAAAAGUUGAUUACUGCCCCAGUACUUGCCCUACCAGAUUUUUCGCUCACUUUUGAGGUACAUUGUGAUGCUUCUAAGGUCGGCAUUGGAGCUGUUCUUAGCCAACAGGGUAAGCCUAUAGCUUAUUUCAGUGAGAAGUUGAAUCAAGCAAAGGCACACUACAGCACUUAUGACGUGGAAUUUUACGCAGUAGUCCAAGCGUUAAAACAUUGGCGACAUUAUCUAAUUCAUAAAGACUUUGUUUUAUACACUGACCAUGCCACGUUAAAGUAUCUCAAUAGUCAAGACAAGCUCUCUCACAGACAUGCCACGUGGACAGCAUUCCUUCAACAAUUUACCUUUGUGGUGAAGCAUACCUCUGGUGAAUCCAACCGGGCAGCAGAUGCACUUAGUCGACGAACUUCGUUAUUGACACAGAUGCAUAAUCAAGUUCUUGGAUUUGACACAUUUCGAGAGUUAUAUGCUUCUGAUCCUUACUUUGCUCCUAUAUUAGAAGACGUUGUUGCAGGGUUUCGCUCAGAUUAUCAUUUACAUGACGAAUUCCUUUUCAAGAGUAAUCAGUUGUGUGUUCCUAACUCAAGUUUGAGAUUGAAAAUCAUUUCAGAGUUACAUAAUGAAGGGCACAUGGGUCGUGACAAAACUCUGGCUCUAAUCGCCAACACUUAUUUUUGGCCUACUAUGAGGCGUGAAGUCUAUCACUAUGUUGAGACUUGUCGCAUUUGUCAAGUUUCCAAGGGUGCAGCAACUAAUGCUGGGUUAUAUAUGCCGCUGCCAAUUCCAACACAACCUUGGGCUGACAUUAGCAUGGAUUUUGUUUUGGGAUUACCCCGCACUCAGAGGGGUAUGGAUUCAAUAUUUGUUGUUGUUGAUCGAUUCUCGAAAAUGGCUCACUUCAUUGCUUGCAAGAAGACUACAGACGCUUUGACUGUUGCUCGCCUAUUCUUCAAGGAAGUCUAUAGAUUGCACGGUUUACCAAGUUCUAUAGUAUCUGACCGGGAUACACGAUUUCUUAGCCAUUUUUGGAAGACAUUAUGGAAGUUGACUAACACUCGCCUGAAUUUUAGUAGUGCUUACCACCCACAAACAGAUGGUCAAACUGAAGUUGUCAACCGCUCUUUAGGAAACCAUUUACGUAGUCUAGUUGGUGAUAACUUGAAGAUGUGGGAUCAGAAGUUAUAUCAAGUCGAGUUUACUUAUAACCGUGCAGUUAAGCGUAGUACUGGUUUAAGCCCUUUUCAGGUGAAUUACGGAUAUAAUCCACGAGCUCCUAUCGACUUGGCUCCAGUUCCAGAUUUAGUUCGCAAAAGCGGUAAAGCAGAAGACUUUAUUGAGCAGCUUCAGCAGAUUCAUGAAACUACGCAAGAGUCUUUGAAGCAGACGACCGAAGGUUAUAAAAUUAUGGCAGACAAAAAACGUCGAGCUUUAGAAUUUCAAGUAGGAGAUCUUGUUUGGGCUAUCUUAACUAAAGAUAGAUUCUCAGUUGGUGAGUACAACAAGCUUUCUGCCAGGAAAAUUGGCCCUUUGGAGAUUAUCGAGAAGAUAAAUCCUAAUGCAUACCGAUUACAGCUUCCUAGUCAUAUCCGCACCGCAGAUGUCUUUAAUGUCAAGCAUCUUAUUCCUUACAGAGGUGAUCAUGAUGAAGAUGUUAUUGCUGACAAUCUGAAUUCGAGGGCGAAUUCUCUUCACCCUGGGGGGAAUGAUGAAGAGUAGGAAUCCAUAUUAUACUAGGAUUAGUUUCCUUAUUAACUAAAGUUUAAGACUUUUAAAUUCCUUUCUAAUUUAGAAUUUUGUUUCCCUUUCAAUUUAGGAUUUUGUUUUACUUCAUGAAUUAGGAUAAUUACUACUACUAUAAAUAGCUCCCUCUUGUAGCCUUUGAAAGCAAAGAUUUUUGAGUUUAAUAAUAUUUCAAUUUUCAAAUCUCUUUGUGAGUAUUUGAACAGUUAAUUCUCGGUAUUCUGCGGAAUCAACGAGUCUUAAUCCCUAAAUUCGCGGUAUUCUUUUGAAUCAACGUGAAUUUAGUUGUUCUUUUGUUCCAGUAUUCUCUAAAAUCAACGGAAUAUUUUGAACAUUAAACUUCCGCUGCAUCACAGAGAGAAGAGCCAAGAGAAAUAGAAAGAGAUAUUUUAUUUCCUGAUACCCCAUACACGAAUUUGUUCUGCUCUACAUAUAUUCCUCUGUCCAAGACGUUAGCAAAAAUAUUACAGCUCAGCAACUUCUAACAGAAAAUAUGAUAGCAAAAACAAACCAACAAUCAUAAGGUACUAGCAAUUUCACCACACGACAUAAUCCUUAAACCACCCAGGGGCUCUUCUAACUCGUGUGCUUGCGUACCGUUCCUCAUGAGCUGAUUCUUCCUCAACCUGUGAUGUGGCUUCCUUCAUGGGCUGUUCAUAAUUGGACUCGUUGUUGGGCUGCCCUUCUUGUAAGCAAUCCGGUUGAUCCGACUGAAUGUGGAAGGUUGUAUCAAAGAACCUUCAGCGAUUUUUUACUAUAAACGUAAGCAUAUUUUAAUUUUAAUAUACGCAUUAAUGAUUUAACUAAUUUUAUGUAUGUAUUUAUAUUUUUAAUUUUUUCUCAUUCCUUUUUAUGUAAGCGUGAGUUGAGGCUCGACCCCGAUCCGGCCUUUAAACUAGACCUUGUUCCUUAUACAUGGGCUCAAAUGGACUUGGGUCAUUUAUUUCAAGAGUAGCCUUUCGACAUCCCUUAAAAUUUCUUAUAAAACUCAUUUUCUAUUAAAACGACUUGAAUAACUAUAAAUAAAUAUUUUUUUAAAAUUUUAAAUGGGAUUUCAAUUAAAUACUUAAAUAAAUUAAGGUUUUAAUAAAUAAUUUACACCCACAUCAUUUCAUAAUUUAUAUCUAUAUUUAUGAGAAGAUAUUUAAUUUUAAUAAAUGAGUUUAUAUUUUAUAAAUUAAAUAAGAAGUAUUUUAGGAAAUAAAAUUCAAUAAGUGGUGUUGUCUAUUACGUUUCAGACAGAUCACCAAAACUAUUGGUGUGUUAAACUUCACUUACUUUCAAAUCUUAUUGAAGACAACAUGAAUUUGAUCCAACUUAAUGCUAGUUUAUAUGAUGUUGGUUUAAUGCCUAUGUUGGGGGUGUCAAUGCCUUUGCAUUCAACCAUUUCAACUAUAGACAACAGAUCUCUGAUGUAUUUUCUUUGUGAUAAAUAUACACAAUGUGCGUCUUGCGACACUUUAAUUCCAAGGAAAUAAGAUAAUAUUCCUAGGUCUUUUAAGGCAAAUGCUUUCCUAAACUGAGUUAUAAAACUUUUUAACUUUAUAGUACUUGGACUUGUAAUGAGUGUUUCUUCUUAUGAAAAGAGAGGCAUCCAAAUUAAUAUUAAUAAAACCCCAAUGCAAUAAACAGCUUUUCAGCUUAUCAAACUAAGCUCUAGGAACUUGUUUGAGUCUAUAUAGACAUUUGUACAAUUUGCACACAAAUUCAGGUUUCUCAGCAUUAAUAAAGCCUUCUGGCUAACACAUGAAUACCUCCUCAGUUAACUCUCCAUUAAAAAAGGCAUUGUUAACAUUAACUUGCCUUAUUUUCCAUUAGUUCAUCACUCCUAGGCUCAGCACCACUCUAAUAAUAGCUAAUUUAACCACUUGACUGAAUGUUUUAAAGUAAUUCACCCCUGCCACUUGCUAAAAUCCUUUUGCAAUAAGCUUGGAUUUAUACUUAGCUACACUUCCAUCUUUGUUAUACUUGAUCCUUCACACCCAUUUAUUGUCAGCAACGUCAUGACCAGCUUGUCUUGGAACUAAUGUCCAUGUAUUAUUCUUAAUCAAAGCAUCAUAUUCUUCUUUCAUAGCUUGCAGCCGUCUGGAGUCAUCUAAUGCCUCUUGCACAUUAUCUGGUUCUUUGUGAAUGAGAGUAUCAGUUGUUGUGUCUUUUUUUUUCAUUUUGUUUAUUCAAUAACCACAAAACUGAUGUUGGAGUAUCUUCCAGCAAAUUAUAUACAAAACAGAAAUGUAAGUACAGUAAUAUUAUAUUCUUAAAUUAUGUCUACAAAUACAAAGUAAAUUAAAAUAAGAUUAAUGAAAUAAUAAAAAUGUAAAUAUUAAUGAUAGAUAAAAAAAAUAUGGGAUAUGAUAGUAAUGCCUUAGUAAACAAUAUUAUAGUAUAUGGCAAGUCCAGCUAUUUGAAGAGAACUUUAAAACCAUAUGAAUCUCAAAAAUUACCAAAAAUAAACUUUAUUAUACACUAAUUAUUCCGUGCCAUUUUCCUGAGCACUUUUGUUUAUUUUAGGAACGCAUACUUAAACAAUCUGAUCAAGCAUGAAAGCAUUUUCGAUUCAUGGAAGGUAACAACUUUGGAGAUGAUAUUUUGGUUUUGUGGUAACUUAACAUAUAUAAAAUAAAAAUUGCCAACUGAAAUUGAAGAUGCAUGCUUACUGAAAUAUUCAGAGAAUACUAAGCUGGCUUCUCCCUUUAUUUGAGUUCACUAAAUGGAUCCUUGAGGUUAUGGUUCCUCAUCACCUCAACAUAUGCAGCAAGGCUUUGCCUUGACAUUGUUGCUACAUCCCUCUUUGAUGCAAAAAAAAUUUGAGGGGAUCUAUUCAGAUUAUGAGUGGUAAAGCGAUUCCAUUGGAUUGUAGUUUUGUCAAACUCCUCCAUAUAAACUGGGUGGAUAUCACACCUCUCACCUCCGAUCCUGGCCAAAACACACCCCUGAGAAGUUACAUAAUUUAUGAUUAUAGUCCUCAAAGCAUUUGUACUUUUCUUGGGAAUGAAUGGAAAAAAUAUUAUCUAUUUAUUACAGCCCACUGUAUGAUUUUAAAGUUUUCCCAGACUUUCCCGCACUUUAAAAUUCUGGACCUGAAAACUACUCUAUUUGGCAAUGACACAGUCCACAAAGCAUUUGUACUUUUCUUUGGCUACUAACGCAUGAUAGAUUGAAAACGAAAACGAAGCUAAUGAGGAGGCAUAUUCCAAUAGGCAUUAUAUAUGAUCAUUAUGUUUUUUCGGUGAAGGAUAUGUUGCAUGAUCUUAGGGAUUGGAUCGUUGAAAAAAGACUUUGGAAUUGAUUCCUCCCUGUGGCACAAUGCCAUCAAUUCUUUUCUCUUAAUCUAAAGGAAUGAACUUGUCAAAAUCUAUUGCGUAAAAGGCUGUUGGGUUCAAAUUUGAAGUGGAGUACUUGAGUACUUUGUUUGGAGCUUUGCAAGUUUGUUAGUGAACAUCAAGCUUGUUUGGCAUUGUUAAAGUCUUGAAAAUAUGACAGGUGACCUUCAAGUAGUUGGAAGAGUUAAAAAGCUCAACAAGGAAAAUUACAAUACAUGGGCAACAUUGAUGGAGUCUUGCUUACAGGGUCAAGAUCUCUAGGAGAUUGUUUGUGGUAAUAAUAUGAGACCACCAACUGAGGAUGCCGCUUUAAAGAAGUGAAGCAUUAUAGCUGGAAGGCCAUGUUCGCCAUCAAGACUACAAUUGAAGAAGAAAUGCUACAACACAUAAAAAAGGUUAAAAUACCUAAGAAAACUUGAGAUACUUCUACAAUGAGUUUUUCAAAGAAGAAUAACAUAUGGCUACAACUUUUGAAAAAUGAGCUACUAUCAAUUUCAUAAUGAAACAUGACGAUUGACGAAUACUUAAACAAGUUAAAGCCUCUAUGCUAUGAAAUUUCUGGGUUAGAUUCUACUGCUGUAAUUUCUAAAUUUAGAAUAAAGAGAAUUAUUGUCAAUGGGUUGAGGCUUGAGGCUUGAGCUUAAGAGCUUUGUUACAGCUAUCUAAGGUUGUCCAACUCAACCAACCAUUGAGAAUUUUGAAAACUUACUUGCUGAUCAAGAAGUAAUUGAUAAGCAAUUGAGUGGGGCCUUAGUAAUGGAUGAUGAGGAAGCGUUUUUUAUUGAUAACACUACUAGAAAAAUGUCUUUCACUGAUACUAAGUUGUUGAUACUAAAUAAAAAAGUAUCAGUAUUUGAUGACUUAAGUAACUUUUAGUGUAUUUUACAUAUUAGUGCCAGUGGUUAUUAAUAAUAUAGUAUCAUAAACUUUUACUGAUACUAACAUAUAUAUUUUUAAUUUUAAUUUUAAUUUUUCUUAUUCCAAACGACGUAGUUUUACUUUUAAAAUUAGGGUAUCUUAAAUUCAACACAUGUGAAAUUUUAUGGCCUUAACGAAUGUACUAUUCGUCUAUUCCCUCUUCAUCUUCCCUCUCUCCCGAAUCCUUCCCACUCAUUUCAAGAAACCCUAAAUUGAAACAAAACAAAUCACCCAGCCUUUUCAGUCUUAACAAAACAAUUACGGGGUUUUUAAUUAAAUACCCUUUAAUAGUUUCAAAAUUAUUUAAAUACCUCCUCCCUUUUUUGUUUUCAUAGAUACCCUAACAAAUGUGAGUAAAGUCUGAAAUGUCCCUAAUGAAUGCAUCAAAUUCACUCAACUUCAUUGUCUUUAUAUUUCUUUCACCCAAAUCUCUUCUUGUUGCCGAAAUUCUCUCAAAAUCUCCUAGAAUCUCUCAAAAUCUCUCAUAACUUCUUACACAAAUACAAUUAUAUAUUUAUUUUUUUUAACACCCACUCUUUCUUUAACUGAAAUGAAGUGCAUUACUCAUUAAACAACCCAAUAAGGUAUGUUAAUGUUGUUGGGUUUUAAGUUUUUUAAUCUUUAGGAAAAUUUAGAAAUUUUCCUCACAUUAUAAUGUUUUAUUUUCACCAUUUUUUCUUAUAUGUAGAAAUAUAUGCAAUGUAGGUCGUUUCAUUAUUUUUUUCAGCAAUAUAAUUUAUUUAUGGUGAAAAUAUUUCACGUCGUGCAUUCCUUUUGAUACUGUGUACGUCAUGUAAUUAGUCAUGUAGGUCAUGUAAGUAAUAUAACCGUGUAAGUCGUGUAGUUUAUGUAAGUAAUAUAGUCAUGUAGGUUGUGUAAGUCAUGUAAGUAAUGUAGUCGUGUAAGUCGUGUAAGUCAUGUAAGUAAUGUAGUCGUGUAGGUCGUGUAAUUACUUGUAUAUGAAAUUUGAUAUUAUUAUUUUUGUUGUAUCAUCAGAUAUGGUUUUGGUACGUGUGCCUAUUCUCUUCAAUGGUGAAUGGAUUGAGCAAAAUGAUAAGUAUGAGUUCAAAGGUUCCAAGGCUAAAGGGAUAAUGAUACCACAAUCGACAACAUAUGUCGAAUUGGUGGAGAAGAUAGCUCAAGUUAUUGAUAUAGACACGUCAGAAUUCGAAAUCACAAUGAAAUUCACGCUUAAGACAUUUGAUCGUAUGCCACCAGUUACAAUUCAAACCAAUGAUGAUGUUGAAUUUUUUUAGAUUCCAAUUUAAUUUCACUUCUUUUUUCUAAUAAUUUUCGUUGACAUUUUAUGACACCAAAUCGUGUGUUCAUAAAUUGCAGAAAAAAACUAAAUUUGCACAUCCGACAGUUUGAGAAAUGAUUAAAUUAAUUAGUAUAAAUAAACAAAGUUAUCAGUGCACAAAUUUUUCAAUAUUUGAAUAAGAUACACUAAUGAACAUCGCAAUUAAACAUAUUAUAACCAUUUAAAAAAGCUUUUUUUGUUUUAUCUUCAAAGUGCUUUCUUCCUCUGCCCAAGCAUACAUGAGGAAUGCAUGCAUAUAAUUAAUCCAUGAAAUCAAUUAAGAAAUAAACAUCAACUAUAGGAAAUUAAUGUAAUGUUAUACACAUACGAACACCAUUUGCAGUCGUGUAAUCGUGCAAUACAUGAAGGUCGUGUAAUCGUGCAAUACAUGAAGGUCGUGUAAUCUUGCAAUACAUGAAUGUCGUGUAGUCGUGCAAUACAUGAAGGUCGUGUAAUACACAAUUUUGAAUCUUACAUAACCUUACACGACCAAAUCGUGUGUUACAUGAUAAAAUUAUAAUUAGCACAAUCCAUUAAUUUUUCACAAUUUGCAUGCAGCAAAACAACUAAAAAUUUGUUUUUGAACAUGCUAUGAGAGACCCGUAACUAAUUAAUCUAUUUUUUCAAUAUAAAACCCUAACUUUUUGUUUUUGAACUAGGCUUCUCUUUCUCAGUUGUGGCAGCUUCCCAUUCUCAAGCUCAAUUUGCUCGUGUUGAAGUUCGAUUUAGCAUGUAUGGAGAAUGAAUGUUUGUUUUGGUAGAGGUGAUGCCGGUGAGCGAAUUGCAGAGGUGAUGCUGGUUGAUAUUCGAUUUAGCAUGUAUGAGAAUGGGGGAUGAAUGUUUGUUUGUUUGUUUGAGUAAAGAUAAUGGAGGGAAUUGCAGCCGAUAUGAGUGUUUGUUUGCUUGAGUAGAGGGGGGAGAGGUACUGUCCGUUGAGUUGAAAUGUUUUAAAAUGAGGAUAGUUUAGUAAUUUUGUAUCAGCUUUUAAAGGGUAUUGAUAAAAAUUUUGGCAAAAUUAAAUUUUAGGGUAUUGAGAUAAUUUUUUAAGUAUGGAGGUGUACCUGCUGCAAUUAACUCAACAAUUACUCUCAGUCUCCCAACAAAAUAAAAUCAUCCUAGUUUUACUUUAUGAAGCGUAUGGGUCUUGAUUCUUCGGUCACCACCGAAGACAACCAAAGGAUGAAAAAAGUCAAACAAGAUGAGGAGGAAUAAGAAAGAGGAAGAGCAAGUCAAAGAAACUAGCUUCACAAAUCUAUAUGAGAAUUCCCUGCUCGAGGUGUUGAAACACGCGGACACCAGGACUUCGUUGCAGGUGGCCUUGCGUCAACAAGCUAUGGCACAAGACACUCAAAAUGAGCACCUUUGGAAAUUAAUUUGCACCCACCACUUCGCUAACGUUGGGUGCACUGCCCAACAACUCAGAUCUGUUGUCCUGGCUCUUGGUGGCUCCCGUCGCCUUCACUCCCUCUAUCUCGGUGGCUCCCGUCGCUUUCUCUCUCUGCCAUUCUUUCUCUCACAGUCGAAACCAAAACUCAAAUCCCUAACUCCCCAGCCACAAAACCUCUCAUUUGCCUCAACAAAACAAAAUCAAUCCGUACUCCUUCUCUUUGAUUAUUCGAAAGUUAGAAGCACCUUAAAUAGUUCUCUCUGAAAAGCCAUUCACCCAAACCCUAACCUCACUAAUAAAAUUUUUAUUAAUAGUGAUUUUUUCAAUUAAUUAAGAUAUGGGUUCAUUGGCAGAGAAACAAAGGUUAGUGUUUGCUCUAUUUCUUUCAUCGAUUUUCUUUCUCUUUUUGAAAUUUUUCUAAUUUUCUCUUAAUUUCGACUGUGAUUUUAUUGUUUCUAUAGCUGUAGUUUGAUAAAUGUUUCUUGAUUUGAUGGAAAGCAUGAUUUAUUACAUGUCUGCUUGAGAUAAGCCGGUUAGUAAUUUGUUUUUUAAAUAAUUAUAUGUAAUAUUUGUUUUGAUUCGCAUAUCGUAAACACGAUGUUAUUGCCUACUAACUAAUUAUAGACUUCGAUUUACAUUCACUUAAAUAGGAUAUGAUUAUGUAUCCUUUUUUUUUUUUUUGGCUGUUUGCUGAUUGUGUUAUUUAUAGUGUUGUUAUUGGCGGUUUAUAUGGUGAGUAGGGCAGUAUUUUAAUUGAAACAAUUAAAGAUAUGGGGAAUUAUUAGGUAGAAAGUGGCUGCAGGAGGAGGUUCUCCUAUUGCAGUAUGCCUAAAUAGUAUUCAUUUUGCCCCUUUUUUUUUUACUGCUGACUAUUGUUCCUUGUGAAUGCGUUUCUAAUCCAGAGACUUCGCCCUGUGGUAUCCACUUUGAGAAACUACUCAUCUGCAACUAAACAGGUAAUUGUGCCUUUUAUAACUUAUUACUUGUAAUGCAAUGAUUUUGGCUGUAUGAUGAUUGUAUUCUUCUAUAUGUAUAGGCUUUUAUUAUUAUUAUUAGUGAAUCAGCUGAAUGCUUAAGAUAUUCUAAUACUAAUAGUUAUGUUCUUCAUUAUACUUACAAUGUAUGGAUUUUGAUGCAUUUUAAGAAGAAUAUGAAAUUAAAUAUUUGACUGUAGGGACAACAAAUAUGUUCGAGCUUUUAUUAGUAUAAUAGUAUGUGAAUUAAAAAUAUUAUAAUUUGAACAAACUCCGAAGCUUUGAAACUAUGCACUUUCAUGUUGCUAUUUGUGACAGUGGAUUUUGAUUGCUCUUUGUUAGCGACUCGCUUUUACUUGUUUGCUAAUGUUUAUAAUUCGUCCAUCUCAUUAUACUUGAAAGUUGGUGAUUCUAUGUAAUUUAUAAAUCCAACCGGUAUCUUCUUAUUUAAAUCCGUAGGCCAGAAGCAAAGCAAUCUUUUUAUGCAUUGGCUGUAUUAGUAAAUCACAUAGAUAAAAUCACAGGGUUUAUAUUGUUACUUAUUUCUUUUCUGUUUGCAGGAAAAUUCCUAGGGAUUUGACAGAGGCAUCACUAUCUGGUGCAGGAUUAUCCAUAAUAGCAGCCCUUUCUAUGUUGUUUUUAUUUGGAAUGGUAGGUUGCCACUUGCAUAGUUGUGCCUCUUUUGUCGGAUAUCAUGGGUGCAUUUUGCAUAUUCAGUGUAUAUUAUCGUCCACCUGGAUUGUUUGUGUAACAUGAUGCUUUCAUGGAGUUCUAUUUGGCUUUUCAUUGUUUCUAGAACAGAUUAAAUUUAACAAAAACUAUUCGCAAUUUUUCUGUAGGACCUGAUUUAAGACCCACUGGUUCUGAAUUCCACUCAAUGCUUGUUAUACAUUCGCUUAAGCAUGGAGAGGAAGCUGAUGAUGAUUCUGUUGAAGGUUCUCAUACGCUAACUGCCAAUAAUUUUGAUAGCUAUUCACAUGAGUAAGUGAGCCUUCUCUGAACCACAACUUAUAAUUUUUAUUUUCAAUUCUGUGAUCACAAUAUUUCUCUGCUAUGUGGCAAUUGCAAUGAUGCCUUCUUUGAUUUGUAUUAUAUUUCCUUUCCAGGUAUCCUAUUUUAGCUGUCAAUUUUUAUGAUCCAUGGUGCUACUGGAGUAAAUGCCUGGUAUUUUUAUUUUCACCUUUUGUUUCUCAAAUUUUGUCUUGUUGCUUUUUGAUUAUUGUUGUCUAGAUUUACCUUAUUGGAUCUAUUCUUUCUCAUGUUUGUGUUGAUGUAAUUGCCAGAUAUAAUAUUUUAAAUUUAUUCACUUGGAUGUCAUGUUUGUGCCUGCUCAUAUGCACACAUAUUAAGUUGAUUAACUCCAUUGCUCUGUGCGUCCACUGACAGUUGCACACAAAUUCCUUCAUUACUUUGGUUAACUCCAUUGGUCUCUGUGUUUGUGUUGAACUUUCCAUGCCUGUUAUACAACCAAGCAUGGGUUUUCUUUUGUUUGUUUGACUGUAUUGUUAGACUUCCCCUCAUGAUGUUGUUAAUAAUUUCUCCUCUUUCUCUUGGACAACGGUUAAAAUAAUUUUUAUUGUUAGUAUAAUAUGCUUGUCUUGCAUGCAUUUAUAUGCCAUUAGGAAACUAUGCAGAUUGCAGCAUGUAAAUUUUAUCAGUUUUUUUAUUGUGCAUGUCUUGAAUGGUGCAGGAUGACUUACAAUAAACCAAAGCAUGUAUAUGGGUCAAAACUAAAUAAUUAGAGCAAAUGUCAAAUUGGUACAUGGAAACAAUAAUAGAAGACUUCAUUUCGAUUACCGAAAGAAAGAAUCCGCGAAGCAAUAAACAUGUGUUGGAAGAUUGUGCUGUUACUAUAUAUCAGAUUAUAAAUUAUUUGUAGUUGGUAAACAAUGUAAUAAGUUUCAAACAAUGUAAUAAUUUUUAAAUUGUUCAUUGCAAUGUAAUAGUUUUCAUAUGGAUGAAUGUAAAUUUCAAUUCAAAUGCCAAUUGCAAAUUUUCAAUUUCUAUUAUAUGGAUUUCUAUUUUUUUUUUUAAUUUUUCUCAAAUAAACAUUGAUACCAAAUUAUCGUUAUAUUUAUUAUGCUUUUGUAUCAUUAUUUGUUUGAUACCAUAGUCUCAUUAUAUAUGUGAUGUUCAAGCAUCAAUAUUUUUUUGGUACUAUAGUGACAUAGAUUCGCUGAUACAAAAAACUUGUGUCAGUAAAUUUCUUGCACCGUAUUCAGUGACACUAAACUCGGUGUCAGUAAAACAAGCUCUUGAUAUCAAAAUAGUAUCAAAGAAGGCCAUUUUUUUACUAGUGUAAGAGACAUCGAUUCAGACAACAUAGCAAUGAAGUAAUGUAGGAAGUAUAUUAGAUAAAAUAAAUUAGAAUUUAUUAGGAAUUAUAAUAUUUGGGUAUUUAGUAUUUUAUUAGAAUUUAUCUUAUUUUUUAAACUUAUUCGAUCAUGUUUAGAAUUCUAAUCUAAUUAAGAUUUUAGAUUAUUUAUCUUAUUUAAGAAGGAUUAAGAUUAAGUUGGCUACUUAGUAUAUAUAGGCUUGUUACUGAUAGUUCUUUAUAACAUACAUAAGCUUCUCAUCAAUAAUAUUUAAUAUUUCUUAAUUGAGAUACUUUCUCCUUCGUGAGAGCAUUUUUUCUUGAAUUUUCAAGAACGUAUGUUAUAAUGAAAUUUAGUAUCGCUUAUGCGAUGCGUCAAGUGGUAUCAGAGCCUUUCUUUGUAUUAGGCAGAGCUUUCCUGACCAUCAACCAUUCCCCAUACACAAAUCCUCCCUCCAUCAUCCAUUACUUUCAUUAAAAAAAAAAAAAAAGAAGAAGAAGAAGAAAAAGUCAGAAAAAUAGCAAAACCCGAAGCCACCUCACGUCCACCAUCUCCAGCUGCUGCCUCUGUCAUUCUUCACCUUUUUCAUGCUUUAAUAAAAUUUAACAUAAUGCUCACUAUUUUGUAUAUUAUUAAGGACCAUUGUAUGAUUAAUCAUGAAGUGUAUAUUAUUUUUCACAUUAAUUUAGCACAACCUAUACCAUGAAAUUACGGAUUAUAUUACAGUGAAUACUUUUAUAUGGUAGGAAUAUAAAUUUAAGUUUUACAAGCCUAUUUUCAUUUAAUUUUCCAAUAUCACUUUGUUGAUUUCGUAAAGUUGAAAUUAACAUACAUUCUUAAUUAGUUAUAUAGUUUAUGAAUCAUGAAAGAUUUUUGUUGUUGAUAUUCAUUGAUUGUGGUUACAAAAUUUUAUGUCACUAAGAGGCUGAUUGCAUUUAUGAUGGUAAUUAAUAUAAUAAGUAAAUAUUACCUCCAAUAAUAUUCAUGAAAUAUUACCUAUUUAUUUUAUAUUCUCGUUAUAAAAGCAUGGUUUUGGAUAUUUUAACUUAAAUUUUGACACAAAAAAUGAGCCAUUAAUCUCUCACAAUCUAAUGGUUGAUAUUAAAAGUCAAUGUAAAAUUUUAAAUCAUCCACCAUAGUAACUGAAUUGUGUGAAAUCAAUAAUUUCAAUUUUGUAUUAAAAAUUUAAGAUAAAAUAACUUAAAAGCAAAAGGAUACCUAAACGCCCUUUUGGCUAUAAUACCCUACAUAGGUAGUAACUUUUAAAAAAAUUAACGUUAAAAUAUUUUUAAUAAACACAAAUAUACUUUAAAUAGUUUAUUUUGUCUAAUAGACUAAAAAUAAUGGAAUAUUUGUAAUAUGUAUAAAAUAAUUUUUAAAAUGUAAAUUAUAAUAUUAUUUUAAUAAUAUCUUUUUAUCUAUUAUAUAAUUUUUAAAUAAAUAUUUGGGUUAAAUAGAUUUUACAACUAAUAAAAAAAUCUCAUGUAUUGAUAAUAUUAAAAUUAUUUUAUAUAAAUUUAAAAUAAUUCGAAUCUUUAUAUAUUUAUUUUAAUAUUAUGUUUAUAUCCAUUAUAAAAUUUAGUUUAAUCUAAUAUAAUACUGUAAAGUAUUAAAAUAUUUUUUGAAGAUUAAAAUUAUUUUAAUAUACAUAUGUUUAUUUUAUUUUUUUCCUUUCGGAAGCGAAAGCAAGUCCAUGCCCGACAACUUGGGAGGAGAGGCUAAAGGCAAAAACUGGAACAUUUUUUUUUUAUGUGAUAAUUUCUUCUUUCUAUUAUAUAAUUUCUUUUCAAAGAAUUUGUUAUUUUGUUGCUUGUUUAAUGGUAAUUCGGCAAUUUUUUUUGAAAAAACAGAGUAUCAAUGACUCUUAGGUCUCAAAAGUGAUAAGCUAUCCGCAUAUUUUAAUAUUUAACACACAACAUUAAAUAAUUAGUAAUUCUGGUCUCGAGCCCCUUCAAGUAUACCAAACAACUCGCGCUCAUCGCAUCUAUGUACGGCAUCUUUUCCAGAAAAAACAGAGUAAUAAAACAAAGCAGAGUAUUUACUUCGGUCCUUUACUUUCCUUAAUUUUCACCUCAUGAGAAAUCAAAUCUCAAAAUUCAAAGCUUCGAUUUGAUGGGCCAAGAAUGCAAUUUUGAUUCAUGGAAGGCACAUUCUGAUUCUGUCCAACUUUUUUAACCCAAGCCAGGCAUUUUCUGGUAAUUUAACAGGGAAAUAAGCAGCAAGAACUGAUACAAUAAACAAAUACAAAGAAAGUAAAUGAAAUGCGAUCUGCAGAGAAAAUAAAAUUGAAACUGAGAUGCGCACUUACACUGUUACACGUAGACUCAGAGAAAAUAAUAUUCACUAGGCUGUGCCCUUCAUUCGAGUUGUUUAAAUCUUUUAGGUUGUGGUUCCUCAUCAUCAUUACAGCAGCCACUUCCACUAGCUUCAGCCGCCCCAACAUAUUCUUCAAGACUUCGCUUUAGAAAGCUUCGCUCAGACGACGUUGUUGAUCCUGCAUCAUCCCGGCGGCAACUUCCACUGCCUUCUGCCCUGUCUAAGUCAUCAUUACGGCUAUGCGUAAAGGAUGUUGAUCCUGAACAAUCGUGACCAAAUUCGUUCAAAUUCCAAACCGGAUCAGUUGUUUGGUUGAACUUAUCCCCUUGAUGCACAUAUAUUGGAUGGACACCACACCUCUUCAACUCCAAUCCUGACGGCGAAGAAAAUUCCACUUCACUAAUAUCUUCCCUAUUCUGGUAGUAUAGGAAAAGAUGGUCUGACAUAGCCUGACCGAAUUGCUUUCUCAAAUAAAUGCUACACAUACCCGAGGAGGUAGGCUUUCUAUCUAUGGACAGCUCAUGUACGGGAAGCCCUUGUAUAUAAUAAGGAAGUGAAUAUUUAGGGACAUGAAAAACACAGCACAUAGCAUAUCCCACAAGCUUACUAUUCUUAUACGUCUUUGGAGGCGUGCUUAUUGUUAUUGAAGAACCCUCAUUAUUCUGAUACUCGAACCACUCUGGGAUUUCACUUCCAGGAACAAUUAUGUAACAAUAUCUCAUAUAGUCCUGAAACCUCACAAAUAUAUAUAUAUAUAUUAGAAAGCCAUACCAAUGCAUAAUUUUUAGGCAUAAUUUUAGCAACAGGUGAGAGACAGUGUAAGAAACUGACAUUAGUCUGUUUAAUGUACUUGUCCGACAGUGACAUAUUCUGCAACCCCACGGAAAAAAAAAGUGAGUAAAUAAAUAAAAUAAAAAGACAUAACAUGUAUUGCAUCAGUUUUAGGCAUAAUGUUAGCACAGGUGAGAGUGAGAGACUGACCUCAGAAUUUUUAAUGUACUCUUUCAGCAGUGAAAGCGCCAAAUCAUAGUUGCCAGCCAAUUUCAAGCAAUCCACACAAGGAAGGUGUAAGUACGGGAGUUGAUGCUCGUUUAAAUUUAAUACAUCUGAUAAUGUCUUCAACGAAACACAACCGUCUAACGAAAUCCAAUGUAUACUGGCUGGAAGUCGAGGCAGAUUUUGAAGCAUUUUGCAUUCCUCUAAAUCAAUACUCGAAAGUUUAGAAAGAUGGUAAAUGCUUGCCGGCAGCGUAAAAAAAUUGUUUCCACUCAGAUGUAACUCUUCUAAUGAGCAUAAGUCGCCAAUACUACUUGGGAUUGCUCCUUCCCCUAGAUCACAGUCACUGAUAUCCAAUUUCGUUAAACUACACAAACCUGACAGAGAAGACGACAAACUCAAAGCCACCGGAUCUGAACUCCAUCGCAUCAAAUUGAUAGGGAAGCGCAGAAACCAUGAUGCAGAUGAUGGUGAUCCUUUGCACCCAUGAAAAGAUAGUUCUUUAAGAUUCUUCAUAAGAAAAAUUGACGAUUGAGGUUGCCUUAUAGCUGUACCACUUAUAUCAAGGAUUUCCAAACUUUCUACUUGCCCAAUCGUCUCAGGCACAUUUUCAAGUUUGAAGCAGCCUGAGAGAUUCAAAGUUUUGAGGGAUUUCAAACCAUUUAUACUGCUAGGAAGUCUCACGAGACUUCUGCAGUCAUUCAAAUUUAACAAUUCAAGUCUGGUCAAAAGUUCUAUUGAUGAUGGUACUUCUGCAAUAGAAGUUCCAUCUAAAAAGAGCUCUGACAGAUCUUCCAUACUUAUCACACUCUCUGGAAAUUUCACUAUUUUCGAGCAACCAGAGAGCGUUAGAGUUCUUAGACAUUUUAAGCUGCUUGCAGUAAUUGGAAGAGUCUCGAGAUUUCUGCAAUCCUUCAAAUUCAACAAGACAAGUUUGAAUAGAAGCUUAAUAGAUAAAGGUAGUUUUUUGAUAUCAGUUUCAUCCAAAAGAAGUUCCCGUAGACACUCCAUACUUCCCACAACGCGUGGAAGUUUCCUCAAUUUCAAGCAACCAGAAAGAACAAGUGUUUUAAGCGAUUUCAUAAAUAUCUCACCCGGAAGAGUUGUAAGACUUGUACAACCUUUCAAAUUCAACAAGAUCAGCUUAUUGUGACGUAGUAAAGACUGGUGAAUUUCACGCAACCUUGUACAUCCUUCAAGAUCCAACUCCUCUAAGUUUGGGACCUUUGUGAAGUCUGGUGUCUUAAUCAGAUUCUCUGAAUGGCUGAGUUUCAUGAGUCUCAACAUGUUUAAAGGCUGUUGAAAACAAAAAAGGAGCUAAAAUGAUAUUUCUUAAUUCAUAUACUACUAUAAUAAUAAAACUGUUAUCAACAAUUAUUCUCUCAAAAAUCUAAAUUUGUGACAAAAAAAAAUUGAACUUACUUUGAAUCCUUUCCAUAAUUCUUCAAUGCGGCUGUAACACAUUUUAAAUCCAACAAUUUCAUCCAAUUGCAAAUUUGAUGGCAAAGAUUUCAAAGGAUACCGACGCCAAUCAAGUAAUCGCAACCUGUUAGAGAGAUAUUCUAGGCCUCUAGGAAGUUGCACAUUACUGAUUUUGAGCAGUCUUAGGUUGGUCAUCUGCGAAAAUGCUUUAGCACUUGCACUUAAGUAAACCUCAUUUUCAGGAAAGUAGGCAUUAACUAUUAUUCCUUCCACUACUUCACCUCCCUAAAAAUUAUAAGCAAACAAUAAGUAGAUAAAACAAUAAUGUAAAGAUGUUGAAAAUUCGUCAGAGAUAUAAUUGGGAAAAAUAAAGUAGCAACCAUCAACAAGUUUUCCAUUUAAUAAUUCACUUACCGUAUUGUUUGUCAACACCUGGCGCACUUCUUCUUCCCUCCAUAUUCUGCUACGUUUCCCAGGUUCUUCGGGGGAUUGUCUCGUAACAAUCAGUUGUCCCAAUUCCUGUAACAAAUCAUGCAUCCCCAGUGUGUUGUUGUCAUCAACAGUUAAUAGAGACUUUUCGAUAAGAACUUCUAUUCCAAUGACUGGGGAAAAACCACAUCCCUCUAGAAUUUUUGUUACACCAUCUCUAUUCUUCCAUUUAAAGAAACAUGCAACAUCGAGAAAUAUUUUCUUCUCUGAAUCUUGUAGUCCUUCAAAACUUAUUUGAAGUAUACUCAUAAUCUUAUUUGAAGGAUCUUUUUUUAGUCUUUCUAGGGCACUUCUCCAUAGAUCUGCAGAUCUACCAAUUAGAAAGGAUCCCAAAACUUUUAGAGCUAAUGGAAGACCACCAGCAUACUCCAGAACACGUUUAGACAGCUCCACAUAUUCUCCCAUAGGCUGAUGGCUUUUAAAAGCUUUGGUACUAAAGAAUUGAAGAGCUUCAUCGUUAUUUAGUACAUCAAGGUCAAGAAUAUGCUCUUCAUCCACUUCAUGUGCCACCAACAACUGUCUAUCUCUCGUUGUUAUUAGAAUCCUGCUGCCUGGACCGAACCAAUCACGCCUUCCAACUAACCUUUGUAAUUGUUCAACAUCAGCCACAUCAUCGAUUAUGAGAAGAACUUUUUUCCGUUGCAGCCUACUUCCAAUUAUGUUAAUACCAUCGUAGACAUUCUGUAUGCUAUAAUCUGAAAGCUUCAGUAAAUCAGAAAGAAGCUGCUUUUGUAAAGAGAUUUCAUUGCCUUCUUUUUCAGAUUUUUCUCUAACAUCGGCAAGAAAACUACUCCCAUCAAACUCAUGAGACAUCAAGUCAUAAAAAACCUUUGCAAGAGUUGUCUUUCCUAGACCUCCCAUGCCCCAUAUCCCGAUCAUACGAACAUCAUUAGACCCCAUACCCAUAAGAAACCUCAGUUGCUCCAAGCGUGAUUCCAUUCCUACUAGCUCCUUAAGAAUCUCUGGUUCUAAACGAAUUUUACGAAAUAUGACAUUGGCAAUUUCCUCAAUAAAUUCUGACUCAUUGCUGCAGAUUGAAAACAACAAGAAAAGAUUGGCGUUGUUAAAUUAAAGUUAGUAUGAACGUAGUAGCAAAUCAAUUCCAUAUUGUGAAUAAAAUCCAAACUAUGCAAUAUUCAUUUCAUCAAAUUGAAGCCAUAUAAUUAAAUAAUAUGUUAUUAUUACAUCAGUCAACAACAAUUGGAAUGAGAAAUUCAAGCCCAACCCAAUAAAAAUUGGAUUGGGUUGCAUUGUGAUUGGUAAUUUCAAAAUUUAUAUAUUAAAAUUUAUAUAUUGUUUCUUUCUACAACAGGAUCAGUUAGUUGAAAAGACAAUUUAAAUCAAUUAGAUUAGCUAAAUAUGUAAUGAUAUUGAUAUCAUUCGUAUUGAGAUUAUUGCCAUUGUUAUUAUUAGUAUUUUGCAAAUCUAGGUCAAGAGUCAAUUCAUAGAAGAAAAUUAUAUUAAAAUAAAUAGCAAAUGACAAAACAGAGCAGUUUGCAAGCAAGGACGCGGAUAGAUUAAUCUAGGAAAUAAAUUGACUAAAAUUAUAAUCACAAGCUUAAAUCAUUAUAUUGAGAUGCCUAAGCUUGGGCAAUAAUCUAGGAAUAAAGUUUUAUUUUACUUUUUUUUUUUUUUGCAAAACUGAUAGCACAAAGCAUCGCAGCAUAAAAACAUUUAGUCAUCAAAAGUUCAAAAUACAAUAAUUCAACGUAUCAAUGUCCAUAUCUCUUUGUUUGCAGAUAUUAAUUCAUUUAUAAAUUUUAGAUUAUUCUCCUCAUGAUUUGAAUAUCUUCAAAUCACUCCCUUUUGAACACCUCAAUUACCCUAUUUUUGUUCAAAAGAGAAGGAAAAAUGGGGUGAGUUGAUGAAAUAUUUUUUUAUUCUUAACAAAAAUGGGAGGUAAAUUGAGAUUUUCAAAAUUAAAGGUAUAAUUUAAAGAUAUUCAAUUCAUGGGAGGAACCCUCUUCCUACACAUCAUAUGAUAUAUAUAUGUAUUAAAUAGAAGUUGUUUAAUUGAAAACAGUGUUGAAUGAAAAUCUGUUUUGUAGUUACUAAUCUUGCAAAACAAACAAAAUUAAUAGUUGAGAAAAAGAAUGAUUACCUAUCCUUAAAUUCCCAACCUGAUAUAUUGGCCACCACCUUUAAAGCGUGUCUCCACUUUUGCACUUUUUCUAUAUUAUCCUUGAAAAAUUCUUCAUGUUUAGCAAAAGCUUCUCCGAAACAUGUUGUUUGUUUUCUUACAACAGUUGGUUCCACUUCAUAAAAAAUUGGAAAAAUUUGAUCCUCUCUAUUUUUGCAUUCAACAAUCUUAAGAAGUUCAUCCAAGCACCAAGUGGAAGAAGCGUAAUUUUUUGAGAGAACAAUAAUUGAAAUUCUUGAUUCUUCAAUUGCUUUAAGGAGAUUUGGUGAAAUGGAUCCUCCUUUCUCAAGUUGUUUGUCAUCCCUGAAUACAUAAAUUCCUUUAUUGUUCAAAGCAGUGUAGAGAUGACCUAUGAACCCUUUACGGGUGUCUUCUCCUCUAAAGGUUAAGAAGGCAUCGUAUUCCCCAUGAGAGACAUUUUGGAAGCUCGUGGAAGCCAUUAUAUUAAUUUGUUCCUGAAAAUUUAGAAUAAAUCAAGUGAAAUCCAGUGAGCGUAAAAUACCAUGCAAACAAUAAGAUUCAUUCAAGAUUAUGGGCAGCACAAAAAUGAAAAUGUUAUAGAUUAUAUGUAAAUUCUACUUUUUUUAACCACCUAAAUGGUAACUCGAAUGAAUUGUGAUUGUAACUAGUAUUGCGUGACCAGUAUUGUAUAAGCAUUAAUCCGUGCACAGUAAUUUUAGGAGUAAUUAAUUAGAAAAAUUAAUAUAUCUAUUGUUUUAAUUUGCUUAUAGAUCUAAAUUAUUUACGCAUGAUAAAUCCCCAAAUGUAAUAGAAAUUUUUUCUAGAUGCUAAUCGGGGAUGCGCACACCGAUCUCUACUUAAGCAAAUCUUGAUUAGAGCCUCUAAAAGAAGGCAAAGAGUUUGUACAAAAUUAACAUUCAAAGAUUUCUUUCAAUUUUUUCAUUUUUUUCUUUUUCUGUACACUAAGAUGUGCAAAUUAAUUCUGAAAAUAAAAGAGAGAUUUAUGAGAUAGAACUUACAGCUUUUGAGUGUAUUGAAGGAAGCCACUUAAAUGAACUCCAAUGCAGUAUGAUUAUUAUAAUUACCACAAACUCCAAUGCAGUAUUUGUUUCAAAGAAUUUAUUCAUGCAAAUAUCUUUUGGGAAAAAAAAUAUUAAGCCAUUAGGAGUUGUGUGGUUGUACUAAUGUAUGAUUUUCCAAAAGCAAGUCUUGGUAAGAAAGUGACUUUCUUAAUAAUCAAUAAAUAUUGUCACUGUUUACUCACAUGAUGAAGUUAGCAUCGAACUUCCUGGAAGCUUCAAGAAUCUAAACGAAAAUUAUCAGGCUUUUCAAUUGAAUACGCGUCGUCCCCAUUCUGCCCAUUAGCCGUGUUGAAGCCAUUAAAAUGGAUUGGAAUCCAACGGUUGAUAUUAGUAAUUAAUUAAAAAUAGUUAAAAUUACCAGCAGUCUAUCGGAAUGGUAAACAUAGUGACCUUUAUUAGUAAAAUUUUAACGGAGUCCAAAUAGGUAGGGUUGGACAAACUCAAUCCAACCCAAUCUAAUCAAAUUAGAUUUAGAUGGAUUGAUUAGAUUAUAAUGGGCUAACUGACUCAAUUUUUUUUUUUUUCAAUUUGAUUAAUGAUUGAGUUAGGCUGGAUUCAUUAUCAUAAACUCGAAUAAUUCAACCAAACCCAAAAACAACAAAAAUCAUAAAAAAAAUUAACGUUCGGCUAUUAACUAUUCAAUCUUAAACCCAAUUUUGAACCCUAAAAGAGAUCUUGUUCAGUCUCUCUCAUUUAAACAUGAUAUUAAUUGAAUUCUCUAGACUAAAAUUCAAAAGUCAAAUCAAACUUUGACUAAAACUAAGUUGAUAGAUAUUCAAACAUUAAGUUAUAUUGUUUUAUUGACAGAUAUUGGAUAUAAUAGAUAACAUUUAAUGAUAUGAUGAAGAAUUAAUAUGUUUUUUUUACUAUUUGAAUGUGAUUUUAAGUACCAAAUAGCUUUUUUUCUUUUAACUUUGAUGUUUGAACUUUUUUCAUUUUUAAUUUUAAUCAAUUCGUUUGACCCAGUCCAAUGAUUUAAGGAUAAGAUUGGGUUGUCGUCAUAUUUAUUUGGUUGGGGAACUAAUCAAUAGUGGGUUGGGUUGGAUGCCCACUAAAGAGNNNNNNNNNNNNNNNNNNNNNNNNNNNNNNNNNNNNNNNNNNNNNNNNNNNNNNNNNNNNNNNNNNNNNNNNNNNNNNNNNNNNNNNNNNNNNNNNNNNNAAAUUAAAAAAUAAUAAUAAAUUAUAAUUUCUUCCACCAAUAUCAAUAAUUAAAUAAGAUUUAAUAUUAUAUCAACAAAAUAUGUUCAACUUAUGUUUAAUAAACUCCUAUUAAUUUUCACAAUUAUCCGUAAUUGUUGUGGGAUUUACUUUUAUCGUGUUUAGAACAAAAGAAAAAUUAAAUUUCUUUAUCAUAGAAAUAUGCAAAAUCCAUACACUGAAAAAAAAAAAAAGGUAUGCGAAACUGUAAUUACAAUUUAGAAGCUUCCAGUAAGAAUUGAUUCAACUUAUAAAAUCUGUGUUGUUUAUAAUUAAUAUAUAUACACCCUGAUCAACAAAUAUGGUAAAAUAUUAUUUAUCGAGAUCUAAAUUAAAAAAAUCUACAAACCUAAAGAUUCAUCGAGACUUACGAGAUUCAAGGAGAUAAAAUUAUUAAUGAUUAGUGUUAAAAAAGAGAAAAUAGAGAGAAAGAGAAAAAUAAUGUAAUAUAAUUACUACGAUAAUUUCUUUUAACAUGAAAUUAUCGAACAACAAAUUAAUAAUCUUCUUCUUAACUAAACAAACUAAUUAAAAGCCUCUCAUUUACUUCCAAAAUAUAAUUAAAAAAGUUUGUCAAAUGCUGAUUGGAGAGUGUGUUUGCCGACCUUUACUGAAGCAAAUCUUAAUUAGAGCCUCAAAGAGAAGCAAAUUAAAGGGUUGAGACAAGACAAAUUAAAUUACCAUUCAAAGCUUUCUUUCAAUUUUAUUUAUUUCCUGUUCUAAACAUCCAGGAUGUGCAAAUUAAUUCUGAGGAUAAAAGAGAAAUGUAUAAAAUAAAACUUACGGCUUUGAGUGUGUUGAACGAAGCCACCUAAUUGAUCUGCUCAACUCCAAUGAAGUGUUUUGAUUCAAAGGAAAGAAGGUUAAUCAGGCAAAUAUGCAAUUUCCAGCUCCCCAGAUUUAUUUGUACGUAUUCUAAAAGUAAGUCUUGGUCAUCUCAGAAAGUGGGUGGGAAAAAGCAAAAAAGGCCAAAGGAAUCUUUUUGACUACUUCAUAUACGUCUUGUGGGGUGGUUUUUUGUUUUUUGUUUUUGUUUUGGUUUGGGGAGAUAGGGGGGGGGUUCUCCGGGGAAUAAACCGGGUGUAUUUCGCAUGCCGCGUUAAAAGAUUGUAUUUGAGAUAAAAUAAAUCUUAAAGUUUUGAUUGCACAGGCAGCUACCUGUUGAAUUUCAAUGCAGUAUUGCUUCAAAGAAGCUAAGUUAAUCAGUGAAACAUAUUUGUGCAUAUGACGAUUAAAUAUGAAUUAUGUAGAUAAAACAUAAAACAUAUGAAUUUUAAAUUAAAACUUAUAAAUCAAUAUUAAAUAUAAAAUAAAACAUGGAUUGUGUAAUUAAAAUAUAAAACUUCUAAAAUAGAAGGUAAAAUAAGUAAAUUAAUUUAGAAGUGGUAAAUUAGUAAAUUAUGGGUACAUAAAAUAAAAAUUUAUAAAUAUAACAUAAAACUUGUAAACCAACAUUAUGUGUAAAAUAAAACAUAAGAUUUGUAAAUAGAAGGUAAAACAAGUUAAUUAAUAUAGGCAUGAUAAAUUGGUGUAUUAUUAUUAAACAAAACAAAAACUUACAAAUAUAACGUAAAGCUUACAAAUUAAUAUUAAAACAAAAACUGAGAAACAUAAUAUAAAACUUGUAAAUCAAUAAUAAGUUUAAAAUAAAACAUAAAUUAAGCAAAUGAAACAUGAGACUUGUAAACAGAAGGUAAAAUAAGUAAACUAACAAUAUAGGAGUGGUAAAUUGAUGUAUUAUUGGUAAACAAACAAAAACUUAUAGAUGUAACAUAAAAUUUUUAAAUUAGCAUAAAGUGUAAAAAUAAAAUAUAAAUUAUGUAACUAAAACAUAAGAUUUAUAAGAGGAAAGUAAAAUAAGUAAAUUAAUAUAAGAAUUAUUAAAAAAAUAAAAAGUUACAGAUGUAAAUUAAAAAAGAAUUAUAAUAAUGAUUCCCUUAUAUAUUUACUAAUUUUGUCUCUAAAUUGAAUAAUGAUAGUUUUGGGCUUAUGUAAUACAUGUGAUGAUAUAUUUAAAAUUUUAUUAAGAAUAAAACUCUUUUUAUAUUUUUUUAAAGUUGUUUUGUAAGAUAAGGUAAUUUUGCAUCAUUCUAAACCUCCUCGGCAAUAACUCAACGGUAUAAGAAGCAAAGCUUGAAACUAUAUAAAGUAUGCAUAAAACUGAAAAUUAAAUCAAUUUUAUUGAUAUAUCAUAUAUGUCUAGUACUAUAAAAAUAACUUUUAUUUUGUUUUGGCUUGAUCUACAUUAAGAAAAAUAAUUUUGCUUAAUUAACCGGUGUAGUAAGCAAAUAUGAUGAUUAAAAAUGAAAAAAAUUAUAAAUGUCUUAGGAUAAAUAUAGAAUUCAUGGUAUUCAUUAAAAUUUAUUCUAAAUUUGUUUUAAUAUAAUUUUUUCAUUUUCAAUUAAUAAGUGAUUUUUUUGCUUAAUAAGUGAUUUUUGCUUAAUUAAAAUAAAUAAAUCAACUAUUUUCUAGUCUAGUUAAAGUUUGAUGUUGAUUUAUAAGUUUUAUAUUAUUUUUACAAGUAUUUUUUAUUUUUAAUUUUAAAACAUCAAUUUACCACUUUUGUAUUAAUUUAUUUAUUUUAGUUUUUUUAUUAGUUAUAUGUGUAAAUUAUAAAAAUUUAUAUUUAUUACGCAAUUAAUUACGAUGUGAUAGAUUUUUCCUUGUGCACCUAUCUUUCAAGGGAAGGCAGAGGACUUUUAUUGAAUCUGGAAAAUUAAACCGAUUACACGGUUUCCAGCUCCCAGUUGUGUUGAAUCUUGGUCAAAAAGUGUGACUCUUUAAGUAGCGUUUACUUUUUGGAUUGGAGUGGGAAUCCUAGGAUUCAGAGUGUUGAGUGGGAGUGUGAGUAGGUUGUUUACUUGCACUGGAAUAGAAGCAUGGAAUGGAGAUCAGAAUCCAAUUUAUGUGUUUAUUUUAUUUUGAAUUGAGAGUAAAUAGUUUCAAAUUAUAAUUUUAUCCUUAUUUAAAGAAUUAGAGUUUUUAAUUACAAAGUUAAUAAAAAAUAUAUUUAAUGAAUAAACAUUUAUUUUAUUAUAUUUGUAAAUUUAUAAUAAUUAUUAAUAUUCUUAAUUAUGAACAUCACAAUUUUUUAUUAAUUUUAACUUUAAUUAUAUAAAUUAAAAAUUGUUGAUAAGGGCAAUAUAAAUGAAAUAUUUUUACUAUUAACAUAGUAUGAAAUUAAUAUUUUCUUAGAAUAAACUAUUUAUUAGUAUUAAUUAUUCAUAUUAAAUAAAUAUAAUACUAUUAUUUUUAAAUAAAUAUAAUAAUAUUAUAUUUUCAAAUAAAGAUGGUAUAUAGUAAUAUUAUUAAUUCUCUAUUAAUAUAGUAUUAUUAUUUUUAAGUAAAUUAAACUUAGAAUCAAACCCAAUUAUUAUUUAGUUAAAUAUAAUAAUAAUAUUUAAAUAUUUAUUAAAUAUAAUUAUAGUAAAUUUAAUAAAAAGAAGGGUAAAUAUAAAAUGCAACAUUAUUUUAUUUUAUUUUAUUUUACAUAAUUAUAUUAAUUCAUUAUUUAUUAAUAUAAUAUUAUUUAGUACAAAAUUAAUAUUUUCUUAGAAUAAACUAUUUUUAUUAUUAAUUAUUAAUAUUAAAUAAAUAUAGUACUAUUAUUUUUAAAAUAAAUAUAAUAAUAUUAUAUUAUUAAAUAAAGAUAGCAUAUAGUAACUUUUAUUAAUUCUCUAUUAAUAUAAUAAUAUUAUUUUUAAGUAAUUUUAACUUAUAAUCAAUGUAAAUUAUUAUUUAGUUAAAUAUAAUAAUAUUAUUUAAAUAAAGAUAAUAUAAUUUAUUUUAUUUUUGGAGUGGGGAGUGGGAGUGGGACUUCCAUAGGGAGAGGUGGGAGUGGGAUUCCCAAUCCUUCCCCAAUUUGUUGAAGUAAACACUAGAAUUGGAGGAAUCCACACUCUUCACUCCCACUCCAAAAAGUAAACACAACCUUAGUCUUUACCCUACAAUAUGAAACUACCGUUCAAUCAAACUUUCUCUCAAUGAUAAGUCUCUUUAAUUGAAAUUACACGUCGUCGCCACUCGGCCUUGUUAGAGAGCAAUAAUGUCUUCAUCUGCUAAUGUUCUAAUAAUUUGUAAUAAUUAACUCAUCGACUAUGAUUCUGCAAAGAUAUUCAGCUGUAAUCACUUGCUUCGGAUUCGUGUAGGUUUAUCUUUAAUAUUAGUAUUAAGCCUUUGCUUAUCAGCUUAAGCUUUCCGAUUAUAUAUUGGCAAAUGGGAGCUUGUUGUGAGCUGAUAAUAAUUAAAGGAAGUUAAACCAUUUCCUUCGAGCCUCUGUAGUGUAGCCUCCACUAAACUUUGUUAUUUGCUGGUUCUGUUCUUAGUUGAACUUUGCUGACUUUGUAAUUUGUAUGCUUAUUGCUAAUGAUCCUUGCACUUUGCUGCUAGUGUAACGUUGAUUCCAUCGCUGCUGUUGCGCUUACUAGCUAGGAAUUCCACGAACAAAUUUCACAAAAGGUUUGUUGAAAUUGUUGAAAAGGCAAAGAAUGUCUUGCAAAUUUCAAAAGGCAAAGUUGGUGGGUUUGCCAAAUUAAAAAAAGCAAACUUGGUUGGCUUGCUAAUUUCAAAAGACAAAGUUAGGUGUUGAAAAGCUUGUGCAUGCAAUACAAGAUCCAGCUCAAUGUUUUGACCAAUUGAACCCAACUUGGAGCAUAAUGCACUCUAUAAAUAGAGAAGUAUUUUGCAAUUGUAAGCAUCCCAAUUUGAGAGAAGUAGAGAGCAAUUGCAACUGAGUUCUUUGAGAGAAUUUGAGAGAGCUUCCACUUGAGUGUUCUAGUGAGGUUCCAUUUGGGUGUAUUCGGGUUGUGGGUUUUGUGAGUUUUUCCCACUUCUAUAAAUUUCCAUUUGUUAGUAAAAUUAUCUUCUAGUUUUUUACCCGUGAACGUAGGCAUUACGCUGAACCACGUAAAUUAUUGUGUUAUAUUUUCUUUGCAUUUGUUUAUCACAACAUUUAUAUUUCUCUAGAAUUUGCAGUAUUAGUAAUUGCUCAACCCACGAUUCUGCAACAAUUAGUAUCAGAGCCGAUGGUUCGUACUUGGGGGGAUACGAUAUUUGAAAUAUAAGUGUGCAACCCAAGAGGGGGGGUGAAUUGGAAUUUUAAAAAUUAUCCUAGCAAAUCCACACAACAAGCUAUCUAAUGUCUUAAUAAAAAUUGAAAGCAAUAAGUUCAAUAAAAGCACAAUAAUUAAAUAGUAAGGGAGAAGAGAAACAAACACACGAAUUUUUACGUGGUUCGGCAAUCCCCGCCUACGUCCACGCCUCUAAGCGAUCCAAGCUUGAGGAUUUCACUAUCCAAGGUUUCAACCGAUUACAAUUGACUUUGAGGUGUCAAUAAACCUUUACAACAAAGAGAUUAUAUCCCAAUCUCUUCACUCAAGUGUCUCACACACUCAAACUCUUACAAUUGAGAUGAAUAAAUGAAGGUUACAAUAAAACUCACUCAAUGAGUAGAUAUUCAAAAAUGAAGAACAAGAAAUGAUUCAAUGUUUGUAUUUUGCAAGUUUUAAGGCUUAAGAUAUCACGUGUGCUUUUUGUUUUUGCUUAUUGGAGAAAUUCAAAAUGAGUUGGAUUUGAGUUCUUAUAGUUUGAGCUCAAAAAUUAGCCGUUACUCACAUUUUGGGCGUAUCCGGUUUGCCGUUUAUGGAAUCCGAUAAGCCGGAUUUAUGUUACCGUUUGAAUUUUGCCUAUCCGGCUUACUGGUUACGAAAUCCGGUAAGCCGUUUGCAUUCUGGAUGCUUACUGCCCCAUAUCCGAUUUUCCAGUUUUUAUAUCCGGUAAGUUGCUUGCUACAGUAACUUGGUACAGUGAAAUUUUUCCUAAAUUUUUAAUUUGACCCCCAAACUUUACAAAACUGUAGUAUGACCCAAAACGUUAUAAAAAUUUACAAAUAGGUCCAAUUUAAGAAUUUCUAAAUAAUGCUUCGUUAAUCCCAAAAUUUUUUGAAAUUAUGAUUUCGCCCAAACUUUGUGAAAUUAUAGAAUGGCCCAAAAUGUUAUAAAAGUUUGCAAAUAGAUCCAAUUUCAGAAUUUCUAAGUAAUGCUUCGUUAAUCCCAAAACUUUUUGAAAUUAUGAUUUUGCCCAAACUUUGUGAAAUUAUAGAAUGGCUCAAAAAUAUUUAAAUAGUUUCAAAUAGGUCCAAAUCCGAAAUUUAAAACAUUAUCAAAUAUUUUGAAAUUUUAGUCCAAAAUGCUUUAAUUCUAUAACAUCAUUUUCUUAUUAUAAAAGCACAAUUCAUAAAUCUUUGCUUAAUAAAUACAUGUGGUUUGUUAUCAUCAAAAUCAAUAUUUAUAACCAUAUAGGCUAACAAUCUCCCCCUUUUUGAUGAUGACAAAGCACAUUCAAAUUUAAUCUAGUUAUGAAAAGCUCCCCCUUAAUCAAUGCAAGUUAAAAAAUGAUUUGAAAAUUAUUUAACAAAAACUCCCCCUGCAUACAUGCUCCCCCUAGAUACAUGCAUAUUUUCAUAACACAUUAAAUCAUUCUCCCCCUUCAUCAUCAAAAAGAAUAAAGGCUCCCCCUAUCAAUCAUCAAAAUCGCAACAUAAGCACAUUAGUAAAAAAAAAUAUCCAUAAGCAUAAGAAAAUCCAUAUAAUCCAUAAUGAUCAAUCAAAACAAAUCCAUAACAUCCAACAUAAAUAGUCACAACAAAUCCAUAUAAUCCAAAACAAAGACAUAAAUCGAAAAGCAUAAUAACCAUCCAUAGAUUCGAAAAUAAACAAACACACAAUGCAGUAAAUGAAAUGUAGAUGUGUCCAAGUACAAGCAUAAGAUACUACUCAGGUGGUGAGGAUGGAGGUGAUGGAGGUAGAAACGGAUAUGGAAUGCCGAAGUGCUCGAAGAGGAGGCACUGUCCAUGAAUAAGCUGCUGCUGCUGCUGCUGAAACUCAGUUUGCCGCUGCUGAAACUCAGUCUGCCGCACAGAGAGUGUCUACACUUCAUCCAUAAUCUGCUGAAGAGUGACCUCUUCAGAGGUAGGAGGAUGUGGAGGUGAUGAAGCGGAUGCAGAUGCACUAGGAGCUGAAGCAACCGUGGAAGAAACUCGGCGUCUACGCUCCCCUCGAAAUGAGAGUGAGAAAACUGGAAGUUGUUCAGCUGGAAUCACAGCAUUAAGUGGCCGAUCAUCACUUGGGGUUAGAAGGGUAAACUUGUUAUCGCUGUAUUUGACCCAAGUGUCAUCCUUCCACUCAAAGCCUAACCCAAUAAUAACCUCAUCCCCGAUACCCUUGGACGGCCUACAAGAUGGUUCUAGAAUCUGUACUUCAAAGAAUUUAAGAAUUCGGGUAAUGAAGUGACCAUAAGGAAGAGAGAGGGUAAUCAAGGCGGGAAUGCUCAACAUGGUGCGGAUGAUGGAAUAGCCCAAGUUAACCGGGCGACCUCUAAGAAUACAGUCAAUCAUGGCGACAUCCAUGUGAGAAACCUCAUCCAAAUGUCCUGAUCUAGGAAGUACAAUGGACUGGAUGAUACGAAGCAAAAUACGAGUUUGAAGACAAAGACACUGAGUACGAAAAUGAAUGGUACAAUCUUCAACAGAAAGAUCACUACGUCGACAAAUAUUACGAACGGCAUCAACAUGAACAUAGUCAUCAAUAUCAGGAGGUUUCCUAGGAGAAAAAAUGUCCAAGCCAUCAUCGGAAGAUCCUAGGAUGGAGUUCAACUCCGAAUCAUCAAAUUCAAUCAAAACUCCUUCAACUGUGGUGAUUACUUGAUUCUCUUUCUCCGCGGAACAAUCCAUAUUCGAGUAAAAUACUUUCACCAAGUCGGGAUACACAUUCUCCUCAAUCAACAAUGCAUCAAUCCAACCAACAUCUCCCAACAAUUGAUAUUUCUAUAACUAAUCUUGAGAGUAUGCAUAACAUCCGGUAAAACAAAGAAAGUGUUGAGUACCUCACGAGUCCGAAAGUUUUGUUGAAACCGUUUGAUCAAGUGUUGCUUGUUCUGAAAAUGAAUGGACUCAAAAGUGGAUUGAUUUGAGGUGCCCCUUGCUUCCCGUGGCCGGGUGGUUUGUUGAACCGGUUCUUUGCCUUUUCUUCGAACCGGCCGAGAGUUUGACAUUUUGAUUUUGAUGGAUGUGAAGAUAAAAACACCAAAGAGAAUGAAGAUGAUGAAGAUUGAAAGUGAUUUAGAGAAACAAAUUGGAUCAAAAACGGCUUGAGAGUGAGAAAUCUAGAGAGAGAAAAAUCAGCCAAAAACCUAGGUUGAAAUUCGGAUCUAGGGAUUUGGAGGUUGAAAAUGAGUUUUGAGUGUGAUUUUAGGUAUAAGAACGGAUGGGGAUUAGGAUCUAUGGAUUGAUUUGCAUCAAAACCGUGUAGAAAAGGUGGAUUUGUGAGUGAAAAAUGAGAGAGAAGGACCGGUUUUUAGAGAGCGAACAAGAACCGGAUUGCUGAAUGAAAAAGGAAGAAGAACAGUUGAAAUAGCUCCCGAAACUGGCUUGCCGGUUUGCACUAUCUGGCUAGCCGGUUGAGACCAGAAGCUUGAAACCCGUAAACGGCUUGCCGGUUUGACUUGAACUGGAAAUCCGGUUGUGACCAGCAAGUCCUUCACUCGAAUCCGGUUUUCCGGAUAACACGAACCAGCUUGCCGGUUGGAUCCAAAAGAUAGCAAGUGAGAAUCGGAUUGCCGGUUUUCCUGAACCGGUUGGCCGAAUGAGUCUAGAAUGCUGCCAAAGUGCAGCUCGAAUUCGGAUUUCCGGAUUGACAGAACCGGAAAUCUGGUUUUGUUCCAGCAAGCUUUCCUUGCGAAUCCAGCUUUCCGGUUUUGCUAACCGGUAGUCCGGUUUGAGGCAGAAAGUUACCUCUUCAAUUCGGUUUUUCAGAUUUUAAGAACCGGUUAUCCGGUUUUUAGGCAGAGAGAAGGCUUAGCAAAUCCGGUUUUCCGGAUUGAAAAUUCGGUUAUCCGAAUGUUGUCCCGAGAGCAACCAAAGUUAAUCCGGUUUUCCGGAUUGAAAAUCCGGUUAUCCGGAAUUUGUCCCAAGAGAGAUCAAUAAAAAAAGUGUUUUUCCGGAUGAAUGGAAAGGGAAUAUUUGCUAGCUCUUAUACUUGUACUACACACACCAUUUUAUUUCCGGCCUUAAAAAUUGAUUAAUUUUAAAUCAUUUUGAGAUUUAAAACUUUUCAAUAAGCCAUUUAAUGCAUAAAACACAAAAUCAUAAAAUCAUAAAUUUACAAGCAUAUCAAGUUAUUUAAUUCAUGAAACAUAAAUCCAUAUGAUAACAAAUAUAUUAAGCCAUGUAGUAAAACAUGAAUUAAGAUUCAACAUUCAUCAUUCCAAGCUCAUGUCUUAUCUUUAUAAAAUACUCUUCGCUAAGAGGUUUUGUAAAGAUAUCCGCAAGUUGAUUUUCAGUGGAAACAAAUUUAAUUACGACAUCUCCUUUUUGAACAUGAUCUCUAAGGAAAUGAUGUCUAAUUUCCAUAUGCUUAGUCCUAAAAUGUUGAAUAGGAUUCUUAGAAAGAUUUAUAGCACUAGUAUUGUCACAUAAGAUAGGAAUUUGAUCAAGCUUAAUACCAUAGUCUCUAAGGGUUUGUUUCAUCCAUAGAAUUUGUGCACAACAACUACCUGCGGCAAUAUAUUAUGCCUCGGUGGUUGAAAGCGCAACCGAGUUUUGUUUCUUACUAAACCAAGAGACAAGAGAAUGGCCUAGGAAGUGACAUGUUCCACUAGUACUUUUUCUAUCAACCUUAUACCCAGCAAAAUCGGCAUCCGAAUAACAAGUUAAAUCAAUAUGAGUUCCUCUAGGAUACCAAAGGCCAAGAUUAAUGGUGCCAAUUAAAUAUCGAAAAAUGCGUUUGACAGCAAGCAUGUAAGACUCUUUAGGACAAGAUUGAAAUCUAGCACACAAGCAUACACUAAACAUAAUAUCAGGCCUACUAGCAAUUAAGUAGAGUAAGGAUCCCAUCAUACCUCGAUAUGUCUUGAUAUCAACUUCCUUACCUUUCUCAUCUUUGUCCAGCUUUGUGGUAGUACUCAUAGGAGUGCUUUUUGCCGUUCCAUUAUCAUAGCCAAAUCUUUUGAGUAGAUCUUUCACGUACUUGGCUUGGUUUAUGAAAAUUCCUUCCUCAUUUUGUUUGAUUUGAAGUCCAAGGAAGUACUUCAACUCUCCCAUCAUGCUCAUCUCAAACUCUUGGCUCAUACAUGAUGAAAAAUCUUUACACAACAACUCAUUAGUAGAACCAAAAAUAAUAUCAUCAACAUAAAUUUGAACAAUAAGUAUGUCUUGGUUCUUAUGCUUAACAAAAAGAGUUGUGUCCGCUUUUCCUAUUGAAAAAUCGUUAUCCAACAAGAAAUUUUUAAGCCUAUCAUACCAAGCUCUAGGUGCUUGUUUUAAACCAUACAAAACCUUAGAUAACUUAUACACAUGAUUUGGAAAUUUUUCAUUUUCAAAACCAGGAGGUUGUUUCACAUAAACUUCCUCCAUAAUAUAUCCAUUUAAGAAAGCACUCUUGACAUCCAUUUGAUAUAAAAUAAAAUCCUUAUGACAUGCAUAUGCUAACAACAUCCUAAUGGAUUCUAACCUUGCUACAGGUGCAAAAGUUUCAUCAAAAUCAAUUCCUUCUUCUUGGUUGUAACCUUGAGCCACUAAUCUAGCUUUAUUUCUUACAACCACACCGAAUUCAUCCAUUUUGUUUCUAAAUACCCAUUUAGUACCUAUAAUGGAUUGAUGUUCCAGAUUAGGAACUAACUCCCACACAUUGUUUCUCUCAAAUUGAUUCAACUCCUCUUGCAUUGCCAUAAUCCAAGAUUCAUCAUUUUCCGCAUCCGCAAAAGAUUUUGGUUCAAUUUGAGAAAUAAAUGUAGCAUGCUCACAUGUGUUCCUAAGAGAUGAUCUAGUGGUAACACCUCGUGAAGGAUCUCCUAAAAUUACAUUCUUAGGGUGAGAGGAUACAUACCUCCACUCCUUGGGGAGUGUUUGAGAAGUACCUUCAUUUUGCUCUACAUUUGUUUCUUCAUGAUGUUCCUCUUGAAUUCCAUGUGGUGAGUCUUCUUGGUUGUCAUUCGAUGCUUCUUCUUGUUGUUCUUCUUCUGCAUUAUCAUCAACAACGACUUUCUCCGUAGAGGAGGGGUUAGACUCAUCAAACGUAACAUGCAUAGAUUCUUCCACAACUAAAGUUCUUUUGUUAUAAACUCUAUAAGCUUUUCUUGAAUUUGAAUAACCAAGAAAGAUACCAACAUCAGAUUUUGGAUCAAAUUUACCAAGAUUAUCUUUUGUGUUCAAAACAAAACAUUUGCAUCCAAAAACUUUAAAAUAACCAAUGUUGGGUUUUCUAUCUUUCCAAAGCUCAUAUGGAGUUUUAUUAAAAUUAGGUCUAAUCAACACACGAUUUAAAACAUAAUAAGCGGUGUUGACGGCUUCGGCCCAAAAGUACUUAGGCAAAGAGUUUUCAUUCAACAUGCUCCUAACCAUUUCUUGAAUAGACAUAUUCUUUCUCUCUACUACUCCAUUUUGUUGUGGAGUCCUAGGUGAUGAAAAUUGAUGUUCAGUGCCAAAGUCAUUACAAAAAUUUUCAAACGCAUGAUUUUCAAAUUCUCCACCAUGAUCACUUCUAAUACAAGAAAUAGAAUAACCUUUUUCAUUUUGAACCUUUUUAUAGAAAAUUCGAAAUGCAUCAAUAGCGUCAUCCUUAUUAGCUAAGAACAAUACCCAUGUGUACCUAGAAUAAUCAUCCACAAUUACAAAUGCAUAAAAUUUGCCACUUAAGAUAGCAUAUCUAGAAGGUCCAAACAAAUCUAUGUGAAGUAAUUGAAGUAGUUUUGAAGUAGAGACAUGAUUCUUGCUUUUGAAGGAAGUUUUGAUUUGUUUUCCAAAUUGGCAUGCUUCACAAAUUCUAUCUUUUUGAAAACUGAUUUUUGGAAGACCUUUAACUAAAUCAUUUUUCAUGAUUUUUGAAAUCAAAUCCAUGCUUGCAUGACCUAAUCUUCUAUGCCACAACCAACCAUCAUCAUGCAAUGCGGAGAGACAUUUAUCAUGUAUUGAUACACAAUCUAUAUUAAUGGUAUAGACAUUAACACAUCUAUUUCCUACAAACAAGACUUUCCCAUCACAUGCAUUCUCAAUAACACAUUUUGAUUCAUCAAAGAUAACUCUAUAUCCUUUAUCACAUAAUUGACUAAUACUAAGCAAAUUGUGUUUCAAGUUUUCAACUACACACACAUUUUCAAUGAGAGUAGAGGAUACAUUACCGACAUUUCCAAUCCCAAUGAUUUUUCCUUUUGAAUUAUCUCCAAAUGAUACAUCUCCACCAUUUUCGAUCUUAGUAAAGCUUGAAAACCAAGAAUAAUUCCUUGUCAUGUGUCUUGAACAACCGCUGUCCAAGUACCACUUAUUCUUCUUCUUCUUCAAGCCCUGUAGAGAAAAUCUCAAGUUUUAGGUACCCAAACCUUUUUGGGUCCUUGAGAGUUAGCAAUGGUUCCUUUCGGAACCCAAACACAUUUCACACCAUAAUAUGCAUUUCUCUUCACUGCACAUCUAUUUUUCAUAUGACCAUCUUGAUUACAAUAAUGACAUACAAUUUGAUUGUUGAUAGAUGUAUUCUUCACAAAAUAACUCUUGUAAAAUUUUUGUUUAAAAUUUGGUUUAUAACCAAUGCCACUUUUGUCGAAUACACAUUUUUGUGAGUUUAGCAAAUUGUCCAACAUCUUUUGCCCAUUUGUGAAUUUUAGCACAAUUUCAUUUAGUUCAUUGCUCUUCUUUCUAAGCAUUUCAUUUUCAUUUUUCAAGUCAUUCAUUUGUGACUCUAAGUGCUCAUGUGAAGUGCUAGAAUUCUCAAAUAAUGCAAUACUAUCAUGCAAUGUUUUAUUUUCUAAUUCUAGGCAUGUAAUCGUUGCACUAAAUGAUUCAUUUUCAUUUUUAAGCUCUAUCAUCUUCUUUUUAAGACAUAUAUUCUUUUUACCAAUCUUCAUCAACUCAUCAUGCAAAUCCUUAAAGGCAUAAUGUAAUUCAUCAUAUGUAGGAAGAACAUUUACCUCAUCGAGUUCAUCACAUGAUUCUUCCCCAACGGCCAUGAGAGCUAAAUUUGUCAUUUCUUGUUGCUCAUCAUCAUCACUUGUUUCCUCAUCGCUAUCAUCCCAUGUGGCCACCAUAGCUUUCUUUUUAAGUUUGUUGAGAAGAGGACAUUUCGGUCGUAUGUGUCCGGGCUUCUUGCAUUCAUAACAAGUGAUUGGCUCCUUCUUCUACUUCUUAUUCUUGUAGCCUCUGAACUUUCUCUGCUCAUUAUUCUUUUUGUAAUAUUUUCUGAAUCUUCUAGCCAACAUAGCCAACUCCUCAUUAUCCAUUUCGCUUUCCUCAUCACUCUCACGUUUUGAAGCCUUGAGAGCAAUAGUUUUCUUCUUUUCCUCAUGCCCUUUUUCAGCUGCCAAAUCUUCUUCAUAUGAAAUGAGAGAACCAAUUAGAUCAUCAAUAGGUAAAACAAUAGACAACUUUAAGUUUGUGCCAAAUCUCAUUAGCACUUUCGCAACUAGACACUCUAUGAAACUCUUUCUUAUCUAAUGCACAAAACAAGGCAUUCAUGGCCUCGAAAUUUAGAAAAGCUUUUCUCUUUUCGAAUUCAUUCCAAUCCCGUGAAGGUUUUGGAAUAUCUUCUCCGACUUCAUUUUUAGUCAAAGGCAUGAAAGGACCAUCAUUAACGAUUUCCCAAAUUUUAUAAUCUAAGGCUUACAAGUAAAUUCUCAUCCUAGUUUUCCAAUAUGGGUAAUCGUUUCCAUCAAAGUAAGGUGGUCUAGUGGUGGACUGUCCUUCCCUAAAUGUUGAAUCAUUUUGAGUUGCCAUUGAUCUUUAGCUCUUGACGGUUAAGUCUAAAUACGAGCACCUCGCUCUGAUACCAAAUGAAAUAUAAGUGUGCAACCCAAGAGGGGGGGUGAAUUGGAAUUUUAAAAAUUAUCCUAGCAAAUCCACACAACAAGCUAUCUAAUGUCUUAAUAAAAAUUGAAAGCAAUAAGUUCAAUAAAAGCACAAUAAUUAAAUAGUAAGGGAGAAGAGAAACAAACACACGAAUUUUUACGUGGUUCGGCAAUCCCCGCCUACGUCCACGCCUCUAAGCGAUCCAAGCUUGAGGAUUUCACUAUCCAAGCUUUUCCAAGGCUUCAACCGAUUACAAUUGACUUUGAGGUGUCAAUAAACCUUUACAACAAAGAGAUUAUAUCCCAAUCUCUUCACUCAAGUGUCUCACACACUCAAACUCUUACAAUUGAGAUGAAUAAAUGAAGGUUACAAUAAAACUCACUCAAUGAGUAGAUAUUCAAAAAUGAAGAACAAGAAAUGAUUCAAUGUUUGUAUUUUGCAAGUUUUAAGGCUUAAGAUAUCACGUGUGCUUUUUGUUUUUGCUUAUUGGAGAAAUUCAAAAUGAGUUGGAUUUGAGUUCUUAUAGUUUGAGCUCAAAAAUUAGCCGUUACUCACAUUUUGGGUGUAUCCGGUUUGCCGUUUAUGGAAUCCGAUAAGCCAGAUUUAUGUUACCGUUUGAAUUUUGCCUAUCCGGCUUACUGGUUACGAAAUCCGGUAAGCCGUUUGCGUUCUGGAUGCUUACUGUCCCGUAUCCGAUUUUCUAAUUUUUAUAUCCGGUACGCUGCUUGAUACAGUAACCUGCUACACUGAGAUUUUUCCUAAAUUUUCAGUUUGACCCCCAAACUUUAUAAAACUGUAGUAUGGCUCAAAACGUUAUAAAAGUUUGCAAAUAGGUCCAAUUUCAUAAUUUCUAAGUAAUGCUUCGUUAAUCCUAAAACUUUCUGAAAUUAUGAUUUCGCCCAAACUUUGUGAAAUUAUAGAAUGACCCAAAACGUUAUCAAAGUUUGUAAAUAGGUCCAAUUUCAUAAUUUCUAAGUAAUGCUUCGUUAAUCCCAAAACUUUCUGAAAUUAUGAUUUCGCCCAAACUUUGUGAAAUUAUAGAAUGACCCAAAAAUAUUUAAAUAGUUUCAAAUAGGUCCAAAUCCGAAAUUUAAAACAUUAUCAAAGAUUUUGAAAUUUUAGUCCAAAAUGUUUUAAUUCCAUAACAUCAUUUUCUUAUUAUAAAAGCACAAUUCAUAAAUCUUUGCUUAAUAAAUACAUGUGGUUUGUUAUCAUCAAAAUCAAUAUUUAUAGCCAUAUAGGCUAACAAUAUUGUUCACGUAUACGGUACUAUUCCCAUAUACGGUACUGUUCACAACUGCGGUGGAGACGACCAUUUAUACUUGGGAGACAGUCUAUUGUAAGUAGUGUGUAUUUUUACAUGUCUAGAAAAGUUCUGUCAACAAGGCAAUAAGAGUCUAAGGAUUCCAGUUUUUAAUUGGGACCGAGUUCCCGUCCAAUCUCUAGAGAACUUUCCUAGUGCAUUUAUUUACGCGAAAUAAACAUCAUAGAGGCUGUUUUUUUAAGUGUAAAUAGUUGUUGAAGAAACUGAUCAUUUGAGAUAAAAAGGAUGGCAGAGGCAUCGUCGUCAUCUUCAUCAGCGAGGACUACUGUGACUAAUACAAAGUUUGAAGUGGAGAAAUUCGAUGGUACCAAUAAUUUUGGUAUGUGGCAAUGUGAGGUGUUGGAUGUCUUAUGUCAGCAAGAGUUGGACGUUGCUCUUGAAGAAAAGUCUGACAUGAUGGAUGACAAGGAGUGGAUAAAGAUCAACAGACAAGCAUGUGAUACUAUUCGCCUAUGUUUGGCUAAAGAUAAAAAAUACUCUGUCAUGAGGGAGACAUCGGCAAAGAAAUUGUGAGAGACACUGGAAGAAAAAUAUAUGAAGAAAAGCCUUGAAAAUAGGCUUUAUAUGAAAAAGAAACUCUAUCGUUUCACAUAUACACCUAGCAUGUCAAUGAAUGACUAUGUGAACUCAUUUAACAAAAUAUUAGCAUAUUUGCUAAAUUUGAAUGAGCAAUUUGAAGAUGAAGAUAAGGCACUAUUGUUGUUGAAUUUCCUUCCUGAUGAAUAUGAUCAUCUCACCACUACUUUGUUUCAUGGGAAAGACAGUGUCACAUUCGAUGCUGUAUGCAGUGCAUUGUACAACUCUGAGACCAGAAAGAAAAAUAGAAGGAUCACAGAGAUACAGUAGCGGAAGUAUUAACAGCGAGAGGCCGUUCACAAAGCCGCAAACCUAGAAAAAGAAGCAAGUCUAAAGGAAGCCUUGCUAAAGAUUAGUGUGAUUUUUGUCGCGAGAAAGGGCAUUAGAAAAAGAAUUGUCAUAAGUUACAAAAGGGUAAGGCUACUUCUGAUGCAUGUGUAGCAGAACAUGACGAGGAGUCAGACUUUAGUCUGGUUGGCAUGACAUUGAUGUCUCACUCAGAUGAGUGGAUUUUAGAUUCAGGUUGUACUUAUUAUAUGUGUCCUAACAAAGGCUGGUUUUCUAACUUCAAGGAGCUAGAUGGUAGAGUUGUUUUUAUGGGCAAUGACAAUGCUUGUAAAAUCAUGGGAAUAGGUACAAUCCAAUUAAAGAAUCAUGAUGGCUCAAUCCAAGUCUUGACGGAUGUUCGCUAUGUACCAAGCUUGAAGAAAAAUCUCAUCUCAUUAGGAGUCCUAGAAUCUAAAGGGCUCACAAUUACUUUGGGAGAUAGAUUGUUGAAGGUAGUAGUUAGGGCGCUGAUGGUAAUGAAGGACAUAAGAAGAAAUAACUUGUAUUAUUUCCAAGGAAGUACAAUUAUUGGAUCAACAUCAAUAAUUUCUAGAAAAAAUACAGAUUCCGAAGCGACCAAGUUGUGGCAUAUGCGUUUAGGACAUGCUGGUGAAAAAGCUUUGCAGACUUUGGUAAAGUAAGGCUUAUUGAAAGAUACAAAUUCCUGCAAAUUAGAAUUUUGUGAACAUUGUGUUCUGCGCAAGCAGACAAGGGUAAAGUUUGGUUCAACAAUUCAUGAUAUAAAAGAAAUUCUGGACUAUGUUCACAGUGAUAUGUGGGGACCUACCAAAACAGCUUCUUUGGGAGGUAUGCACUAUUUUAUUACUUUUGUUGAUGAUUAUUUAAGAAAAGUAUGGGUGUAUUUGAUGAAGAAUAAGAAUGAAGUUUUGGGCAUUUUUUUGAAAUGGAAGAAAAUGGUUGAGACUCAGACUGGUCAAAAGGUCAAAAGACUUCGCUCAGACAAUGGUGGUAAGUACAAGAGUGAACAAUUUCUUCAAAUAUGCCAAGAUGAGGGAAUUGUGCGACACAACCACAACAGAAUGGGGUGGUAAAAAGCAUGAACCGGAUUAUAUUGGAGAAAAUUCGGUGUAUGUUGUCCAAUGCUGGAUUGGGCAAAGAGUUUUGGGCUGAGGCAAUUAUACAUGCGUGUCAUCUAAUCAAUCAUUUGCCAUCAGCUGCAAUUGAGGGUAGAACACCCAUGGAGAUGUGGACCGGUAAACCUGCUACUAAUUAUGAUUCUUUACAUGUUUUUGGUUCCACUGCUUAUUAUCAUGUAAAGGAAUCUAAGUUAGACCCAAGAGUAAAGAAAGCAUUGUUCAUGGGUAUAACUGGUGGAGUAAAAAGAUAUCGUCUCUGGUGUCCUGUUAUGAAGAAGAUUAUUUUCAGCAUAGAUGUAACUUUUGAUGAAUCAGCCAUGUUGAAACAAAAAGAAUCUCAAGAGAAUGAGAAGACCAGAAGAACUUUGCAGCAGGUGGAGUUUGAAAAGAUUAAAGCUGAUCCAGCUGGUGUCAAUGAGAUGGAUAGUGAUUCUCUAUCGACCGAUGAUGAUGAAGGGGUUCUGACCCAGGAACCUUCACAGCAACAAGAUUCAAUUGCAUAUAGAAGGUCACACAGAGAGAUUCACAGACCUGCUCGCUUUGUUGAUACGGUGGCCUAUGCACUUCCAACUGUAGAUGAUGAUUUCCUUCCACUUACAGAGAAGCAGUAAGUAACCCAGAAAGUAUACAGUGGAAGAAAGCAAUGAACGAAGAAAUGCAGUCUCUUCACAAAAAUGAAACUUGGGAGUUAAUUACACUGCCCAAGGAAAAGAAAGCAAUUGGGUGCAAAUGGGUAUAUGCAAAAAAGGAAGGAUUUCCUCGUAAAAAUAAAAUUCGAUACAAGGUUAGAUUGGUAGUGAAUGGUUACGCUCAGAAGGAAUGAAUAGACUACAAUGAGGUAUUUUCUCUAGUUGUGAAACAUUCGUCUAUUCGAAUUUUGCUAGCCAUAGUUGCACAAUUUGAUCUUGAACUAGUUCAGCUUGAUGUAAAAACUGCAUUUUUACACGGUGAUUUGGAAAAUAAAAUUUGCAUGACUCAGGCAGAUGGAUUCAAGGUUGCUGGAAAAGAAAAUUGGGUUUGCAAAUUGACAAAGUCGCUUUAUAGAUUUAAACAGUCUCCGAGGCAGUGGUAUAAGUGAUUUGAUCGAUUUACGAAAGGGCAAAGGUACACACGAAACAAAUUUGAUCAUUGUGUGUAUUUUCGCAAGCUACAAGAAGGAUCUUUCAUUUAUUUGCUAUUGUAUGGCGAUGAUAUGCUAAUAACAUCCAAGAGUAAAUAUGAGAUUGAGAAGUUAAAGACUCAACUCAAUCAAGAAUUUGAAAUGAAAGACCUGGGUGAAGCUAAGAAGAUUUUUGGCAUGGAGAUAUGCAGAGAUAGAGCUCGUGGCAAAAUAAGCUUAUCUCAAAAGCAAUAUUUGAAUAAGGUAUUACAACAGUUUGGUAUGACUGAGCAGAAAAAACCUGUAAGUACCCCAUUGGCUUCUCAUUUCAAGCUUUCUACACAACUAUCUCCUUCGACAGAUGCAGAACGAGAAUACAUGUUACAAGUUCCAUAUUCAAAUGCAGUGGGUAGCUUGAUGUAUUCAAUGGUGUGUACAAGGCCUAACAUUUCACAUGCAGUUGGUAUAGUGAGCAAGUAUAUGCAUAAUCUUGGUAAAAGGACAUUGGCAAGCUGUAAAAUGGAUUCUAGGGUACAUUUAGAAGACUGUGGAUGUUAGUUUACUGUUUGAGAGAGACGAUACACUUGGUCAAGGUGUGAUCGGGUACGUUGAUUCUGAUUAUGCUGGUGAUUUGAACAAACGACGGUCAACCACCGGAUAUGUAUUUACUUUUAUUGGAGGGCCAAUCAGUUGGAAGUCUACACUACAGUCUACAGUUGCACUGUUGACCACAAAGGCCGAGUACAUGGCAAUUACGAGGCUGUUAAAGAGGCUAUUUGGUUACAAAGCUUGCUUGAAAACUUGAGAUUGGUACAGAAGCAAAUUAAUGUAUAUUGCGACAGUCAAAGUGCUAUUCACUUAACGAAGAACCAAGUUUAUCAUGCACGUACGAAGCAUAUUGAUGUACGAUUUCACUUUGUGUGGGAAAUUGUUGAUGAGGGGAAGGUUCUUCUUCAAAAACUUAAGACUGCAGAUAAUCCUGUAGAUAUGUUGACGAAGGUAGUGACGGCGGCAUUGUCUAAACGUGAUCAAUAUCCUACAAGUUUGAAAGUAGUCGGAGAAGGCAGAGAUUGGAGGAUGAUUUGAUGUACUGGAAGUUUAGUAUUCGGCUCAGAAUUGAAUAAAUCUUAGCCGAGAUGGAGAAUUAUUGAAAAGUCAAAGAAUGACUUGCAAAUUUCAAAAGGCAAAGCUGGUGGGUUUGCCAAAUUCAAAAAAGUAAAGUUGGUCGGCUUGCUAAUUUCAAAAGACAAAGUUGGGUGUUGAAAAGCUUGUGCAUGCAAUACAAGAUCUAGCUCAACGUUUUGACCAAUUGAACCCAACUUGGAGCAAAAUGCACUCUAUAAAUAGAGAAGCAUUUUGCAAUUGUAAGCAUCCAAUUUGAGAGAAGCAGAGAGCAAUUGCAAGUGAGUUCUUUGAGAGAGCUUUAACUUGAGUGUUCUAGUGAGGUUCCAUUUGGGUGUAUUGGGGUUGUGGGUUUUGUAAGUUUUUCUCACUUUUGUAAAUUCCCAUUUGUUGGUAAAAUUAUCUUUCAGUUUUUUACCCGUGGACGUAGGCAUUACGCCGAACCACGUAAAUUAUUGUGUCCUAUUUUCUUUGCAUUUGUUUAUCACCACAUUUAUAUUUCUUUAGAAGUUGCAGUAUUAGUAAUUGCUCAACCCACACUUCCGCAACACAAAUUUCACAAAUUUCACAAAUUUUCCAGAAACGUAUGGGCCCUAUUUUUUUUCAUUUUCAUUCCCUCUUCUAUUUUAAGAAGCAUUCUGAAUUUGAUUCCUGAGUCCCAUGAGUAAACACACUAUUAAUGUAACUCAUGAGUGUAACCAGAGUAGUAAAGGCCAGUAAAGACAGCUGUUAGGAAAAAAAUUACAGCAAAUUGGUCGAAAUUGAUUACUAACAACUCAUUGUAUCCGUAUAUGAAACAAAGUGUUUCAUGCAUGGGGCUGGAAUCAGAUUACCUAAGAGUUUACAAAAUAAAUAAUUAAAUGAUCUCACAAUAUGUAAUAGUUUUCUAAAAUAGAUUUAGGUUAAAACCUUGUCUUUGGUCUUAAUUUUAAUGCGUAAAAAAUAAAAUAAAAACUUUCAAAAGAAAAAAAAUUAAUUUGAAAGACAGUGAAGCAAUUAGCUAGUUACACAUAUCAUAGACCUGUAAGUGGAGCAAUUAGUUUGGAUUCGCAACAAGCACUCGUCUCCUUUCUUAUUUACAUUUUGCCAAAUUCAGAGAGAGAAAUUUUAUGUACAAUUAUUUGUUAAUAAUUUAAAUUACAUAAUGCCCCUUUUGCUUCACACAAGCUCUACUAAACGGAGCAACAUAUAUUAUUCGAGUUAAAAAAUUAACAAGAAUUUAUAAUCGAGAGGAGACGACAUUGCCGGUUACAAGAAAUGGACAAUGUGCCUAAUUAUAUACGACAUGCCGGUUUAUUUUGCGAGGGGGAUCGUAUGAUGAGUAGUUAAUGUCGUCUAGCAGAGUAAGUUAUGUACGUGCUGAUCACUGAUAAUGAACAAAAGUUACAAAACCACUACUCCAUUCUUCAGGAGGACAAAGCCUAGAAAUAGUUAAAUCUCUAUCAUUAGAGUGUUAAGACCCUUUUUUACAUUGAGGUGUUGUAGAAAAAAACUGUAAUUAUAAAAUAAAAGUUAAUAGUAUGUAAUAAACAUAAUUUACAAAUAAUAAUUUUGAUAAAAUUAGUAAAGAUAUAAUAGAUUUUUCAUCAUACAAGUAUAAAAUUAAAUUAACUUAUCUUCAAAACUAUAGCAGAUAGUAUUUACUAAAUAUUUUAGUGCUGCAGCUUUGAAAUUAUAUCUGUCCAAACUCAAUCUUAAAAAAAUCCUAAGUGAGGUCUUGGGGGGUGGGGUGUGCCAAGACUAACCAUCAAGUGAUCUUGAUCCAAGAAUUUUCUUACUAUUUGAGAGUUUUUAAACCUUCACUCAUCAUAAGCAAGAUAAUUCAGAGUAGAAUGAACUAGGUAUGGUACUUGAUUCUGCUAAUUACCCUUGAUUAAGCUCUGAAUUCUCGUAAAAAUAGGACAACUAAACUUGAUCGUAUGCUUACAAAAGAUAUUCUAACGCUCAAGUAAGUGUUUGGAGAUUUUGAAAGCUAAUUUAAAUCUGAAUUUUCUCUUGACUUGAUUUUGGAAAUUGGCCACAAGAUCAUUUCUCAAUCUUUCAACUCAUAUUUAUUGACUGAGAGAUGAAAGAUUGGGGAGAUAAUGCUUUUUAGAUUUGAAUCAUUGCCAUUCAUUCUUGUAAUUUGAUUUUGAUAGUUAAAUUCAUUAACUAUUUUUGUUUCUAUUCGAGUUUUCUGCUCAUGGUUCUGUUAGUAAUCACUUAGCGUUACUUAUCAACAUUUUUGGGUUGAGAAAUAUACAAUUUUUAAACAAGUACAGGAAAUGCAAAUUAAUUCUUAAAAUAAAAAAGAAAUGUAGAAGAUAAAAUUUACAGCUUAUUGGAACUCCAGUGAAGUAUUUGCUCAAAGGAAAGAAGGUAAUCAGAUCACACAAUUUCUAGCUCCGCAUCCUCAGCUCUAUUUGUAUGUUUGUAUUCCAAAAGCAAGUCUUAGUGAAAAUUGACUUGCAUAAUUAAUAUUAUUCGUUAUAAACUUCCAUAAUUCUAAAGCACUUGUUAAUAGAAAAUCGCUUUAGAUUGUACUUAAUCAUACUUCGGCACUCUCAUAAUGUAUUCCUUAAUCUCAUCUAACCAUAAAAGAAAAUAUUUAGGACUAUAAUUUCCAUCAAGCAUUCGAAACAUGAGGUCUUUUGAAUAUUCCAAUCACAAAUGCAAAGCCAAUGCAAAACUAUAAACAAGGCUGAACUAUCAGGUGUGGUAUGGCUACCAGUUGGUGGCCAUAAUUUGGUGUGAUGAUGGUUAAAUCUUGUAGAUAUUGUGGUAAGGAACAUGAUGGUCACUAUGGACUGGUCAGAUUCACAACAGUAAAAGUGGAUCGAAGAGGUGAAUCUCACAGGUUUUGAAGGUUUUGUGUGGUGGGUUAUGGUGGCUUUAAGAUGGCUAAUCAGACACAGUGGUGGCUUGGAUUGGGUGUAGUAGACAGAAGGAAGUUUGAUGAUGGUUGAUUGAUGGUGAGGCAUCAGUGUUAGUGGUGGCACUAGAUGAAACUAGGAAACUACAUUGCUUCAGGUAGAGUUUGCUUACAACAACAUGUCAAAUCGAUCUACUAGCAAUACUACUUUUGAGAUUGUCUAUACUUAUUCCAUAUGCUAUGUCUAUUAUCUGGUUGGGAUGCCAAUAGUAGUCGGAGGAAGUAAAUCAAUGGAUAAUGUGGCAGAAAAAGACUGCAGAUUCAUGCAGAGGUGUGAGCUGACUUGGAGGUUGCCAAUGCUAUGUACAGGGCUAAUGUGGACAAGCAUCAACGCAAAAAAGUAUUUUAGGAAGAUGAUUUGGUGAUGGCACAUCUAAGGCAUACCCAUUUUCCUGGCAUUCACACUAAGUUGGACAAGCAGAAGUGUAGUCCAUCUCAUGUGGCGAUGUAGAUUAAUGAUAAAACUUAUGUGCUGCCGCUGCAAGAAAAUUGGAAUAUCUCUCACACUUUUAACGUGGUUGAUUUGUUUGAAUAUCAUCCAAAUGGUGAAGAGUUGAAUUGGCAUAACUCGAGGGCGAGUUCUUUGCUUUGAUACCAACUAAUGAUGCAAAAAUGUAAAAAAAUUGAUUGAUAAUAUAAACUAGGUUUUUGAAUAGCGAAAGUUUUAUUAGAAAAGUCUUAAUAAACAAAACUAGGGUUUGAGGUCCCCUUAUCGUGAAUUUACUAAAAUAGGAAAAUUUGAAAUAUUAUUUUAUAAUAAAUACUCCUAAUCUAAUUAAGGAAAGCAAAAUAACCGCACCCAAAUUCAAUGUAAAAAAAAAAAGAUAAAAAUCAUGAAAGUAAUAGACAAAUAAGAAAAUAACUUAAAAAUAAAAAAAGGACCAAGAAGGAAGCAAAAUUCUCAGCUCAAUCACAGGCAAAAUAGUACAACCAGCUCUGGAUUUGAUUCAUCUCGUCGUAAGCUUUGAAACGAUAUAUUUUAUGGCAAAAAUAAACACCUAUAGCCCAUGUUAUAACCUUCGGAAGAUACCCUACUCAUUCAACACAAAAGUCCUACAACAAUAUGGCAAGUACAGAGGCUAUUAGGGAGGCUAUUUGAUUACAAGGUUUGUUUGAAAUCUUGGGACAAGUACGGGAGCAAUUAAGAUGUUUUAUGACAGUCCAAGUGCUAUUCACUUAGCAAAGAAUCAAGUUUAUCGUGCACGUACAAAAUAUAUCAACAUAUGAUUUCAGUUUGUGCAAAAAAUAAUCAAUGAGGGGGAUAUUCUUCUUUGAAAGGGCAAGACCGUAAAGAAUCCCACAAAUAUGUUGACCAAGGCGGUGGUGACAAUCAAGUUUAAGUAUUAUCUAAAUAUGAUCAACAUCUUGCAAGCUUAAAAUAGUAAGAAAGGCAGAGAUUGGUGGGUGAUUUACUGUACACAGUUUAAUUUCUUUCAAAUAAAGGUAGAGAUUUAUUGAAAUAUUGAUGUCAUGUGGGAAAUCAUUAAAGACAAAUUGGCGAAUAAUUGAUUGGUAAAAGCGUGAAGAUGAAAUAGUAAAACUAUUUGACAAUUCUUUUCGUAAAAUUAAAUGCUAUACGGCGAUUUUGGCGAAAAUGGAACGUGGCAACAAAUUGCACAUGCAAAAUUGUUAACAAAAUGUGCAUGGCUUUAAUGCAUGCAAUUAAAGUUGCUAUCUCCAUGUCAUGGGAAAUUGAAAGGAUGGCAAUUCAUGCUCCUUUUGUCAAGAUUUGCCCAGCAAAAUGGCGGCUUGUCCCAGUGGAUUUUGUUCCAUAAUUGUCAACGGGCAAAGCCAUUAGAUGCCUAUAAAUAGAGCCUCAUUCCACAGAGUUAAAGUCAUCCCAAAUUGUAAAAAUUUGAGAGCAUUUGCAAAUGAGCUCUUCAAUAAUGCAGAGAGAGCACUUUCUUAGAUGUUCCUUGAGUAUGCUGCAGUAAUUUUUUACUUUACUGAUUUUGUAGAUCCUUUUGUUUUUGCUGCUCUAUAAGGCCUCGGCUACUGACGGUCUUUCUCUAACCGUUUCUGUACCUACAGCGGAACCUUAUAAUAAACUUUCCAUGUUUGUAGAGUUGCCGUGCUUGUUCAGCUGAAUGAUACUUUUGUCCCCUGCUCUUCUCUGAAGUAAAUUUUAUAAAUCAAAUAUAUGGUAUAAAUCAGAAUAGUACUUCAUCCAUCUCUCAAAUCUUAUUAUACAAUUAUUAUUCAAUUCCAUUUGUCUUUAUAAAUUAAUUUAAUUUGUACAGUUUCAUUAAUUUACAGCAUUUUGUCAGACUUAAAAUUGAUUUGAUUUGCCAAAUUCGGGACCCAGCCCUCUUUCUCCCCCCAAAGUAUCCAGUAUUUAACUGAGAAUUGAGUAGUGUAGAUAUAUCCCUCUAAUUAUGAGGGUAGAAUUCUGGAUUGUACUUUAGUGAGAAUUAAUCAAGGUGAGUCCUAGUAGAAUUCUAAUUGUAAAAUAUGUAAGUAGAAUUUCCACAUAUUGAAAAAAAAAAAUUGAUUUAAUUUGUAAUGUUAAGUGAUAUUCCACAAACAUCAGCCACAAUAUCAGAAGUCACCCCCGCCCAUGUUAUUCAAGUGAAAUCCAUAAAAUUUCAAUAAGAAUAAAUCUCAACAACCAAAGCCUUUGUAAGCUUGAUGUGCAAUAUUACUUAGAAGAGGCAAGCUAAGCUAUUCAACUAGAACACCAGAAGCUGUAAGGAAGGGGGAAAAAAUCCAAUCAGAUUGCAAAAAGCUAGGCUUAUUAAUUUAGAGGAUUGCUACACAUCCCAAAUCCUUUAUCCCAAAAAAUUUAUUCCAAAUGUUGUGUCAUUCAUCAAUUAGUUAGUAAAUAUUUUACUUAGAUCUUGUAAAGAAUUACCAACCACUCAAUUAAUAACACCUCAUUUGGGAUAAAAUUUAGGAUAAAAAUUUUGAGAGGUCUAUCAUUACUCCUAAAUUUAUUGUUUAUCCAAAUGUACACAAAAUAUAAGAUAUUUUGCAGGAAAAAAAAGAAAAGGAAAUAGACGGUUUAGUAUUACAAUCUAAUUUGAGUUAAAAACCCCUCUGUGAGCCAUUUUCUUGCCCCAGAUUGAAAUAAAAAUAAAGUUAUCCAGAUGGCCUUCAGCUGGACAUAAAAUGAGGUUAAUGAGUGCCAUAUACACGUGUGCGCGCACGCAAUAGUGGAUGCAAAAAUAAGAAAGCUGUACGAAGAAACAAUGCUGCAAUGAUAAGAGAAAUUAAGAAUACAAAACAGAAUAUUUAUUUCAGUCCUUUAGUUUUCCCUAAAUCGCAAACUCACAUAGCUUCAAUUUCAAAGAUCAUGAAUGCAAUUUUGAUUCAUGGAAGCCACAUUCUGAACAACUAUUGGAAUAUUGUUUGUUUCUGAUCCAAGCAGAGCAUUCUCUGGUAAUUCAGCAUAAGAAAAUUUUCAAGAGUAGAUAUAGUAAAUAAUAAAAAGAAUGUAAAUGAAUUAUAAAUAGCAAAGUACAAAAAUUGAAAUUGAGAUAUAUGCGCAAGAGGGUAAUCACCAGGCUUCACCCAAUCGCUCUUCAUUCGAGCUCUCUAAACCUUUUAGGUUGUGGUUCCUCAUCAUCACAGCAGCCACUUCCACUGGCUUCUGCCCCAAAGUAUUCAGUAAGGCUUCGCUUUGACGUUGUGGCUACAAUCAUCUUCGAUCCAACAAAAUGUUAUCGAAUUCAUUCAGAUUAUAAACAGUAAAACGACUUGGUUGGUUUGUCGUUUGGUCUAACUCCUCCACUUCGUCCAUAUAAACUGGAUGUAAACCACACAUCUUCACCUCCAAUCCUUGGCCCAACCAGGGUUCAAGUGAUACAUUAACAUGAUUAGAUUCAAAGGCUCAAGAUUAGACUCUAAAGGCAAUCUAAUAUCGUAGCAUGUUUGACGAGACAAAUAGAGUAGCCAAAGAUGGUCUGACCCAGCCUGACCGAAUUUAUCUCUAAAAUCAAUUCGAUAACUGCCAUGUCCAAUGCGGCAAUUCAACUGAUGUGUGGGAUAUGAACCAAAACGAUUGUUACCACGUGAAUUUUUUAGGACAUGAAAAACACAGCAGAUAGCAUAUCCCACCAACUUUUUCUUAUUAUACAGAUUUGAAGGCCUUGUGACUGUUAUUGAAGAUCCCUCAUUCUGAUACAUGAACCACUCCGGUAUUUCACUUCCUGGAACAACAACGCUUAAAUGUUGUCUUGUAUUUGACACUGCCUGCAUCCAAAAUAAUAAUAAUAAUAAUGAAGUCCAAACCAUUGCUUAAUGUUUUGGCAUAUAUAAUUUUGGCAUACGGAGUAAAAAACUGACCUCUAGGUACUCUCGUAGCAUUGAAAACGCCAAACUUUUGUUGCCGAGCAAUUUUAAGCUGUCUAAACAAUUAAUCAUUGUGCUGUCGGGCUUGCAUAAUUUUAAAGCAUCUAAUAAUGUCACUAACGAAGCACAACCAUUUACUCUAACUUCCCUGAUAUUGGGUGGAAGUUGUGGCAGAGAUUGAAGCCUCUUGCAAUCCUCCAAUUCAAUAUUCCAAAGCUUAGAAAGACGGGUAAUGCUUGUUGGAAGUGAAACAAAGCUGUUUUUACUCAAAUAUAACUCUUCUAAUGAGCAUAGGUUGCCAAUAUCACUUGGAAGGGCUCCUUCCAUUAGAUUACAAUCAGUGAGAUUCAAUUUCCUCAAAGAACACAAACCUGAGAGAGAAGGCAACUUCAGAGCCACAGACUUUCGCAUUAAGUUGAUUGGGAUGUACGAAUACCAUGACGUCGAAUGUGGUACAGCUGUUCCACUGAUAUCAAGCUCCUCCAAACAUUCAAUUUGUCCAAGUGUCUCUGGCACAUUUUCAAGUUUGAAGCAGCCAGAGAGAUUCAGAGUUUUAAGAGAUUUCAAGGCAAUUAUACUGCUUGGAAGUCUCACAAGAUUUUUACAGUCACUCAAGUUCAGCAAUUCAAGUUUUGUCAAAAGUUCUAUGGAUGAUGGCACUUCUUUGAUAGAAGUUCCAUCUAAAAAGAUCUCUGACAGAUCUUUCAUACUUCUUACAAUCUCAGGAAACUUCUUAAGUUUCGAGCAACCAGAGAGCUUUAAAGUCCUAAGACAUUUUAAACUACUUACAGUAACUGGAAGAAUCUCGAGACUCCUGCAAUUUUUCAAAUUCAACAAAACAAGGCCGGACAGAAGUUCAAUUGAUAGUGGCAAUCCUCUAAUGGCUGUUCCCUCCAAAUGAAGCUCCGACAGAUGCUCCAUAUGUUCUACAAUCCCUGGAAACUCUCUAAAUUUCAAAUCACCAGAGACAUCCAAAGUUGAAAGACAUUUUAGACCACUUAUGGUCGUUGGAAGACUUUUGAGAUUCUUGCAAUUGUUUAGAGCCAGCAAGACAAGUUUGGAUAGAAGUUUAAUAGAUAAUGGCAGUUCUUCAAUAGCUGUUCCAUCCAACAAAAGCUUCGACAAACACUCCAUACUUCCCACGAUGUCCGGAAAUUUCUUUAAUUUCGAGCAACCAGAAAGAACAAGUUUUUCAAGAGAUUUCAUCAAAAUCUUGCCAGGAAGAGUUAUAAGACUUGUACAAUCUUUCAUGUUCAAUAUGAUAAGCUUAUUGUGAAGCAGCAGAGAUGGGUGAAUUUCAUACAACCUUGUACAUCCUUCAAGAAUCAGCUUCUCUAAAUUUGGGGCCCCUGUGAAGUCUGGCAUCCUUAUCAAGUUCUCGGAAUGGCUGAGUAUCAUGACUUUCAACUUGUCUAAACGCUGUAGAAAAUAAAAAGGAGCGAGAAAGAUAUUUCUUAAUUCAAUUAGAGAGGAAUGGCAAAACUAAUAAAUUUAUAUACUAUUAUUCACUGAGAAAAUAUAUAUUAGUGACAAAAUUGAUCUUACUUUGAUUCCCUUCCACAAUUCUCCUAUGCGGCUAUAAGACAUGUUAAUUUCAAUAGUUUUAUCCAUUUGCAAAUUUGAUGGCAAAAAUUUCAAAGGAUAUCCAUGCCAAUCAAGUAACCUUAACCAAUUAGACAGGUAUUCAAGGCCAUUAGGAAGUUGCGGAUUACAAAUUUUGAGCAAUCUUAGGUUGGUCAUCUUCGAAAAUGCUUUAGCACUCGCACACAAAUACACCUCAUUUUGAAGAUGGUAGUUAUCAAGUACUAUUCCUUCCACUAGUUCAGUUCCCUGAAAAAAUCAUAAGCAAAGGAUAGACAAUAAAAUAAUAAUGUAAAGAUGUUGAAAAGUUGUCUGAGAUUUAAGUAGGUGAAAGAAAUUAACAAGCACGAGCUGAGGAAUACAUGUUUUCCAAACAAAUUAGUCACUUACUGUGCUUUCUGUCAACACAUGGCAUACUUCUUCUUCCUUCCAUAAUCUGCUGCGUUUCCCAGGUUCUUCAGGUGAUUGUCUCUGGACAAUUUGUUGCCCUAAUUCUUGUAACAAAUCAUGCAUCCACAGUGUGUUAUUAUGCACAGUUAUUAGACAUUUUUCAAUGAGAACUCUUAUUCCAAUAACUGGAUGAAAACCACAUCCCUCUAGAAAAUUCGUGACAUAAUCCCUAUCAUUUCCUUUAAAGAAACAUGCAACAUCGAGAAAUAUUUUUUUCUCUAGCUCCUGUAGCCCAUCAAAACUUAUUUGAAGUAUAUCCAGAAUCUCACUAGGAGGUUCUAUUUCUAGCCGUUCCAGGGUACUUCUCCACUCAUCCACAGAUCUACCAGACAAAAAGGAACCCAAAACUUCUACAGCCAAUGGAAGACCACCAGCAUACCGGAUAACACGUGCAGAUAGCUGCACACAUUCUUGCAAAGGUUGAUAAGUUUUAAAAGCUUUCAUAAUGAAGAGUUGAAGAGCUUCAUCAUAAUUUAGCCCAUGAGGCCUAUACACUUCAUCAACCCCAUGUGUUUUCAACAACUGUUCGUCUCUUGAUGUUAUGAUGAUCCGGCUGCCUGAACCAAACCACUCACGAUUUCCAGCUAAACUUUGUAAUUGUUUUACAUCAACCACAUCAUCAAUAACAAGAGCCUUUUUUCUUUGCAGUCUACUUCCUAACAUGUCGAUACCAUCAAAGACAUUCCAUAUACUAUUAUCUGCAAGCUUUAAUAACUGGGAAAGGAGUUGCCUUUGUAAAGAGACUAGGCCCCCUUUACCGGAAAUUUCUCUAACAUUGGCAAGGAAACCACUUGCUUCAAAUUCAUGAGAGAUCAAGUCAUAAACAACUCUUGCUGUCUUACCUAGACCUCCCAUCCCACAGAUCCCUAUCAUACGCACAUCACUAGACCCUGAGUCCAUAAGAAACCUUAGUUUCUCACAACGUGAAUCCAUUCCUACUAGCUCCUUAAGAGUCUCUGGUUUUGUACGAAUUUUACUUGAUACCACAUUGACAAUUUCCUCAAUAAGUUUUGACUCAUUGCUACAGAUUGAAAUCAACGAGAAAAGAUUAGUGUUAAAUUAAAGUAAGUGUGGACGUGGAGUCAAAUUAAUUCCAUUAAAUGUACAUAAAAAUUAUGCAAAAUUCAUUGGACCAAAUUGAAAUAAUAUAUUUUACAUAUGGAAAAUCUUUAGUUGUGUUCUUCAUGUAAAUAUCUACAUUGAUCUGUACCUCUCAGUUUGCAAAAAUAAACUUGUGGAGCUACUAUUUCAAAUACUACACAUCAUAUGAAAUAUGUAUUAACUAGAAGCAUUUUAAUUGAAAACACUCUAAAAGCUGUUUAAGAAUGGUUACCUUUGUUUUAAUUCCCAACCGGAGAUAUUAGCCACCUCUUUCAAAAUGUCUCUCCACUUUUGCACCUUUUCUUUAUUGUCCCUAAAAACUUCUUCAUGUUUAGCAAAUGCCUCAUGAAAAUUUCUUGUCUGUUUUCUUACCACAGUCGGUUCCAUAUCAUAGAAAAUAGGAAAAAUUUGAUCUUCUGCGUUCUUGCAUUCAACAAUCUUAACAAGUUCAUCCAAGCACCAAGUGGAAGAAGCAUAGUUUUGCGAGAAAACAAUAAUUGAUAUUCUUGAUUCUUCAAUUGCUUUAAGGAGUUCUAGUGGAAUGGAUCUUCCUCUCUCAAGUUCUUUGUCAUCCUUGAAUACAUAAAGUUCUUUAUUUUUCGACGCAGCAUAGAGAUGACCUGUGAAGCGUUUACGGGUGUCUGCUCCUCUAAAUCUUAAGAAGGCAUCAUAUUUCCAAUGAGAGAUAUUUUGGAUGCUGGUGGAAGCCAUUAUAUCUUUUUCCUGAAAAUUUACAAUAAACUAAGUGGCUUCCUGGGAACAAAAUACCCAUCAUUACUAUGCAAACAAAAAUGCAAUAUAUAUCUCAAUUGUCAAAGUUGUAUAGCUCUAGGUUGCACUGCACUGAAUUGCAUUAAGCUCUGAAGCAAUACCAUGUGUUAGGUAAAUAAGAGCACCAACUCGGCCAUGCCAUCAAUGGUACGAGCAGAACACUGAUAAUGAGCCCUCUACAAACAUGGGCCGACUAGAGACGAGUACCAGCCAGAGGAAUAUACCGACCAGAGACAUAUACCGAGCCGAUACCCAUUCCCCAAAGAGCGGGAACACGAUCCCACAGAAUCACAACAGUUGUGCUUUUCCCAAAACCGUUGAGGGAAGCGCGAGAUCCCACGUUUGCCCAUAAUGCAGUAGUUAGAGUCCCAUGAGGGGCUGCCACUACCCGAACAAGGGGGGAUGAAGGGUAAACGGAAACGUGGGACAGCGGCUAUAAAAGAGGAAGAAAUCGAUGAAGAAAGGGAUAGAAAAAUUGAGAGAAGGGAAAACUCUGUCAAAUUGAAACCAGACCAUUUUCAAUACAAAUUGUGAGCCCAUUAUAAGCAAUUUAUCGAAUCUUAAUUGUACCGUUUUCCCGUAAACACCUUGUGCUAACUUAGGCAUCGGAGGGUUUAUGCCGGCAAAACCACUGGCGUCUCUGAUCCACUUUUGUGAACGCAGGCUUAGUGGGAGAAAGAAGGAUAAUUCCAACUUCGGUGACUAGAGCAAUCGUCGAAGCAAGAAGAAAUUGACAUCCUCACUGUUGAUAAUAUAAACGUUGGUGUAAAGAUCUGGUCGGGCAAAGGACGAGCAGAUUUCAGCAUCAACAUUUUGGCGCCGUCUGUGGGGAGCUGGAUAAAAAGCUACCACCAAGUUAAUAGUAACUGGAGAAGCAACGAACGAUUAGAUAUGGAUGUGUCAAGGAAGGAUGCUUUGAGGGAUGACAAUGAAACUGUUGAGACAAUCACUCUCCGGGAAAUUGCGAAUGAAGCUCAAGAGAGGAUGAUGCAAGAUCGACUGGAGCGGAUGGAGAAAUAAAUGGAGACUCUCACGGCCAUACUGUAUGAGCUGAGGGAUGAGCGGAGAAGGGAUUGUGAAACCCCCGCGAGGAGAGAUGAAGUUGGAGCAGAACCCAGCCUCCGGAGGCCUAAAGUCGAGGAAAUUCCUCCGCCGGUGGACCAACCUAAUGGGGUACAUCCCCACAGAAGUACUGGUCAGGUUCCAACAGAACACGUGGAUGAAAGGAGGGACCAACCUCGUCCCGGACGGGUAUUGGAAAUUGAUGGCCGAGCAGCCAAUGUUGAUGAAGGAGAGCUCAGGCAAUGGUUGCAGAAUGCCGAGCAAGAACGAGAUCAGAUAGCUGCACGUGAUCCUGACCGUGCUGUAGAAUUGGAGGGAGAGGUGCGCAGAUUGGCACAGGUGAUGGAGGAGAUACAGGGCAAGAGAAAGCCCCCGAGCUGGAGGAUAAUGCUAGAUGAAGAAUCUCCGUUAUCAACCGAGAUCAUGGGUACUGUAAUCCCAAGAGACUUCCGCUUCCCCGACCUCAAAUACUCCGGGCGAAGUGACCCGUUGGUGCACAUUGAACGUUUCAACGACAUGACGGGUGUGCAGGGGCUGACACCAGCUCAGAGGUGCAGGGUGUUCCCAUUGACGCUAAAGGGACAAGCCCGAGAAUGGUACUGCAAGCUGCCCCGAGAAAGUAUAAAAGGGUACGAGCAGAUGUACCAAGAGUUGGCCGAACAGUUCCGAGGAGCAGUAGCCUUAAAGGACGACAUGAUAGAACUGAUGGGGAUGAAGCAGGAGGAGCAUGAAUCCCUUCAGGAUUUUGUAAAACGAUAUCAUCGGGCCGUGCUGGAUCUGGGAGCUUUUAAUCACCCGCAGGCGUUGAGGGGAUUAAAAGAAUGUGUAAGAAUCAGCCGAUUGUGGAAUAACUUAAGAAGCCCCAUAGUGCAGAAUUACUCGGCGGGGUAAGAACAGGCGAGGCGAGAUAUAGAAAUCGAAGAGGAGAAAUCGGCAAGAAUAAAAAGUGAACAGCUGGAAGAGCUGAGACGAAAGGAACGGAGAGCCCCGAACGAGAACGAAUCGGGAAAGCGAGCUGGGGAAUCCUCAGUAAUGGGCGGAAUAUCAGCUCUGUCCCACCCUUACCCCAUAGCUCAGAGACCACAACAGUUCCAACACGGCCGGGCUCAACCUUCACGCCCCCCAUUCCCGGAGCGGCAACGAGAAUUCAGACAGAUGGCUGCCUACCCUUAUCACAACACUCCCAGAGCGUUACAUGCAACUAAUUCCAGGGCUGGACGACCAGAUCAGCUACCGACGAUACAAGCCCGAGGUGAUAUCCAUGAUAGCCGAGCAGUUCAACUGGUUGACCAGAGCUUGGCGUAUAGACAGUACACCCUAUUAAAAAUCUCCAUGGAGGAAUUGUAUGAGAGGAUCGAAGGACGAGGUCUGCUAUACCCUCCGGCCCCUAUAACAAAAUCUACUCACCGACGUGAUAAGAGCAGGUUCUGCAAAUUCCACAACACUCAUGGUCACACUAUCAGUCAAUGUCAUGACCUAAAGAUUCAGGUGGAGGAUUUAGUGAGGAACCGGUACUUGGAUGAGUAUGUAGAUGGAGUGUCCCCCGUCAUUGAAUCACAGUACAUGCGGGAUGAAGGAGUUGAGAGGGGUCUGGAACGGGAACAGCCGACCAUCCGUGUGAUAGUAGGAGGGCCAACAUUGGCCAGGGAUUCGAACAGGGCACGGAAGAACUAUGGGAGAUACGCCAUGACUGGCAAAGAGGUGCUUCUCAAUUUGCCAAUAGCCAAGAGAGCAAAGGGGCGGCAAGUUCCCAUUAUGUGGACGGAGGACGACGAAGAGGGUAUUUUAUAUCCUCAUGAGGAUGCACUGGUGAUUAAAGCAUUGGUGGCUAGUACAGAAUUGCAGCGAAUACUGGUGGACACGGGCAGCUCAGUUGACAUUCUGUUUAAGUCGGCCCUAGAUGAUAUGGGGAUUUUAUACUUGAAGCUGAAGCGGACGAAUACAUCCUUGAAGGGAUUUGGAGGGGGACGGUUAACUCCUAUGGGGAUCAUCGAACUCCUAAUUACUAUGGGGUCAAAGCCGUUUGAAAGAACGAUGAUGCUGGACUUUGUCGUGGUGGAAGAAAGAAGCCCUUACCAGAUGAUACUGGGGAGACCGUUCAUGAGGAUAAGCCAAUGUGUAAUGUCCACGCAUUAUCUGGCGUUGAAGUACAGAAUAAAUGGAGUUGUUGGCGUAGUAAAAGACGACCAGAGAAUGGCAAUGAGCUGCUAUGCUACAGCGGCCAAGGAAACGCUGCAGGUUACCUCUCUAGAUAACCGAGGGGAUUCAAAAAAGGGUCGCCAGGAACCUGUUGAGAAGCUGGAGGGAGUUGUUGUAAGCAAGAAUAACCCGAGCAGAGUGGUUAAGGUCGGGUCAGAAUUGGGCGAAGCAAUAAAAGGCGAGCUGGUGAAGUACCUACAGUCCCAUGCAGAUAUAUUUGCCUGGUCUCAUGAGGACAUGUCAGGUAUUGAUCGAGGGAUAGCUUGCCACAAGCUGACAAUCAAGAAAGGGGCAAGGCCGGUGAGGCAGAAAAGGAGGUGCUUUAACCAAGAAAGGUACGAGGCCAUAAUUGCCGAGGUAGAGAAGCUGUUGAAAGCGGGAUUUAUAAGGGAGGCUAAAUACCCAGAGUGGAUUUCCAACGUAGUGUUGGUGAAGAGGCCAACGGAAAAUGGCGAAUGUGUGUGGACUUCACAAACCUUAAUAAGGCAUGCCCGAAGGACAGUUUUUCCUUACCAAAAAUAGACCAAUUGGUGGAUUCAACGGCGGGGCAUAGUCUGCUCAGCUUUAUGGAUGUCUUCUCAGGAUACAACCAAAUACCCAUAAACGAGUAGGACGAGGAGAGUACCACCUUUAUAACUAACAUGGGUUUGUUUUGUUACAGGGUGAUGCCUUUUGGCCUGAAAAAUGCAGGAGCUACCUAUCAAAGGUUAGUGAACAAGGUCUUCAAACCAUUGAUCGGUCACACUAUGGAGGUAUAUGUAGAUGAUAUGAUCACAAAGUCAAGAGAACCGAAGGAUCAUGUGAAGCACUUGGAAGAGACCUUUGAAUUGCUGAGAAGGUAUGAAAUGAAGCUGAACCCGGAGAAAUGUGCAUUUGGGGUCAGCUCGGGCAAAUUUUUGGGAUACCUGGUGAGCCAUCGAGGGAUCAAGGCCAACUCAGAAAAAAUACGGACGGUGAUAGAAAUGAGGUCCCAAUGAACAGCUAAGGAGGUGUAGAGCCUUACAGGGAAAUUGGCAGCAUUGAACCGAUUCAUUUCGCGAGCCACUAAUAAGUGCCACCCUUUCUUCCAAACCAUAAAGAAAGAGAGGAAGAUGGAAUGGACAUCAGAAUGCAAAGAGGCAUUUGGACAGCUGAAGGAAUACCUAGCCCGCGCCCCGUUACUAUCAACUCCGAGAGAGGGUGACCAGCUGCUUUUGUACUUGGCAAUCUCUAAAUGGGCUACCAGCUCGGUCUUAGUCAGGGACGAAGAAGGGAAGUAACACCCGGUAUACUACACAAGCAAGGCCCUGGUAGACGCAGAAACCAGAUAUCCACUGAUGGAGAAGUGGACGCUGGCUCUAAUAACGGCAGCACGCAAAUUCCGACCAUAUUUUCAGGCCCACCAGAUUGUUGUGAUGACUGACCAGCCCCUUCGGCAAAUGCUUCAAAAACCAGAUGCAUCUGGUCGGUUAGUAAAAUGGUCCGUGGAGCUGAGCAAAUUUGACCUAUCCUAUAGGCCCCGAAGAGCAAUCAAAGCCCAAGCCCUGGUCGAUUUUAUAGUUGACCGUGCUGAACCAGGGGAAGAAAUUCAGGAGGAACAACCAAUAGAGCAGGAGAAACCAGAGGGGGUGUGGCUGGUGAUGGUUGAUGGGCACAUAAUGAACAGGGAUCCGGAGCAAGAGUUGUAAUACGGAGCCCAAAAGGGAUCGAGGUAUCCUAUGCAGUAAAAUUCGAGUUCCAGCUUACGAAUAACCAAGCUGAAUAUGAGGCCUUCAUUACUGGGCUCGGGCUUGCACAUGCACUACGAGCUGAAAAAGUAGAAAUCCGAGCAGAUUCCCAGCUAGUCUGCAAUCAGCUCUGCAACUAAUUCCAAGUAAGGGAAGAGAAGUUGGGGCGUUAUUUGAAGAAGGUGAAGCAAAUGGUUGAACUCUUCAAAGAGAUAGAGGUAAAGCAGAUAUCCCAGAUGAGAAUUACCAAGCAGAUAUGUUGGCUAGAAUGGCUGCAAUUGUAGAUCCAAAAUUACCUAAGUCAGUUCCACUAGAGGUGAGGACCUCGCCUAGUAUAGGGGAGGAAGUAGAGGUAAUGAGAGUAAGCACUGAAGAAUCCUGGAUGGACCCGAUUCUCGCAUACAUCCGCGAUGGCAUUUUACCGGAGGACAAAAGGCAAGCAAGAAAAUUAAAAUGCCGAGCAGCGAGGUACACGCUACUCGAUGGGAUGCUCUACCGCCGAGAAUUCACCUUGCCCCUUUUGAGAUGUUUGGAUGAUGAGGAGGCAGAUUAUGUAUUAAGGGAGAUUCAUGAAGGAAUAUGUGGAAAUCACUCGGGAGCAAGAACUUUAGCCUUCAAGGCACUCCGGCAAGGAUACUUUUGGCCAACCAUGCACCAGGAUGCGAAAAGGAUGGCAAAGAAUUGUAAAAUCUACCAAAGUUUCUCAGAUAUUCCUGCACAACCCCUAGAAAAGUUUACCACUAUGACAUCCCCAUGACCUUUUGCUCAAUGGAGAAUCGACCUGAUUGGUCCGUUACCGAAGGGCCGAGGAGCAGCAACACAUGCAAUUAUAGCAAUAGACUACUUCACCAAGUGGGUAGAAGUGGGAGUCUUCAGCCAAAUCACGGAGAGAAAGACGACGGAUUUUCUUUGGAAUAAUAUCAUCUGGAGAUACGGAAUCCCUUAUACCAUCAUUACAGACAAUGAGAGGUAAUUUGACAACAACUUCAGAGAAUUUUGCCGGAACCUGGGGGUAGACCUGAAGUUCUGCACCUUGCACACCCCCAGGCAAAUGGACAAGUGGAAGCAGCCAACAAAGUAAUAAAGAAACUCCUGAAAACUAGACUGGGAGAGAAGAAGGGAGCUUGGGUCGACGAGCUGCCAGGAGUAUUGUGGGCUUACCGGACAACUCACAAAACCGCCACAGGGGAAACCCCGUUUGCUUUAGCUUUUGGUCAUGAGGCGAUUGUCCCAGCAGAAAUUGGAGUGGAAACACAUCGGACGGAAUAUUUCAAUAAGGAGCAAAACGAUGAGUAGAUCUGCUUGAGCCUGAACCUGCUGGAGGAGAAAAGGGAAGGGGCCUCGCAGAAAGUGGCCCAAUGUCAGCAAAGGGUGAUGCGUUAUUACAACAAGAACGUAUGCGUGAGGCAGUUCCGAGCAGGGGAUUGGGUGCUUAAGAAGGUGAAUCAAAACACUAGGGAUCCUAACCAUGGCGCGCUCGGCCCGAAAUGGAAAGGCCCAUACAGGGUGAUUCGGGCGACUGGACCAUGAGCUUACAAGCUAGCGUACCCAGACGGACGAGACGUGAAGAGGUCGUGGAACGCCGAGCACUUGAAGAAGUAUUUUCAGUAAGCAGAGUGCUCUACUAAGUCUUCAUUUUGACAAGUUAUUUCUAUUAAAUGCAUGAUGAAUUGUUACACAUGCAUAUAUUCUGCAUUUCUGUAAAGCAUUCAAAUUUCAAUAAAGAUGAAUUCAGCAUGAAAUCCCUCUGCUAGCAAGCCCAUUAAAUUUUACUAAGGCAAGUAAGUGUUUGUUCCUGCUCGGUCAACGAAAGACCAGCAGGCAAUUUCACGAAAUUUUACUAAGGCAAGUAAGUGUCUGUUCCUGCUCGGUCAACGAAAGACCAGCAGGCAAUUUCAUGAAAUUUUACUAAGGCAAGUAAGUGUUUGUUCCUGCUCGGUCAACGAAAGAUCAGCAGGCAAUUUCACGAAAUUUUACUAAGGCAAGUAAGUGCAUGUUCCUGCUCGGUCAACGAAAGACCAGCAUGCAAUUUCACGAAAUUUUACUAAGGCAAGUAAGUGCAUGUUCCUGCUCGGUCAACAAAAGACCAGCAGGCAAUUUCACGAAAUUCUACAAAGGCAAGCAAGUGUCUGUUCCUGCUCGGUCAACGAAAGACCAGCAGGCAAUUUCAUGAAAUUUUACUAAGGCAAGUAAGUGUCUGCUCCUGCUCGGUCAACGAAAGACCAGCAAGCAAUUUCACGAAAUUUUACUAAGGCAAGUAAGUGCCUGCUCCUGCUCGGUCAACGAAAGACCAGCAGGCAAUUUCACGAAAUUUUACUAAGGCAGGUAAGUGCCCAAUCUUGCUCGGUCAAUGAAAAACCAGCAGGCAAUUUUAUGGAAUUUUCACUAAGGCAAAUAAGUUCCUAUUCCUGCUCGGUCAACGAAAGACCAGCAAGCAAUUUUAUAAAAUUUUACUAAGGCAAGCAAGUGCCUAUUCCUACUCGGUCGCCAAAAGGACCAGCAGACAAAUCUACAAAUUUGGUUAUAGCAAACAACUAUCUAUUCCUACUCAGUCGAUUAUAGGGCUAGCAGGCAAAGCCAACUAAAAGUGUUAAGGCAAUUUGCAAAAACGAUUUAUAAGUAAAACCACAAUAGAAGAGCCAAUAGAAAGCAUUUAAAAUUUAUGCUAAAAAAUGUUUACAAAACAGAUGAAAAUUUAGAGUUUAUACAAAAAUAGAACUAAAAAUUUGGAGGGUCGACAGCUUCAGCAGUUGAAGAAUCAGCAAUCUCGGGAGGUGAAGGAUCAGCAAUCUUGGGAGGUGAAGGAUCAGCAAUCUCGGGAGGUGGAAGAUCAGCAACACCGGGAGGAGGAGGCAUGGACCCUUGACCCAUUUCAAGAGCACGACCCCCAGCUUCCCCUUCCUACACCCCAUCUACAGGAGCCUCCACCUGAUCCUGCUCACCCUGCUCCUUACCUCCAUGAUCGGCCUCAGCCAUAUAUCUCUGCACUCCAGCCUCCAGCUUGCUCAUGUCCAGCUCGGGAUAUUCUUCCUUAAGCACAGACAUGAUGCACUUAUAGCAGAAAGCAACCCCAGAGUCAUACUAUGCAUCCAGCCAAUCAUCCACAUCAACAGAUUUGCCUUUCGCCUCAGCCAACUGCUCAUUCAAGGAUUUGAUUUCUCACUCAAGGGCGGUCCUCAAAGUAUCUCUUUCACUUUGAGUAGCCUGAAGAUCAGACUUCAGGUCACCCAACUCACCCUCAAGUUUGGAAGAGGUGGACUCAGUAACCGCAACUUUCUCCUCCAGCUCCGUAAUCUACUUGUUUAGCUCAGCCAGCUUCUCCUUCGAGCGAUCAGCAGAUUCAGUUUUUUUCUUCAAAUCCUGAUUGUCAGCUUGAAGCCUCCUCUCAUGGCGCGUGGACCUGUUCUUGUAACAAGAAACUAUAGUGGCCAGCUUGAAGGAGACCCUCUGGACAGAACCAGCCAACUCACUGAGGCUCAUACUCUCGAUUUCCUUCACCAUCUUGGGCCCCACCGAUUUGCCGUAAUCCCUCUAGUACGGGCUCAGGUAGUCACCUUGAUCCCGAGAUGGAAGAGGAGCAGACCGGUCCCCGGAUUGGAUGCUGACCUCGGGACCCUUGUCGGAAGUUUUCUCCCCACCACUCUUACGAGGUGGAGGAGGAGGCAGAGCAGGAGCAGGAGCUUUGGAAGGACUGACGCUGGUUUUCUUUGGAGGAGGAGGAGGGUUACUGGAGCUGCUUGGAGCCCGAGCACAUUUUCUGCUCAUCGCGCUGAGGAUCUUGUUAUCCAUUCCGGCUGCAAUGUCCACUAAGCCCGAACCGACCAAGUUUGUUGGUGACAGGAGGUCUUGGCAAAUAGACGCGUUCACUAGAGCAGUUUCCACCUGAAGCAAAGGUUGGUCUUCAAGAUCCUUAACCAAACCCCACGAUUCUGAAAAAACAAAUAAGGUUAAAGAACCCAAUAAGUGGCAAUUUGAGAAAGAAUAUAGGCAAAAAAUGAAUGACCUGGGGUGACAAAAUGCGUUGGAAGGUAAAUAUCACCACCCAACGAGCGGGCUGCUGGACACCAAUUUCCUCCAGCAAAGAAGAAUUUGUUCUUUCAAUUUUUGCACGAGGAGGGGAAGCCAGUAAUUGGCUUCCUCUUCGCAAAGCUCGACAUGAAAUAAUACCAGCCUGCUUCCUUUGGGCUACUCCUCAGCUGGUAUAAAUGCUUCACUUCAACAAGGAAGGGCUCAUCUGAUCCACACCUCUCCCAUAAUACGAACAUAGCCGAGAGAACCCUCCACCCAUUCGGAUGUAACUGACCUGGGGCCAGGUGCAUACCCCCCAGUAUCUUGGCAAAAUAACGCUGAAGGGGCAGCCGAGCUCCUAGUCUAAAACUCUUCAGGUGCAUCGUCACAUACCCCCGCGGAGGCCGACUAGGAACAUCACCUUUCCCAGGAACUACAAGGGGAACCUCCUCAGGAAUGUUGUAAAGGUUCCUAAGCUUGAAUAGAUCAGUUUGGGUGGUGGCACAGGCUAUGUAGUCGAUAAGGUAAGAAUCCGCCUCCACCCUAUGGCCAAGGUUUCUCUUCUUAGGAGCUCGGCUCGGCUCGGAACUGCUUCUCUCACCAUCACCCACUUCUUCAGGGACCCCAACCCCAUCAGAACUGUGGUUCUCACCAGAGCCCGACGUAGGUCCCCCUCUAUUUCCUACAAGCUCUAAUUCAGGGGAAGGUGAAAUGGUCAGGGGACGUGGGUACUCAAGGGUAUCCCUGCCAUGGGAGGGGCCUACACUACUCGAGGGACGUAAAAAAUCAGUGUGUAUUGACAAGUUAAGGUGUAAAUCCUCUGUUUCUUUGUCACUCUCAUCUGCAAUCAACUUCCUUCUCCGAUUUGACAUAUCGAAGUCCCAAAAGGAAACCAAAACAAACCCGAGUAUACGAAUACAAAAAGGGGCAACAUAGAACCCAAUCAACAACAACCAAAGAAGAGGUUAAAGGCUAUACUUGGAAUAGACUGGCACUGAUAAUGUUGCUGUGAUGGAGGAAAGACCCAGUAAACGGAAAUCCCAGACGCGGAAAGUAUGAACGAAGUUCGUAGGAGUUGUCUCACGACAGAGAAGCGAAUAGUAAAACGAUGAUGAUUUCAAUCUAGGGAUUUGAAACGAAAAGGGGGAAAUGGAAGCGUUUAAGUGAUGGGCAUGCCAGCUCACUCACCUUAUAUCGAGGAUGGAUAGCCCGUCGUUUCAAAUUUCAAAUACGAAGAGUCGGGAAGCGCCACGUCACUAACUAUUAUAAAAGGCCUGACGAGACAUAGGCCCAAAUAUUUACGAGAUAUAUUCAUAAAGGCCCAUACUCGGAUAAAAAUCUCCUCAGACGAGAGAGGGAACCUCAGGUCCAUCCCAGUAAACAGAAGACCAAAUGGGAAGUUUCCCGGGCCGGUAAGAUUCGAUUAUCAGUUUCUACUCUCAACUCCUUUCACUCGCAAGACCAGAAACUGGGGGACUGGUGUUAGGUAAAUAAGAGCACCAGCUCGGCCAUGCCAUCAAUGAUACGAGCAGAACACUGAUAAUGAGCCCUCUACAAACAUGGGCCGACCAGAGACGAGUACCAGCCAGAGGAAUAUACCGACCAGAGACAUAUACCGAGCCGAUACCCAUUCCCCAAAGAGCGGGAACACGAUCCCACAGAAUCACGACAGUUGCGCUUUUCCCAAAACUGUUGAGGGAAACGCGAGAUCCCACGUUUGCCCAUAAUGUAGCAGUUAGAGUCCCAUGAAGGGCUGCCACUACCCAAAAAAGGGGGGAUGAAGGGUAAACGGAAACGUGGGACAGCGGCUAUAAAAGAGGAAGAAAUCGAUGAAGAAAGGGAUAGAAAAAUUGAGAGAAGGGAAAACUCUGUCAAAUUGAAACCAGACCAUUUUCAAUACAAAUUGUGAGCCCAUUAUAAGCAAUUUAUCGAAUCUUAAUUGUAUUGUUUUUCCGUAAACACCUUGUGCUAACUUAGGCAUCGGAGGGUUUACGCCGGCAAAACCACCGGCGUCUCUGAUCCACUUUUGUGAAUGCAGGCUUAGUGGGAGAAGGAAGGAUAAUUCUAACUUCGAUGACUAGAGCAAUCGUCGAAGUAAGAAGAAAUUGACAUCCUCACUGUUGAUAAUAUAAACGUUGGUGUAAAGAUCUGGUCGAACAAAAGACGAGCAGAUUUCAGCAUCAACACCAUGUUUAAAAAAUAAUAAAAAAUUAGAUUAACACUACUGUAGCAACGUUUUUCUAAACAGUGCAGCCAGCCCAAAACCUGCUCCCAGAAUAUAUUUUAAUGCUGGUCUAACUACAUCAGCAAACAUUGCAACUAAAACUUGUAGCUAAAUAUGGGAUAACAAAAUUCUGAUAAGGAACAGUAUUUUAAUGCAGGCUGCCAAACGAUCUUCUUCUUCUUAAUAAUAGAUAAACUUACUAAGCUUGCGAAAGGUUCUGAUUUCGAAGUUAAUCAUCUUCUUCUUAAACAAACUAAGCAGACCCAUCAGCUUCUUAUUUACUUCAUUUACCAAAAAGGAAAAAUUAUACCUAAUAAAUCCCAAAUUGUAAUAAAAAAAUUUAUUUUCAAUGCUGAUUGAAAAAAAAAAAAUCCUUCUUUUACAGUCAGGGCAUGCAAACUAAUUGUGAAAAUAAAAGAGAAAGGACCAAGCUAAAACUUACAGGUUGAAGCGUGUAUCGCAGGGAGCCACUUAAUUGAACUCCAAUGAAGUGUUUGAAUGAAAGAAGGAAAAUAUAUUUCUUCUGUGUAAAAGCAAUCAGGCAAUUUCGGAGCUCAGUGUUCUGCUGUAUGUCUUCAGAAGUCCUAUUUCCAAAAGCCAAAAGCCUUGGUCAAAACUAACUUUCAAAGGUUUUGCCCCCACGAAAUUUCCUUGAAGCUACAAGAAAUGUUUUAUUUUUUUUUAAUACGCGUGUUGAAAAGCGGGAAAACACUCUUUUUGUCACUUUUAUCUUUUUUUUGUUCUUUUUUCCUUCCCACCCCCCGCCCCCCUCCAGCUACGGUGGCGCUAUUUAUUAGAUGUAGGUGUCCAGUUGUUUUCACAAUUAUUUUAUGUGACAUCAUUUUCUUAAUAUUUUUAGAUUGCGGUAAUACCUAGUUGGGGACAGAAAUGUGAAGGUUGGACAUGUGGCAAUCUUUGACUAAACAAGCCAGUCGGGAUAAAUAAAAUAAUAUUUGAAACGCUUUUUUCAACUUUUUAUUUUCAAUUCAAAACCGAAAUGUCAAAAAAUUGAAACCACAGGUUAUCAGCAAAAAGUAAAACUAAGACAAAAAAUAAAAUAAGACCAAAAAUAAAAAUUUCUCAAAUUUAUGAGUAAUUAUAUGUAAUGGGGUAAUGCUAGACACACCAUUAGAAUAAGGCUAACGCUACGUUACGUUAAACGUAAGAUACAUUCCACAAAGAUAAUAUCAAUAAGUGCCCCUAAUUAUUAUGGAAACUACAUUAUUUGAAUUAAAAGAAAUACUUUUAAAUCUCAAAGAAGAAAUGAAAGAAAUCAAACAAGAAAUAGGAAAGAUAAAAAUAGAAUUGUCUGUAAUUCAAUUAAGCCAAAAGAAAAAUAAAAGAGUGGAAAAAUUUGAAAUACUAAAAUCUGGAAUAAUUGGAACAAGCCUUAAAAAACCCAUACAAAAACCUCAACCAGGCAGCUACGAUGACUGGUUUGUAAAGACUCAAUACCCAAAAAUAUUAGAAGAAACAGAAAAAUUAAAAGCAGAAUUAAAAAUUGAAGAAAAAGGAAAAGAAAAACUAGAAAUAAAAGAAACAUCACUUAGCGAUACUGAUUAAUGGAUGAAAUACUAGAAGAAGUAACUGAAAAAUUCAGUGACAUAAAUCUAAGUGAUUUGGAAGAAUUUGAAAGAGAAUAUUGUGUAAAAAUGAAUACUGCUGGAGGACCAGAAAUGAAACCUAAUGUAGCAGAGCCAAGCCAUAGAUAUGAAAUACAAAAGAAGAAAAGACCAUUUUUUGAAUAUAAUCAAAUAGACAAUCCUUACAUGGAAGAAGAGGAAAAACCCCUAAAUCCAAAAGAAGAAGAAUAUAAACAAUUUUCUACAUGGAUAUAUUCCACUUGUUCUCAUAAUAAUACAAUAUUUAGAGCACCUGGAAAAAAUAUGUACCCCAGGAUGAUUGUUACAAAAGGAGCAGACCCACUCCUUGUUGGGAAAAUAGCAAAAUAUGGCUAUUUAGACUUAGUAUAUCCUAGUGUAGAUCUUCGAGAAAUAGCCAGCUUUGAUGAGUUACUAAUAAAAGAAGUCUCAAGGUUUGCCCAAAAAAGACCCAUAUAUUUAAAGUUUUAUACUAUAAGUCCAGAAUACCAUCAGAAUAUAGAAUACCAAGCAUUCUACAUGAUUUCUGUAGGUCAUAUUACAAAAAAUUUUAAAGUCGAAGUAGGAACAGAAUAUACAAAUGUUCCUCACAUAAAUGAAACCUGGAUCAGAACACGGAGAGCCAGAGGAAUAAAGGCUAUAUGGAGCAUAGCAAAGGAUUUAUAUAAGAGAAAUUUCAGAUCCAUCAUUAAAUUUCAAAAUUACAUCCUUAUAACUUCUGAGGAUGGACAUACACCUUCAAAUCUGUUACUAGAGUUCAUCAAUGAAAUAAGUACUAUGCGUUUCCCUAGUAGCAGCAAAACCACAGAACAAGCUUAUCAACUCAUGGAUAUAAAGCAGUGAUUGACAGGCUAUGGCCGACAGCAUAAAACAAAGAAAAGAUAAAGAUAUGGUGGACAAGAUAAAAGGUGAUGUCUGACAAAAGGAUACGAAGCAUGAAGAUAAAGAUUCGAAGAUAAGGCAUAUGGAAAAGCAACAACAAGACAAGAUAAAGUGGCUUGACAAGAUACGAAGCAUGAUAGACAAGAUAAGGAGCAUGAUAAAUCUACAGGAAGAUGCUUGAUAAUGAUGUAAAAGCACAAUAAUACAAGGACAAAAAUGUAACUUGCUUGAUAAUAAUGUAAGAGCCCAAUAAUACAAGGGCAAAAAGGUAAACAUAAACCCGAGACGACUUGAAUAUAAAUAAAGAGCAAUAAUCUCUAAGGGAUUAUUCAACCAUUUUUACAAUAAUUCCAUUGUCUUCUAUGAUCAUGAAUAGCUAAUUCUCUCAGCUCAGAAUCCUAAAUCGAUACAUCAUUAAUAAAAAACAAAAAAUCACCAUAGAAAGGAAAGAGAAACCUAAAUUUAUUCAACAUUUCUAAGCUCAACGAUCGCAUUCCAUACAGUAAGGCCACUCGAGUCCGCCGAUCCCGUUGAGGCAAGGAGGCCGUUGAGGGAGUAAGGACAGUAAGGCUGCAGGUCACUGGAGAAAGAUCGGAAGGCAAAGAAACAAGAAUAGCUUGGGUAAUAAUUCUCAAACCUUAUCUGUUGGUGGAAGUUUGUUGAUUAUUAUUGAUGAGGAGAUUUAUGGAGGAAGAGCUAAUUUCUUUGAAGUGAAAUAUUUUAAUGAACAACAAUAUCAUAUUAGGAAAUUCUAAGGAAUACAUGAUAAAUCCAACAACUAGAAUAACAUAUAAUGAUUAUACAAUGAUUAUAGAUUUCAAUUUAGGAUCUUUCAAACAAAGUUCUUAUCUUUUAAAUAAAGACGAACUUGUUAGAACUGAAGAACUACAAGCAGUAUAUGCUCUUGAAUUACCAAAGGAAAUAAAAAGAAAAAUAAUAAAUCAUGUAGAAAUAGAUACUUUAAAGCAUAACAUCAUCAUGCUAACUAUAGAACAAGGAAUUGACAUAGCUCUGGCAUAUACAGAACAUGAAAAUAGAGAAGCUGGACCAUCAUACAUAAACUACUUAGAAAAUUCUGAUAAUGAAGAACUUGAAUUAUAUGGUAUAUAGGCAAGCAACCCAUGACGUAAAUUGGAUAGACGAUCCCGAAUGGGCGUUAGUAUCCUCUGUACUUUGGGAUAACAAGCCACGUACCUAUAAUCAGUAUAGUUUAUAAUCAUGGAAAUUUAUAAUGAAACCAGAUAUUACACUAGUAUAAUAAAUAAUUUUAUAUAUUUUAUAAAAGUAGAAAUAUUCUAUUCAGAAAAUGUAACAGAAAGUUUAAAUAAUCAAACUUUAAAUCCUACAUAUAUUUUGGAAACUAAUAGUAGCUAUUACGACUUAUAUGUUCCCAUUCUUCCUAAUACAUUUCCUAGAACAAUUGAUGGAGAACAAGUUAUAGCUGUAUUUUUAAGAAAUAAUAAUAAUACAGGAUAUGAUAGAUAUGUGCUAUAAAUAAUAAAAACCUUUACAAAAAAAAAAAAUUUAUCUGUUUUUAGUAGUUUAAUUUUUAUCAUUUUUUCAGUUUAUUCAAUUUAUUUCAGUAUAAUUUUUAGUUUCACCGAAACAAAUGGUAUCAGAGCCAAAGUUCUGAAAUAAAAUUCUCACAAAAAACUUAAUAAUAAUUUAUUAAUGGACCCGAUACAAACAAUAGUUAAUAGCUUAUACACUUUAAAGGUAUAUAAUAAAGAAGAAAUAAAAAAUCUCAUUAUGGCUUUAAAAAUUGAUAAAAAUAAUAUUAGAAAUAUAGAACUCGAACUAACAGAAGAACUUAGAGAACGACAUAUAGACACAACAGGAGGAGAGAUAUUAAUAGAAAAGAAAAUGAAAUUUAUAGAUGAAUUUAUAAAAUUUCUAGUAUACUGGUAUAAAAAAGAAACAAUAUGAACCAUAAUCAACAUGCAUUUAAUAUAAUACAUGGAUUAGUAGAUAGUAUAGAUCAUAUGAUUUUAGGAUGGGAAAAUACAUUAAAUACAUAUAUAACUUUAAUAACUCAGAAAAUAGAUUUACUAGAACAAGAAAGAAUAGGAAUAAUAAAUUUAGGACCAGAAAUUUAUUCUGAAAUUAUAGAUCUAUAUGAAUUUGAUAACCAUUUAAUGUUAUUUAAAGAGGUAAUCAAAACCUUAGAAAAAAUAAGAAAUAGAUGUAGAAGGGAUGGAAGAAGACAAAUACAUCUAUAAUUAAUAAAUAGAAGGACCCAAGAAAAAUUAACCAGAAAAAGAAAAAGACAAAAAACGUAAGAUACAUUGAUCGUAACUUAGGUACUCCCUUAGAAUAAACUUAUCCUGUAACUAAAAAGAAAAAAAAGGCGGCGGUUAAAAAUUAAAAUAAAUAAAAGAACUAAAGAAGGAGCUGUAAACAGGAAAACAUAUACACACGUGUGAGUGAGAGAAGCUACCAAAACCUGACCCGAAACCCGACCCAAACCCGCAAGCCCGACCCGGCCAUAUCUCCAAUUUCCGGCCACCUCAUCGGCCGAGCAACGUACCAACCUGAAGCUUGAAGACCAUCAUACCCCAUCUGUCCUCGUCGCCGGAAAAUGGUUAGAACGCCGGCGAUCAAGCUCGAUAAGCGGCGGUAAAAUCCACCCCUUCUCGCCGUCGAUUCCGCCAGUUUUGGGUGACGUCACCGCCUGGAUCUUGAUCCUCAGAUCAUUCCCAUCAUUUUCCGACCAACCCCGCCACCUGAAACCGCCGUUUUGGCAGCGAACGACCGCCGGAAAGCUUGCGGCUUGGGAAACUCGAUCCGCCGCUUUUGCCGCGCGUGCAAGCUCACUGCCGGCACCAUUAGGCUCAGCGUGGCCGAACCUUUCAGGCUUGAGCUUCCCGGCUACUGUUGACUGAAUUUCGGUCACUGAUGACCGGUGAGGGCAAUCUCGUAAUUUUAUAUUUUGAGGGCGAUUUUGUAAUUUCGGAUCAUGUGGAGAUUUUACUUAUUCCGAAAAAUUAAGGAUUCGUUGUAAUUAGGAUUUUGAGGGUAAUUUGGUAAUUUUUAAUUCGGGAGUAUUUUAAUAAUGUACAAACUCAAGGGUAUUUUAGUAAGUUUUUUGGCACAAGAGUUAUAAAUUAUGGAUUGAUAUUGGUUUUGAGUUUAUUGCAUAAAUUUGGUCCUAAUUUCGAUUAAUGAAAAAAUAAUUAUGUCAUUUCCUUAAUUUAGGAGGAUCCACAAGCUAAUCAAUCCGUAGACGUGAGCGAUAAUUGAGUCUGAGCAUCGUCACUAUGAGUGAAAUAUACAAAACCUAUUUUUAUAGUUAAUUAUGAUAGUGAAACAUGUUCGUGAAAUGAGAAAUUUAAAUGUCUUGAUUCAAUAAAUUUCUCGAAAUGGAUUUAAGUUACGCAUUAAUAUUUUAUUAAAAUGUUUUGGAUUAUGAUUUUCCAUAUCGACUUUGGAAAAAAUAUUAUAAGUGUUUUAUAGACAAGAAAAGUGAUUUGGAUGUGAUAUAAAAAGAAAAUAGAUUUAAAGUAUGUUAAAUAGAAAGGAAAUGAGAUUUAUAGUAUGAUUUUAUGUUCAUGUAUAUGUGUAUAAAAUGUUGAUUGUAAAAUUAUUGGACAGUACCAUUCUUUGGUUGCAAUGAUACAGAUAUGAUGAGGCUUUUGGAGCCCGUUUAAAAACACAUAAAGGCUUUUGGCCGUGUGUUUGGGUGUUUCUGCCUUUUGAGGGCAUAUAUAUGUGAUAUGAUGAUAAUAGUGAUAUAGAUACAAAUAAUAAAGAUGAGAUACAAGCUUUUACAGGCUCGUCUAAGUACACACAGAAGCUUUGGCCCGUGUGCUUAGGCUCUUUUGUCAUUUAAGAACUAGAUUAUGCAUGCACAAAUAUGAUGAUAUGUGAGAUGACACUUUUAUGUCUAUCUGUGUAGCUCUGGGGCAUAACCGUACCUAGAUAAUACAUCAAUACCCAUCUGUUGAGGUCUGGAUACGGUGAGAUUAUUUCUUUGGGUACUUAUUUAAUGAUAAUUUUAAAUUUGUGUAUUUUAUAUGAUAUUGUAAUAUAAUUUCCAUGGUUAUUAUGUACGAUAUUACAUAUGUUCUUCAAGGUUAAUAAUCUGAUUUAAAUGUUAAAUGAUUUAUAAAUAUUUUCUCGUAUAUGGUUUGAUGAAAUCGAAUUUAAAAAUGAUAUGAUUAAAUUAUUUUUAAGUUAAAUUAAUUUUCAAAAAUCAUUAUCCACUGACCUCAUUGAGUUUUAUAUUCAUCAUGUUUUUAUUAUAUUUUUCCCCUCAAAAGGAGAUUGUAGGUACACCAAAUCAACCUAGGGACUGUAGAUAUUUUGAAUUUUGGGCACAUGAUAGUGUUACAAGAUAUAGAUGAUUUUUAUUAGGACAUCCUGAUCAUUUCAUUUUUCUUUUUUUGCGAUUGUAUAAUUUUAUUGUAUUAUUCUUUUGGGAUUAAGAAUAAACUAAUGUAUAUUAAUAUUGGUUAUAAUAAAUACGAAUACAAUAUUAAAAUAAAAAUACUAACUAAAAUAGCACAUUAAUACAAAUAAGAUAUUAAAAUAAAUAUAAUUAAAAAAACAAAAUAUAUAUGUCAUGCAAAUUAUUUUAAUAUUAAAGCCAUUAUCAACAUGUCUCAAUAGAUUUUAUUAAAACUUAAAUUUGUUAAUCCAAAAAUUUAUUUUUUAUUUAUUCUAUUAUAGACAUAACUCAAAAAAAGUAAUAUAUAUAAUAUAAUAUAAAUAUCGAUUUUAUAAAUUAUUUUGAACGUUAAAUACAUUUAUUUUAUAUUAUUAAUCUAUGAAACCAAUUUUAUUAAUAUUAAACAAAUCUAACAAAUUAGUAAUAUCAAAAAAAAUAUUGUUUAAUAUUAAAAUAAUUUAUAAUAUUUAUAAUAUUUUAUUUAAUGAACUAUUUAAUAUUAUAUUUCUAUGUGUUAUAAAAAUUUAUUUAAAGUCAAUUUCUAUGUUGUUGUAAUCUAAGAAUAUAAUCUUUAGAAAGGGGUAUGUGUGAUCAUUUGUGAGAGCAAGACGACCUAUGUUAUAUUUUAAAUAAAUCUUGGAGGCAUGGGUGCAUUUUUUCCUAAAGAAAAUAAAGACUUUAAAAAAACUUAACUUGAUUAAAGGACCCAGGGUUUAGAAUUCGUAAUAGCUAGCAUGAACAAAUAUCGUAUUCGGGGCAUCAAUCUUUGUUAUUAUUAUUAUUAUUAUUAUCACCAUCAUCAUCAUUAUUAUUAACAAUUACACAAAUAAGAAUAAUAACAAUAACAAUUAUAUAAUAAUAUUUUAAUUGAAGACAAAAACAAAAUUAUGAAGUUUAAGUGGGGUAAAAUUUGGAGCUCAUAGGAAUAAGAACUUGACUCCCAAAGGUCCAUAAGAAUCAAUUCUCAUUCAUUAAUCCUAGAAACGUAUCGGCCCCCCACAUUUUAUUUUCGUUCCUUUUUCUAUUUUUAAAAAUAAACAUUAUCGAUCAUUCUCAUUUUGAAUUUUAAUUUCAGAAUCUAACUAGUAAGCACAUCAUUAAUGUAUCACACGAGAGUAAUAAGAGUAGUAAUAGGCCGGCGAAGACAACGGUUAGGAAAAUAACUACAGCAAAGCGGUGGAAACAAAGUGUUCCAUGCAAGUACGGGUUCGGAAUUAGAUUUGUCUAGGAGUGUAAAAAAUAAUUAAAUUGAAUAACUGAGUUACGUAAGACAAACAUUCAUGUAAACUUCUAAAACAAAUGCUAGAAUACAAAACUGCGAGGAAACUUACCGCUCUGAGCGCGUGGGAGGCACUGAAAGAUGAUGAAAUUUUACUUAGAUUACAAUUAGGACAGUGUUUAUUUUUUAGAGUGGGAGUGAGGAGUGUGGAUUCCUCCCACUUUAGUGUUGACUUCAACAAAAUAGAGAAGGAUUGGGAAUCCCACUCCGUGGGCUCCACUCAUUUUUGGAGUGGGGAGUGGGAGUGGGACUCCCACCUCUCCCUUUUCUAUUUUUUUUUAAAUUUAAUUUCAUAAAAUAAAAUAAUUUAUAAUUAUAUUUAUUUAAAUAAUAUUAUUAUAUUUAACUAAAUAAUAAUUUACAUUGAUUAUAAGUUAAAAUUACUUUAAAAUAAUAUUAUUAUAUUAAUAGAGAAUUAAUAAAUAUAUGCUAUCUUUAUUUAAUAAUAUAAUAUUAUUAUAUUUAUUUUAAAAAUAACAGUACUAUAUUUAUUUAAUAUUAAUAAUUAAUAAUAAUAAACAGUUUAUUCUAAGAAAAUAUUAAUUUUGUACUAAAUAAUAUUAUAUUAAUAAAUUUAAUAUAAAUAUAUAAAAUAAAAUAAUGUUUCAUUUUAUAUUUACCCUUCUUUUUAUUAAAUUUACUACAACUAUAUUUAAUAAAUAUUUAAAUAAUAUUAUUAUAUUUAACUAAAUAAUAAUUGUGUUUGAUUCUAAGUUUAAUUUACUUAAAAAUAAUAUUAUUAUAUUAAUAGAGAAUUAAUCAUAUUACUAUAUACAAUCUUUAUUUGAAAAUAUAAUAUUAUUAUAUUUAUUUAAAAAUAAUAGUAUUAUAUUUAUUUAAUAUUAAUAAUUAAUACUAAUAAAUAGUUUAUUCUAAGAAAAUAUUAAUUUCAUACUAUGUUAAUAGUAAAAAUAUUUCAUUUAUAUUGCCCUUAUCAACAAUUUUUAAUUUAUAUAAUUAAAAUAAAAAAAAUUGUGAUGUUCAUAAUUAAGAAUAUUAAUAAUUAUUAUAAAUUUACAAAUAUAAUAAAAUAAAUGUUUAUUCAUUAAAUAUAUUUUUUAUUAACUUUGUGAUUAAAAACUAUAAUUCUUUACAUAAGGAUAAAAUUGUAAUUUGAAAUUAUUUACUCCCAAUUCAAGACAAAGUAAACACAUAAAUUAGAUUCUGAUCUCUAUUCCAUGCUUCUAUUCAUGUGCAAGUAAAUAACCUACUCCCACUCCCACUCUACACUCCCAAUCUUAAAAUUCUCACUGCUCAAGAUUCCCACUCUAAUUCAAAAAGUAAACGCAGCCUGUGUUUCUUUCAAAGAAAUCAGUUAGAGGAUUUCAUGUUUUCUAAUUAAUUCUUCUUCUUUUGUUGGCCGACAGCAAGUCUUGUCAGCGAUAUUUGCAAGAGAUAAUUAUAAAGGACGGCGAAUGGAAUAAAAGACAUGUUCAACUGUAACAAAUGCUUCGAUAACGUAGAGUCCUAGACACCUAAAGCAAUUGCAUUAUCUCUAAUUAUUUAAAUAAUAAUAAUUUAGACUACUUAAUGAAACAAGACAUAGAAGAUACAUGGUAUGAACCAACCUCUCCACUGAUCAUCUAUUUUGUCUUCUUUUUCUCUUCUUUUUCUCUUCUUCAAGUUCUUUUAGUACGUGACGCGGCAUUUUAUUUUGUUUAUUCAGUGUCGAUAAAACUGUGUCGGAGCAUCUUCCAAGAAAUUAUAUAUGAAACAUAAAUUAUAAGUAAGUACAGUAAUAUUAUAUUCAUAAAUUAUGUCUACAAAUAGAAAGUAAAUUAACAUAACAUCAAUGAAAUAAUAAACAUAUAAAUAAUAAUGAUAGAUAAAAAAAAAUGUGAUAUGAGCCUAAUUAGAUAAAUCAGUAAUGCCUUAAUAAACAAUAGUAUAGUUUAUGGUAAGGCUAGCCUUUUGAAGAGAUGAAAAUCCGCCAAACAUCGUUUCCUCAAAAAAUAGGAACUUUUAAAACCAUAUGCAUAUGAAAAUUUAUCAAAAAUAAACUUUAUUAUACACUAAUUGUUCCGUGCCAUUUUCCUGAAUACUUUUUGUAUAUUUUAGAAACACAUACCUAAACAAUCUGAUCAAGCAUGAAAUCAUUUUCGAUUCAUGGAAGACAACAACUUUGGGGAUGAUAUUUUGCUCUUGUGGUAAUUGAAGAUGCAUACUUACUGAAAUAUUCAGAGAAUAGUAAGUAGGCUUCUCCUUUUGUAUGAGUUCACUCAAUGAAUCUUUGAGGUUGUGGUUCCUCAUCACCUCAACAUAUGCAGUAAGGCUUCGCCUUGAUGUUGUUGCUACAACCAGUGGCGGACUCAGAAACUAAAAUGAGGGGGGGCUUAGUUUAAAAAAAAAUUAUUUAACUUAAAUUUUUUUUAAUGUUCACUUGAAUACAUUUUAAGUCUUAUAAAUUCAAAUUUUAUUACUUUUUUUUAAUUCUAAAUAAUAAUAGUAAUAAAUUAUUUUUUUAAAUGCGUGAAAAUAUCAUUGUUUCGAAGUAGUUUCCACAAAAUAUUUUAAAAAAUAAAAUAAUGUGGCUAAUGGGAUUUGAACCAAGGUUUUAAAACCAUUAAAUAGCACUCUUACCAUUGAACUACAAGUCUUUUGAUGUAUAAAAAAUAUGUCCAAAUUCAUUUAUCUAACUUUUUCAGAAGGGGCUUGGGGCACAUUUAAAAGAAAAUUUAACGGCCCAGGGGGGGCUAAAGCCCCUCCUGGGCCUUCAUUGGGUCCGCCCAUGGCUACAACCAUCUGUGAUGCAACAAAAUUUUGAGAGGGUUCAUUCAGAUUAUAAGUGGGUAAAGCGACCCCAUAUAAACUGGAGGGAUAUCAUACCUCUCACCUCCUAUCCUGGCCAAAAUAUGUUGAAAAAAUAGCAUAUCAAUAUGCUAUAUUGAGGGCACAUUUUGAAUGGGUCCCAUUUAGCAAAAAUGAGAAAUCUUUGUGAAGUUCGUGUUCUUCUUCGUGAAUAUUUCGAAAGUAAUAUUUAUUUACUCAAAAUGGUGCUUGGGUGAAUAAGCAAUUGUCUCUCAAAGUUCACUCUUGAAGUUGAAAAUUUGAAAGGAAAUGAGGUUUAUCCCACAAGGGAAAAAUAAUCCAAGGGAUUUGUGUUUAUAUAGGCACUUACCCAUACAUGAGAAAAAAGUAUAAGGAUAGAAGCUUAUCUUCACACGCGUGUGCGCAAAGGGGGAUGCGAAUCCAAGAUCGAUUUGGUUGCCCGCGUGUCUUGCGUACGCGAAUGUCAGUCCAAAAUUUCAAUUUUUUUAUAACAGUUUCACAAUGUUUGAAUUCAAAGGAUUUGUAACAGCUUCGCAAUUAUUUUUUGGGCUGUUAUGCAAUUCAAUUUUUGAAUUCAAUUGGCUGUUACAACAAUUAAAUGGCAUAUAUUGAAUUCAGAAAUUCAAUACUAUGCUGCUGUUAUAUCCUCACAUGUGUAUAAAAAGGCAGCUUCCUCUUCUAUUUUUCGAACACACAGAAACCAGCACACAGAGCACUUAAAAUUUUCUUUCCUUCUUCGUCCGUCUUCUUUUCUGAUCGAGUUUGUCGCUGUUGUAGUUUGCCGAAAUUAUCUGUCUGUGCUUGACGGAUAUUUCUUGCCCAUUGUAUCAUGGGAAACAGUUACCAGCAAACCUAAAGCACUGCAGUAGGUGGUAAAUAUAUUUUAAGGAUACUGUGUUACAGGCCUUGGAUUUAUUUUCUUUGUUUCGUUUGAUUUCCAGUUGCUGUUUUUUGCUGCUGUUUAAUUCCAGUUGCUGUCUUGCUGCAGUUUAAUUCUAUUAGCAAUUAAUUUUGUAUAAUUACCUACUGGUUUUAUUUGUUAACUCGCUGUUGUUAUUUUUCUAACAAAAUACACCUCUGAGAAGGUACAAAUUUUAUGAAGACGCGCAACCCUAAAUUUAUAUUAUUGAAUCACACUCAACAGCUUGGGAAAUUGACCUUGUUGAUUUGAUUGCUUUUGGUUUGGAAAUCGUAGUGGUGGCGCAACGGAUAUCAUCUUCUCUUUGUUCAACACUUCAGUUGGGAAUUGGGAUGGCAUGGUUCCUACUUGGGCAUUUUAUCAAACAUGUUCUGGGCAUGGGUAUCAUACAAUUACUCCUCAAACACAUUUUAUCAAAUCUGCAAAAUUUAACUCAAAUUAUAAUUUAAAAAAUGUGUCAUGUAAUUUAAGUGAAUGAUUGAAAUUUAAAAAUUUAUCAUUAAUCAAAUUUUUUUCAAUUUACGUGUAGGGAAAAAAAGGGAAUAUUAUUUUGAAUUUUUAAAAUAACAAAACAAUAUAAAUUUUUUUUUUUAUUAACACAUUUAUUGAAAUUCAAAUUUUAAGCCUGUCUUUAAAAAUAUAAAAAAAAAAAGAAAAAAAAGGAGAUUUUAUGAUAAGAUUGGGGUGGGGUAGGCAAAUAGUCCAACUCCGUAAAAAAUAUAAACAAAUAGUUCAACAAAAGUCAAAAAGUACAAAUUAAAUAAGCAAGGUUGAAUUCAACAAGCCCAUAAAGGCCUACAAAAUUCCAACAUCAAAAUGGAUGGGAAGGGCACUUGAUGAAGCCUUAUUUUACAAUGAAGACAACCUGUCAGUGGCUAUGAACAAUAAUUGUUUGCCAAAAAUAUUUUUGGUCAAAUAUGUGGUAUGAUCCUUAUAAAUAAAUGAUAAUUUACUUCAUCAAAAUAAAUUUUAUCGAUACAUAUGCAUUUAAUUUCAUUUUUCUCGAUAAAUUAUUGUGCUUUCAAGUUUCUUUAAUUUGCAGCAUUUUAUUAGAAAUUUAUUAGGGCCAGUUUGAGAUUGCAGUAAUUGAUGAAGUAAAUAAUUUCUGCCAUGCGGAUAAAAGAAACUGCUUACUUAAAAAAAAGUUCAAUGUUUGCUAAAUUAUGUUAUUGCAGUUGCUAUAAGUUUAAAAAGCAAAGUAUAUGCAUUUGAUAAAUUUUAUUAUGAAAGUGUUAUUUAAUUAUAUAAUUAUCAAAGUAGAUAUAAGUUUAAAUUAUUUUUUAUUUGUAUAUUAGAGUGAUUUCAUUGGAAAAUAAGAUAUAAUUAUCGUUGUUUUUAAAAUGUUAAGGAUAUAAUAAGAACUUUAAUAAGAUCAACGACUUAUUCAGUAAGCUGCUUAUAAAAAACAACUUCUAUCCUAUUUCAAAAAACUGUUGACAUAAUAGAAAAACUUAUGAAAUAAACCGUUUUAAAAAUAUUACUAAACACUAUUUUUAUUAAAAUUUAUGAAUUAAGCAAUUCCUAACGGGAUUUGUACUAGGAAUAACUAGAACUCUUAAGGCGCUAAUGCUAUUUAUGUAAAAUCUAUACAAAUUCAAUGAAAAUCUCAACGAGCGAAAAUCCUUAUCCGCUUCAAGUACUAUUUAUAAUUUACGAUAAGCUUAGCUGGGCUACUCAACCAGAACAACCGAAGCUAUAUGCAAAAAAGAAUUAAAAAAUAAAAAAAGAGUAUACUCAACCAGAUUGCAAUGAGCUAAUUAGUUUAUUGAAGAUAUUAAUUAAUUAAUUUAUAAAGAAAGUUAAUAAUCAAAAUAACCUCAAAGGUAAAGUACAAAUGAAUAUAAUUUUUAUUUUAAUUUUGGGAUUAAUUUGGUAAAUUAAUUUUUUAAAUAAUUAUUAGAAAGACUAUAAUUGUAAGGGUAUUAAAAAUUGCUUUAAGUUAGUUAGUAUUAAUUUUAUUUUAAAUCAUUAGAAGAUUGUUGUAAGAGUAUGAACAAUACCAGUUCAUUCAGACUGAUAAUAAUUGGUUAAUUUACUAAUAAAUAAUUAUGGCUAAAUUUGUUAAUUAACAUUUUUCAUAGAUUAAUUAAUUAAUGUCUCCAAAAUUGUAGUAAGUGUAUUAUUGUAAAACAAAAGAAAACAAAAGGCAAGAGUGCAUAAAUUCAAUAAUUAGGGUGUCUUGAGAUAUUUUUUAAAUAGAAAUAUUAAACAGAUAUUCAAUCUAAAAUAUAAAGACUAUUCGAACAUUUACCCUCACAACUUUUGACAUGAAUCAUAAAGGAUAAUCGCAUAUUAAAAAAGUAAUUUCUAGUUAAAUUUAUAAUAGUUAUUCAAAAUAGAGAAACUUUGUUAUAGUGAAUGAUAAAAUAAAUAUUAAGAUACGUGCAUAUGAGAUUAUUAUAGAACGAACCUGCUAUCAAACCCGAAGCUUGAUCCUCAGCUGAGGUUUGUAUUGUACAACUCCCAUCAUUGUCUAAAUCCAGAUUCCGUAAAAUCCAAACGUUGAUAAAAAGUUCUCCGAACAUCAGUUGCUAGGUAGCUGGACACGGCUAAUGGACUGUUUAAAGACACUUAUAACCUUUUUUUUUAUCCGUCCGUGAAAAUCACAACAAAAAUAAAUUUUGUUUUAUUGUACAUUCAUUUUUUUAAAAUCCAUCUGUGUAAAUUAUAAUACAAGUAAAUUUUUUUUUUUGUCUGAACCAGGAGGUGUUCUUGAGUGGACUUCAACUGUGGGAGGCACCUUUAAGCUCGUACCACAACCCAGACUAAUCCCCGCUCGUACCGAGUCGACCCGUAAGGGGUAAAGUACUAGCCAAAGUGGUGACUCCAUACGAGAGCGGGACUUGAACCCCUGACCUCAAUUAAAGAGUGAGAAUGCCAAACCACUCACACUAACCAACAUUGGUUACAGUACAAGUAAAUUUUUUAUUGUACAUUUAUUAUUCAAAUUUAUUUUUCUGCAAAAAAAUUAAUUUGGUAAGCACAUUUUUUCAAAUUUGUGGCAUGCGCAUAAAGUAGAGCUCGAAUCUAAAACUUGAGUCGUAGAAAGGCUUCCUUUAUGAUUGGAGCUAAAUCUAGCCUCUAACAUAGUACGUGCCCUUUCUUCAAGUAAAUUCAUGUAAAGCAAACCCUGAGAUGCAAGUAAAAUUGAAAAUGUAAGAAAAUUAACUUACAUGUUUGAGCUUAUUGGAAGCAAUCAAAGAUGAUAAAUUUUUGCUUGAAUUUCCAAUUAAGUUCGUUUCAAAGAAAUCAAUUAGUGAGAGGAUUUUUAUGUGUUCUAAUUAAUUUCUCAAAGACAAAAAAUUUAAUAAAAAGUGUAUGCCGAAAGUAAUUAUGAAGAAUGAUUUUGGUUUUUAGUGGCGCAUGGAAUCAAAGAUAUGGUCGACAUGAUGUUGACAAAAGCAUGUUAUUAAUGGCGUCUUCAAUGUAACUGCAUUUUAUAGGGCACAUUGAAUUCCACUUUAAUCUUUUAAGAAUUUAUUCUUGUGGAAUAAUUCCACUAAAAAUCUUUUAAGAAUUUUUUAUUUAAAUUGUAGAAUUUUCUUGUUAAAAUAAGUAAAGAUGGGGGAGUAAAGGUUAAAAGGCUUGGCAUUUUUUUACUUGAAUUUCCAAUUAAGUUUGUUUCAAAGAAAUCAAUGAAAGGAUUUUCAUGUGUUCUAAUUAAUUUCUCAAACAACAAUUUUAGUCUAAAGCGUGUGCCGAAAGUAAUAAUGAAGAAUGAUUUUGGUCUUUAGUGUAGAAAAGACAUGGUCUAUUUGAUGUUGACAAAAGCUAGCUUCAAUAAUCUACACAUCAAAGAAAGGAUUUCAUAUGUAUCGGAGGGUUUAUCUUUUAUAAUUAAUCACCAGCCAAAUUUUAUACAGUUAAACUUCAUAGUAGAUAAAUUAGGACCAUUCUAUUUAUCAAUUAAUUUUAAGCCAACAAUAUCAAUCGAUUAUUCUUCUGGAAGUGGGGCGGAUUACCAAAUAACAUAGAGUCUUUAACAGCAAAUAAGGAAGGAAAUCAGUCACUGAUUUGAAUUGAAUUACUUACUAUAACCACUUUCGGGCUUUGUUUUACAGUUACAGAGCAUCACUGCCUAUGCGUAUAUUUAUCUAUAUACAAUGUUAUUAAUUACUGCAGCAUCGUCAUCACAAAAGCGAAAAGCUUCUAAGCGACAAUAUUCUACUUGCAAAUUUCCAUCAUCAUUUAGAGUAAUUAAAAUAAUUAAUUGGAAAAAAAAAAGAAAAGAAAGAAAGAAACAAUCGAACAGGCAGAGGCAAAGGGUUUCAUUUCUCGUAUUUAGACAAUGAUAAAUUAAUAAUAAUAUGAGCAAAUCUUGAGAUAUGAUAUGAACGAAAAAGAAGGUUGACAUUGAAGAUAAAGAGAUCACCAUCAAAUGAUAGUCAAACAGCAUAUUAAAGAUGAUCGGUUACUACUUACCUUCUUCAUAGAAGCCUUCUCUACCAGCGUUUUCACGAACAUUUUUGCAACAAAAAUCUCCAGGGAAAACCAAUCACUUCAACUGAAGAUCCAAAACGGCAGUUUCAGAAUUUUAUUCAUUUUUAGGGAAAAAUGAAUAAAAUAUUCUUUUGGAAUAAAGAAAAAGAGCAUAUUCCAAAAUCAAUUUCUACUUAAACUUAUAGUAGUCAUGCAAAAGAGAGAUAGUGAAUGUAUAUCACUGUGCAGAAGUAAACAAAGUAUGCAAGCAUGAUGAAAUAAAGAUCAUGAUAUGUGCCUAUGAGAUUAUUAUAGAACGAACCUGCCAUAAAAAAUGAUGCAGAGACUAACCCGGAAGAAAAGGCCACCUAAGAUGUGAAUUUGCUGUUAUUUGAUUCAACUCUUCGGCAUGGCUCUUGAGGUUUGAAUCAGCCUAUGGCAGGCAAGUGAGCAAGAUAGCUUGAUGCCCUUAUCAACAUUCUUUUUCCAUGAAUCUGAAUCUUUCUGUCGAACAACAUUAAUAAGAAUGCACAUAGAAGUAAUACGGUAUUGCAUGUUAUAAAGGAAAUUAUUAAUUUUGUAAAGUACCUUAGCAAUUCUGCUUUUGCUAACUUUGUUACUGUCUAGACUGCACUCUGUUCCACAGUCGAAAUCAUUCUGCAUUUUGGCACAAUUCCAACGCAUCUUCUAUUUAACAAAAAAGAAAAAAUAAGAAUCAACCAUUGUCAAUUCUUAUCAACAAAGUCUUCAAAUUGACAUUGCGGUCUCUGUUGUUUAAAGGGGAAAAAAAUCGAUAGUUGUGAAUUCUUAUCAACCAAAAUUAAACAUGGGGGUGGAGAAAAGAAAAAUAAAAAUCAAAUGUUGAAUCCUCUUGAUUGUAUCAUGGAUAAAUCUGAUUUAGAUCUGAGUCCAUAUUUUAAGAGAUUCAUCGACCCAUUUUCAGACAUGCCAGGAAUUGUAAAUUAAGUCAAAUAUUCACAAAAAACAGAUUCUGUGUUCAGCCGCAAAUGGGCUAUUUCACGGCCAAGCAAGAAAACAAAUGAAGAAAAUUAAUUGCUUUCCACUGGUUCAAGAAUUAAUACCAUGAUUGAUUGCUUCUCUUUUGGAAGAAAUAAUUUUGAAUAAAACACAGCAUCAUUACAAAAAAUGCGAUGAUAUUUUUUCAAUAAUCAGAUGAUGAUAAUUUCUCCAUACAUUCAUUCUACGGCCUGACUCUGUUUUAUGUCUAAGGCUAAUGUGGUGCACUUGCAGCAAGAUAACCAAACCGGUAUGUGUUGGGAAAAUAUGCUCUUUAAAAGCAUAUAUGUUUAUUUAAUUGUAAUAAACUAUUUUUCUGAUUAAUAAAAUAAAUGAGGUAUUUUAUUCAAAUAUCUUAAUUGCAUUAAUACUUGUAUUAAAGUCCAUUUAAUCAUAUUAUAUGUAUUUAUGUGAUUACCAUGUGGAUUCACAGAAGACAUAAAUACAUGUUAUCUUAUGAUUAAAUAAAUUUAGUUCGCAGUUGAUAAAUAAAGUUGGGCACUUUAUUUAGGUAUAGACUGUAAUAAAUUCAUUGAAUGAUUUGUCUUAAUCAUGUAUGAAUUUAUUGAUGUAGUACGACUACAUUGAACAGGAUCACAUAUGAGAUUUAAUUAACUUUGUAAUAACUGUCAGACUUAUUAAAUCUCAUAGGCGUUGAUUUUACUGUAAUCUUAAUCUUGAGUUAAUUAUGAUUUCAUGAUUGUAAUUGUUAUUCCAUUUGAGUUACCAAUGGGCACGACACAUCCUUGUGGUCAAGAUUACCCGGUAUCUUGGUGGGAGCAAUUAUGAGUAUUGGAGUUAUAGAUUAACAAUAUAGAAUUUGUACAACACAUCUCUUCAUGGGUUUUCGGCACUUGAUCAUGGAAUUCUCUGGCCAGAGUGUGUCAACAUAUUUAGUAUGUUGAAAAUGAUCAUUAGAGAAAACCAGUAAGGAUCAAGGAAUAAGAUGUUAUUAAAUUGAUUGGACAGUUGAGAUAUCAAUUUAAUUAACGAUGUGGUACAAAGGAUUGUGCAGUAAAGAAAUCAAUGUGGCUUGGGACGAAUUAUUAUUCGAGCAUACAAUUAUGGAAGUCAGUUCCAAUCUUUUAGUGGAGUAGAUUUGGAAUUAAAUAAUUGGGCUAGUUUAAUUACAGGCCUAAUUAUUGUAGCCACUAUUGUAUGUUCCCAAAUGAUCCCCGGGUUAGCUCAUUUAAUUGACUGCACCACUACUGGACUAAUAAGUAAGAUAACUAGCUAUUUGGGUCAAAAGCCUAAAUAUAUCAUUUAGUGGGAGGCUCCAUUUAAUUAGCUUUUGUAUAAGGGGCCUUAUGUUAUUUUACAAGGUGGGUCCCCUAUUGAAAAAGCAAAUAAACGUGGGUUUUGUUUUUCAUUUAUUUGAAGCCUAGGGUUUUCACUAAAGGGUGAUAUAAAAGGCUUAUUUUUCCCUAAAGAAAAAGUGAGAAGCCACUUUAUACAGAUCAGAGAAAAAGAUUUUUCUCUCUAUUGUUGAGAGAAAAAUUUUCUCGUGCUAGUUGCUUUGGUAGUGAUAAAGGCGCCCACACGUCAAGUGCAGAUCGAACCUGAGUCAUAACCUGGAAGAUCAUUGGAGACUGUUCGUGAUCUAACAAGCGUGGUGGUGACGGAUCGUGAUCUAACAGGAGCGGUGGUGGCGGAUCGUGAUCUAGGAGCCUAAAACACUUCAGCGGAAAAAGCCAACUCGGAUUUUCAAGGUACGAUUUCUAGAAUACAAAUUCUUAUAUAUUAUAUGAGAGCGAUCUUCAAAAGGUUUUAUAAAAAAUUAAAAACCUAAUUUUUCCCCAACAAUUGGUAUCAGAGCCAUCUCAUAUUAAUAUAUAAGAAUUUCGUAUGAAAUUAAUCUUGAAAUUUAUGUAUUAGAGUGGCACAUUUUAUUCAGAUAUAUAUUAUUUGUUUAAUAUAUGAAUAAAGCAUGUUAUGGUUUGUCUUAAUUCAUGGUUAGAUGUUCUACUGUAUUUUUCGUUUGGAUCUGUAACAAGAGGGGUGGCUUAUUAUCACCAUGUUUCCCUCUUGAUUUAUUGUAAUGUAAUUAAAAUUUUGUAAGCCAAAAUUAGCAUCGGAUUAUUGUAAAUCACUGGAAAAUUGCGGAAACUUGCUGGAACCUGCAGCAACGAACCAGCACACGCAGCAGCGAGCGGCCACCAGCACACGCUGCUGCACGAGCAGCGCGCGGCCAGCAGCACAUGCUGCCAGCAGCGCGCGUUGCACACGCAGCGGCCAGCAGCCACGCUGCAAGCAGCUCGCGCUGCACAUGCAGCAACUGCAGCGCGCGUUGCAACGCUGCAAGCAGCGCUACCUGCAGCGAGCGAGCAGCAGCUGCAGCGCCCAAGCAGCAGCGCGAACGUGGGCUGGAGGCGCGGAGCGUUUUGGUUGACGUCUUUCCGGCGUUAAUGACGGCUGUCCGGUGUGGAAACAGUGAACAGCGGCUGGAUUUUUUUGGAGAUGGCGGCUGGGGAAGAGAGGAAGAAAAAUAUGGAUUUAGGGUUACAUGGUUUUUAUCAUGGAAGUCCCUAUGGUUCCAUAAUUUUUCAUUUGAGCAGAAAGUUUUUUAAUUUUUUGCAUUUAAAUCCAAAAACAGUUUUGGGUUUAAUGAAUCCUAGUUUUAGGCCCAAUUUCAAUUGGGCUUAAUGGAUUAAAAAUGCAUAGACAAAAUUAAAUACAUUAAAUUUAUUUUUGGUCCAAAAGCUUUAUUUUAAAAAAAAAUAAAAUAAAAUAAAACUAUUUAUUUAUUUAUUUCCUUUCAAAAUUAAAAUUGGACCAAUUAUAAAUUUAAAAGCCCAAUUUCCCCUAGUCCAUUAACAAAAACAAGCUUAUGGAAGAUGGACAUUGACAAGAAGCCCAAUGAAGAUUAGGCUUAGGGUUAAUGUAUUUUUCAUUAUUAGGAAAGCCAUGAAUUAAGAUUAUUUAAUUAUUUUUCUAUAUGUUAUGUUUUGGAUGAUAACAUGCCAUGAUAACAUGUCAUAUAGAAUAGGUAGUGUCACUCUAUGCAUAAUGAUACAUGUCAUUCAUUAAAUAAUGAAUUUCAUUAUAUUGUUUGAAAUUUGCAUUUGCUUAAUAAUAUUUGAUAUCAUCUAGAUAAUAUUAUAGGAAGCAUGCAAUUAACAAUAUGUAUGUUUUAAAAAGGAAAAAUCAAUUUUAAAAUAUUGAGUGGGAGAGGGAAAAUUCAAGAUAAUUUUUCCCACGGGCUCCAUUGUUAGUUCAAUAAUAAAAUUAUAUAUAUACCUCAACUUCAUGAUACGGUGAUGCUCCCUACGGAGGGUAUAUAUAUUGGAUAUUUUAUUUGAUGAACUUCUUCAAAGAUAAAAUUGAAAUAUUUUUUCAAUCGAUUGCUCGCCCCAACGGUGACUAUUGAUAUGAAAAAUACGUAGAUUGAAACAAUGGUUAUACACUCAACUAAAGUUUGUUAUUAACCUUCCCAACGAAGCUCUGUUAACAAAUUUAGGCCCAAAGGGAUAACGAUAAUUAUUUAUCAUGUCUCUACAUGAAAGUAAAUAAUCUAAUGGAUAAUUGGGUCUAGUAAGUGUAGACAUGACUUCCCCAACGGAUAGCUUGUCAAAGCGGUACUAGAUUAUCGUUACAAUAAAUUAAAAUGCAUUUAUGGUUUUUUGUAUUUUUGUCAUUUAUUGUGAAUAUUGUUUCAAAGUAUUUAUGCAUGUCUAUUUUGUUUUUUCAGAAAAUGUCUUCCAUCAACCCAUUAUUAAUUAUUCUUGUUAAAAAUGAACUCACUGGCGAAAAUUAUUUAGAUUGGAAACGCAAUCUAUUUAAUAUUCUCACUGCUAAGGGAAGCAAAUAUGUUUUGACUCAGCCUUGCCCUCCUGAACCAUCGUUAUACGAUUAUAGAAAUCAGAGGGAGCCUUAUGAGAAAUGGUGCGAAGCUAACAAAAUGGCUAAGCGCUAUAUAUUGGCUUCGAUUUCUGUGGAACUGCAUAAGAAACAUCGGAGCAUGGAAACAGCCACUGAAAUAAUGGCUAGUCUUCAUCAGAUGUUUGGGUAAAAUACCCAUUUUUCUAGAGAAGCAGCAUUGAAACGUAUUACGGAUACUAAGAUGGAAGAGGGCACAAAAGUUCGUGAUCAUGUCCUCAAAAUGAUGGACUAUUUGAAUGAGGUAGAGAUUCAUGGUGUUCAAAUCAAUGAUAAAUCAAAGAUUAACAUGGUGAUUGAAUCUUUACCUGAUACAUUCAAAGAGUUUAAGGUCAGUUAUAUCUUAAACAAUAAAGAUAUGACCUUAAUUGAAUUAAUGCACGAACUACAUGCUAUAGAAGAAUUCUAUCAUAGCAGAAAACUUCCUGAAAAAGGAUUCUCUUCAAGGCUUAAGUCGAAAGACAAGAAUGAGCAAGCAAGAGUUGGGAUCGGCAAACUGUCCACUAAAAGAAGUGGCAAGCCAAAAGGCAAGUGUUACAAAUGUGGACAGAAGGGUCGCUGGAAGAAAGAUUGUCCUAAGAUUAUUAAAAUCAGGUAUAGGAAAUCUUUAAGCUUCCUAAUUAGUUCAGAUUUCUAUUGCAUCAUACAAUAAUGAAUUCUGAGAUAACUAAUCUUAUUUGUAAUUCAUUUAUUUGGUUUUCAGGAAACCAAGAGAUUAAGUGAAGAAAGUAUCAAACAGCAGUUGAGGACAUGCUAGUUUAUAUUAAUUGAAAGACUAGAUCAAUUUUACAAGACUUUAGUUUUGAUAUUUGUCUUUAUAUUAGAGGAAUUUAAUUUCGGUGGCUUGUUUUAAUAAACAGGAGUACACUGUUAUUUUUUGGAUCCUCUAUUUAUUAUUUAUUUUGGUUAUUUAUAAAGACAAUUUAUAUCAUAGAAGUCCAUUGAUCUAUUCAAAGUAAGAUAUAAUGAUAAAAAGUAUAUGCAUUUAUCUAAGAAAAGAAAUGUUUCUUCUAACCAAAAAUCACCUCUGAUAUUUAUGCCUAAGUCAUAUAAACUAUAAUAAGAUUUUAAGAAAAUGAUUAAUGAUAGACUUGUUGGCCUAUUAAGAUUGAUCAUUGUAACUCCAUAAAUCUUAUUUAGAAAAGUAAUAUGACAAGGAUGCUCUUUUUGAGCUAAAAGCAUAACUAUGUAUUUGAUGAUUUAGCGCAUACAAAUGUAUACGGACUAAUCAGUUUACAUGUUAUAAGGGGUUAUGAGUAUUCUAUCAAUCUUGUUGAUGAAUAUUCAUUUUAUUUAUGUUUGUCUAAAUGCGUCAUGAUUCCAUUGCUUUUGAAAUUCAAAAGAGUACGUGGAUAAGACAGAAGCAAUUAGACAGGAACAUAAAAGAACUUCGAUAUGAUCGAAACAAAGAAUAUCUCUAUGGAGAAUUCAAGCACUAUUUGGUUGUCAAUGAACACUAUAAUACAAUAGUGUAAUUAAAUGAAGAAACAAGAUUCUUUUGGAUAAGACAAGAUAUAUACUAAGUGGUUUAUCAUUUACCUUUUUUGAUUCCAGAUAUUAGUAUUUAAAACUACAAAGUUUAUUGAACUUAGUUUCAUCUAUCUCGGUGUCUACUACUCCAAGAAAUUAUGAAAAAGUCACAAACAUGGUUUGAGACACAUUCAUAUUUGGAGUUUACUAGUAUUUCUACUAGAAUCAGAGAUAGACAAGAUGGAUUCGUGUUCAGAAGCUUGCAUGUUUUAGGUAUCUUAAAGGAAUAAGGGAAAGUCUGAAUUAUAGUCCUCAAGAUAGGAAUGUAUUUAUAGAAAUAUUCUUUACUUUCUUUGAGGAAGACUCUAUAAUGACUUAUAACCUAAGAGUAAGGUAAAACUAGAGAAAUAAAAGAGAUCAGGUUGAUGCUCAGCUUUCAACACCUGUUAUAGAACAGGAAGAACAGCAACAACCAGCUGAUCAGCACAGGAUUAUCCUUGAACAACCAUCACUUUUAGAACCUUGUCGUAGUGGGAGGGUAACUAGGUUACCUGCGAGAUACAUAUUUUUGGGAGAAACCUAUAUGGCUAUCUUAGAUGAACAUGUACAAAAUCCCACUAGUUACAACGAAGCUCUAAUAGAUAGAAAUGUUAAAUUUUGGAAAAAGGCCAAGAACACAUGGUAUGUAAGUUGCAGAGAUCCAUUUAUAGAUUGAAGCAAGCAUCCCGGUCAUGGAACAUCAGAUUUGAUCAAGCGAUUAAAUCACUUGGAUUCAUUCAGAACAUUGAUGAACCAUGUGUGUACAAGAAAAUUCAGGGAAAAUUUGUAGCCUUCCUAAUUCUUUGUGUAGACAAUAUUCUUCUGAUUGGAAACGAUAUAGGAGUAUUGACUACAAUAAAGAUUUUGUUAGCAAAAUAAUUUGAUAUGAAUGACCUGGGGGAGGCAAGUUAUAUUCUUGGUAUCAAGUUACUACGAGACCGGAAGAAUAAAACUUUAGCAUAGAUAGAAAUGUUAAAUUUUGGAAAAAGGCCAAGAACACAUGGUAUGUAAGUUGCAGAGAUCCAUUUAUAGAUUGAAGCAAGCAUCCCGGUCAUGGAACAUCAGAUUUGAUCAAGCGAUUAAAUCACUUGGAUUCAUUCAGAACAUUGAUGAACCAUGUGUGUACAAGAAAAUUCAGGGAAAAUUUGUAGCCUUCCUAAUUCUUUGUGUAGACAAUAUUCUUCUGAUUGGAAACGAUAUAGGAGUAUUGACUACAAUAAAGAUUUUGUUAGCAAAAUAAUUUGAUAUGAAUGACCUGGGGGAGGCAAGUUAUAUUCUUGGUAUCAAGUUACUACGAGACCGGAAGAAUAAAACUUUAGCCUUGUCUCAAGCGGUCUAUAUCGAUAAGAUAUUGGCUAGAUUUAGCAUGGAAAAUUCCAAGACUGGUUUAUUACCAUUCAGACAUGGAAUUACAUUCUCUAAGGAUCAAUCACCUAAAACAUCUGAAGAGAUAGAGAGAAAGAGACGAGUUCCCUAUGCAGACGCUGUGGGAAGUCUCGUGUAUGCCAUGCUUUGCACUAGGCCAGACAUCUGUUUUGCGGUAGGGAUGGUUAGCAGAUAUCAAUUUAAUCCUGGAUCUCUAUACUGGACUGCAGUCAAGCAUAUUAUAAAGUAUCUGAAAAGAACUAAAAAUUAUAUGCUUGUGUAUUCUGGUGAUGAACUCAUUCCAGUGGGUUAUACUGAUUCUGACUUUAUGUUAGAUAAGGAUUCCAGAAAAUCAACUUCCGGCUAUGUGUUUACAUUGGGAAGUGGAGCUAUUAGUUGGAUGAGUGUGAAACAAUCUUGUAUCACAGACUUAAUAACUAAAGCUGAAUAUGUGGCUACAUCUGAAGCUGCAAAAGAAGCUAUAUGGCUCCGCAAGUUCCUACGAAAUCUUGAGGUGGUACCUAUUGUAACUACACCCCUUAAACUAUUUAUGUGAUAAUGGUGGUGCAGUAGCUCAAUCUAAGGAACCAAGGAACCACAAGAAACAAAACAUAUUGAAAGGAAGUAUCAUCUUAUAAGGGAAUAAUGUAGAAAGGUUAUAUGACAAUACCCCAAAUGGCAUUAGAUGCUAAAUGGCAGAUCUUAUUACAAUGGCCAUUAGUGGGAAACCUUUAUAACCUGCACUUAGAGCCCUAGAGCAUGUGCAAUAUGCCAGAUAUGCUUUGAGAGCUAGUAGGAGAUUGUUGGGAAAAUAUGCUCUUUAAAAGCAUAUGUGUUUAUUUAAUUGUAAUAAACUAUUUUUCUGAUUAAUAAAAUAAAUGAGGUAUUUUAUUCAAAUAUCUUAAUUGCAUUAAUACUUGUAUUAAAGUCCAUUUAAUCAUAUUAUAUGUAUUUAUGUGAUUACCAUGUGGAUUCACAGAAAACAUAAAUACAAAUUAUCUUAUGAUUAAAUAAAUUUAGUUCGCAGUUGAUAAAUAAAGUUGGGCACUUUAUUUAGGUAUAGACUGUAAUAAAUUCAUUGAAUGAUUUGUCUUAAUCAUGUAUGAAUUUAUUGAUGUAGUACGACUACAUUGAACAGGAUCACAUAUGAGAUUUAAUUAACUUUGUAAUAACUGUCAGACUUAUUAAAUCUCAUAGGCGUUGAUUUUACUGUAAUCUUAAUCUUGAGUUAAUUAUGAUUUCAUGAUUGUAAUUGUUAUUCCAUUUGAGUUACCAAUGGGCACGACACAUCCUUGUGGUCAAGAUUACCCGGUAUCUUGGUGGGAGCAAUUAUGAGUAUUGGAGUUAUAGAUUAACAAUAUAGAAUUUGUACAACACAUCUCUUCAUGGGUUUUCGGCACUUGAUCAUGGAAUUCUCUGGCCAGAGUGUGUCAACAUAUUUAGUAUGUUGAAAAUGAUCAUUAGAGAAAACCAGUAAGGAUCAAGGAAUAAGAUGUUAUUAAAUUGAUUGGACAGUUGAGAUAUCAAUUUAAUUAACGAUGUGGUACAAAGGAUUGUGCAGUAAAGAAAUCAAUGUGGCUUGGGACGAAUUAUUAUUCGAGCAUACAAUUAUGGAAGUCAGUUCCAAUCUUUUAGUGGAGUAGAUUUGGAAUUAAAUAAUUGGGCUAGUUUAAUUACAGGCCUAAUUAUUGUAGCCACUAUUGUAUGUUCCCAAAUGAUCCCCGGGUUAGCUCAUUUAAUUGACUGCACCACUACUGGACUAAUAAGUAAGAUAACUAGCUAUUUGGGUCAAAAGCCUAAAUAUAUCAUUUAGUGGGAGGCUCCAUUUAAUUAGCUUUUGUAUAAGGGGCCUUAUGUUAUUUUACAAGGUGGGUCCCCUAUUGAAAAAGCAAAUAAACGUGGGUUUUGUUUUUCAUUUAUUUGAAGCCUAGGGUUUUCACUAAAGGGUGAUAUAAAAGGCUUAUUUUUCCCUAAAGAAAAAGUGAGAAGCCACUUUAUACAGAUCAGAGAAAAAGAUUUUUCUCUCUAUUGUUGAGAGAAAAAUUUUCUCGUGCUAGUUGCUUUGGUAGUGAUAAAGGCGCCCACACGUCAAGUGCAGAUCGAACCUGAGUCAUAACCUGGAAGAUCAUUGGAGACUGUUCGUGAUCUAACAAGCGUGGUGGUGACGGAUCGUGAUCUAACAGGAGCGGUGGUGGCGGAUCGUGAUCUAGGAGCCUAAAACACUUCAGCGGAAAAAGCCAACUCGGAUUUUCAAGGUACGAUUUCUAGAAUACAAAUUCUUAUAUAUUAUAUGAGAGCGAUCUUCAAAAGGUUUUAUAAAAAAUUAAAAACCUAAUUUUUCCCCAACACAUGCAGCAAUAAAUAAUCAAAUUCUGUCCUGUAUAUUUUUAUUUAGAAAAUUGCAAAAAAGCUAGUCGCUAGAAAAAAGUAAUUAAUUAAGUAAACACUGGCUUUGCACUUUGCACUGUGUUUGCGGUAAACUUUUGUUAAAGACAAGUAUACAUAAACUACCAAGGCACUGAAAAUAUGAAAUCAAAACAAUAUAUUGAAUCAAAACAAUACAUGUCUAUAGCGAAGGAAUCUCAAAAUCUGCUCACUAGCUAUGGCUCGUGUAGAACAAACCUUCACAAACUGACCUUGUUGGUUGAUUGCUUUUGCUUGGCAAAUCAUAGAGUUGAUGCAACACAUCAGGUGGGAUGCACGUUCCUUCAUGGGCAUAUUAUCGAACACGUCCUAGGCAUGAGAAUUAUACCAUAAUUCCCCAACAACUCCCCUCUUCAGCUGGGCCUGCAAAUUCCAUAUAAUCAUUCCAUUGUCUAUUUUUCGUUCGUUCUGAACCUAAAUCAAGCUUGCCAAUUCAUCUGAUCAUAUUCAUAUAGAUAUUUGUCUGUCUUCCUAAAAUUCAACAUUUGUCCACCAAGUAUUAGACCCAUAAAAAUUCAGAGAGGAAAUGACAAGGAAGAGGGUGAGCUCAAUAGACAGUCUCUACCUCAGACCCUGUGUUUUUUUCCAGCUGCCGCUAAUUGCUAAACACGGUUAAGAAACUUGCACACCAAUCUGGACAGCUCAUCAAUGCCACGUCACUACCCCUUAAACUGAUUUUUAACAGAUUUUUCAAUAAAUAGAAUGCAAAUGAAAUAACAUUUGAAUGCAUGGUUAGUGACAAAUUCAGAUAAUAGUAGGUAUGUAUUUGAGUUCAUCUUUGAGGUUGUGGUUCCUCAUCACCACAGCAGCCAUUCCACUGGCUUCUGUACCAAAAACAUAUUUAAUUUAUUUAUAUUAAUAAUAUAUUUAUAUUGAUUUUUAAAGUUGAUUAUUGAGGGAUUAGAAACACUUAAUACAUCCCAUCAUCAUCAUCAACAACAACAACAACAACAACAACAACAACAAAGAAAGAAAGAAAAGACUCAAGAGUAUUUGCAAAAGAUAAUUAUAAAGAGCGACUAUGGUCAACGGUGGAGAAUGGAAUCAAAGACAUUGUCAAAGGUAGCAAAAGCUUCGAUAAUCUAAACACAGAGACUUUUCUUCAAGUAUAGUUAAAUAAUAAAAUAAUAAUUUAGAUUACUUAAUGAAACAAUAAGUAUUUAUGAUAAAUAAGAUACAUGGAAUAAACUAACCUCUCCGCUUAUCAUUUUCUCUAUUGUGUUUUUUUUUUCCUCUGUCUCUCCUUCUUGUUGUUUAGUAGAUGACACAACAUUUCAUUUUGUUUAUUCAAUUUGCUAUUGGAGCAUCUUUCAGGAAAGUACAGAAAUGUAAAUAUACAGCUAAUAUUAUAUUUAUGAAUUAUUUAUAUGUACAGUACAUACUAAGUAACUAAAAUAAGACAAAUGAAAUAAUAAAAAUAAAAAUAUAAAUUAGAUAAGAUCAAAAAUAUCAUAUGAUCAAUCUCUUUCAUCACCAACAUCUAAAACAUUAUUGCUGUAACGUUAUACAUUAUGUACGAAACAGGAAUGUAAGCACAGUAGUAAUAUAAUGUUAUACAUAUCAAAAUUAUGUCUACAAAUAAAAAGUAAAUUGAAAAAAGAUUAGUGAAAUAAUAAAAAAUAUAAAUAUAAAUGAUAGAUCAAAUAUAUCAUAUGAUCCUAAUUUAAUAAAUCAAUAAUGCCUUAGUAGACAAUAUAGUUUAUGGUAGAGAAUAUUACUUAUCCUCUUAACAUUGUUUGCUCAAUAAUCUUUACUUUUGAUCCAAGCAUCUUUGAUCCAAAAAUUGGUAGAGAAUAUUACUUAUUAACGUUAUAAAUCCAUCCGCAAUUAAUAAAGGAUCACAGCAUAUUCAAAAAGCAAUUAAUUUCUAUUUAGAUUUUUAGUACUCAUGCGAAAUAGAGAAACAAGAUAUGUGCGUAUGAAAUUAUUAUGGAUUACAAGCUACUCGAUCAAAACUCGGAAUCAAAUAAUUGAAUGGGUGUCGAGCACGCUUGUGGAAAGAGUCACGGCACGAGCUCCCCUUCAUCAUCUCUAAAAAACCACACUUCAAAUAAAAAUAUUUUUUUUUCCUGCAAAUUACUUGCAUUCAUAACCAACUAUUUUUUUUAAUAGUUAUCAUUCAUGACUUCCUCUCUAUCCAAAAUAAAUUUGCUUAAAUUUAAAAUAUUAAAUUAUUCUUUUUCUAAUUUUUAUUGAUUGAACCUUAUUUUUAAAUUAAGAUUACUUUCAAAUUAUAAUUUGGAAUAUGUGUAAUGAAGUCCUAAUUAUAAUUUAAUAAGUCAUAAUUAUAAUUUAAAGUAUUUGUAAUUUAAGUCAAUGAUUUAUAUUAAAAAAUUCAUCACUGAUAAUUUGUAUAUAGGAUAGAUUGCAAAUUAACAAGAAUGUUAAAGAAAAGAAAAAUUAGAAGAGUGUAUUAAGAAAAAGGAUGUUUUUGGAAUUAAAAGUAAGAAUAACUAAAAAGAGAGAGAGAGAGAAGGUUUCAUGACAAUAUUAGAGGGGUGGCACUAGUCCAGCUCCAUACAUAGAAAUUACAAAGAAUCAACAAGAUAAUAACAAAAACACAUCCCAUACUCACAAUAUCCAAUUAGAGGGGCACCAAAUUUUUUUUGGCGAAAAUCCUCCAAUGCUCAAGUCAGUAAUUGGGUCUCUUUUAGAAAAACUUGUAUCACAAACUCAUGGCUUAAUUAUAUCAAUUGAAAGUUAGAAAUCUUAAUUCUCAAAAGAAGAAAAAUAAAUGGAGAGAAUUAUCGAGAGAGAAAAAGUCAAAGAGAGAGAAAAUAUGGAAAUAAAAAAAAAAUUGUCCAGCCCUUUUUACCUCCCAUUCUCCGUAGCUUUUAUACCCAACCUGAACCAUCGACUCCAUCUUCCCCACGAUUACUGUUGGCUUGGAAGUGAAAAGCGUGCUGUGUCUUUGAAAUCAUGGGUCAAUGGACAAUGUAACUGCCGCUGAAUGGGCUUUGUGCCCGAGUUUCUUGGAGACAAACUACGUGUUGGCCUUUGAUCAAGCCUUCGAUCUGACUCGAUUUUGGUCUCUCCUCGCAUGCCCUCAGGUCUGCUAUAUAGUACUCGUACGACCAGUAUUCAGAUUUUUUUGAUACAAGCAGUGGUCAAUAGAGUCAACUAAGAUAAAACUUAAAUUUCCCGCCCAAACAAAAACUAACAUACAUAAAGAAUUCGAAUCAUCCUUCAAUAAUAACAUAAAUAGCAACUACUGAGGCUAGUAAUUUGAUCAUUUCUGUAUUUGUCAAUGCAUUAUGGAUUCUAAGACCAGGCUCUAAAAUCAGCAAAUCCAAAAAUUGUUGAUAAUAUUACUUAGUAAGGUUACGAAUCCAUCCACAAGACAGCUGUAAAUAGUCAUAUAUCCUGACAUAUGAACUUUUUAUAUGAUUAAUAAAGGAUAAUAGCAUAUUCAAAAAUCAAUUUCUACUUAAAUUCAUAGUAGUCAUGCAAAAUAGAGAUAGUGAAUGUGUAUAUCACGGUGCAGAAGUAAACAAAGUAUGCAAGCAUGAUAAAACAAAGUUCAUGAUAUGUGCCUAUGAGAUUAUUAUAGAACGAACCUGCUAUAAAAAAAUGAUGCAGUGACUAAGCUGGAAGAAAAGGCCACCUAAGAUGUGAAUUUGCUGUUAUUUGAUUCAACUCUUCGGCAUGGCUCUUGAAGUUUGAAUCAGCCUGUGGCAGGCGAGUGAGCAAGCUGAUAUUGCUGUUGUAGAUAGCUGAAUCUUAUCAACAUUCUUCUUCCAUCUGAAUCUUGAGUGAGCAAGCCUAUGCCCUUAUCAACAUUCUUCUUCCAUGAAUCUGAAUCUUUCGGUCGAAGAUAUUGAUAGGAAUGCACAUAGGAGUAAUACGGUACUGCAUGUUCUAAAGGCAAAUAUUAAUUUUGUAAAGUACCUUAGCGAUUCUGCUUUUGCUAACUUUUUUACUGUCUCCACUGCACUCUGUUCCACAUAGUCGAAAUCAUUCUGCAUUUUGGCCCGAUUCUAACAAGACAAUCUAACUUCCAAGCUUUCAACUUUUCCCAAGGUCUCUGGCACAUUUUUAAGUUUGGAGCAACCACAGAGAUACAACGUUCUAAGAGAUCUCAAACCAUUUAUGGUACUUGGACGACUCUUGAGAUUUUUGCAAUCUUUCAAAUUCAACAAGACAUUGCCAGAAAGAAGUUCAAUAGAUGCUGGCAAUCCUCUUAUAGCAGUUCCUUCCAAAUGAAGCUCCAAGAGCUGAUCCCUGCUUGAAGUUUUCUCUGGGAACUCUCUGAAUUUCAAAGGGCUGGAGAGAUUCAAAGUUGAUAGAUAUUUUACAGCACUUAUUGUCCUUGGAAGACACUCAAGAUUUUUGCAGCCAUUCAGAGUCAACUGCGCAAGUCCAAAUAGAAGUUCAAUUGAUAAUGGCAGUUCUUUAAUAUCAGUUCCAUCCGAAAGAACUUCCCACAAUGUCUAGAAAUUCCUUCAAUUUCCAGCAACCAGAAAGAACACGUGUCUUAAGAGAUUUCAUAAAGAUCUUGCCUGGAAGAGUUGAAAGACUUGUACAACCUUUCAAAUUCAACAGAAUCAGCUUCUUUGAAGCAGAAAAAAUGAGUGAAUCUCCUGCAACCUUGUAAAUCUUUCAGAAAUCAGCUCCCCUAAAUUUGGUACUCUAGUGAAGUCUGAUUGGUCAUAUUAGAAAAGGCUUUAGCACUGACAUGCAUCUCUUUGAUGUUAAAGCGAUCAAAUAUGAUGCUUCAACUACAUCAGUUUCCUAAACACUAUAACAAAAAAUAAGUGGGAACAAAAAAAAAAUGAAACAAAGAAAAUAUUGAUAAAACUAUGCAAAGGUUUAACUAGUUAAAUAAGUGAUCAUGAUCCCAAAAUUGCAAGUUUUCAACCUAACUGAACAUUUACUUGUGCUUUGUGAUAAUACAUGGCAUAUAUCUGCUUUCUCCCACAAUCUAUUGCAGUUUCUAGGCUCCUGAUGGGAUUGCCUCCUAACAAUUUGUCUACCCCAUUUCUUGUAACUACUCAUGCAUCCACAGUCCGCUGAAAUCAUCUACAGUUAAUAGAGAUUUUUCAAUAGGACCAACAAUUUCAAUAAUUGGGUCAAAAUCACAAUAUUUGAGAAUUUUUGUCACAUAAUCUCUGUACUUCCCUUCAUAGAAACAUGCAAGAUCGAGAAAUAUUUUCUUCUCUGUUUCUUUUGACCCAUCAAAACUUAUUUGAAGUACAUCAAGAAUCUCAUUCUCAGGAUCUCCCUAUAGUCAUUGUAGUAUAAUUCUGAAAAUAUUUUCUUCUCUGCUUUGGAAAUUAAUGAUCUUCUUCUUCAUAUUUAUUCUGAAAAUUCAAAAACAUAAAUGAAAAUAAAGAGAACUGCAUGGCAUAAAACUUACAACUUUGAUUAUGUCGCAAGCAGCAUAGUAAUCAAAAUUUUUUAAAUAUCAACUACAUGUCAACGAUGCGGAAUUCCAAGGCAUCUUCUAUUAAACAAAAACAAAUAAUAAGAACCAACAGUUGUCAAUUCUUAUCAACAAAGUCUUCAAAUUGACAUUGUGAUCUGUUGUUUAACGAAAAAAAGGAAAAUCAAUUCCUAUGAACUAAGUCCUCGGACCAAAAUUAAACAUGGAGGUGGAGAAAAGAAAAAUCAAAAUCAAAUGUUGAAUCCUCUUGAUUGUUUCAUGGAUAAAUCUGAUCUAGAUCUGAGUCCAUAUUUAACAUAUUCAUCUACCCAUUUUCAGACAUACCAUGAAUUGUAAAUUAAGCCAAAGAUUCGCAAAAAGCAACAAAGAAACAAAAAACAGAUUCUAUGUUCAGCCACAAAUGGGCUAUUUCACAGCCAAGCACAAUGGUUAAGGAAGAUUGCUAGUAAACAAAUGAAGAAAAUUAAUUGCUUUUCACAGGUUCAAGAAUUAACACUAUUAUUGAUUGCUUCUCUAGUGGAAGAAAUAAUUUUGAAUAAAGCACAGCAUCAUUCCAACAAAUGUGACGAUAUUUUUUUCAUUCAUUCCAUGGCCGGACUCUGUUUUAUGUCUAAAACUCAAGAAAUUCUACAAUUCCUUCUUUCUACCACAUCAUUCACGAAACAACAAAUAAUCAAAUUCUGUCAUGUAUAUUUCUAUUUAGAAAUUUGCAAAAAGGUUAGCCGCUAGAAAAAGAAAAUAAUUGAUUAGAUAAACAUUGGGUUUGCACUGUGUUUGUGGUAAAAUUCUGUUAAAGACUAAAGACUCUCAGAAUCUGCUCACUAGCUAUGACUCAUGCAAGACAAACCUUCACGAAUUGACCUUGUUGAUUGAUUGCUUUUGCUUGGGAAACCAUAGAGUUGAUGCAACACAUCAGGUGGGAUGCACAUUCCUUCGUAGGCAUAUUAUCGAACACGUCCUAGGCACGAGAAUUAUACCAUAAUUCCUCAACAACUCCUCUCUUGAACCUGGCCUGCAAAUUCCAUAUAAUCAUUCCUUUGUCUAUUUAUCGUUUGUUCUGAGCCCAAAUCAAGCUGAGAUCGAUCAUAUUCAUAUUCAACAUAUGUGCACUAAGCAUAGUAACCUCAAUUCCGAGGUUCAAGUAUUUAAACCCAUAAAAAUUCACAGAGGAAAUGACAAGGAAGAGCGUGAGCUCAAUAAACACUCUAACUCUUCGCUCUACCACGGUUAACAAACUUGGACACGUCACUAACCCUUAACUGAUUUAUAACAGAUUUUUGAAUAAAUAGAAUGUAAAUGAAUUAUCAUGUGCAAAAUAACAUUUGAAUUUGAGAUGCGCGCGGUGAUAAAGUCAGAUAAUAGUAAAAAUAAAAUAGUCAAGAAUAAUAAAUUUAUAUUUUUUAUAUUAAUAAUAUAUUUAUAUUUAUUUUUAAAAUAUAAUAUCAAUUUUUGGCUUACUAUAGUCAAGAAUAUAAUAGUAAAAAUAAAAUAAAAUAAAAUAAAAAUUACACAAAAAAUAAAUAAGCAUGUCGAAAUUGUAAAAAGAAGUCAACUAUUAUGUGAUCACUUAAGUUAUAGUUACGUAUGAAUCAAAUUUCUACUUUAAUUGAUCUUGCACAAUUUUAUGUUAUCCUUUCUUUAAUGAAAAGAAAAUACCAUACCGAAAAUCCCAAAAUAUAUCAGAAAAUUUUACUUUCCACAUCCUGACGGGAGAGUGUACCUGAGCAAAUCUUAAAUAGAGAGGAUUUUUGUAAGUAAAUGAAUUCCAAUGAAGUACUUUGCUUUAAGAGAACUUAAGCUAAUCAGGGAAGUAUAUUUAUUUUAAGGAAAAGCAGAGGAUUUUUAUGAGUAAAUGCCUCUUAAAUUGAAAGAAAACAAAAGGAUUCAAGAGCCUACCUUUCUUGAUGAGUCCUGCAGUGGAAUGAUCGAAUGUUGGAUCACGUUAAUGGCCGAAAGAAAAUCACAAGUGGAAAACUUCCUUUUGAUCACAAUAUAAAUGCCUUCUUUCUUCAAUGGAUUGUUCAAUGUUCUCUUUUUUUCAGCAUAUGGAUAAGAGAAGAAGUUGAAGAAGCAAUUGUUUUUUUUUGUGUUGUUGGGGGAAAAAAUGUGUACUCACAUUGAGUUCCAACUCAACAAGUACCGAAAAAACUGUACAUAAAUAAUCAAAUUAGCAAAGAAGAGAACAUAAUCUCCCUCUAAUAUUGACUGAGUGAGUGAUUAGGAACACUUAAUCUAUCACAUCCAAAAAAAAAAAAGAAAAAGAAAAAAAGAAACACUUAAUACAUAAUAAUACUUAAUACAUAAUAAUGUAAGACAAACAUUCAUGGGAAGCAAUGUUGGAAUACAAAACUGCGAGAAAACUUAAUGCUUUGAGCGUGUUGGACGCACUGAAAGAUGAUGAAAAUUUACCUUGCCAAAGAUAAUUCCUCUUUAUAAAGGAGAAAUGUUCCAGUCCGGAAUUUUAAAGUGCGGGAAAGUGCAGGAAAUCUUUAAAACUGCAUGGUUUUAAAGGCUUAAACUGUAAGCCUUUAAAACCGUGCGGUUUUAAAGCUUUCCCGGACUUUCCCGCACUUUAAAAUUCAUGACCAGAAAACUACUACUUUAUAAAGAUCUUUUCAAUUUUGUUUGUUUCAAAGAAAUCAACGAGAGGAUUUCAUGCUUUCUAAUUAAUUCCUCCAAUAAAUGUAAUAAUAUAUACAUUGUAACAUAAUUUCAAUACUUAGAAAAUAUUUUAAUAUUUUACAAUCUAUUAGAUAUAUUUUAUUAUAUAACAUAAAAUUUUAUAAUAAAUAGAAUCAUAAUAUUAAAACAAGUGUAUUAAAAUUUAAAUUAUUUUGAAUAUUAUGGAAAAUAAUAAUAACAUUAGUAUGUGAGACUUUGUUAUUGUAAAAUAUAUUUAAUGCAAAUAUUUAUUUAAAAUAUCUAAAAUAAAUAAAUAUAUUAUUAAAUAAAUAUAACAAUUUAUAUAUUUAAAUUUAUUAAAAUAUUAAGUUAUUUUAAUAUUCUUAGUCUAUUGCGUAGAUUACAUUAUUUAUGUAAUAUUUCUAUUUAUUAAAAAUUUUAAAUUCAAUUUUUUAAAUGACAUAAUGGUCAAAAAGGGGUCUUAGUGUCCCUUUUUUAAAAGUUGUGGGUGUUGGUGACAAUUUCUUCAAAUUUAGGGGUUUACAUGUCCCUUUUCCUUAAAAGAAAGAAUAAUUAAAAAAAAAUGGGUAAAAGCUCGUUUAGUCCCUAUAUUUUGAAGUUAAUGUCCGUUUAGUCCCUAUAUUUUUAAAAAUACUUCAAAGCAUCCCUAUCAUUAAAUUAUUGACAUUCUUGCCAUUAUCUUUUGUUCAUUUUGACUUAUUUUUACAAUAUUACCCUAUUACAAUAAUGUUCCUUUUUUUAAACAUUAUUAAAAAGAAAAAUUAAAUUAUCAGUUUAACACUAAAAAAUAAAAUAAAAACAAUAUAUACAUUAAUUUUUGUGGAACACUCUGCUGAGAAGUUAAAAUAUUAAUUUUUAAAAAAAAUUGAUAUCUUAAUUUUUUACAAAAUUAAAUUUUUUUGGACACACAUGAGCUUCCACAAAAAUUAAUAUAUAUCUUUUUUGUUUUUUAUUUUAUUUUUGGGUUUAAUUUGAUAAUCCAAUUUUUUUAUUUAUAUCUAAAAAAGAAACAUUACUGUAAGAGUGUAAAAUUGUAAAAGCAUGCUAAAAAAAUAAAAAAUAAUGGCAUAAGUGUCAAUAUUUAAUAGUAAGGACGUUUUGAGGUAUUCUUAAAAAUAUAGGGAUUAAAUGGGCACUAAACUCAUAAUAUAGGACCAAACAAGCUUUUACCCAAAAAAAAAGUCUAAUGAGAAUAUUAGAGGGGUGGCAAUAAUCCAACUCCGUGAAAAAGAAUCAACAAGAAAAUAAUAAAAGAUAUUUUUGAAAUUAACUCACGCAUCCGUUAAAGAUCAAGACAAGAACUUAAGUCUUAGAAAAGCUUAGCUGUGAAGCUAGACCUCAACUUCAUGUGAAAUUUAAAGUAAAUUUUCACAAAUAAAAAGUAAAUGAAAUACCAUAUGCAAAUUUAAAGAACAUAAAUUGAAAUUGGGAUGCGUACUCUCACUGUUACACCAGGCCUUACCCUUCAUUUGAGUUGUUUAAAUCUUUUAGGUGGUUGUUCGUCAUCAUCAUCACAGCAGGCAGCAGCCACUGCCACUGGCUUCAGCUGCCACUGCAUUUUCUGCAAGGCUUCGCUUUGAUGUUGUGGCUACUUCCAUUUUUGAUCCAACAAAAUUAUGAUGGGAUUCAUUCAUAUUUGAACGUCAUAGUGAAUGCUUAGGGACAUGAAAAACAAAGCAAAUAGCAUAUCCCACAACCUUCUUUGUAUUAUACAAAUAUGAAGGCCUUGUGACUGUUUUUGAAGAACCCUCAUUCUGAUACAUGAACCACUUUGGAAUUUCACUUCCUGGAACAACGAUGUGCAAACGAUGGCUUGGAUCUGACAUUGCCUGCAACAAAUGGGCUAUUUCACAGCCAAGCAAGAAAACAAAUGAAGAAAAUUAAUUGCUUUCCACUGGUUCAAGAACUGACACCAUUAUUGAUUGCUUCUCUAUUAGAAGAAAUGAUUUUGAAAAAAGCAGAGCAUCAUUAAAACAAACGUGAUGAUAUUUUUUCAGUCAAUAUUAAAUUAAUAUUUUAUUGAAUUUUCUACGUGAAAAAAAAAAAAUUGUGGCAAUAGAUGUAUCAUAAAGUUGCAGCAUAAUUGACUUUAUUGAUUAACUGGGAAAUCAUAAAGUUGAUUUUGUUGACUGUUUGAUUCUGAUUGCUUAGGAAAUCACAAAGUUACAGCAACAGAUGCAUCAUGUCGUUGCUCUCCAACAGGUUAAAAAUUUAUUUAGUCCUUAUAUUAUGAGGUUAGUGUUCAUUUAGUUCUUAUAUUUUUAAAAAUACCUCAAAACGUCCCUGAUGUUAAAUAUUGGCCCUCUUGCCAUUAUUUUUAUUAUUAUUUUAGCUUGUUUUUACAAUAUUACACUUAGUAAUAUUUCUUUUUUGGAUAUUAAUAAAAAAUUAAACUAUCAAAUUGAACCCAAAAAUAAAAUAAGACAAAAAAGAUAUCUAUUAAUUUUUGUUAAAGCUCACGUAUGUCCAAAAAAAUUAAUAUUGUAAAAAAUUAAAUUAUCAAUUUUUUAGAAAAAUUAAUAUUUUAACUCCUCAGCAAAGUGUUCUACAAAAAUUAAUGUAUUUUUUGUUUUUAUUUUAUUUUUUGUGCUAAACUAGUAAUUUAAUUUUUUUUAAUAAUGUCUAAAAAAAGAAACAUUAUUGUAAUAUGAUAAUAUUGUAAAAACAAGUAAAAAGGAACAAAAGGAAGUGGUAAGGGUGUCAAUAAUUUAAUAGAAAGGAUGCUUUGAUGUAUUUUUAAAAAUAUAGGGACUAAACGGACACUAACUUCAAAAUUUAGGUACUAAACAAGAUUUUACCCCUCUCCAACAUACCAGGUGGAUGCAUUCCUUCUUGGGUAUUUUAUCAAACAUGUUCUGGGCAUGCUCUUGACCUGCAAUUCUAUAUUAAAAGACGAACGAGGCCGGCCCUGGGUCAAUUGUUUUAAAGUUUUUUAUUUUGUGAUCAAUUACUUUUAAAUAAAUCCAAAAUAAAAAUUCAUUUUUUUAUUAUUUAGUCUAAUAAUAGCAAUCUGAUUUCCUCUCUGUAAUUUUUAUUUUAGGAUGCCAUCUAGUUGAGAUACUAUACUUAUUAUGUUGAAAACAAGAUAUUCGGAAUUCUAAAAUAAAAAUUACUUUUUUUUGUUUAUUUAUUCUAAUGUUAUGUUUGUACUUAUUUUAAAAUUUAAAAUCAAUUUUAAUAUUACUAUAAUUAAAAGGUAUAAUAGCCAAAAAAAGAUAUUAUAAUGGAAAAAGGAUAUCUACACCCCCAAAGUUUAGAGAAAUAAUCAUUGACAGCCACACAUUUUUAAAAUGGAACACCAAGACCAUCUUUUAACAAUAAUACCCUUUAACCUCUAUUAUCCAAAAAACAAUCAACUCUAAUGUUUUAUAAUAAAUAGAAAUAUAACAUUAAAAUAAAUGUAAUAAUGUAUAUGUUGUAAAUUAAUUUCAAUACUUCAAAAAUAUUUUAAUAUUUUGCAAUCUAUUAGAUAUAUUUUAGUAUAUAAAAUUAAAUUUUAUAAUAAAUAGAAUCAUAAUGUUAAAACAAGUGUAUUAAAAUUUAAAUUAUCUUGAAUAUUAUGUAAAAUAGUAAUAACAUUAGUAUGUGAGUUUUUUUAUUGUAAAAUAUAUUUAAUGCAAAUAUUUAUUUAAAAUAUCUAAAAUAAAUAAAUAAAUAUUAUUAAAUAAAUAUAACAAUUUAUAUAUUUAAAUGUAUUAAAAUAUUAAACUAUUUUAAUAUUCUUAGUCUAUUGCGUAGAUUACAUUAUUUAUAUAAUAUUUCUAUUUUUAAAUGGUCAAAAAGGGGUCUUGGUGUCUUUUUUUAAAAAAAGUUGGGGGUGUUGGUGAACAUUUCCUCAAAUCUGGGGGGUGUGGAUGUCGUUUUUCCUAUUAUAAUUGCUAUAUUAGAAUGAGAGAAAUAAAAAACCAACAAGUACAUAUUAAUGAUACGAAAGUUUUCAGAUUACAUAAUUCAAAUGAAUAUAUAGUUUAUCAAGAAAUCAAAAAUCCAAGUUGGAUUGCAAUUUCAAUUAGCUAAUAGCGAAACAUGAACAUAAUACUAAGCAUGAGUAUAAAAGGGCUUUGCUCUUUAUUAGAUUUCUUAAAUUCUUGUAGCAUGAGGUUCUUCAUCAUCAGUAAGGCUUCGCUCAAAAAGAAAAAAAGAAAAAAUCAAAACACAAACACAAUAUCUAGAGAUGUUUAGAGAGAAAAUUGCAAGCAACAGAAUGGGCAUCAUACAAUAUACCUCAUCGGUCAUCAGCUUAUUAUGGGUUUGUAAUAAUUUCCCGCCCUUUCUAACCGAUUUAACAGCUACAUGCUGACACUAAUGCUCUUCAAAACGACAGUAUUUUCAGGUCGUUUGAUCAUUAUGUAUAAGUGAGUGCACGUGACCAACGCGUGCACUCACUUACUAAGUUUAGACGACUUGAGCCAGACGUCGUACACGAGUCCUCUAGGAGUAAUCGAGAGAUCGUAUGCAAAGAAACAUCAAUUCAUACUAUCAUUUAUUAUUCAGCCCACAUUGCGUCUGGUCUGGGAAUUAGAUUCUGGUUCAUUCUUGAACAAUAGGCAUAAGUGGCAACUAUCACUUGGGAUUUCUCCUCCUUCCACUGGUAGAUUACAGUCACUGAGAUCCCAUUUUGUUAAAGAACAUAAGCCUGAUAGAGAAGGUAACAUCAAAUUAGUCAUGGGAUCUAAACUCCUUCACAUCAUAUUGGUAGGGAAGCACAAAUCCCAUGAUGUAGAUGAUAGUGGUCCACUGGUUUAAGAUUCUUCAAGAUAGAAACAGACGUCGGAAGUUGCCUAAUUGCUGUUCCACUAAUAUCAAGCUCUUCCAAGCUAUCUACUUUCCCCAAGUUCUCUGGCACAUUUUCAAGUGUGGAGCAGCCAGAGAGAUUCAGAAUUUUAAGAGAUUUCAAACCACUGAUGGGACUUAGAAGACACUCGAGAUUUUGCCAAUCUUUAAAAUUCAACACAACAAGGCCAGUUAGAUAUUCAACUGACAAUGGCAAUUCUCGAAUAGCAGUUCCAUCUAAAAUGAGCAUAGUUAGAGAUUUUAAACUUCCCCAAAACUUUUCCAGCUUCGAGCAACCAGAGAGCGUUAGAGUUCUUAAACAUUUUAAUCUACUUAUAGUAAUUGGAAGACUCAAGAGAUAUUUACAACCUUUUAAAUUUUGCAAAAAAUGCCAGAGAGAUAUUCAAUUGACAUUGGCAAUCCUCUUAUAGCGGUUCCCAACAAUCGAAGCGCCAACAGAUGUUCCAUACGUCCCAUGAUCUCUGGAAACAAUCUGAAUUUCAAAAGGCCAGAGAAAUUCAAAGUGGAAGGAAAUUUUAGAGCACUUAUGAAAUUUGGAAGACACUCAAUAUUUUUACAACCUUUCAAAUUCAACUAAACAAUUCCAGAUAAAAGUACAAUUGAUAAUAGUAGUCCCUUAAUAUCAGUUCCAUCCAAAAGAAGCUGCCGCAAAAACUUCAUAUUUCCCACAAUCUCUGGAAAUUUCUUCAACUUUGAGCAACCAGAAAGUACCAAUGUUUUUGGAGAUUUCAUAAAAAUUAACCUUAAGUUCUGAAAAGUCAUAUACCAUGCAUUCGACUACUUCAGUUCCUUACAAAUCAUAAAAGCAGAUGAUAAGUGCAGACUAGGAUGUGAAGAUGUCCAUAAAAUUAUUUAUGCAUAGAUUUAAAGCAUAGAAUGUCAAGCAAAACAAAUGUUUGAUAGAAUGAGCAAUAUGCUCAAUGAAAUGCCUCUAUGAGUCAAGCAUGUCAGAUGACUCAUAAGAGUGAUUCAGCAAGAGAUGAGAAUAAUUUGGAAUAGUCAUGAAGAUAAGAUCAAAGAUUGAAUUAAGCAAAUGUGGGCAGACCUUUCUCAGGGCACAAAGUCGUUUCCUUCGUAUCAAUGUAACGAUGACCAAAGGAUCUCCUUAAAAGCCUACAUUGUGAAAUUGAUAGCUUGGGCAAAGGAAAACAUUUUGUACGUGUAUCAUUAAAAAAAUGAAUAAAAUGUAGGCUGCAUUACAGAAUAUGUUUUACUUUGCAUUAUAUAAUGAUAGCAAUUUUAUACUUCAUUUCUUGACUUUUAGAAUCACGAACUCAAAAUACAUGCAUUGCACUUUGUCACUUACCCUUUUUUUUGUUAACACAUGAUGUACAUCUGUUAUGUUCCACAAUCUGCUGCUGUUGUUCAGCUAAUGUUCUUACAACAUUAGCUGAUUGGUUUACAACACUUUCGACAGCUACACAUAUCCUUUCCCUGGCUGAUUGGUUUUGAAGGCUUUCAUACAAAGAAGUCCAAGAGCUUCAUCAUAGUAUAGUUGCUUAAGGACCAACAAUUCGUCCACUCUAUGUGUUGUCAACGAUGCUUAUCUCUAGAUGUUAUGAUGAUCCUGCUGCCUGAACUUUCUAGCUAACCUUUUUGUGUCGUAGCCCACUUCGAAUUAUGUUGAUAACAUUAUAUACAUUCCAUUUUGUUAGGAAAUCUGACCUCUUUUUUCUGAGGUUUAUCUAACGUUGGCAAGAAAACUACUUACUUCAAAUUCAUGAUAGAUCAAGUUAUAAACAACCUUUGCAAGAGCUGCCUUACCUAUACCUCCGAUAUCACAGAUCCCUAUCAUACGAAUAUCAUUAGGCCCUUUAUCCAUUAGAAUCGUUAGCUUCUCCAAGUGUGAAUCCAUUCCUACUAGCUCUUUAAGAGUCUCUGAUUUUAAAGGAAUUUUGCUUGAUAUCUCAUUGACAAUCUCCAUAAUAAAGUCUGAUUCAUUCCUGCGGGUUGAGUAGAACAAGAAAAGAUUUGUGUUGGUGAGCUAAAGCUAGUGUGAGCGUAACGUAGUGUCAAAAAAUUAGAUAAUAUAGAUCUACAAAACGGAAGUGAUAAAGUCAUAACUUGUGUUUGAUUAAUCUCUAGGUUAUUCUUCAUGUAACUCUUCUCUAAUUUCGUCUAUAACUCUUCGUAUGUAGAUAUUCAUUGAUCAAGUUAUUAUUUCAAUUAAAUCCUAUGAUUUUAACAAAUUCUUAUACAUUUAUUCUAUUGUCUCUCCCUGUUCUUAUGCCUAAAACUUGAUAAAUUCUAGAAUCCCUCUGCUCUACCACAUCAUUCACCCAACAACAUAGUAUAAAAUCUUGUCAUGUAAAGUUUAUUGGAAAAUUGUAGGUAAGUUGGUUGUUUCAAUAACGAGAUGAAUAUGAACGCUAUUUUGGUAAAAUCUUAUUGUUGAUACAAAUAUGCACAUGCACAUGCACACACUGAACAUGAAACUAGUAAAUAAAUAUACUGAAUAAAUAUUGGCAGUUUUUUAAUAGUGGAGAAAUCCAGACAUCUUCUCACUUAUUAUGAUUCAUGCAGAACAAACAAAAAUUAGUUGAUCCACAUCUUAGAAAAUUAAUCAUUGAGAAUAAGAAUGAUUACCUAUCUUUCAAUUCCUAGCCAAAGAUAUUAGCCACCUCUUGCAGAGCGCCUCUCCAUUUUUGCACCUUUUCUAUAUUCUCCUUCAAGAACUUCUUCAUGAUUAGCAAUCGCUUCUUGAAAACUUCCUAUAUGUUUCCUUACCACUGUUGGUUCAACAUCAUAGAAAAUUGGAAAAACCAAUUGUUGGCGAACAUGACGUGUUCUUCCAUUCAACAAUCUUAACAAGUUCAUCCAAGCACCAAGUUGAAGAAGCACAGUUUCUUGAGAAGACAAUAACUGAAAUUCUUGAUUCUUCAAUUACUUUAGACAGUGUUGGUGAAAUGGAUAUUCCCCUUUCACGUUCUUUUUCAUCACUGAAUACAUUAAUUCCAGUUUUAUUCAAAGUGGACUAGAGGUGAUCUGAAAAGUUCUUGCAGUGCGGGUGUCUUGUCUUCACCUCUGAAGCUCAAGCAGACAUGGUAGUUCCUGGGAUGCUCAUGAUGCAAGCAAUUGACUCCACAACCUCUUAUUGCAAUAAGUAACUGGCUGUUAAAUAAUCGUACUUCAGCAAACGAAAAUAAAAUACCAGCAAGUAAAUUGAAACAGUGGAAAACACCCAGAGUAUACCAGUAAAGUGGCAACAGUUUUGGUUCUUGGCAACAAGAGAAAAAAAAAAUUCUCAUUCAACUGCUUUAAUUGAAUUUCUUAUGUGAAUAAAUUGUAGCAACAGAUGUAUCGUCUCAUUGUUCAACAUAUCAGGUGGGAUGCAUUCCUUCUUGGGCAUUUUAUCGAACAUAAUUUCUCAAAAAUUCCUUCCUUAAACUUAGCUUGCAAUUCCAUAUAAGGUGAGAUCGAUCAUCUACAUAUUUGUUUUUCAUCCUUCCAAUGCUUGAAUUUCUUCGAAAAUCCCUGCGAUAUAAUUUACUUGAUCUAGGUUGUUCUAACUUUUUUUCCUUUUUUUUUUUUGAUGAAUCCUCACCAAAGUGAGGAGGUUUUAUUAAAAUAAAAUAAAAAUAUAGCAAGAAAACCAGCCAAACUAAAAUUACAAAAGCUAGCUGAACAGAUAGCUAGGCAGCCUAAAAACAUCCUCAUGCAAAAGAGAAGCAACAUGAAGGGUGCAGAGUCCCACCAAGUAAAGGAAUCCACCAUGGCACCUAAAUUGCUCAAACAAUCAGCUACCCUAUCAGCCUCCCUGAAGACACGAGAAAAGCGCAACGUCAUGGAAUCCAUGAGAGCAAAACAAUUAUUCCAUCGAUGAAUAAGAAACCAUGGGUGGAAGCCGCUUGUUACAAAGAUGAAGCACAGUUAAAGCAGAUUCACAUUUGAUCCAUGACGUAGUCCAACAUUCAAAAGAAGCAUGCUCAAUCGCCAAGAUAACAGCAAACAGUUCAGCAACAAAAGCCGUUUCAACAUGUAAUGGACAAGAGAAAUCCCCCAGAAAUUCUCCCUCACAGUUUCUGAACACAGCCCCACAAGCGAAAACAUGCAAAGAACCUUCAGCGAUUUUUGACUAUAAACGUAAGCAGAUUUUUAAUUUUAAUAUACGCAUUAAUGAUUUAACUAAUUUUAUGUAUGUAUUUAUAUUUUUAAUUUUUUCUCAUUCCUUUUUAUGUAAGAGUGAGUUGAGGCUCGACCCCAAUUCGGCCUUUAAACUAAGACCUUGUUCCUUAUACAUGGGCCCAAAUGGGCUUGGGUCAUUUAUUUCAAGAGUAGCCUUUUGACAUCCCUUAAAAUUUCUUAUAAAACUCAUUUUCUAUUAAAACUACUUGAAUAACUAUAAAUAAAUAAUUUUUUUUAAAUUUUAAAUGGGAUUUCAAUUAAACACUUAAAUAAAUUAAGGUUUUAAUAAAUAAUUUACACCCACAUCAUUUCAUAAUUUAUAUCUAUAUUUAUGAGAAGAUAUUUAAUUUUAAUAAAUGAGUUUAUAUUUUAUAAAUUAAAUAAGAAGUAUUUUUGGAAAUAAAAUUCAAUAAGUGGUGUUGUCUAUUAUGUUUCAGAUAGAUCACCAAAACUAUUGGUGUGUUAAAACUUCACUUACUUUCAAAUCUUAUUGAAGACAAUAUGAAUUUGAUCCAACUUAAUGCUAGUUAAUAUGUUGGUUUAAUGCCUAUGUUGGGGGUGUCAAUGCCUUUGCAUUCAACCAUUUCAACUAUAGACAAUAGAUCUAUGCUGUAUUUUCUUUGUGAUAAAUAUACACAAUGUGCGUCUUGCAACACUUUAAUUCCAAGGAAAUAAGAUAAUAUUCCUAGGUCUUUUAAGGCAAAUGCUUUCCUAAACUGAAUUAUAAAACUUUUUAACUUUAUAGUACUUGGACUUGUAAUGAGUGUUUCUUCUUAUGAAAAGAGAGGUAUCCAAAUUAGUAUUAAUAAAACCCUAAUGGAAUAAACAGCUUUUUAGCUUAUCAAACUAAGCUCUAGGAACUUGUUUGAGUCUCUAUAGACAUUUGUACAAUUUGCACACAAACUCAGGUUUCUCAGCAUUAAUAAAGCCUUUCGGCUGACGCAUGAAUACUUCCCUAGUUAACUCUCCAUUAAAAAAGGCAUUGUUAACAUUAAUUGCCUUAUUUUCCAUUAGUUCAUCACUCCUAGGCUCAGUACCACUCUAAUAAUAGCUAAUUUAACCACUUGACUGAAUGUGUUAAAGUAAUUCACCCCUGCCACUUGCUAAAAUCCUUUAGCAAUAAGCCUGGAUUUAUACUUAGCUACAUUUCCAUCUUUGUUAUACUUGAUCCUUUACACCCAUUUAUUGUCAGCAACAUGAUGACCAGCUUGUCUUGGAAUUAAUGUCCAUGUAUUAUUCUUAACCAAAGCAUUAUAUUCUUCUUUCAUAGCUUGCAGCCCUCUGGAGUCAUCUAAUGCCUCUUGUACAUUAUCAGGUUCUUUAUGAAUGAGAGCAACAGUUGUUGUAUCUUUUUUUUUUGUUUUGUUUAUUCAAUAACAAAAAAACUGAUGUUAGAGCAUCUUCCAGGAAAUUAUAUACGAAAACGGAAACAUAAGUACAAUCAUAUUAUAUUCUUAAAUUAUGUCUACGAAUACAAAGUAAAUUAAAAUAAGAUUAGUGAAAUAAUAAAAAUGUAAAUAUUAAUGAUAGAUAAAAAAAAAUAGCAUAUGAUAGUAAUGCCUUACUAAACAAUAUUAUAGUAGAUGGCAAGUCUAGCUAUUUGAAGAGAACUUUAAAACCAUAGGCAUCUAAAAAAUUACCGAAAAUAAACUUUAUUAUACGCUAAUUAUUCCGUGCCAUUUUCCUGAGCACUUUUGUAUAUUUUAGAAAUGCAUACUUAAACAAUCUGAUCAAGUAUGAAAGCAUUUUCGAUUCAUGGAAGGUAACAACUUUGAAGAUGAUAUUUUGGUUUUGUGGUAAUUUAACAUAUAUGAAAUAAAAAUUGCCAACUGAAAUUGAUGAUGCAUGCUUACUGAAAUAUUCAGAGAAUAGUAAGCAGGCUUCUCCCUUUAUUUGAGUUUACUAAAUGGAUUCUUGAGGUUGUGGUUCCUGAUCACCUCAACAUAUGCAGUAAGGCUUCGCCUUGACGUUGUUGCUACAACCAUCUUUGAUGCAAAAAAAUUUGAGGGGAUGCAUUCAUAUUAUAAUUGGUAAAGCGAUUCCAUUGGAUUGUAGUUUUGUCAAACUCCUCCAUAUAAACUAGUGGAUAUCACACCUCUCACCUCCGAUCCUGGCAAGAACACACCCCUGAGAAGUUACAGAAUUUAUGAUUACAGUCCACAAAGCAUUUGUACUUUUCAUGGGAAUGAAUGGAAAAAAUAUUAUCUAUUUAUUACAGUCCACCGCAUGGUUUUAAAGUUUUUCCGGACUUUCCCACACUUUAAAAUUCUGGAUCAGAAAACUACCCUAUUUGGCAAUGACACAGUCCACAAAGCAUUUAUACUUUUCUUUGGCUACUAACACAUGAUAGAUUGAAAACGAAAACGAAGCUAAUGAGGAGGCAUAUUCCAAUAGGCAUUAUAUAUGAUCAUUAUGUUUUUUCGGUGAAGGAUAUGUUGCAUGUUCUUAGGGAUUGGAUCGUGGAAAAAAGACUUUGGAACCGAUUCCUCCCUGUGGCACAAUGCCAUCAAUUCUUUUCUCUUAAUCUAAAGGAAUUGACUUGUCAAAAUCUAUUGAGUAAAAGGCUGUUGGGUUCAAAUUUGAAGUGGAGUACUUUAUUUAGAGUACUUUGUUUGGAACUUUGCAAGUUCGUUAGUGAACAUCAAGCUUGCUUGGCAUUGUUAAAGUUUUGGAAAUAUGAUGGGUGACCUUCAAGUAGUUGGAAGAGUUAAAAAGCUCGACAAGAAAAAUUACAAUACGUGGGCAACAUUGAUGGAGUCUUGCUUACAAGGUCAAGAUCUCUAGGAGAUUGUUUGUGGUAACAAUAUGAGACCACUAACUGAGGAUGCCGCUUUAAAGAAGUGAAGCAUUAUAGCUGGAAGGCCAUGUUCGCCAUCAAGACUACAAUUGAAGAAGAAAUGCUGCAACACAUAAAAAAGGUUAAAAUACCUAAGAAAACUUGGGAUACUUCUACAAUGAGUUUUUCAAAGAAGAAUAACAUAUGGCUACAACUUUUGAAAAAUGAGCUACUAUCAAUUUUAUAAUGAAACAUGAUGAUUGACGAGUACUUAAACAAGUUAAAAUUCCGAUACCAUAAAAUUUCUAGGUUAGAUUCUACUGCUGUAAUUUCUAAAUUUAGAAUAAAGAGAAUUAUUGUCAAUGGUUUGAGGCUUAAGCUUAAGAGCUUUGUUACAACUAUCUAAGGUUGUCCAACUCAACCAACCAUUGAGAAUUUUGAAAACUUACUUACUGAUCAAGAAGUAAUUGACAAGCAAUUGAGUGGGGCCUUAGUAAUGGAUGAUGAGGAAAUGUUAUUUAUUGAUAACCCUACUAGAAAAAUGACUUUUACUAAUAUUAAGUUGCUGAUACUAAAUAAAAAAUAUCAAUAUUUGAUGACUUAAUUAACUUUUAGUGUGUUUUACAUAUUAAUGCCGGUGGUUAUUAAUAAUAUAGUAUCAUAAACUCUUACUGAUACUAAGAUAUAUAUUUUUAAUUUUAAUUUUAAUUUUUCUUAUUUCACACGACGUGGUUUUACUUUUAAAAUUAGGGUAUCUUAAAUUCUAACACUUGAGAAAUUUUUUGGCCUUAACGAAAGUACUAUUCCCUCUUCAUCUUGCCUCUCUCCCAAAUCCUUCCUACUCAUUUGAAGAAACCCUAAAUUGAAACAAAGCAAAUCACCCAGCCUUUUCAGUCUUAACAAAACAAUUACUCUCAGUCUCCCAACAAAGUAAAAUCAUCCUAGUUUUACUUUAUGAAGCGUAUGGGUCUUGAUUCUUCGGUCACCACCGAAGACAACCAAAGGAUAAAAAAAGUCAAACAAGAUGAGGAGGAAUAAGAAAGAGGAAGAGCAAGUCAAAGAAACUAGCUUCACAAAUCUAUAUGAGAACUCCCUGUUCGAGGUGUUGAAACACGCGGACACCAGGACUUCGUUGCAGGCGGCCUUGCGUCAACAAGCUAUGGCACAAGACACUCAAAAUGAGCACCUUUGGAAGUUAAUUUGCACCCACCACUUCGCUAACGUUGGGUGCGCUACCCAACAGCUCAGAUCUGUAGUCCUGGCUCUUGGUGGCUCCCGUCGCCUUCACUCCCUCUAUCUCGGUGGCUCCCGUCGCUUUCUCUCUCUGCCAUUCUUUCUCUCACAGUCGAAACCAAAACUCAAAUCCCUAACUCCCCAGCCACAAAACCUCUCAUUUGCCUCAAAACAAAACAAAAUCAAUCUGUACUCCUCUCUGAUUAUUCGAAAGUUAGAAGCACCUUCAAUAGUUCUCUCUGAAAAGCCAUUCACCUUAAAUAGUUCUUUCUAAUUUUCUCUUAAUUUCGACUGUGAUUUUAUUGUUUCUAUAGCUGUAGUUUGAUUAAUUUUGAUAAAUUUUGCUUGAUUUGAUGGAAAGCAUGAUUUAUUACAUGUCUGCUUGAGAUAAGCCGGUUAGUAAUUUUUUUAAAAAUAAUUAUAUGUAAUAUUUGUUUUGAUUCGCAUAUCGUAAACACGAUGUUAUUGUCUACUAACUAAUUAUAGACUUCGAUUUACAUUCACCUAAAUAGGAUAUGAUUAUGUAUCCUUUUUUUUUUUUUUGGCUGUUUGCUGAUUGUGUUAUUUAUAGUGUUGUUAUUGGCGGUUUAUAUGGUGAGUAGGGCAGUAUUUUAAUUGAAACAAUUAAAGAUAUGGGGAAUUAUUAGGUAGAAAGUGGCUGCAGGAGGAGGUUCUUCUAUUUCAGUGUGCCUAAAUAGUAUUCAUUUUGCCCCCUUUUUUUUUUUACUGCUGACUAUUGUUCCUUGUGAAUGCGUUUCUAAUCCAGAGACUUCGCCCUGUGGUAUCCACUUUGAGAAACUACUCAUCUGCAACUAAACAGGUAAUUGUGCCUUUUAUAACUUAUUACUUGUAAUGCACUGAUUUUGGCUGUAUGAUGAUUGUAUUCUUCUAUAUGUAUAGGCUUUUAUUAUUAUUAUUAGUGAAUCAGCUGAAUGCUUAAGAAAUUCUAAUACUAAUAGUUAUGUUCUUCAUUAUACUUACUAUGUAUGGAUUUUGAUGCAUUUUAAGAAGAAUAUGAAAUUAAAUAUUUGACUGUAGGGACAACAAAUAUGUUCGAGCUUUUAUUAGUAUAAUAGUAUGUGAAUUAAAAAUAUUAUAAUUUGAACAAACUCCGAAGCUUUGAAACUAUGCACUUUCAUGUUGCUAUUUGUGACAGUGGAUUUUGAUUGCUCUUUGUUAGCGACUCGCUUUUACUUGUUUGAUAAUGUUUAUAAUUCGUCCAUCUCAUUAUACUUGAAAGUUGGUGAUUCUAUGUAAUUUAUAAAUCCAACCGGUAUCUUUUUAUUUAAAUCGGUAGGCCAGAAGCAAAGCAAUCUUUUUAUGCAUUGGCUGUAUUAGUAAAUCACAUAGAUAAAAUCACAGGGUUUAUAUUGUUAUUUAUUUCUUUUCUGUUUGCAGGAAAAUUCCAAGGGAUUUGACAGAGGCAUCACUAUCUGGUGCAGGAUUAUCCAUAAUAGCAGCCCUUUCUAUGUUGUUUUUAUUUGGAAUGGUAGGUUGCCGCUUGCAUAGUUGUGCCUCUUUUGUCGGAUAUCAUGGGUGCAUUUUGCAUAUUCAGUGUAUAUUAUCGUCCACCUGGAUUGUUUGUGUAACAUGAUGCUUUCAUGGAGUUCUAUUUGGCUUUUCAUUGUUUCUAGAACAGAUUAAAUUUAACAAAAACUAUUCGCAAUUUUUCUAUAGGACCUGAUUUAAGACCCACUGGUUCUGAAUUCCACUCAAUGCUUGUUAUACAUUCGCUUAAGCAUGGAGAGGAAGCUGAUGAUGAUUCUGUUGAAGGUUCUCAUACGCUACCUGCCAAUAAUUUUGAUAGUUAUUCACACGAGUAAGUGAGCCUUCUCUGAACCACAACUUAUAAUUUUUAUUUUCAAUUCUGUGAUCACAAUAUUUCUCUGCUAUGUGGCAAUUGCAAUGAUGCCUUCUUUGAUUUGUAUUAUAUUUCCUUUCCAGGUAUCCUAUUUUAGCUGUCAAUUUUUAUGAUCCAUGGUGCUACUGGAGUAAAUGCCUGGUAUUUUUAUUUUCACCUUUUGUUUCUCAAAUUUUGUCUUGUUGCUUUUUGAUCAUUGUUGUCUAGAUUUACCUUAUUGGAUCUAUUCUUUCUCAUGUUUGUGUUGAUGUAAUUGCCAGAUAUAAUAUUUUAAAUUUAUUCACUUGGAUGUCAUGUUUGUGCCUGCUCAUAUGCACACAUUGCUCUGUUUGUCCACUGACAGUUGCACAUAAAUUCCUUCAUUACUUUGGUUAACUCCAUUGGUCUCUGUGUUUGUGUUGAACUUUCCAUGCCUGUUAUACAACCAAGCAUGGGUUUUCUUUUGUUUGUAUGACUGUAUUGUUAGACUUCCUCUCAUGAUGUUGUUAAUAAUUUCUCCUCUUUUUCUUGGACAACGGUUAAAAUAAUUUUUAUUGUUAAUAUAAUAUGCUUGUCUUGCAUGCAUUUAUAUGCCAUUAGGAAACUAUGUAGAUUUCAGCAUGUAAAUUUUAUCAGUUUUUUUAUUGUGCAUGUCUUGAAUGGUGCAGGAUGACUUACAAUAAACCAAAGCAUGUAUGUGGGUCAAAACUAAAUAAUCAGAGCAAAUGUCAAAUUGGAACAUGGAAACAAUAAUAAGCAUGUAUGUGUUGGAAGAUUGUGCUGUUACUAUAUAUCAGAUUAUAAAUUAUUUGUAGUUGGUAAACAAGGUAAUAAGUUUCAAACAAUGUAAUAAUUUUUAAAUUGUUCAUUGCAAUGUAAUAGUUUUCAUAUUGAUGAAUGUAAAUUUCAAUUCAAAUGCCAAUUGCAAAUGUUCAAUUUCUAUUAUAUGGAUUUCUAAUUUUUUUUAAUUUUUUCGCAAAUAAACAUUGAUACCAAAGUAUCGUUAUAUUUAUUAUGCUUUUGUAUCAUUAUUUGUUUGAUAACAUAGUCUCGUUAUAUAUGUGAUGUUCAAGCAUCAAUAUUUUUUUGAUACUACGGUGACAUAGAUUCGUUGAUACAAAAAACUCGUGUCAAUAAGUUUCUUGCACCGUAUUCAGUGACACUAAAUUCGGUGUAGUAAAACAAGUUCUUGAUACUAAAAUAGUAUCAAAGAAGGCUAUUUUUUUACUAGUGUAAAAAGAGACAUCGAUUCAGACAAUAUAGCGAUAAAGUAAUGUAGGAAGCAUAUUAGAUAAAAUAAAUUAGAAUUUAUUAGGAAUUAUAAUAUUUGGGUAUUUAGUAUUUUAUUAGAGUUUAUCUUAUUUUUUAAACUUAUUCGAUCAUGUUUGGAAUUUUAAUCUAAUUAGCAUUUUAAAUUAUUUAUUUUAUUUAUGAAGGAUUAAGAUUAAGUUGGCUACUUAGUAUAUAUAGGCUUCUUACUAAUAGUUCUUUAUAACAUACAUAAGCUUAUCAUCAAUAAUAUUUAAUAUUUCUUAAUUGAGAUAUUUUCUUCUUCAUAAGAGCCUUUUUUCUUGAAUUUUCAGAAACGUAUGUUAUAAUGAAAUUUAGUAUCGCUUCUGCGAUGCGUCAAGUGGUGUCAGAGUCUUUCUUUGUAUUAGGCAGAGCUUUCCUGACCAUCAACCAUUCCCCAUACACAAAUCCUCCCUCCAUCAUCCAUUGUUUUCAUUAAAAAAAAAAAAAAAGAAGAAGAAGAAGAAAAAGUUAGAAAAAUAGCAAAACCCGAAGCCACCUCACGUCCAUCGUCUGCAGCUGCUACCUCUGUCAUUCUUCACCUUUUUCAUGCUUUAAUAAAAUUUAACAUAAUGCUCACUAUUUUGUAUAUUAUUAAGGACCAUUGAAUGAUUAAUCAUGAAGUGUAUAUUAUUUUUCACAUCAAUUUAGCACAACCUAUACCAUGAAAUUAUGGAUUAUGUUACAGUGAAUACUUUUAUAUGGUAGGAAUAUAAGUUUAAGUUUUACAAGCCUAUUUUCAUUUAAUUUUCCAAUAUCACUUUGUUGAUUUCGUAAAGUUGAAAUUAACAUAAAUUCUUAAUUAGCUAUAUAGUUUAUGAAUCAUGAAAGAUUGUUUUGUUGAUAUUCAUUGAUUGUGGUUACAAAAUUUUAUGUCACUAAGAGGCUGAUUGCAUUUAUGAUGGUAAUUAAUAUAAUAAGUAAAUAUUAACUCCAAUAAUAUUCAUGAAAUAUUAUCUAUUUAUUUUAUAUUCUCGUUAUAAAAGCAUGGUUUUGGAUAUUUUAACUUAAAUUUUGACACAAAAAAUGAGCCAUUAAUCUCUCACAAUCUAAUGGUUAAUGUUAAAAGUCAAUCACCCUAAGAUUAAAUAAAUACUUUUAGGUUGAUCAAGUUCUUAACCAGCCAUAUGUUACUUUGACAUGGUCAAAAAUUUUUCUUGGUGUUUGUAUUUGCCAAGAUUACAUAAUACAUUUUCUUCUUGGCACAAGAAAUUUAAGCAUAUUUAUCUAGGCAGAAUCCAGAAGAAAUAUACUUAUAUUGAUUCUAUUAGUGACUCUCACAUAUUCAAAUAUGUAAAAAGAUAAGUAGUUAUAGCAAGAGAUUUUAUUUUAAUUGUUAAUCCUGACGUGAUAAUCAAAUCCAAUACCAAAUACUUUCAUUAAUUUUCUAUCUCUCUUAAAAUAUUUGAGUCCAAAAAUCCGCAAAAUGUUGAAUGUUAUUUACAAGUCUUAACAUAAUGUUUUUGAUCUGGCUAAUUAAUUAAGACUUAAGUGGUGGAGCAUUCAUUAUAAUUGAUCCAUGUUCUUCAACCGCAUCCACGUUAAAUUCAAAUAAUUUUUUUUAAAGAUCUAGGGAGUUUUGUUUUGUUAAGUUUGAAAAUAGUUAAAUAGUCAAUCUUAAGAUUUAUUUUUAAUACUAAUGUUAGACACUUACCUAGUAUCUUGAGUUUUUGAAUUAAAUGAUUUACUAAUUGACGAUAUUAGUGCUAAAGUUUCGUAUUUGAACUCUCCACAACAAGUUCAUUUGUAUCGAUUAAAUUAUGUUUCAAUUAUUUCUCAUUGGCAUGCAUCGAACUCUCUCAUGCUUGCUUUGUGUUAAUUUACGUUUUUUUUUUCUUCUAAUUCUGAAUCAUUUUUCAAGUCCAGUCCUUUUAUAUAUAUUUUCAAAAUUUUGUCCGAUCGCUCACCGCAUCUAUGUACGGCAUCUUUUGCAGGAAAAACAGAGUAAUAAAACAAAGCAGGAAAAACAGAGUAAUAAAACAUCUGUCCAACUGUUUGACCCAAGCCAGGCAUUUUCUGGUAAUUUAACAGGGAAAUAAGUAACAAGAACAGAUACAAUAAAUAAAUACAAAGAAAGUAAAUGAAAUGCGAUCUGCAGAGAAAAAUAAAAUUUGUGCCCUUCAUUCGAGUAGUCUAAAUCUUUUAGGUUGUGGUUCCUCCUCAUCAUUACAGCAGCCACUUCCACUAGCUUCAGCCGCCCCAACAUAUCCUUCAAGACUUCGCUUUAGAAAGCUUCGCUCAGACGACGUCGUUGAUCCUGCAUCAUCCCGGCAGCAACUUCCACUGGCUUCUACCCUGUCUAAGUCAUCAUUAAGGCUACGCGUAAAGGAUGUUGAUCCAGAACAAUCGUGACCGAAUUCGUUCAAUCUCCAAACCGGACCAAUUGUUUGGUUGAACUUAUCCCCUUGAUGCACAUAUAUUGGAUGCAAACCGCACCUCUUCAGCAUCAAUCCCGACGGCGAAGAAAAUUCCACUUUACAAAUAUUAUGGUAGUAUCGCCACACCUCUUCCCUAUUCAGGUAGUAUAGCCAAAGAUGGUCUGACACAGCCUGACUGAAUUGCUUUCCAAACAAAAUUCCAUAACUAUUCACGUCGGUAGGCCGGACACGCAGAUAAUGUACGGGAUAUGGAUACGGUCGUAUAUAAUAAGGAAGUGAAUAUUUAGGGGCAUGAAAAACACAGCACAUAGCAUAUCCCACAAGCUUACUAUUCUUAUACGUCUUUGGAGGCGUGCUUAUUGUUAUUGAAGAACCCUCAUUAUUCUGAUACUCGAACCACUCUGGGAUUUCACUUCCAGGAACAAUUAUGUUAAACAGAUAGUUCUGAAACCCCACAAAUACAUAUAUAUAUAUAUUAGAAAGCCAUACCAAUGCAUAAUUUUUAGGCAUGAUUUUAGCAACAGGUGAGAGAGUGUAAGAAAUUGACAUUACCUGUUUAAUGUACUUGUCCGACAGUGACAUAUUCUGCAACCCCACGGAAAAAAAAAAGUGAGUAAAUAAAUAAAAUAAAAAGACAUAACAUGUAUUGCAUCAGUUUUAGGCAUGAUGUAGCACAGGUGAGAGUGAGAGACUGACCUCAGAAUUUUUAAUGUACUCUUUCAGCAGUGAAAGCGCCAAAUCAUAGCUGCCAGUCAAUUUCGAGCAAUCCCCACAAUAAAGGUUUAACGACGGGAGUCGAUGCUCGUUUAAGUUUAAAUUUAAUACAUCUGAUAAUGUCUCCAACGAAACACAACCCCCUAACGAAAUCCGAUGUAUACUGGCUGGAAGUCGAGGCAGAUUUUGAAGCAUUUUGCAUUCCUCUAAUUCAAUCUCCCGAAGAUUAGAAAGACGGUAGAUGCUUGCCGGUAGCGAAACAAAACUGUUUCUACUCAAACAUAACGUUUCUAAUGAGCAUAAGUCGCCAAUACCACUUGGGAUUGCUCCUUCCCCUAGAUCACAGUAACUGAUAUCCAAUUUCGUUAAACUACACAAACCUGACAGAGAAGACGGCAAACUGAAAUCCAUCGGAUCUGAACUCCUUCGUAUCAAAUUGAUAGGAAAGCGCAGAAACCAUGAUGCAGAUGAUGGUGAUCCUUUGCACCCACGACAAGAUAGUUCUUUAAGAUUCUUCAUAAGAAAAAUCGACGAUGGAGGUUGCCUUAUAGCUGUACCACUUAUAUCAAGUUUUUCCAAACUUUCUACUUGCCCAAGCGUCUCAGGCACAUUUUCAAGUUUGAAGCAGCCUGAGAGAUUCAAAUUUCUGAGGGAUUUCAAACCAUUUAUACUGCUAGGAAGUCUCACGAGAGUUUUGCAGUCAUUCAAAUUCAACAAUCGAAGUUUGGUCAAAAGCUCUAUAGAUGAUGGCACUUCUGUGAUAGAAGUUCCGUCUAAAAAGAGCUCUGACAGAUCUACCACACUUAUCACAGUCUCUGGAAAUUUCACUAUUUUCGAGCAACCAGAUAGCACGAGCGUUUGUAGACAUUCUAAACUGCCUAUUGUAAUUGGAAGACUCGCGAGAUUUCUGCAAUCUUUCAAAUUCAAUGAAACAAGGCCAGACAUAAGUUCAAUUGAUACUGGCAGUUCUUUGAUAUCAGUUUCAUCCAAAAGAAGUUCCCGUAGACACUCCAUACUUCCCACAACGCGUGGAAGUUUCCUCAAUUUCAAGCAACCAGAAAGAACAAGUGUUUUAAGCGAUUUCAUAAAUAUCUCACCCGGAAGAGUUGUAAGACUUGUACAACCUUUCAAAUUCAACAAGAUCAGCUUAUUGUGACGUAGCAAAGACUGGUGAAUUUCACGCAACCUUGUACAUCCUUCAAGAUCCAACACCUCUAAGUUUGGGACCUUUGUGAAGUCUGGUGUCUUAAUCAGAUUCUCCGAAUGGCUGAGUUUCAAGACUCUCAACAUGUUUAAAGGCUGUUGAAAACAAAAAAAGGAGCUAAAAUGAUAUUUCUUAAUUCAUAUACUACUAUAAUAAUAAAUUGUUAUCAACAAUUAUUCACUGAAAAAUAUAAAUUAGUGACCAAAAAAAAAAUUGAUCUUACUUUGAUUCCCUUCCAUAAUUCUUCAAUGCGGCUGUAGCACAUUUUAAAUUUAACAGUUUUAUCCAAUUGCAAAUUUGAUGGCAAAGAUUUCAAAGGAUACCGAUGCCAAUCAAGUAAUCGCAACCUGUUCGAGAGGUAUUCUAGGCCUUCAGGAAGUUGCACAUUACUGAUUUUGAGCAAUCUUAGGUUGGUCAUCAGUGAAAAUGCUUUAGCACUUAAAUGCACAUCAUUUCCA
rnacentral:lncRNA from 1 species